AAUAAAGUCACAAAUAACCAUUCAUAUUGAUCUACUAUCACACAGCAUGCUUUAUGCAUACAACAGCUGUAUGUAUACCAACUCCUAACCUUAUCAAUACAUUUGGCAAAAACUUAAGAAGAAAACUAUUUCUCCAUCUCUUUUUUGAAAUUUCACAAUAACCAGCACAAUGUGAAAGCUAUGUUCUAACCUUAUGAUAAAUGCUCUAGACUCCAAAAGGAUUUUAUAUAUGAGACUUUGUUGCAGCAGAUAUAUUGACUUAUCAAGUAUGAAUCAUUGUCUGGAUGAACUAUCUUUAGAUAAAAGAAUAUUAGAACCACUGUAGAAUAUCUUUACGCUGCUGGUUCUAACAGGAAUCUGCAUGUGGCAACAAUUGCUAGAUCCACAAUUCCCCAACUUGAAAUACAUAGUUGCACACCAUGAGAUAGUGCUACAAUCUACUGAGAUCUAACUUAUAUGGUACUUUAAGCUACUAAUGUUUGCAUAUUUCUACAUGUUAAAUUAACACUAUCAUCUAUAAUCACUCCAAAACAACAAAUGAUAAGCAGCUUUUGGCCACUUAUUACUAGCAUCCACAAUUAUAAAUAAGAGAUCAUGGGUUUACUUGUUGCACCUACUUAAUUAUCUGCAGUUGACAUCCUGACGCAAGGUUUAAAUAGUGACUGCUUAGAACCCUUGUAGUUGGAUCUUGACCUCUCCCAUUGUAGCCAAGAUUGGUUACUCUGGUAAUGAAUCAACACUCUCCUGCUCAGGGCCAUGAAGAUCUGAAAGCUCAGCUCUAGUGGAGAACUUCAUCAAUCUCUUCUUCUCAGCAUACUUGAGACAAGGUUGCCUUACGAGACCAAUCACCACAGCACCAACGCUUAAAACUGCAACUUUUAAAGAAGAAAGAGCCAACACAACACAACACAAAUCAAUAUGGUUGGAGGAAUACACAUGAUAAUGGCUCCAACAGUGACAGUGGGUAUCUUGUAGGGACGAGAUGCAGCAGGAUAUUGCAUCCUUAACCAUACAAAUGCUAUGAACUCCAUAAUCAUUCCAAAACAGUACAGGAAGUUCUCUGCAGCUACAAUAUCUCAAAAGCUCAGCCAUGAUAGCAAAACCACACCAGAUGCUGAGAAUAUGAUUCCAAUCAAAGGAGUCCCAUAUCAAGACCUCUUAGCAAAAAACUCAGGUAGCAUUCCACGCUCAGCCAUCCCCAAAAGUUGGAAGAGUCGCUGCUCAUCUCAGCCACAAACAUGCCCAUAUUGGACAUUGCUGCAGCCCCCUGGAUGCACCAUCUCAACCAAACUCCUCCAAGCACUUUAGCGAUAUCUGAAAAGUAACCAUCGGUCCACAAGUCGCGAUCUAAUGGAAUAGCUCCAGUUCCAACUAGAAGGGGAAAGAAAUAUCCAAAAACGACCAAGAUCAAAGCAUAAAACAAAGCCUUUGGAAGAGUCUUCUUUGGGUUAUCCACCUCUCCAGCUAGUGUACUUAUUGAGUCCCAGUAGUUGGAGAUUCCAAAACAGGGUGUUCAAAUACAAAUUCCAGUCCACUUCACCUAAAUUUACUACAAGCCAUCUUGAAGGCUCUAACUUGGGAAGGGACACAAGUCCCAUAACCGCAAAAGGAAGGAAUGAGAAAAUCCCUAAAAGAACAGCAGCCCAUCCCACAAUGGUUAGACCCCUAUAGUUCAUGAAAGUGAGAACAAAAGUCAAAGCUAACGCCGCAAAGGCUCUAGGUAACCCAUCGCCCAAAGCAGGGAUACCAGACUUCAAGUAGUCAAGAAACAGAACUGGGUAUAAAGCAUUAUCAAUAACCCCACUAAGCCAUUUCAUCCAAACUUGCUGAAAACCCCAAUAUGGGCCUAAGGCAGAUGAAACCCAAACCACAUAACCACAAUUUUCAGGAAACACGGUACCCAUCUCGGCAGUAAUUAAAGCUUCAGGGACACUCCAUAUAAUCGGAAACACCAAGAAACCAAGAAGUGCUAAAAGAGGACCAGCUGCCUUUACACUAUCCUCAACACCAAACGGCCCCCCAGAAACCUCAUAGAAUAUAAGGAAAAUAAGUGGCAAGAUUGAUACUUUUUUAGCGCCAUGGACUCUAGGAGAAGAUGGUUGGUCAUUGAUAUUAACAUAUUCAACAGCAUCAGACUGCCCCAUUUCUACUGAAAGUUGCCUAUUCACAGUGUUCCUCAAUUUCUGCAUCAAGUUUAAGCAUAACUAUCAAAAGGGUAUCGGCAUCUAAAUUAUGAAACAAAAUGAGCAUUUACUUAUUAAAAAAAAUCAAAAAAACAGAAAUGGAUUUCACAGAACACAUGAAUUUAAGUUCAACAUUAAACAGGCGCUUAAGAAAACAAAAGGGUCUGGUCGUAAAGCCAUCAGAUUGCAAGAUUGAACAACAUUAACGGAAUCAAUAGAAUCGAUGUAAAGAGAUCUGAAAAGAAAAUAAAAUAAAAGAUGAAGAGAGAUAAAACGACCCAUCAAAUAAGUGCAUGCAGAGCAGAGAGGCAGAUACUAGAGAAGCUCCGUCAUGUUAGAGAGAGCCUAAAUCAAUCAGAGCUCACUGAGUUUCUUUUCAACUGACCGGCAAAUUUGGAGUAGCAUGACAUAAUAUUUUUGCUUUUAAUUUUCGGAACACUUUUGAAUGGAAUUUUUUGUUUUUCAAAACUAACGAAAUCGUAAAAAUAAAUAAACACGUGUUUGGUUUUGGGCUUCUUCUUUUGUUCAUUUAAUAUCAUUUGGUUCCCUGAUUUUUGACUAAUUAUCAACGGUAUCCUGUUAGUUUCCAAAUUGAAAUAAUAUUAGGUCAUGAGAUUAUUUACUCCAUUUAGCACUGUAGACUUAAUAGUAUAUUGAAAAAGCUUUGUCAAAUAGUAGUAAUAGGGGCAUAAGAAAUAAGUUCUUCAGAAUUUAGAUAAUAUACUUGGCUCUAGGAAGAUUCCCCUCUUAUCGCUCAAGUUAGGCUUUUACCUUAGAGUUGAGUAAAUCAUUAAAAUAAAUUAUAGCUAUCACAAAUUCGUCAGGGGACUUUCAAUUUUUUUCCAUCAAAUGGAAAUGAGGCAAAAUUACCUCAGCUUAUAUUGCAAAACUAAUACUUCAAAUUCUGACAAUAAAUUUGAUGACAGUCGAUUUUAUGUAUAGUAAUUUUGACUCUUUUGUUUGGUCUAAAAGUAGUUAUUUAAAAUGGCAAUGAUGACUUAUUUAGAAGAAAUGAUAAACUUAUAGUUCGUAAUAUUAUUUACGCAACUAAUAAAGACUAAUUUGAUAAUAAUCUUUCAAAUAAUAAUGAAGUGUUAAUUACUAUUUAAUAUUUUUUAUUAAUUUCUAAAUUUAAAACAAAUAUGAAAGUUGAUUGCUUCGAAGGUUGGAUCGUGACAAAUUGACAAAUGAAAAGAGAAGUAGAGAAUAUAUAUUCUGAUGAAAGGGACAAGAUUAAGCAAGGGGACAAUAUUCUCUAUUGGACCGACAAAUGGGGGAAAAGAAUAUAUAUAUAUAUAAUUUCUUAUUUGUGGAUUGGCCAACACGUGUAACAAAUAUGAAAAGAUAAAAUUUGGCGUGGUUUUAACCGAUAUAAGACAAGAAGAACAAAGCAAAGCCCAUGAAAAUUCACCUUUCAUGUGGGUUGGAUCGGAUAAAAUCAAUAUCUUGAAUCAAACAAAAUGUUUGGUACAUAAAGUUUUUUUUUUUUUUUUUACAUGAUAUUCGAUUUUUAUCCCUCGAAUUUUUACAUGAUAUUAGAUUUUUAACCCUCACUAAUAAUCGAGAGAUGUCUACUCCUCAUUUUUGGGUAAGGGAGAAAACUACAUUCACUUAAUUAUAAUUGAGGAAGGAAAUACCCCCCAUUACACUUGUGGGGGUUCAAACUGUUGCCCUCCAACUUGGAGUGCAGCAGCACUGACCACUCGGCCAAAGUCUGAGUGGCUGGUACAUGAAGGUUUUGAGUGUGUGUAAUGAGCAAGAAUUUACAUAACGAUAUUUUAGUAAAUAUAAGAAAAAAAGGCUCAGGGAAUGGCCUAUAGAUAGAAGCACGCAGCCCAUGAGUGAUGAGAAUACAAUUUAACUGUUCAAACUAAUUAGAAGCAAAUUCUUUCAUAUCUUUCUUUAAUUUUUCCGCUUAGUUCCUUAGCAUCCAAUCAAGUUCAAGUUAAAACACUGUUGAGACAACAAUAUGCAGGCAUCAAUAAGCAUAGUAGUUUUUUAUAUGUAUUCUAUACGAUAUUUGAGGGAUGUCAAUUGUAGAACAUUUUGCAGCAACUUUUUUACAUUAACUAAUGUUUGAAGAACUUGUUAAAAAAAAUGGUAAUUUUAUAAUUUUGAAAAAAAAAGAGUGAAAGUGACGUUACCUCAUUGUCAUUAGAGACUUGUUGCAAUGAUAGCUCAAAAUUAAAAUUUUUGAAGAAUUAGUAGACAACGAUGACGUAAUAUUUAUACAGUCACCAACAUGUUGAUUUUUGUUUAAUGUUUGAUCGAUAGAAAUGUUUGUCGUCGUUGCUGUUGUUGAAUUCAUACUUAGAACACAGAAGAGAAGAAGGGAAGAAAGGGAAGAGAAGAAGAGAGAAGUGGCAUAUAGCAAAUAUGAUAUGCUAGCUACAUACCAGCCUUAGAGAGAUUUUUUUUAAUAUUUAUUAUAUUUUUGUUUUUGUUAUUGGUUUGUCAUAUGCUUCCAGGGAAGCAAUACGUUACAUCAUAAAUUGCACCUUUUAGGGGAGGUGGUAAAAAACGUGAGAGCACUACGCUCCAGCGCAUACAUAUAGAAAGAGUUUCCGAAUUUUAAAAAGUUUCUUUAUUUCUUCCAUGUUUUUGUGCUUAAAAUAAAAUUUAAUUGUAUUUUGCAUUAACUUAGAAAAGAAAAGCCAAUUCUAUAUAUAAACUCAUGCAUUAAUUAGAAGAGUUGAACUAUUGGCACCCCUCUAUUAUCUUUAUAAAAUUCCUCUCCUAUUGUAAUUACAUUAAAGGACAAAAUAAAUCUAAUUAUAUCAUUAUAUUUCUCUUUUCAACUCUUUACACCCGUGCAACUACACCAAAGUCUUUUACAAUUUUUGUUUCCUCACAAACAUUAUUUAAAAGGUAGAAAGAUGGUUAGUGCACAAUCAAAUUUUAAGCCGCUACCUCCUCGGCCCAAAAUUCAAACUUAGAUGAUAAGCCAAAUAAAAUUAUUUGAAAAUCAUUCAAUCAGGUUCCCGGGGCAAAAAUACAAGAUCCUUAUUUGCAUGAUAUAUAUGAAUUAAUGUAAUUUAUUUGAAUUAUCCAAAUUCAUUAGAGAUAAAACUAUAAAAUAUACCAAAAAAGUUAGAAGGAAGGAUGUGUUGGGAUAUUUUACAAACUAUAGGAAUCUGGUGAGAUUUUGAGCCAAACUGUAGGGAGUUGAAGGCAUUUGCCCAAUAUGUUUAGACGUACACUAACCGUUAUUUGCUCUUGUUGUUGGUCCCGGAUGAGCUGUAGUCUUAUUUUAAUUUUAUUUAAACUCACCAUAAGAUUCGCGGAGCUCCUAACUAACUUAAAUGACUCUGCAGAGCAUGUCAACACAUAGCAUGUUUAACCGUUUUAUUUGUAGAAGAAUUUAUGAUUUCCCAUUAGCAUUAUUAUUAAAGAAGUGGGGCGGGUCAAAUCUCAAUUGCUUGAAAAUUUUAUUUAUUAUUAUUAGUCUUGAAGUGGGGUGGGUAACGGUUCGCUCAAUUUGAUUUGAGGGAAUCAAAUAUAUCAUCCAAGGUAGAAUUGUGGAAAAUUAAAGCAAAAUAAGAAAUAUGGAAAGAAAAGAAGAAAGUUAAUGCAUGAAAGACAUAUACAGUUGAAAUUGAUAAUCAUGUUUCUAUUUUGUUAACUAAUCAAAUGGAAAGCUGAACUGUAAACAAACAUUAAAACGUGUGGACCAAGCUAGCUGCCCUACAAGUUUACAAUAAUAAUUGAGUACUUUGAUUCAUCCUUCUAUGAAUUUCUACCCAUAUUGACUCCACCGAAAUUUCCACAAAAUAAAAAAAAAAAAAAACUGAAUUUCCACAAAAUGCAAAACCCGUAGAACUUAAUUUUUGGUCAUGUGAACUAAGAUGUAAAUUAAAGAAAAAGUAUAAAAUUAAAAAAGAUAAGAUUUCUAAAAUGUGUGGAAGGUGAUUCAUGAUUCACUGAAAUUACUUACCCCAGAUAUAAAUGUAAACCUAUCUAAUUUCAUUAAAAAUAGUUGGAAAAAAUUAACUAAUAGAAAGCUACGGAAAUUAACCCCCCACAAAAAUGACUUUUUAUAGAAGAAUUUAUGUUUUUUAAAAUAUGUUAUCAAAGUGUAUUUGAUCAAAUCUCAAUUGCUUAGUAUGGUUAGGAUUUUGUGAACAUCACUAAAAAGUGAAAACUAUGAAUGAUAGGGGUGAUGCUUGCAAUAUGAAUAAAUAAUGGACUGAUUCAAUUGAUGAUUACAUUUAUAUAUUAUUGAUUAUUUAUGAAUUUUCAGAUUUUCGAGUGAUCAACUUAAAUCUAUAUGAAUUUAUUGUCAAAGAUGGUGAUCAUGAUGGGCAUGUGAAUAUGUUAGAAAAAACUUGCACUUGUCGGGAAUUCCAACUUGAACAAUUACCAUGUGUACAUGUUGUGGCGGUGUGUAGGCAUCGAGAUUUUUCAAUCUAUGAUUACUGCUCCUAUUACUAUUCAAGUGAUGCAUGGGUGUUAGCAUAUUCUGAGACUAUUUAUCCUGUUGGUCCUCAAGAGGGGUGGGAUGUUUCUAGUGAUGUAUGUGCCCGCGAAGUACAUCCUCCUCUAGAAAAGCGGUCAAGUGGGCGUCCAAAAAAUAAUAGAAUACCAUCUAGGGGUAAGGAAAAGGUGCCUCGUAAAUGCAGUCGGUGUGGUGGUCGUGGACACAAUCGACUCAAAUGCAUGACGCCAAUGCCGUUACAUGAGUGAUACCUUGUUUUAAAUUUAUAUGCAAUGUAAGUGUCUCAAUUCUUGGUAUUCAUUUAUGUUUUAUUUAUUUCGUUAAUGCUGUUUAAAUAUGUACUAAAUUUAACACUAUGUGUACAAGGCUUGACGGAGGAUUUAGCUUGUAUGUUGUCUUUAAAUGGUGGCAUCGUAGAUUUUUGGGUUAUGGCUUGAGUUCUUGGAGCAAUUAAAGGACUAUGCUAAGUCAUUGUAUAAGGAUUUUCGUAUUGAAAUUGCAUAAGGAUGAAUUUACUAGUUGCUAUUUAAUGUUUCUUGGAUAAGGAUCAAUUUACUAGUUGCUAUUUACUAGUUGAAAUUAUAUAAGGAUGAAAUAGAAUUGUAUUUAAUGUUUCCUGGAUAAUUUAAAGUUGUUGCAUAAAAAAGUCGAGUGUUUCCUGUUAUUUACCCGACUGCACUGAAAAAAGUCGAGUAUUUCCCGUUAUUUACUCAACUUCGAUGAAAAUAAUCUACAUUUACCCAACUUCGAGGAGAUGAGAAUUUUUGUUCAAUAUUUUGCAAGGUCACAUCAAAGUCGAGUAUUCUCGACCUCAUACCCGACUUGGAUGAGUCGAGAAUUUUCAUUUAAUCUGACGCAAUGUUACAUUAAAGCCGAGUAUUCUCGACCUCAUACCCGACUUUGGUGAGAGGAGAAUUUUCGUUCAAUGUUAGAGAAGAUUGCAAUAUAAGUCGAGUUUUCUCAACUGUUUACCUGACUUCAAUGUGGAGAAAUUUUAUUUAAUGUUAGGCAAUAUUACAUUAAAAGUCGAGUUUUCUCGACUGUUUAAGUCGAGUUUUCUCGACUGUUUAAGUCGAGUUUUCUCGACUGUUUACCCGACUUCGAUGAGGAGAAAUUUUGUUCAGUGUUAGGCAAGAUUACAUUAAAAGUCGAGUAUUCCUGACUAUUUUCCUAACUUUGCUUAAGGAAGUCGAGAGUUAAGUCAAUCAGAGGAGAAUUUUUUAGGCAAGCGUACAUUGAAGUAUGGGAAUCAAAAUACCAGACUUUGAUGAAAUAAUAACAAAAACCAAAAUAUUUAACUUAUUCACACAUUUACAACAAUACAAGUCAGUUCAUAAGGUUUUGAUUAACAUUAUCCCAAAAGUUAAACUACAAACUAAUACGAAGUCGAGUAUUCUUGAUUAUCCAAAACAAUGAACUUCUUGUCAUCAUCAAUCGUACUCCUCUAUCAACUUCUUGUCAGAAAACAACCUUGUUGCCACUUGUUUUCGGUAUGAGUUAAUGCCUGCUUGUGUACGAACGUCAUAUGGAAUGUCUAGACCAUAUACAAGUGCCUCCAAAUAAAACAUAACAAAAACCCCACAAUCAUUGCUGCAAGAGAAAAAUAGAAAGUGAUAGUUAUUUGAUAUUACAUAACUCAAGGGAUAAUAUAAGAGAGGCAACACUAUUUCUUACUUGUUUUUUUGUUGUGGGAUGUCUGAAACUCGCACAGCCUUCCACUUACGAGUUAGAGAAUUAUCAUAAGAAUGUGAAGUAUACCAUGAUAUCCUAUCUAGAAUCAAUGGCAUCAUAACUACAAACGGCAACAAUUCCUUCUCAAAUGCACUGUCAUUCAUAUAAUCUAACAUGGAGUCAUACACAAAAAUUAUCUCCUUUUGAAGGUCAAACUGUGCUAGUGCCCAAUGAUCUUGCUUAGGAUGAAGCGGAAUAUAUACCUACAGAAAAAACCAUGUAAACCACUAAAUGGAGAAAAAAAAUUAUAGUCAACAUGUCAAAUAAAUAUAAGCAACUUACUUUGGAAACAUCUUUCCAAUGAACAACACAUUUAAGUUUUUCACCCUUGGCAUAAUCAACGACAUAAUUAGUAGCAUUAUUUGUCCAUACUUUUUCAGGGUUGAUCACGUAAACUGAAUACAGAUGCUCUAACUUUCGCUAUCAUUACAAAAAACAAAAGUGUAAGUGUCUUAUAUAUUUUAUAUUUUCCUAUAUGUUUUAUAAAUGUAAUAACAAACUUACUUGAUAUAUAGUGUCCAUUAUGGCACAUCGUUGCAUACUACAAGAUGGGGAGUUGACCAAGAUGUGUCGUACAACAUAAAAAAAAGAGUCCAAGUGUUGUAUAUAAUAAACAAUAGUUAUUAUAUGCAUUGUUUAACAUAUUCAUUAAAGUACCUAACAAAAAUUAUUACUAAACAAUAUGUUUAUAACAAAAUUCAAAACAAUAUAUAGAUUCUUACACUACAAUCCUUAAUUUCAUAAAUUUACAGAACAAUAUGUUUAUAACAAAAUUCAAAACAAUAAUCAAUAAAAGGCAAAUCCAAUGAACACAAUCAAAUAACCUUUAAAAUUGAAUCAUAAUGUUUCAAAACUAAACACAUCAUUUCUCCAACCGCAAAGCCAAAAUUGGGAAAACUAACCCACAUGAUUCUUUAAUCAACUUUUCUUUAACCACAUUGUUGCCAAAUCUUAAUUGUUGCACUCAAACAAAAAUAAGAAUACAAAAUCCAUAGAGGAAAUAAAAUAAAUUUGAAGUUCUUCAAAUAAAAAUAUGCUGUCUAACAUUUGUUUUUGUAUGUCUCUUCGUGAUAUAUUGUAUUACAUUGUUCAUGUUAUACUUCUAAUUCUUUUCAUUUUCAGUAAUCCCAUAAAUUAUACCCAAUUCACUAAAUCACUUACCAUUUUCAAGCAAAACCCUAAAAUUUUUCUUUGAAUAUUUGUAGGAGAAAGAAGAAAAUGAAAAUUACUUACCUAGUAACCAAUGACGGAGGCAAGACAAGGUGGUGGUGACACGGCUGAGGCAAUGGUGAUAGCUGAAGUGCAGAAUGGGCAGGGAGCCGCUUGUUCUUCAAGGAGUUUUCUCUCUUAUUUUGUUUACUCGACUUUGUGAUUUUGGGUGGGAAUCGAUUCUGUUUUGUUGGCUUUUAUUAAGGUUAUUUUUGUAUUUUCCAUGAUCUUUUUAAGUAUAUAUGUGUAAAGUUAGUAAUUUUAAUAUAUAGAGGUAUAUUUUAGGUAUUUUGAGGAAACCAGGUAUAUCCCACGCAAUUCGGGGUUUUUUUAUUUAAAUAUCCUCAAUUUACCCUUAAAUGCCAAAUUUAUACCCUAUUACAUACAUAUACCUUAUGAAGAUAGGAAAAGUCAAAAAUAACCUUAAAAAAACUAAGAAUUCACAUCUCUCUUCUCCCAUUGCUUCUCUUUUUCGGGCUUCUCUCACCAUUCUCUAUUUUUCUUAUAAGUGUAUUUCCUAAUGAUUUAUGAAUUUUAGUAGUACAUUAUUCAUUUUUUGUGCUUGCACACACACACACUAUUUCAAUGUAGGGAUUUAAGACUACAUUUAAGUUACGAGUGAUUGAAGAAUCAGUGCAGGAAGAAGUCGGGUACGAAGUCAGGUAAAUCGAGAAUUUAGUCGAGUAAGAAUUAGAGAUAAGUAAGUCGAGUAUAUGGUCGGGUAAGAAGUCGAGUAAGCAUAUUAAAUAAGUCGAGUAUAUGGUCGGGUAAGAAGUCGAGUAAGAAAAUUAAAUGAGUCGAGUAAGCAUAUUAAAGAAGUCGAGUAUAUGGUCGGGUAAGAAGUCGAGUAAGAAUAUUAAAUGAGUCGAGUAAGCAUAUUAAAUAAGUCGAGUAUAUGGUCGAGUAAGAAGUCGAGUAAGAAUAUUAAAUGAGUCGAGUAAGCAUAUUAAAUAAGUUGAGUAUAUGGUCGGGUUCAAGAAGUUGAGUAAGAAUAUUAAAUAAGUCGAGUAAGCAUAUUAAAUAAGUCGAGUAAGCAUAUUAACUAAGUCGAGUAUAUGGUCCGGUAAGAAGUCGAGUACGAAUAUUAAAUGAGUCGAGUAAGCAUAUUAAAUAAGUAGAAUAUAUGAUCGGGUAAGAAGUCGAGUAAAAAUAUUAAAUGAGUCGAGUAAGCAUAUUAAAUAAGUCGAGUAUAUGGUCGGGUAAGAAGUCGAGUAAGAAUAUUAAAUGAGUCGAGUAAGCAUAUUAAAUAAACCGAGUAUAUGGUCGGGUAAAAAGUCGAGUAAGAAUAUUAAAUAAGUCGAGUAAGCAUAUUAACUAAGUCGAGUAUAUGGUCCGGUAAGAAGUCGGGUAAGAAUAUUAAAUGAGUCGAGUAAGUAUAUUAAAUAAGUCGAGUAUUUUUAUUAAGGUUAUUUUUGUAUUUUCUCUGAUCUUUUUAAGUAUAUAUGUGUAAAGUUAGCAAUUUUAAUAUAUGGAGGUAUAUUUUGGGUAUUUUGAGGGAAAACAGGUAUAUCCCACGCAAUUCGCUCCGCAAUUCGCUCCCAUCUCAUCAUCUUCUUCAGUUGUACUAACAUUAAAUUCUUCUUAUUCCCUUUCUCAACUGUCAUACCCUAUCCCUAUUCCCUGUGUCCCCACUAAACCACGCUCAAUUCAGUCCAUCAGAUUCUCUCGGAACCACAUUAAUCCAACGGCUCACAAUGACCGACAGCCUCUGCAUCUCCAUUUCAAGCUCCCUCUUCAACUGGCCUCUGCUUCCGUUGUACUCUUUCUCGGAUUCUCGGUGGUCCCACACAGCUCCAUCUCGCUCCAAUUGUCACCCAACAAGACCAAUUGCUUAAUCAAGUCACAGAACAAAAAGAGGAUGAGAAAUUGGAACAAGAAUUUGAGAAUUGGAAAUCGAAAAUGUACAAAUUGACCGUGCCUUUGAGAGUUGUUUCUCUUCAGAAUUCAAUACCUCAAUCUUGGAUUAAGGAUUUUAUGCGAAGUCAAGGAAAGAUAUUGAAUUUUCAGAUGAAUUUGUGUGCUAGCAUUGAUGGGAUCUCAACAAUUUAUCUGUGCCUUUUAACAAAGUUAAGGCUAAAUCAGCUCUUAUAUGGGUGCUGAUUUGGUUAGUGUUGGUGAUUCAUGUCUCAGUUUUGCGAUUAAAAAGAGAUUGAUUGAACCAAUAGUUGGAGCUGAAGAUGAAGAUUGGUUCAAAUGCUUAAGUCACAAAUGGAAGGUAACAUCUUUAUCAUUGUCCAGAUAUUUUUUAAUCAUUGUCCCGAUAUGUUUUAUUGUCUUACAUUGAAGUUUGGUAAUGUAAUUUGUUCUCUAUCUGUGUUCCCUUUGUAGUCAUUUUAUUUAUUUUUUUGUUUGCAUUUAUUUGCACUUACGAAGUCUCAGGUAUAUCUAUGCAGGAAUGAUGCAGAAGAAAUUGAUCCUUGAGGUAAAAUAUGCGCAGCACCAUAUCAGUGGGGCACAGUGGUGAUAGCUUACAAGAAAAGUAAAUUUUGAAAGCAUAAUUUGGCUCCGAUUGAGGUAAUAAUUGUCUUUAAACUCAUUUAGUUUUAUAUCAAACAAAAUCAAGACUGCCCUUCUCUUCAAUAUUUUUUAUGAUAAUAUCUUUAGAAGCAGCUAAUUGACGGGUAAUCAAGGUAUUCCUUAAAGGGUCUACAAACUCAAUGAUAUUAUCUUCUGCAAAUGGUUCAUUAGACCUCUUAGUUGUAGUCAAAUGUCCACUAAGGACAGCAAGAAGCUAUGCCACUGUAGCAUGGUAAUGAUGGCCCUCAAUAAGUGAGUUGGUAGGAUGUGAAGCAGAAAAAUUAAUUAAUGUCUCCCUGGCUAUGCCAGCUCAUAAGUUAGGGUUAAUAUUAGAGCUUGAGUAACUAUAACCUUGAGAAGCUAUUGACUGCAAAUUAAAAUAUCCAUUAAAAUGUUUAGGGAGUUAUGAAGGUGGAAGUAUCUUCCAAUUUCUAAGGCCAUAUUGUAGACAUCAUCCAGGAUCCUAUUAAAGUGCAGUUAGCCUCCUGCUUGAUGCUAAUGUCAAACAAUUAAUAAAUUUGGUCAAUGUAACUGAAACUUGCUAACUGACAUCAGAUUGCAACUUAAAAUGGGAUAGAUGAUUAGUAGCACUGAAUUCUUCUUGCCUAAGAUUGAGCAAUUGUUCUAACUACUAUCUCCUAUUGUAGGUUGAUUAUUAUGUUCUAAUUAGGUCCAUUUUGACCCAAAAAAUUACAUAAUCUUGAUCUGCAUAUUGUCACUGAACAGUGUCAAUAUCGUUCACCAACUAACUUGAGUUUGAUAUAACAAACACACGGUGUGUCUCUCAUGUCUCACCAUGAUGGAGAAUUUUUCUAAUGCAUGAAGUAAGCUUCGAUAUGUGGGUUAGCUUGGAGAAGAUAUCUCAAAAUGAAGAAUAUGGGGAGUUAAUGGGAAGAAACAGUUCAUUAGUUGAUAAUUCUGUCAUCGAGCUGUAUCUCUAACAUGGUCAAAUUUUAUGUGAAUAAGGACAGGGAAUCUUCAUUCCUCUUUUCCUUUCUAUACCCAGAUAUCUCUCAACCUUUAUAUGUUGCCCACUGGAGAUCUGCUUCUAAUAACUAAAAUAAAAAUUUCAUCCACUCAAUAAAUGCUGACCAACCUUUCACAAGAAAAAGUAACAUCUUUAGUGAAGUAAUUUACAGUUCCUUAUCAUCUUCGUGUGAGUCUAUCAGUAUGAUCCAAAAACAUAAUACAUCUUGUUAGAUCUUGUUUAUUGAUGUUUAAAUGUUGUUCAUUGUGAAAUGUAGAAAUGAUGACGUGAAGUUUCUUUGGUCAUCAGUUAGUGAGAUCUUGUCUGAAGUUGUUUUCUGAAAUGAACUGCCAAAUGGUAGUUUUUUUUUUUGGGUGCAUUUGAUGGCUCUUUUCUCCUCAUUUUAAGUGGGUGCCUGCUUGGAAUGGGAAGGAAUAGGCUUCAGAGUUGUUAUAUAUGUUGACAUGCUCUAGUCUUUACACAAUAUGUUCAAAUUGGAAAUUAGAAUGAGAUAUUUGUCGAUGCUUUUUGAGAGAUCUGCAUUCUAAGCACCAUAACAUGAUUAAUGAAAACGGGUUUAAAGACUGGAAAGAUCUGUGGCGGCCCGAGCUUGCAGGAAGGAUUUCAAUGGUUAAUUCUCUCAGAGAGGUUAUUGGUACAGUUUUGAAGUAUAUGGGAGCAUCAUACAAUUGAAACGACAUUGAUUAGCAAGUUGCUGCUGGGAGGAUUGCUGUUCAGCAGAAUCUGGCAUUACUGGGAAACCAGGUACUCUUAACGAAACGAUAUCUGGUCAAUGCAUAUUAUUGCCUGACAGCUGAUUUUGUUUGUAAAGUCUGCCUUUUCAUACAUAUGAAUGCAUAUGUUAGUGUUUUACGAAUGCAUAUGUUGGUUUUAUUUUCUGAGAUGGAUGCAAAUAAAGGCUUUUUCUUCUAAAUUUAGCUGAAGAAAUGGCAAGGAAUGUGAGAUUAUAUCUCAUUAAAUUAUCAAAACCCAAAACAAUGAAAACUCAUAUUAAUGUGAUGUGGAUAAAUUGGCAACAUUUGGCUUGUUUCCUCCACGCGAAUUAGCAAGCAAUAGAGACUAAAAAAAUGGAGUGAUAAUAACAAGUCAUUGUCGUUUGAUGAAUGCAUUUUUAAGCAAAAAUAGGAUUGUAACUGAACAAAUUUUUCUGGCAUGCCAAUUUCAAAAAAUUAAAUUAUGUGGUUAUUAGUAAUGAAGGGGAAUUGUAGGUGCAAUCAGGUCAAUCCAGUAAAGUUCAACAAAGUUCUGGUUUGGUGUAGUGAAAUUGGUUUAUGCAACUUGAGUCUUUCAGAUGAACAAUGAUGAGUUUUCAUUUAAAAAUGUUAUAAAUCUGCUGUGCAUAGUAUUCUAGUGGAAUCAUCUAUAAAUUCAAGUUAUUGAAAUUGUCUAUUUUGUCUGGUCUGAGUUAAGGAGGCAUGUAAUUUAUGAAAAAUAGUUGUCGAAUAUUGUAGGUUACCUAACAUUUGAUCAAUCCUGUGGUGAGGGCUUUAAGAUGUCUAACAGCAUGUAGAAUGCCCCUGCUCCCCUCACAUUGUUUAUCUUAUACAAUAAUCCAUUAUAGAUGCUAAUAUCUUUGUCAAUACCUAAAACAGUAUUACAAAAUCUGAGUUUAUUGGGUUUUAUAUAGGUUCAACUGUUUGACAGUACACACUAUCUGAAGGCAUUUGGAAUUGGAGAUGUCUGGGUUGCUGUUGGGUGGAGUAGCGAUGUUCUUCCUGCUGUCAAACGUAUGUCUAAUGUUGCAGUUGUUGUUCCCAAGUCAGGUGCUAGCUUAUGGGCUGAUCUUUGGGUAUGCCCAUGCUUACCAUUCUACUUUGAUAUUCACUUUGUUAUCUCCAUCAUAGUAAUGAUCAGUAAAUACGAGAAUGUGUGACUGAUAAGUUUGUAUUCUCUUUUUAGGCAAUCCCUGCUGCGUCAAGACUUGAAACAAACCAAAUUGGAGGGUGAGUCAGAGGUCCAUCUCCAUUAAUCCAUCAAUGGAUAGUGUUCUGCUUGCAAACAGCAAGAGCAUUGCCUUUCAAACAAGAGGUUAUCCCUGGCGUACUGAGAUGGCUAAAGUUCUUGAAGUUUUGUUAGAAAUGAAAGAUGAGUGGUUGUUUGAAUAAAGUUGUGGCCAAUCUCGCAAAGGUUAAAAAGGAACAUCACGGAGCUAAUGCCACCGAUUUCUUCAUCAUUGUAGCCUCUAUAGUUGAAGUUUCCUCAUUUGAAGCUCUUUAUGCAUUAUCCCUGCUCAAGUACAAUUGAAGAACUAACCAGAUGUGAUAUGCUGAAAGAGGGAAGUUUUCUUCCUUGAAUGUGGCCUUGUGAUUUGUCAGGGAAUAGGAUGAUCACUAGCAAGAACCCUGUCAAGGUAGAUUUUAUGAUAUUAACAUAUUAUUAAGCAUUUGCCACUUUAGCAACGAUACAUUCAUAGCGUGAAAGUGUUCAAAUUUAACCUAAUGAUCCUGAUUAAUCAAUUAAUUUUCAUGAGUUGUAACCGGAGUUAAAGCUAAGUACAAUCAUCGUUAACAAAGACUGAAAUUUUGGGUAAAUAUGAUCUUAUAUUGAAUCAUUUGAUGACACAACUCACAUUGGAAAUUACUUAUUGCGUGGGGAUGGCGAUGUUUACUGUUGUAUUGCGAUAUAAAAUAUGUGCAAGGUAUUGUCGACUGCUUUUUGGGUUAUGGUGUGAUAGCUGCUGAUUAGUGAUAAAACAAGAAAAAUUAAUUAAACUCAGGCCUACAUGCUAAAUGUGUAUGUUAUCCUAACUUUCACUACAAGAAAAUGUCCUUAACCUGACCGUGUUAGAUGAUUGUAAGUAGCAGUGUUCGUACAAGUUUUUUUUCCUUCAUGGUAUUUACAAUUUCUUAGGAACAUCUAAAAUCUGAAAAUCCUCAUUUACUAAAAAUUAAGUUAUCAUUUACUGGCUGGCAACUUAAAGAUAAGAAUAAAUUCAAGAGCUCAUCAACCAAGUAGAGUUUUCUCAAUAGACGCCGUAGUUAAUUUCUCUCUUCAAUCUUGAUUAUGAAUGAUUGUUUUGUUGCUUUUUAAAGCGCUUUUAAAGUUUUAUUUUGCUCAUGUCUGAUAUUUAAUUACCUGAAGAAGCCUGAUGAUUUCUUGAUAUGAUUGCUCUGCCAAGCUAUCUAAGAAAUAGCUAUAGAAAUCCCUUCAUUACAUUAGAUAAUCUUCAUUAUCUGUGCAAUUUGGUGUUUUGUCUUUGAAGCCAGCCGUUUGCUUUUGAUAGAUUCCAUCUCGUAUUUAUUCCUUUUCUAUAGAUUUUGCAGGAUUGAAGCUAUAUUUCUUCUCUGUAUAUGUGAUUGAUAUUAAGAGUAUGUUUUUGUGUUGUCUCUGUUUUUUCUAUUUGAUCUAGAUUUAAUACCUGAAAGGUUACUAACAAAUUAUCUUAGGUCAAAUUCUCUUUUACGAGACUUUUUUUGCUAAAUUCUUGGAAUUAUAUAAUUAACUAAAUCUUUAGUACAAGGAGGAGUUUGCCCCUAACUUUGCUUUCUUUCUAUAAUCGCAUUAAUAAUCAAUCCCCUGCAUGUUGGUCGCAUUAAUAACCAAAUGUGCCUUUGACAUGCAACUAUACAAUCACAAACCAUCAUAGGCCAAGAUUGGUUCAAAUGCUUAAGUCACAAAUGGAAGGUAACAUCUUUGUCUUUGACCCGAUAAUUUUUAUUGUCUUACAUUGAAAUUUGGUAAUGUAAUUUGUUCUCUAUCUGUAUUACCCUUUGUAGUCGUUUUAUUUAUUUGUUUAUUUAUUUGCUUUUAUUUGCACUAACGAAGUCUCAGGUAUAUCUACGCUGGAAUGAUGCAGGAGAAAUUGAUCCUCGAGGUGCAAUAUGGGCGGCACCAUACAGGUGGGGCACAAUGGUGAUAGCCUACAAGAGAAGUAAAUUUCAAAAGCAUAAUUUGGCUCCGAUUGAGGUAAUAAUUGUCUUUAAACUCAUUUAGUUUUAGUCAAAUGUACACUAAGAACAAUUAGAAGCUAUGCCACUGUAGCAUGUAGUGAUGGCCCUUAAUAAGUGAGUUGCUAGGAUGUGAACUAGAAAAAUUAAAUAUUGUUUCCUUGGGUAUACUAGCUCGUAAGUCAGGGUAAAUAUUAGAACGUAAGAUACUAUAACCAUGGGAAGCUAUUGACAGCCAAUUAAAAUAUCCUUUAAAAUGUCUAGGAAGUUAUGAAGGUGGAGGUAUCGUCCGAUUUCUAAGGCCACAUGGUAGACAUCAUCUAGGAUCCUAGGAAAAUGCAGUUAAACUCCUGCUCAAUGCAAUUAAUAAAUUUGGUCAUUGCCACUGAAACCUGCUAACUAACGUUACAAUGCGACAUGAGCACUUCAAAAUGGGACAGACGGUCAGUAGCACUAAAUUUUUCUUGCCUAAGAUUGAGCAAUUGGCUAACUACUAACCCCUAUUGUAGAUUGAUCAUUAUUUUUUCAAUUUUGUUCAGUUUGACCCAAAAAGUUACAGAAUCUUGAUCUGAAUAUUGUCACUGAACACUGUCAAUGUCGUUUAGCAUAGCCAACUAACUUGAGUUUGGUAAAACAAACACACAGUGUGUCUCAUGUCUCACAAUUCAAAUUAUCAUCUGUAAUGAUGGGGAAUUUUUCCAAUGUAUAAAGUAUGCUUUGAUACGUGGGUUAACUUGGAGAAGAUAUCUCAAAAUAACGAAUAUGGGGAGAAAACAGUUCAGUAGUUUAUUAUUCUGUAGUCAAGUUUUGUCUCAAAAAUGGUCAAAAUUUAAAUGAAUAAGGACAGGGGAUCUUCAUUCUUUUUUCUCUUUUUAUACCAAGAUAUCUCUCAACCUUUAUAUAAUCCCCACUGGAUAUCUGCUUUUAAUAAUUAAAAUAAAAAUUUCACCCCCACAAAUAAAUACUGACCAAGCUCUAACAAUAAAAAGUAACGUCUUUAGUCAAGUAAUUUACAGUUCCUCAUCAUCUUAGUGUGAGACUAUCAGUACGUUCCAAAAACAUAAUAAAACUGGUUUGAUCCUGUUUAUUGAUUUUUAAAUGUUGUUCAUUGUGACAUGUAGAAAUGAUGAGGCGAAGUUUAUUUGGUCAUCAAUUAGUAAGAUCUUGCUUGAAGCUGUUUUACGAAAUGAACUUGCCAAGUGGUAGUUUUUUGGGGGCAUUUGAUGGCUCUUUUUUCCUCAUUUUAAACAUGUGCCUCCGUGGAACGGGAAGGAUUAGGCUGCAGAGUUGUUAGAUAUUUUGACAUGCUCUGGUCAUUGCACAAUUUGUUCACACUGGAAAUUAGAAUGAGAAAUUUGUUGAUGCUGUUCUGAGAGAUCUGCAUUCUAUGCACAAAAACAUGACUAAUGAAAAUGGAUUGUAGGACUGGAAAGAUCUGUGGCAGCUUGAGCUCGCAGGAAGAAUUUCAAUGGUUAAUUCUCCCCGAGAGGUUAUUGGUUUGGUUUUGAAGUAUAUGGGAGCAUCAUACAAUUCAAAUGAUAUUGAUUCGCAAGUUGCUGGUGGGAAGAUUGCUGUUCAGCAGAAUCUGGCAUUACUGGCAAGCCAGGUACUCUUAAAGAAGUGCUAUCUGGUCAUUGCAUGUUAUUGCCUGACAACUGAUUUUGUUUGUAAAAGUCUGCUUCUUCAUACAUAUGGAUGCAUAUGUUAGUGUUUUCUUCUCCUUUUCAUACAUAUGAAUGCAUAUGUUAGUGUUGUCUUUUCCUUUUCAUACAUAUUAAUACAUAUGUUGGUGUUCUCUCCUGAGAUGGACGCAAUAAAGGCUUUUGCUCCUAAAUUUAGGUGAAGAAAUGGUAAGGGAUGUGAGAUUCUGUCUCAUUAAAUUAACAAAACCCCAAAACAAUGAAAACCCAUAAUAAUGUGGUGUGGGUAAAUUGGCGCCAUUUGGUUCGUUUCCUUAAUGUGAAUACACGAGCAAUAGAGACUAACAAAUUGAAGUGACAAGAACAAGUCACUGUCCUUUGAUGGAUGCAGUUUUAGGCAGAAAUAGGUUUGUAAUUGACCAAAUUUGCCUGGCAUGCCAAUAUCAAAAAAAUUAAAUUAUGUGGUUAUUAGCUGUAAUGAAGGGGGAUAGUAGGUGCAAUCAGGUGGAUCCAGGAAAGUUCAACAAAGUUCUGGAAUUGCGUAGUGAAAUUGGUUUGUGCAACUCAAGAGUCUUUCAGGUGAACAAUGAUGGGUUUUGAUUUAUAAAUGUUAUAAAUCUACUGUGCAUAGUAUUCUAGUAGAAUCAUCUAUAAGUUCUAGUUAUUGAAGUUGUCUACUUUGUCCAGUUUGGUCAAUUACCUAACAUUUGAUCAAUCCUAUUAUGAGGGCUUCAAGAUGUCUAACAAUAUGUGGGAUGCCCAUGCUCCUCCCCAUUGUUUAUCUUAUACAAUAAUUUGUUUUCGAUGCUAGUAUCUCUUUCGAUACCGGUAACAAUAUUACAAUAUCUGUGUUUAUUGGGUUUUACAUAGGUUCGAAUGUUUGACAGUACACACUAUCUGAAGGCAUUUGGAAUUGGAGAUGUAUGGGUUGCUGUUGGGUGGAGUAGUGAUGUUCUUGCUGCUGUCAAACGAAUGUCUAAUGUUGCAGUUGUUGUUCCCAAGACUGGUGCUAGCUUAUGGGCCGAUCUUUGGGUAUACCCAUGCCUGCCAUUCUACUUCGAUAUUCACAUUGUUAUCUCCUUCAUAUUAGCGAUCAGUAAACACAAUAAUGUGAGAAAUAAGUUUGUAUUCUCUUUAUAGGCAAUCCCUGCUGCCUCAAGACUUGAAACAAAACAAAUUGGAGGGCGAGUCAGAGGUCCAUCUCCAUUAAUCCAUCAAUGGAUAGAGUUCUGCUUGCAAAUAGCGAGAGCAUUGCCUUUCAAGCAAGAGGUUAUCCCAGGCGCAUCUCCCUCUGCUCUUGAAAGUACUCUGGUUAAGUUGCCUGAAGAACUUCUGAAGGGUAAACCAAGUCUGGAUACUAACUUAAUUUCUGGAGUACCCCGGGCUGAAAUUCUGGCCAGAUGUGAGUUUUUGGAGCCAUUAUCUGAAGCUACUUUGUCAGAUUAUGAGUGGCUGGUUGGUAAUCUGCAAAAAACCUGCUCCUGUCUUGGUGAAAAGGGGGCAAAAUUACUUGUCAUCAUUAAUCCAAAGCUUUCUAGCAAAAGCUGCAUUGAAACGUUAAUGGCACUGCAUGCCAGUCAUUAUAAUGCAGUCAGGGCAAUUGGGUCAGGGCAAUUAGGUCAGGGCAUAACUUCAUCAGGAAAAGAGGCUUCAGCUACGUUAAAUAUUACAGUAUGUACUAAGAUGGCUGAAGUUCUUGAGGUUUUAGGAGAAACGAAAGAUGAGUCUUUGUUUGAACAAAGUUGUUGCCAAUCUUUCAGAGUUCGAGAAGAAAGAUCACGGAGCGAUGCCGCUGAUUUCUUCAUCAUUGUAGCCUCCAUAGUUGAAGUUUCCUCAUUUGAAGCUGUUUAUGCAUAUGCUUUUUCCCUGCUCAAGUACAGGAAAUUGGAGAAUUAACCAGCUGUGAUAUGCUGAAAAAGGGAAGUUUUCUUACGUGAAUGUGGCCUUGUGAUUUGUCUUGAAGGAAUAGGAUGAUCACUGGCAAGAACCCUAUGAAGGUAGAUUUUAUGAUGUUAACAUAUUAGUAAGCAUUUUGUUACAUCAGCGAUGAUGCUUUCAUUGCAUGAAAGUGUCUAAAUUUAACUGAAUGAUCUUGAUUAAUCAAUUAUGAGUUUUAAUCGAGUAAAAACUAAAUUCAAUCAUCGUUAACAAAUACUGAAAUUGGGUAAAUAUGAUCUUGAUAUUGAGGAAUUUGAAAUCACAACCCGCACAGGAAAUCACCCUUCGCGGGGGGAUGGAGAUGUUUACUGCAGCGAUAAUGAAUAUGUGCAAGGUGUUGUCCACUGCUCUUUGGGUUAUGGUGUGACUUGCGAUUUCAAGGUUGCCCUGAAACAAUGGAAAAUAUUAACAUAUCCUCCAAUGAAUAAAAACGGCUGGACUAAUUCAAAUUACUCAGCAUCAGGUGGCAAUAAUAACAGUCCAUUUACUUUUCCAGGAUCAGAUGUUGAUAAUAAUAGUUUAUUAAAUGACAAAUCAUUGUUCUUGGGGGUUAGUUGUAUACGUCCUUACUACUUCAAGGAGAAGAAAAAGGUUGUGCAGGUGAUUUCAGAAAUAAAAUACAUUCUGAGAGAUGAUGGUCCACUACUGCAUGCCCCCCAGAUUUAAGAAUCAUCACUUUUCCUUUAAAAAACUGCUACGCUUUGAUUUUAGUGCUGAAUAUUUAUUGAACUCUGAUAGAAGGAGUUUGAAGUCAAACUCGUAAUUACAGGUUAUCUAAUUGCUGAGUUGUUGUCCAUAGCUGCUGAUUUGUAGUGAUUAUCUAAUUGACUGAGGUAACAACAAUUUUUUUUUUUUAAUUUUCAAUAGCACAAUGUCGAAUUCAAUAAUUAAAUUCUCCUAUUUAAUUUGUUUCAAGUUAAAUUAUUAAUUACUUAAACUAUGUUUUAAGUCUUUAAUUUUAUGUCUUGGCGUAUAUGCAGAAUUGGAUUCUUGAGCGUGUUGGACACGACCAACAAUGAAAUUGACAGUAAACAAACAUUACAACGUGUGGACUCCGGUAGCUGCCCUACAAGUCUACAACUUCACAAAUAAUAAUUGAGUAAGCACCUUUGAUUCUCGUAACCCUUCAAUGAAUUUCUAGCCCCAUUGACUCCACUAACAAAAGUUUUGUAAAAUAAAAAAAAUACAUAAAAUUCCACCAAAUACAAAACGCGUGGAAUUUAAUUUUCGGCCGUGUGGACCAAAACAUAAUUUAACGAAAAAAGAAAAAAAUGAUAAGAUUUCUAAAAUGUGUGGAAGGUGAUUCAUAUUUUACUGAAACGACUUGUUAAAUUUUUCAAGGAUUUAGAAUAUUUGGUCGUAAAUUAGGUGCAUGUUAAUUUUUCCGCCAUUGACUAUCAUAUUCUAAACUUAAUGGUACCUUUCUUGAUGAAGGGUACUUAGUCUCCCUUCUCCUCUUAUAAAAAUUAUAUUAAUUGAUUUCUUAUUAUAGUUAAUAGUCUUUAAGAACGGAUAGCUUUAUUGUUUUCAUAACCAAAUUAUGCCUGCCUAAGAUUGCGACUAUUAAUAAAAUUAAUAUUCAAUGUUUAUGUUAAAAGAUAUAAGAUUAAUUUAUGCGUUCAUUAAUUGUUAUUAGCUAAAGGAUGAAUUAUUUUUUCAACCCAAUCAGUUGAUGCAUCUGCAAGAGUUUUUUCUUUUAGUGACCAUAAUUAUAUUCCGGGUACAAUAAAUUGUCUUUGGUGCUUGGAAAAUAUGACUUCUUACUUCAAGUUUUUGAUAUGUCUCUCUCCAUAAACUUACUGGAAAUAUAUCCUCAUCUACUGUCAUUUAUCUAAUAUCAAUUGAAAAUCUCACUUUUCCAAACUAUCACUUCCAAGUCUAAUUGUCACUUGCCAUUCUUGGACCAUUCAAAACCAAUCAAGUGUUGAAAUAAUCAAAUAUAUGCAAAAUUAGAGUCACGAUUUUUGGUCCCCCAAAUUCUAAUUAUAUAACUUCUAUGUAUCUCAUUGUCAGGUCACGAACUUGUUGGCACAUUUUCCAAAUUCCUCUUCCAUCAGCUCUCACAUGUUAACUUGAGUGUAAAGUUUCCAAGUUGAUUGCUAGAAAGCAACGCAAAAUCAGACACACUUGACCCGUCCCAUAAUUAUCUUUUCUACGUUGAAAAAGAAAAAAAAAAAGAAAAAAGAAAAUAUAUCUAUGUAAAAAUAAAUAAUAAAUUGAGUAAAAGCACAUUUGUUUAAUUAACAUCUGAUCGGGGCAUUUUUGGUGUAAUUUAGUGCUGUGUAACCCACAACUAAAAUCAAACAGCCCCUUAGCAUACUUCUUCCAUUUUAUCUGCUACUUUUGUGGAUCUGAUAGGGUGGGCAUGUGGACAGAAUUUAAAAGUUUUAAUAGUCUCAAAGAAUAAGAUAUGUUAAAGCUAAAGUUGUUGCACCUUCUUAUUAAAUAAAGUUGCACAAUUUCACCAACUUGGAAGAAUUGACAUCAAUGGACUGGUCCCUCUCCAUAUAUGAAGCCUUCUUAAAAGUAAUUUUUAUUUCAGAAAAAAAAGUUUAAGUUACAUAUAUUACAGUAAGAUUUUUUGAGACCAAAUCCCUUCAAAUAAUAAUGGAAAAGUAUUAAUUUAAAAACAAAAUGAAUAUGUAUUGAUUAUAUCCGGAUUUUCAUAGAUUAUAGUGAGAGUUUCUCCAAAUCAAUUCCCUUAUUCAAAUAAUACAGAAAAAAUAGUAAUUUAAUAGUAAAAUAAACAGGUGUUGAUUGUAUAUCCUUAGUUUCAUCGAUUAUGUGAUCAAAGUGGCAUUGAUGAUUUAUUUCUUGUUCAAUGUUAAUUUUUAGGUUAUCUAAAUUUUAAGGAUUUAAAAUCUUUGGUCAUGGAUUGCAUGCUUGUCAAUUUUUCUGUCAUUGACUGUCAUAUUCUAGACUUAAUGGUACCUUUCUUGAUCAAGGGUAAUUAUUCUCUCUCCUCCUCUUAUAAAUUCCUCUUCCAUUAACAUCACUAGGAGUUUGUUGAUCUCUAAGACGUUAACUUGAGUGGAGAGUUUCCAAAUUGAUCGUUACAAAACAGUACAAAAACUAGACACACUUGAUCUGUCUAAUAAUUCUCUUUUGGUAAAAUUAAUUAAUUUUAGGAGAAUAUUCGGCCAACCUCUAUAAUUUCAGAUUGAUCACUAAUUAAUUAAACGAUACAAAUUGCUAAAGUGAUUAGAUGUUUGCUGACAAUACAAGUUCAUGGUUUGAAAUUUGAUCUCUAUCGAUUGGUUUACAAUGGACGUACUUGUGCCUUUGUGGCGAUAAUUGAACCAGAGAUGUGAAGCUGUAAAGAUUUGGCAGUAGUAAAUUGUUAUAAAGACAUAAUGACAAGUUCCCAUGAUUAUUAUUUUUUCCAAAAACUUUUUUACAACAAAUUCAUCUCGCCCAAAAAUUCUAUUUUUCUAACCAACAAUAAUUGAGUACUUGGCCGUAUUGACUCCACGUCUCCACCUGCUUUCUAAGUAAAAACAUGGAAAUGUACUUUCCACAAAAUGCCAAAUGUGUGGAAUUUAAUUUUUGGUCUUGUGGACCAAAAUACAAAUGAAAGAAAGAAGAAAAAAAAGGCCCAAAGACUUCUAAAAGGUGUAGAAGUCUUUGGACCUUUUUACAAUAGUGGAUUUUUUAAAAGGAAAAAAUAACAACACUUUUAUGAUUUGUUUUGAUAAUCAUAUUUACAUAUACUCUCUAAUUUUCAAAAUGGACACAUAAUUUUUUUUUUUACAAAUAUACGUUAUUCGUAUUUUUUAUUAUUUUUAUUAUCGUAUUUUUAUUUAUUAUAAAUAUUUAAAGUAAAUUUUUAGGUUGAAAUAUAUUAAAAGGAUAUAAUCGUUCUCUUAUUAAACACACAUACUUUUAGUUUCUAUCCAUUUGUCAUCUCAAUCUCUCUCAAUUAUUGUUUAUUGCUAGCUCAAAGCGCGUUGCUGUGGAAAAUUGUAGCAAAAUGAAAAAUUGGAAAGAAAGGGAAGAAGAUUAAUGGGUGAAAGAAUUGGAGAAAACAACCAAAUAAGUCAACUGCUCUUUAGUGAGAACAUUUUACAAAAGGAUUGGAUCGAGUUUUUGUUUGAUAUUGAAGGACCUGCGUCCCUGUCGCGAUGUAGAAUAUGUGCAAGGAGUUGUCUACUGCUCUUUAGGCCAUAAUAAUGUGACUGGUGCAUUCCACGUUGCCCUCAAACAGUGGUCUGAAGUCAAAAGCAAUUAGUUACAUAACAAAUCAUUGUUCUUGGGUUAUACCUCGUCAUGUCUUCAAGUGCGAAGAUGAAGAUUAUGCAAGUGAAUUCAGGAAUACAAUACAUCAUUUCCAGCUCUUUGGGUUAUGGUGUGACUUGCGAUUCCCUCCAAUGAAUGAAAACGGGUGGACUAAUUCUGAUUACCUAAUUGACUCAGGAUCGGCUGGCAAUAAUAACAGUUUAUGAACAAUGCACAGUCCUAGUACUUUUCCAGGAUCUGAUACGACGUUGUCUAAUGUUGAUAAUAAUAGUUUAUUAAAUGACAAAUCAUUGAUCUUGGGUGUUGAUUUCAGAAAUAAAAUACAUUCUGAGAGAUGCUGGUCUACUGUUGCAAGCCCCCAGAUUUAAGAAUCUUCUGAUGAUAAUUUAUCACCUGCAACCGUGCCGGAAGAUUCAACUAGCACUGAAAAAGAUGAUAAUUUAAUUGAUAUGGACAGUUUCCAUAUCACUUUUAAAUCAUCCUAUGUAAUUGUGAUGUUAGGAAGCAUUAGUGAUCUAUAUGUGAACUAUUAUUGGUGCCAUUGGUGGUUUUAUCUUGUUAAAAUAUGGAUGACUUCCAGUUACUAUUUUGUAGUAUACAAUUUUAUUCAAUUAACAUAUAGCUUAAAACCAUUAUGUAUGUGCUUUAUUAAGAUUCUCAAGUACCAAUCACGUUUGCUUAAGAAAUAAAAUUUUACCAUUAAAAGCGUAGUAAUAUUUCCAAGCGCUUCGCAUUUAUCUCAACAUUUUGAAGGAAUUUUGAGAAAUACACGUGUCCAAAAGUCUAGUCAUCAUCCUUAUUUUUCUAUCGUUCUUUUGGGUUUGCAGUUGGUGGUGCUUUCAAUGUUUCCCUGAAACAUAGCAAAAGAAGGUACAUAUUCUUGGUAUGAGUUAGAUUUUUAGUGAUUAUCUAAUUGACUGGGGUGACAACAGUAGCACAACGUAGAAUUCAAUAAUAAAAUUCUCCUGUUUAAUUUGUUUUAAGUUAAAUAAUUAAUUACUUAAAACUCUGUUUUAAGUCUUUAAUUUUAUGUCUUGGCGUUUAUGCAGAGUUGGAUUCUUGAGUGAGUUGGACAUGACCUACAAUGAGAAUGACAGUAAACAAACAUUAAAACGUGUGGACUCCGGUGGCUGCCCUGCAAGUCUACAACUCUACAAGAAUAAUUUCUAGUCCCGUUGACUCCACUAACUAAAGUUUUUUAAAAUUUAAAAAGGUACAUAGAAUUCCAUGACAAGCAAAACGUGUGGAAUUUAAUUUUUUGCCGUGUGGAAAAAAAUACAAUUUAGCAAAAAAGGACAAGAAAAAUGGUAAGAUUUCUAAAAUGAGUGGAAGGUGAUCCAUAUUUUACUGAAACGACUUGUUCCGAACAUCACGACGUGAUUUUUUUUAUUUUUUAUUUUUGAAUAACAUCAACUUCCAUAUCUGUCUAACCCCCAGAAUAUGCUCACGUUCAAGUCUAUCUUGCUAAUUUAAAAAAAGAAAAUCAAAUCAACAUCUUCAGGAAGAUUUUCCUCAAUUUGCUCCAGAAGAGUUGGAGCUGUGGUUCUGAUAAACCAAAGAAUUAGUAGCAAUAUUAAUAUUGCCCACCCAAGAAAUAUGAGUGAAUUAAAGUAUUGACAAGACUUCGCUCAGAGGAGCAUUUAAACCACUUCCUUAUCAGUUGCGGCAGCCGUCUAUUAACUAAAACGCCAAUCUAAUACAAGAAGAAAGAACAUUUACAGACUUGGCAAUUGAGUUUAUUAAGAAGUAGCAUCGCAUUCGGGUGAUGAGUUUCCUUUUGUUAAUAAUUUUAGUCUAAUUUCAAUUGUACUGUGAUGGCUUCUCAAGGUAAGUGAAAGUUACAGAUGUGGCAAAAUAAAUAAUUAAAUUAACAAAAUGCUAACUGAUUUUCCUAAACACCUAGGGUUGUACAAUUUCACCAACCUGGAAGAAUUGACAUUAAUGGACUGGUCUCCUCCCCAUAUAAUUAUAAUCCUUCUAGAAAGCUAAUUUUUAUAAUUUCAAUUAAAAAAUGUUUUAAGUUAUAUAUACUCUAAUGAGAUUCUGAAUUCCUUUAUUCCAAUAAUAAUGAAAACGUAUUAAAUUAGAAAUGAAAAAAUGGGUGUUGAUGAUUCAUCCUGAUUUGGAUAGAUUACGUGAAUAAAAUUGAAAUUUUAAUAAAAAAACAAGGAAAGGUUUUUCCGAGUCAUCCAUUAUUUGAUUACCGUCAAUCAAGAAAACGACCAAAUUAAUUUCUCUCCAAAAUUUCCAAAAGCUAGAAAAUUUUGUUAUUUGAAAAUAACAUCAUUAAUUAUAGAGUGGAUCAAACCGCGUUAUUGUCUUUCAUAAAAUUGAUGUCUUUUUAAGAGUCAAUACUUUUUAUUUACGCAAACCAGUCGACAUCAACUUAAACUUCCAUAUUUUUAUUAUUAUGUUAUUGAUUUUAAUCCCUGAUUAUUUGAUUAGCCACUAUAUAUAUCAAGAAAGCGACAAAAUUUAUUUCUCAUGACUUUCAAAAACUAGAAAACAACAUCAUUUAUUAUUUUUUUGCAACCCUAAUUGACAUCAACUUUAACUUUAUUAUGUUAUUAUUUCAAUCCCCCAUUAUGACCUUUCUAAUCCUCCAUUAUGCAUCUUUUAUAGUGCAAAUUUAAUUGCACAUCUAAAUAAAUUGAUUAUUGUCACUCCACCACCAAUAUUUCAAAUAGUCACUAUACCAUUUCUGCCUUUAAUUUUCCCUUAAGUUUAACUAUUGACUGUUUUUAGCAUCUUAAAAUAUACAUUUAUUCCUUGAUUAUGUGAUAAAAUUAUGAAAAUAUCCAUUUUAGCUUAAAUUAAUUGGAAUAACCAUAAACAUAACUUAAAUUUAUAGAACAAAAUUAUCAAGUGUAUGUUCUAUCUUACUUUUUGAAGAAUUUAACAUAUAUAAUGCUAUACUAUUAAUAAAUUUAUCAUUUAAUAUAUAUUUUCAAAUAUUUUAUAUAUUUAUUAAUUGUUAUAUAGUCAAAGGAUGAAUGAUUUUUCUGGUCUACAUGAGUUGGUGCAUCUGCAAGACUCAAUUUUGACAACAAUGAUCUAAGGGGUAAUUUACCUUGGUGUUUGACAAAUUUAACCUCUCUUCAAGAUUUACUUCCAAUCUACUUACUGUAAAUAUAUCCUCAUCUCCUCUCAUUUAUAUGAUAACCCUUGAAGAUCUCACAUGUUCAAACAAUCAUAUUAGGAUUUUUAUUAUUAGCAUCAUUGUGUCAAUAAUAUAUGUUGCAGUAAGAUUUUUUCAGACCAAUUCCCUUCUUCAAAUAAUAAUGGAAAAGUAUUAAUUUAAAAAUAAAAUGAAUAUGCAUUGAUUAUAUCCUGAUUUUCAUCGAUUAUAGCGAGAGUUUCUCCAAAUCAACGCCCUUAUUCAAAUAAUACAGAAAAAAUAGUAAUUUAAUAGUAAAAUUAACAAGUGUUGAUUAUAUAUCCUAAGUUUCAUCGAUUAUGUGAUCAAAGUGGCAUUGUUGAUUUAUUUCUUGUUCAAUGUUAAUUUUUAGGUUAUCUAAAUUUCAAGGAUUUAAAAUCUUUGUUCAUGGAUUACAAGCUUAUUAAUUUUUUUGCCAUUGACUGUCAUAUUCUAGACUUACUGGUACCUUCCUUGAUCAAGGAUAAUUACUCUCUGUUCUCCUCUUAUAAAUUCCUCUUCCAUUAACAUCACUAGGAGUAUGUUGAUCUCUCAGACGUAAACUUCAGUGGAGAGUUUCCAAAUUGAUUGUUACAAAACAACACAAAAACUAGACACACUUGAUCUGUCUAAUAAUUCUCUUUCGGUAAAAUUAAUUAAUUUUAGGGGAAUAUUCGACAAAUCUAUAUAAUUUUAGAUUGAUCAUUAAUUAAUUAGACGAAAAACGUACUUGUGCUUUGUGCCGACAAUUGAACCAGAGAAGUGAAGCUGUAAAGAUUUGGCAGUAGUAAACUGUUAGAAAGACAUAAAGACAAGUUCCCAUUUUAUAAUUUUUUCAAAAAACGUUUUUACAACACAUGCACCUGGCCAAAAAUUUUAUUUUGCUAACUAACAAUAACUGAGUAGCUGACCGUACUGACUCCGCCUACUUGCUAAAGUAAAAAAAUAGAAAUAGAAUUUCCACAAAAUGUCAAACAUGUAAAAUCUAAUAUUUGGCCGUGUGGAACAAAAUACAAAUGAAAAAAAAAUAGAAAAAAGGCCUAAAGACUUUUAAAAUGUGUGGAAGUCUUUCGGCCCUUUUAUAAUGGUGUGUUUUUCAAAGGAACAAAUAAUAAUAAUGACACUUCUACGGUUUGUUUUGAUAAUCACACAUAUACUCUUUAAUUUGAUAAAUGGUUACACAAAUUUUGUUUACAAAAAUAUAUUAUUCAUGUUCUGUAUUAUUUUUUAACAUCAUAUUUUUAUUUAUUAUAAUUGUUUAAAGUUAAUUGUUAGGUUGAUAUAUAAUAAAAACGUAUAAUCCUUCUCUUACUAAACACACAUACUCGUAGUUUCUGUUCAUUUGUCAUCUCAAUCUCUCUCAUUUAUCCUUUAUUGAUAGCUCAAAAUGCGUCACUGUGGAAAAUUAUAGCAAAACGACAAAUAUGGAAAGAAUGGGAAGAAAAUUAAUGCAUGAAAGAGUUGCAGAAGACAACCAAAUAAGUCAACUAUACGCUAGCUGGGUGUAUAAAUUGUUAGAUGUGUUAUAAACAAAUAGCAUAGAGCCCUUUGGUUGGUUACAGAGAUAGAAAGAGUGUGUGUGUUUUUUAGAACUUAAAGAUACAGUUAGAAUGGGUGGUUCAAAAUCAAAAAUGGUGAUAAUGUUUGUUCUGUUAUUAAUAAUAUUAGAAGGUGGGGGGAGUGAGGGAUGUUUAGAUCAUGAGAGAUUUGCUCUUUUACGACUCAAACUUUUCUUUGAUGAUACUUAUAAUUAUCUUCACGAUUGGAUAGAUGAUGAGGGAGUUACUGAUUGUUGUCAGUGGGAAAGGGUUGAGUGCAGCAACACCACAGGCCGAGUGAUAGCGCUAGACCUUUCUGACACGUAUUCGGGAGAGUACAACUGGUAUAUGAAUGCUUCUUUUUUUACUCCCUUCCAACAACUUGAGUCACUUGAUUUACAUGGCAACAACAUAGCUGGUUGUGUUGAGAAUGAAGGUGCUUCGUCUAAUUCAAUUAAAUUACAUUUCGCUCUCCUAAUUUAAGUCGAAUAUCAAGACUGAGUAGCUAUAUGCAUAUUCAUUCAAUUGACAAUUUUUACAUAUUUUUUAAAAUGUUUAAUUUUGAAAUUACACCAAACAUCAUAUGUGAUCUUUGUUUUGAUUUUACUUGCAGGUCUAGAAAGAUUGAGCAACUUGAAGAGGCUUGAUUUAAGUUUUAACUUGUUCAACAAUAGCAUCUUAUCAUCUGUGGCUCAUCUUUCAUCACUAACAUCAUUAGAUUUAUCUGAAAAUAGAUUGGAAGGAAGUAUUAAUGUUAAAGGUACGUAAUUAAAACGUCAUCGCUUCUCCCAACUCUUGCAUUAACAUGCUAAAAUAAGAUUCAAGGCUUUGAAUUCAUUUUUUUUAUGAGUAAAUAUUAGAAAAAUAGUUUUAAGCAAUUCAUAAAUACAAUUUUCAAUGUUUCUCAUAAUUUCAUCUUGUACUUUUGUAUGUCUUGACUUUAAGAUUAAAAAAAAAAAUUACUCUAACUGUGAAGCAAAUACCCCAUGACUAAUUUAUCAUUUUGUCCAGUUAAAAAUGAUAAAAUUUAUCAUUUGUUUAUAUUGAUUAAUUAACUCUAUUUUAAGUCUUAAGUCUUGGCGUCUUGGCAUGUUUGCAGAAUUUGAUUCCUUGAGCAACUUAGAGGAGUUGGACAUGAGCGACAAUGAAAUAGACAAUUUAGAGGUUCCUCAAGGUAAACAAUUAAAAUAUUAUUCAAUUACAUUAAUUUAAUUCGUUUGAUUAGGGAAGACCCAAAAGGUACAAAAUAUAAUAAUAAUAAUAAUAAUAAUAAAAGAAACAGAGAAUCUAUAUUAUUUCAAAAAAUAAAACGUAAUACUAUUAUUUCAAAAAUAGAUUGUAAUAAAGAUUUGAUUCCGGUUCUUUAAUCUUUACAGCAAUUGAAAAACGAUGUUGCUCUUUUCCUAAAGCAUAAAAUAUGAAAUGACUCCCAAUAGAAUUAAUCAUUUAUUUCGUUUACUCUAAAUUUAAACAAUGAAUCUUGAUUUUCUUCAAUCAUAUCCUUAUUAUUAUUGUUAAACAGGUUACAGAGGUUUGAGGAAGUUGAAAAGCCUCUAUCUAUCGAAAGCUAAAAUUAGAGAUGGAAGCAAGUUGUUACAGUCAAUGGGAUCAUUCCCAUCCCUCAACACUCUUUACCUGAAGGAUAAUAAUUUUACCGAUAUAGCGACAACUACUACUCAAGGUAAGUAAAAGGUACAGAUGUGGCCAAAUUUACAAAUAAAUUGUUAAUUAAUUAAUUUUUCCGUAUUAUUAAUAAAGCUAAAUUCGUCGCUCCUUCCUUCUAAUUCUAAACAGAGUUGGCAAUUUCACCAACUUGGAGUAUUUGACAUUGGACUUGUCCUCGCUCCAUUUAAGCCUUCUACAAUUGCUUGAAGAAAGAAUUUAUUUAUUUAUUUAUUAUUGUUGUUGUUGUUGUUGUUGUUGAAGUGAGGUGGGCAAAGCGUUCACUCAAUUAAUAUGUGGGGAAUUAAUAAUUACAAUCCAAGGUAGAAUUGUGGAAAAUUAAAGCAAAAUGAGAAAUAUGGAAAGAAAGGAAGAAAAUUAAGGGCAUGAAAGACUGGGAGAAGACUAAAGACCACCAAAUAAGUCAACUGAAAACUAGCUGAGAGACAGAGAGUGUGCAUUUUGUUAAUUAAAUAUAUAUAUAUAAAAUGGGUGGUUCAAAAUCCAAAAAUGGUGAUAAUGUUAGUUUUGUUAGUAUUAAUAAUAUUAGAAGGGAGGUGGCGUGAGGGAUGUUUGGUGCAUGAGAGAUUUGGUCUUUCGAGACUUAAAACAUUUCUUCAAUUCUCCUUAUAAUUUUUGUCACGACUGACCGUUGUCAAUGGGAUGGGGCUGGGUGCAGGGUUGAUUUACGUUAGAAUAAUAUAGCCGGUAGUGUUGAGAAUGAAGGUGUUUCAUUUAAUUUAAUUAAUUUAUUUUCUCCCUCCUAAUUUAAGUGGAAUAUCAAGAUUGAACAAUUAUAUGCAUCUUCGUUCAGUUGACAAUUUUGACAUAUUUUUUAAGUGAUUAAUUUUGAAAUUACACCAAACAUUAUUUGUGAUCUCUGUUUUGACUUUACUUGCAGGUCUAGAAAGAUUGAGCAACUUGAAGAGGCUUGAUUUAAGUUAUAACUUGUUCAAUAAUAGCAUCUUGUCAUUUGUUGCUCGUCUUUCAUCAUUAACAUCAUUAGACUUAUCUUACAAUGGAUUGGAAGGAAGUAUUAAUAUUAAAGGUACGUAAUUAAAACGUCAUCGCUUCUCCCAACUCUUGCAUUAACAUGCUAAAAUAAGAUUCAAGGUUUGAAUUCAAUUUUUUUUAUGAGUAAUAUUAGAAAAAUAGUUUUAAGCAAUUCAUAAAUACACUUUUCAAUGUUUCUCAUAAUUUCAUCUUGUACUUUUGUAUGUCUUGACUUUAAGAUUAAAAAAAAAUUACUCUAACUGUGAAGCAACUACCCCAUGACUAAUUUACAAUUUUGUCCAGUUAAAAAUGAUAAAAUUUAUCAUUUGUUUAUAUUGAUUUAUUAACUCUAUUUUAAGUCUUAAGUCUUGGCGUCUUGGCAUGUUUGCAGAAUUUGAUUCCUUGAGCAACUUAGAGGAGUUGGACAUGAGCGGCAAUGAAAUAGACAAUUUCGAGGUUCCUCAAGGUACACAAUUAAAAUAUUAUUUAAUUACAUUAAUUUAAUUCGUUUGAUUAGGGAAGGCCCAAAAUGUACAAAAACAUAAUUAGAAAAAAUAAAGAAACAGAGAAUUCAUAUUAUUUCAAAUAACAAAAGGUAAUACUAUUAUUUCAAAAACAGAUUGUAAUAAAGAUUUGAUUCCAAUUCUUUAAUCUUUACAGUGAUUGAAAAACGAUACUACUUCCCAAAGCAUAAAAUACGAAUUGACUCUCAAUUAAAUUAAUCAUUUAUUUCGUUUAGGUCUAAAUUUAGAAAAAUGAAUUUUGAUUCUCUUGAAUCAUUUCCUAAUUAUUAUUAUUCAACAGGUUACAGAGGUUUGAGGAAGCUGAAAAGCCUGCAUCUAUCGGGAGUUGGAAUUAGAGAUGGAAGCAAGUUGUUACAGUCAAUGGGAUCAUUUCCAUCCCUCAACGCUCUUUACCUGAGCUAUAAUAAUUUUACCGGUACAACGUCAACUACUCAAGGUAAGUAAAAGGUACAGAUGUGGCCAAAUUUAUAAAUAAACUGUUAAUUAAUUAAUUUUCUGUAUUAUUAAUAAAGCUAAAUUUUUUGCUCAUUCCUUCUAAUUCUAAACAGAGUUGCACAAUUUCACCAACUUGGAAUAUUUGACAUUGGACGAUUCCUCUCUCCAUAUAAGCCUUCUGCAAAGCAUUGCAUCAAUAUUCCCUUCGUUGAAAAAACUGUCGAUGUCUUAUUGUGAAGUCAAUGGUGUCGUACAUGGUCAAGGUAAAAGAAAAGUGUUGGUUGUGCACUCACUCAGUGGUGUCCUACGUGUUCAAUAUUUUUAUUUAUUUAUUUUAUUGUUUAAUGAGAUGCUUCCACCCUCCCCUUUAAAUCUAUAAUAUUAAUUUUCGAUAAAUAUAUAAUUAUAGAAACCAAUCACUUAUAAAAGAAUGCUAUGCAUUUGCCAAUUUUUUUAUAUUUUACUGAUUGAUGAAUUAAUAAAUUUUCAGGCCUCUGUUCGUUGGUGCAUCUACAAGAGUUGUACAUUGCAACUCUUGUAGUAAUUAAUUAAUUAAGUAUUAGUUAAUUAAUUAAUUAAUUAAUUUUCUGUAUUAUUAAUAAAGCUAAUUUUUUUGCUCAUUCCUUCUAAUUCUGAACAGAGUUGCACAAUUUCACCAACUUGGAAUAUUUGGCAUUGGACUCUUCCUCUCUCCAUAUAAGCCUUCUGCAAAGCAUUGCAUCAUUAUUCCCUUCAUUAAAAAAUCUGUCGAUGUCUAGUUGUGAAGUCAAUGGUGUCGUACGCAGUCAAGGUAAAAGAAAAGGGUUGAAUGUGAACUCACUCAAUGGUGUCCUACGUGUUCAACAUUUUUAUUUAUUUAUUUUAUUGUUUAAUCUUUCUGCUAGGUUUUCCUCAUUUCAAGAGUUUGGAACAUUUUGACAUGGAUUUCACGCGCAUUGCACUCAACACUAGCUUUAUUGCACUCAACACUAGCUUUCUUCAAAUCAGCAGUGAAUCGAUGCCUUCUCUUAAGUACUUAUCACUAUCAUAUUAUACUCUUGGAACUAAUAGCAGCGGGACUCUUGAUCAAGGUUAACGAGAUGCUCCCACCCUCCCCUCCUAAUCUAUAAUAUUAAUUUUUUAUUUAAUAUAAUGACACAAACGAAUCACUUAUAAAAGAAUGAUAUGCAUUUGUUAAUUUUUUUAUUGUACUGAUGGAUGAAUUAAUAAAUUUUCAGGCCUCUGUUCGUUGGUGCAUCUACAAGAGUUGUACAUUGCAAGCAAUGAUUUAAGAGGUAGCUUGCCUUGGUGCAUGGCAAAUAUGACAUCCCUCAGAAUAUUAGAUGUUUCUUCUAAUCAACUUACUGGAAGCAUCUCCUCAUCUCCCCUCGUUCAUUUGACAUCCAUUGAAGAGCUGAUGCUUUCAAACAAUUACUUCCAGAUCCCAAUUUCACUUGAACCACUUUUCAAUUACUCAAGACUCAAGAUUUUCAAUGCUGAGAACAACGAAAUAAAAGCUGAAAUAACUGAGUCACAUUCUUUGAUCGCCCCAAAAUUCCAAUUAAAUACUCUCUCAUUGUCUUCCAAUUACGGAGACGGUUUCAUAUUCCCCAAAUUCCUUUACCAUCAACAUGACCUGGAGUAUGUUGAUCUCUCACACAUAAAGAUGAAUGGAGAAUUUCCAAAUUGGUUGUUGGAAAACAACACAAAAUUAGAAACUCUUUUUCUGGUUAAUGAUUCUCUUGCAGGACCUUUUCGGUUGCCAAUUCAUUCACACAAGCGGUUAAGACAGUUGGAUGUCUCCAACAACAACAUUCGAGGCCACAUUCCAGUAAAAAUUGGAGAUGUUUUACCAAGUUUAUACGUUUUCAACAAUUCCAUGAAUGCUUUAGACGGUAGCAUUCCCUCUUCAUUUGGUAAUAUGAAAUUCCUCCAAAUUCUGGACUUAUCCAACAAUCACUUGACUGGUGAAAUCCCCGAGCACUUGGCCGUGGGUUGCGUCAACUUGCAGUUUCUUGCAUUAUCAAAUAACAACCUACAAGGUCAUUUGUUCUCUAGAAAUUUUAACUUGACAAACUUGCAAUGGUUACAAUUGGAGGGCAAUCGCUUCGUAGGUGAGAUCCCACAAAGUUUGUCUAAAUGCUCCUCACUAGAAGGAUUGUACCUUAACAAUAAUAGUCUUUUAGGUAAGAUUCCACGAUGGUUGGGUAAUCUGACACGGUUACAAUAUAUUAUAAUGCCCAAUAAUCAUCUUGAAGGCCCUAUUCCAGUGGAGUUUUGCCAGCUUGAUUCGCUUCAGAUUUUGGACAUUUCAGACAACAACAUAUCUGGAAGUUUACCAUCUUGUUUCCAUCCUCUCUCUAUCAAACAAGUUCAUCUUUCAAAAAAUAUGUUACAUGGACAGCUAAAAAGAGGUACAUUCUUUAAUUGCUCUUCCCUUGUGACAUUAGAUCUUAGCUAUAACCGCUUGAAUGGCAGCAUUCCGGAUUGGGUUGAUGGGCUUUCUCAGUUAAGCCACCUUAUCUUAGGUCACAAUAAUCUUGAAGGUGAAGUGUCAGUUCAAUUGUGCGAAUUGAACCAACUACAAUUGUUAGAUCUUUCUAAUAAUAAUCUUCACGGUCCUAUUCCUCCUUGCUUUGAUAACACCACACUUCAUGAAAGUUACAGCAAUAGUUCUAGUCCUGAUGAGCAAUUUGAAAUAUUUUUUUCCAUCGAAGGCCAUCAGGGAUUUUUAGAAAAGCAAAACCAUGAAAUUUUUGAGUUCACAACAAAGAACAUUGCGUACAUUUACCAAGGAAAAGUGCUUAGCCUCCUAUCAGGACUUGAUCUUUCUUGCAACAAGCUAAUUGGUCAUAUUCCUCCUCAAAUUGGAAAUUUGACAAGGAUUCAAACAUUGAAUCUAUCACACAACAACUUGACAGGAUUGAUCCCAUCAACAUUUUCAAACUUGAAGCAUGUCGAAAGUUUGGAUCUUUCCAACAACAAAUUGAAUGGGAAAAUCCCUCAUCAACUAGUGGAGUUAAAGACAUUGGAGGUUUUCAGUGUGGCAUACAAUAACUUAUCAGGCGAAAUUCCAGAAUGGAAAGCACAAUUUGCAACCUUCAACGAGAGUAGCUAUGAGGGAAAUACUUUUCUUUGUGGACUGCCAUUGCCCAUUUGCAGAUCACCAGCAACUAUGCCGGAGGCUUCAAUUGGCAAUGAACAAGAUGAUAAUUUAAUUGAUAUGGACAGUUUCUUUAUCACAUUUACAACAUCGUACGUAAUUGUGAUAUUCGGAAUUGUUAUUGUUUUAUAUGUAAAUUCUUAUUGGCGACGUAGAUGGUUUUACUUUGUUGAAAUGUGGAUAACUUAAUGUUACUAUUUUGUUGUAAACAAUCUUAUUGCAACAAGAUAUUGUCAUUGAAAUUAAUUAGCAGUUUAAUUACGAUUCUUUAAGUUCUAAUCAAGUUUGCUUAGGAAAUAAUUUUUUUUUAUUUUUUUAUUAAAAUUGUAGUAGUAUUUAGCGCUAUAUAGCUUCCAACUUGGUAGAAAGCUCCAUUUUUUGUUGGCUACAGUAAAAGCAUGUUGUUUUAUUCUUCUUAUACUUUACGCCUGCAUCAGCUUAAAUCACUUCUUAAACGCUUGCUUUAACUGCACCGCUUCGUACUGCUCUAUAUAUGUAACGGUUAUGCGGUUGUAGCUCACGGCUCAAGCUACGCGUUUGUUUGACGUGGUAGUUACGUUACGAUGUUUCGAGUCUGUUAAACAUUCGGUGAUAAGAUUAGUUACAACAAACCUACUAGUUUUAUAAAAUUCAAGUGAGAUGGAAUAAAAUAAAAAAUAAAUAUAAAAUUGGCUUUUAUUUUUUAGGUUAACCAUAUUUUGUGUUCUCUUCGGGCACUACUACAAUUGUUCCCUAUACAUCAGUUACACUCACGUAUCAUCGACACGAAAAAUGAAAUCUAAUAUCACCUGUUUAGUUAAAGAAUCACUCAUGAAAAAAAAUUACCAUUUUGAUUUGAAGAUCCAUAUUUUGAACUACCAAUUAAUGUUCAUCAAGAACAGAGUGUGGCCGUUAAGUAGAAAAACUAUUUUUGGACAAAUUAUUAAAUUCCAAUAUUGUAUCCAUAUGCAAACGAUGCCUGAAGCAGAGCCUCCAAACAAUGACCAGGGCACAAAACAAGAGUGUAGUAAUCAAGUGUAUUGUCUCAUAAUCAAUUAAAAGCAGAUAUACAGGAUACCAUAUUCAAUUCCAAAAUAACAAAAGCAUAAUGAGGAUGAGAAGAACAAUGAUCACUCAAAUAUUUCUUCACUUUGGUUGUCAAUUAUCUAUUCAAAUUAAUCAGUGUCAUUAUGGACUUAUUUAUUUAGAAGAGCGGGUGAUAAAUAUAUUCAAUAAUGUGAACAAGAAGUUGAUUAACUUUUAUGAUCAUUUGGAAGGUCGGCGUGUCAUCACUCGUCAAACACAUUGCAUCGAUCCACCAGCAUGAACCGACCGGAUUAUGCCCAAAAGUUGAAAUAUCAAUAAAAAAAACAAUUAAUUAAAGGUCGAAGAUGGGUCCUUUACAUAUGUUUUUGUUUUCGUAUUAGGUAGGAGGUUAUUAUAUUAUAUCAUGUAAUUAAUUUAUUAUUACUCAACACUAAGUAAUAACUUAACUAUAUAAAGACAACAAGAAGAUAAAAUGAUAUAUAAAAAAAAAAAGAAUUUCAAAGAGAUAGCAACAUACAAUAGACUGAAGCCAUUUGAUCUGCUCAUUGAUUUCAGCCUUAAACUUGUAAAUAGUUACUGUCAAAUAUUCUAUUCAUACGAAAAAAAUGUUUAGAUAUCUUACUAUAAAUAUAGCCGUUUGACUGUCUUAAUAAAGUCACACACAACCAUUCUUAUUAAAUUAGCAAGAUCAAACACUGCCCUGGAUCUUGAACAGAUCAACACAAGAUGCACAACUUAUGAUUGAACCCAGAAACAAUCAAAUCUUUAGCAAGAACAAUUAAUCAGAGUCAAGAAACAAGUUUAAUGAAUAUAAACCUAUAAUUGAAACAAACAUAGCCAAGAAAAAAAUACAGAUUUUACACGGUUCAGUUGUACCUAGGAUGGCACAACCUACACCACGAGAGAAGCUUUCUGGUGAGAUUUUAUUGAUGAUCAAAGAAGAAUCUUUUGACAAAGCUAAUAAUAGAGAUUUCAGAGAAUAAGCUGUAACCCUCUCUCCCUCUUCAAUCUCUCUCUAUUUUGUUCCCAUUGAUGACCCCAAUCUGCUUAGUUAUCCAGCUUUAUAUCUGCAUCAGUAACAAACCAGCAAACCCAGAUUGAGCAGAUUGACGACACGUGGAUAACGGCUUUAACGAACCUGGUUAAGAACUGCUCACAUGUUCGUCACGCGUGCUGCUUAAAUGAUGGCCAAAACGACUUCAAACAAAUGUCGUUUUGAGGCUUAUGAAUUACAAGUGAUAACACGAGCUUGUCUCAUGACUUUUAAAUGCAACAGCGUGCCCAAAACGCCGUCGUUUUACUCUGUUGAGUUUGAUUCAUUACUAAGCUUUACGACUGGCACUGGAGAAGAUGAUAAUUUAAUUUACAUGGACAGUUUUUAUAUCACUUUUACAACAUCCUAUGCAAUUGUAAUAUUGGGAAUUAUUGAUGUUUUAUUCUGUGAAUCCUCAUUGGCAAAAACUAGUGGUUUUAUCUUUGUUGAAAUGUAAAUGACCUCUCGUUACUAUUUUAUUAUAAACAUAUAGUUUCGUAAGUGAAACUACAUGUUUAUAAUAAAAUUAACAUAUAGUUUCGUUACAUUUCUGCCUCAUUAAGAUUCUCAAAUACCAGUCAGGUUUGCUUAAGAAAUAAAAUUUUUCCAUUAAAAUUGCAGUAGUAUUUCCAAGCAUAUCGCAUUUUCUAUGAUUUUUCAUAAAUUAAUUAAUCUGCGGUGCCAAUAUCAGAUUUAGUUUUUCAAACUAAAUAAUCAAGAAAGCAAACAUACAAAUAUACAGUUUAGAGGGGUAAACUAGGUAGGUGGUUUAGAUUUUAGAACUAAGCCAGCUACCUCACUAAAUUCCGAUUCGUACAGUGAACUGCAAGAAAUUGAGAAAACAAUGAAUUUAUAAUUUAAUAGAAUCAUAAGAAAACAAUGUAGUCAUUGCUCCAUAUAAGAUGAUGAUUUCGGAGAGGCACAUUGUUUUCAAGUUAAUUUGAUCCGUUUAUAAGAGAUGAAGUGGAAUCAAGUUGAAAGUUUAAAUAACAAAUCCUUGUUCUUGAGUUUUACGACGUCGUUACUCCUUCAAGUGGCAGAUUAUGCAAGUGAAUGCAGAAACACAAUGCAUCAUCCGCGGGGAUGAUACAUCAAAAGGCGGGAUUUGUUUAUGCCUGCAGAUUAGCAAUUUCACUCAUAUAGAAAAUUAAUUUUUUAUAUAUACUAAUCAACACUAAAUUGAUUAUGUGUUGUAUGUUUAUAUGCUAAUCAACACGAAAUUAUAUUGAAUUAUUAACAUUCAUAUUCCUAAUAAAAAUUAUUUUCCAUCAGUAUUCAAAAUUUUCACUUAUGGAAAAUGCGUUUUAUGUGAAUACUAGUUAUUGUGUAAAUUUGAAUGAUAGCGAAAAAUAAACCUAUUUGAAAACUGUAAGGGUGUGUUGGGAUAUUUUACAACUGUCGGAAUCUGGUAGGAUAUUGCACCAUUUGCCCAAUAUUUUUAGACGUACUCUAACCGGUAUUCAAGAUAAGUAAAAGUUACAAGCGUGGCAAAAUAAAAAAAUAAAAUUUGUAAUUUGUAAACGAAUUUUCCUGACAUGUAUAGUAGAUGAAGUUGUUGAUCCUUUCUUUGGAUUAUUUCAGCUCUGGUUGUUGGUCACCGAUGAGCCGAAGUCUUAUUUUAAUUUUAUUUAAACUCAUCAUAAGAUUCGUGGAGCACCUAACUAACUUAACUGACUGUGCAGAGCAUCUCAACAUGGCAUAUUUAACCAUCAUUCAAGUGAUGGGUUUAAUAAGACUGCUUUUGUUCUAUCAACUAUCAAGUUCCUCUGCCUCUAAGCAGAAUUACUAUUGAAGGGCCAAAAGGAAAAUGAAAACGUGUGAGCUCCAACAACCACCCCACAAAUUCAAUGACGAUGCUCGGAGAGGGUUAGGUUGGGCCUCUGAGAAAAAAAAAAUUAUUUAGUUAAAAAGUUACCCUUAUUGAAACCUGUAUAAAAAUUUUAUAUUAAUUAGUUAUGUUGCCUCUUCAACUAUGAUCAAAUUUUUAUCCGAGCUCAUCAUUUAAUGAGUAAACAUGUAUUUUAAUGAUCUCAAUUAAUAUUUAGAACAAAUAUUUUAAGAAGUAAAGCUCAUUAUAUCUUCCAUUAUUAUGUAUUUCUUUAAUUUCUUAUUUACAUAAUUAUAUUGUACAUUAAAAAUGUAUUGAAUUUGAAGAAAAAAAAAUUCAACUCACUCAAAAAAAAAAAAAAAUGCUGGUAGCUUCGUAAUAAUUACUGUAUUGACUGCACCAGAUAAAGUUUUGUAAAAUAAUAAGUUCUCAUUAGUGGUUUUUAAUUUUUUUAAUUUUUUUUUCCGGCACACCUGAUCAAGAAUUCUAUUUUGUUAACUAAUCAAUUGCAAAGCAUAAGUGUUGAACGGCAAAAAAAUUUAAAAAAACACUUAAAACGUGGGGAAAUGAGAAAUAUAGAAAGAAAGGAAGAAAGUUGAGACAUGAAACUGAUCUGCAGUGAAAUUGAUAAUCAUGUUUCUAUUUCGUUAACUAAUCAAACGGAAAACUGAAACUGUAAACAAACAUUAACACGUGUGGACUCUGCUAGCUGCCCUACAAGUCUACAAUAGUAAUUGAGUACCUUUGAUUCAUCCUUCUAUGAAUUUCUAGCUGUAUUGACCCCAACUGCUAAAGUUUUGUAAAAAAUAAAAAUAAAAAUAAAAAAACUGGAAUUUCAACAAAAUUCAAAACGUGUGAAAUUCAAAAAUGGACUUUGGCCAUGUGGAACAAAAUGUAAAUUAAGGAAAAAGUAUAAAUCUCAAUUGCUUAGUAUGGUUAGGAUUUUGUGAGCAUCACUAAAAAGUGAAAACUAUGAAUGAUAGAGGUGAUGUUUGCAACAUGAAUAAAUGAUGAACUGAAUCAAUUGAUGAUCGUAAUUACAUAAUGAACAAAAUUUACAAAAUCAACAAAAGUUAAUAAAAAUUUAUUCAAAUAAUAAAAAAUCAAUAAAAACUUAUUAUUUAACGGCGCUCAAACCAUGGAGUACCAUAAUCAUAAUCUUCUUUUAAGAAAAUUAUAACUUAUUAUUUUACAGGUUUGAUCCAUUUGGAAUGAAGUGGUCUCAAGUUGAAAGUAAUUAAUUUAUUGAAUAACUUUCGACUUAUUAAUAGUUAUAUCAACGGGUGUUUUACCUCAUCAUGUCUUCAAGUGGAAGAUGAAGACUAUGCAAGUGAAUUCAGGAAUAUUGCAUGCCUGUUGUCUAAAGCAUUACCUCACAAGGUUUCAUGAGAAACGAAAGAUGUGUUUGCUUUGAACAAUUAAAGUUACUGCUACGAACCUCCCCAAAGGUCAAGAAGACAGAACAGGAAGCUAAUGCCAUCAAUGUCUUGUUCAUUAUAGCUGCUGGGUAGUUAGGUGUAGUUUCCUCAUUUGAAGCUGUCUAUACAUAGGCAUUUCCCCUGCUUAUGUACAAAUAAAUGAACAACCUUGAAGCUUUAUUAUUCGCAACAAAAAGGGAUUACUAAUUGGAGAAGACUAUACAGAGUUUUCUCUCACACUUGCUCUCUGUCAAUUUCAUCCAGAAGUCCCUCUGAAAGCUUCUCCCAAAACAGUUAGUCAUCUUUUAUGCUCUGUUUUCUGAAAACAGAGUCCUAACUAAAUUAAUUGACUGUACAGUGCAUUUCAACAUAGCAUAUUUAACCGUUUUAACAGUUAUUUGGACCGUCUUCAGAGGUAACAUCAACAAACUCAUUCAUAUGCUUAAUAAUGAACGAAUAGUCUUGGAUUGAUGUUUUGCAGCAAGAGCAACACGACACAAUCUGGAUUCAACCUCCUCCUUUCUAACAGGGGAUUUCGAUUUGAGUUACUUUGUGCUCAAGCAAAUUCACAUCAUAGUUUUGAUUCUUUAGAUAUGAAUUCAUCUCAUUACAUAUAUCAGAUUAAGUGUAACAAAAUUUGUAAUUUACUGCGAAAAGAAUAUGCACUAAAAAAUGAUUUCAAGACUAUUUGACUACAAAAAGCAGCUGUCAGAGUGCACUAAAAAUUUCUGUAGGAUAUUUUGUAGCUGUUUAAUAUGUUAUGAUGGGCAUAUAAUUCUCAAAUUUUGAUGCCUCUCAGCGAAAAAUAUAUCAAAGUUACGGAUGAUAUCACGUAAAACAUGCAUGGCUCAGGCUCAGGCUCAGGUAAGAAAGCCACAGAAAUGGAAAAUCUCACUGUCACGACUCACGUCACGCAUCAUUCAAGUGAUGGAUUUAACAAGACUGCUUAUGUUCUAUCAAAUUCCUCUGCCUCUCAGAAGAUAACUUUUCUGGGCCAAAUUUCUCAUCUAAAGCAUAUUAUGCCCCAAAGUCACAGAUAACAAAAUGGGGCACUACCGAUUAUGAAAGAGAACUAGUAGUUGUCAGAAGCCUAAGCCAAAUUCCGGUAGUAAGAAGAGGCCUUUCUUGAGUUUAGAUUAUGUGUUCGAGUUUUAAUAAAUGCCUAAGUUAAUAAUAAUAACAACAGUAAUAAUAAACUAAAAAGCAUAAUUACUAUUGAAUGGUAAAAAAAAAAAUGAAAAUGUGUGAACUCCAAUAACCACCCCAGUGGCGAAUUUUGGAGAGGGCUAGGCCGGGCUUCUUAGAAAUUAUUUUUAUUUAAUUACAAAAUCACCUUUACUGAAACCUAUAUAAAAUUUUUUAUAUUAAUUAAUUAUGUUGCCUCUUCAAUUAUCAUUAAAUUCUUGUCCGUUCAUAAUUUGAUGGAUAAAUGUGUAUUUCAAUAAUUUCAAAUAAUGUCUAGAACAAAUAUUUUGAAUUAUAAAACUCAUUAUGUCCUGCAUUACUAGAUGUAUCUAUAAUUUAUUAUUUACAAAUUAUAUUGUAUGAUAAAAAUGUAUUGAAUUUUUGUUUAAAAAAAAGUUCGGCUCACUCAGAAAAAAAUGUUAUUAGCUUCGCCACUGCACAAAUCUAGAAUAAUAAUUAUUCCUUAUUAUAUUGACUGCACCAAGCAAUAAACUAAUAAGUUCUCAUCAGUGGUUUUUAAUCUUUUUAAUUCUUUUUACCGCACACCUGAUCAAGAAUUUUAUUUUGUUAACUAAUCAAUUGCAAAGCAUAUAUAAGUGUUGAACGGUACACAAGAUUGGAAAAAAAAAAUCUUAAAAAACGUGCGGAUUCGGGUGGCCACACCAGAAAUCUAUUACAAUAAUUAGCUUUGAUGCUGGGAAUCUUUUAAUUUCUGGCCGUAUUGAAGUUUUUAAAAUAAUAAGUUCCCCUUCUCGUUUUUUUUUUUUUUUAAAUAUAUAUGCUUAUAACAAUUUUAGAAUAAUGAUUCAUUUGUAGAAGAACUUAUGAUUUCCCAUUAAUAUUAAUAUUGAAGUGGGGUGGGUCAAAUCUCAAUUGCUUGAAGAAUUUAUGUAUUAUUAAAUAUUACCAUCCAAGGUAGAAUUGUGGAAAAUUAAAGCAAAAUGACAAGUAUGGAAAGGAAGGCUGAAAGUAAGGCAUGACGAAAGGCUUUGAGAAGGCUGAAGACUACCAAAGAAGUCAACUGAAAACUAGCUGGGGCCUGAGUGUAUAAAUUGUUAGAUGCGUUUGUUAUAAAUAACAUAGAGCCCUUUUGUUAUUUAUAGUUAUAGAGAAAGAGAGAAUGUGUGUUUUUUAAUAGUUAGAGAUAUAGCUAGAAUGGGUUGCUCAAAAUCCAAAAUAGUGACAAUGUUAGUUCUCGUAUUGAUAAUAUUGGGGGGGGGGGGGGGGGGGGGGGGGGGGGGGGGGGGGGGGGGGGGGGGGGGGUGUUGGGAGGUCGAGUGAGGGAUGUUUGGAGCAUGAGCAAUUUGAUCUUUUGCGGCUUAAACAUUUCUUCAAUUAAUAUCGAUCUGGGAGAGUGGUAUCUGAAUGCUUCUCUAUUUACUUCCUUUCAACAACUUGGUAACAAAAUAGCCGGCUGCAUGCGUUGAGAAUGAAGGUGCUUCAUUUAAUUUAAUUUACUUAAUUUCUCCCUCCUAAUUAAUGUCUAUAAUCAUUAGGAGGAACAAGGGAUUUUAUUAACUCAAAUAUAUCUAAUGGAUCUCAUUCUUUGGUUUUACUUGCAGGGCUAGAAGCAGGUGUCAUCUAACAGCUGCUUUGAUAAUUUCCCUCCCCUUCAUCUUUGAUGGAAAGAUGAAAUAAAAACAAAUUGGUGAAAAUGGUAUUGGUACCUGAGGCUAUGUAAUCUAAUUCAAAAACUGCACCAUCAAAACGAUUACAUAAGUCUCAGAAGAAUCAAAUAUCAGUUUGCAAAAUAUCAAUUGCUGGAGGUUUGAUUCUAACUUCCGCUCUUCAUUUUAUGGGCAUAUUGUGUUGUACUUGCAUCCGAAAAUCAUAUUUUAGUUUACUUGCACUCAAUGCUUGGAUUAAAGUUUUUUGGGGGGGGGGGGGGGGGGAUUGAAGAAGACUAAAAUUACACCAAAAAAGAGUUGAGCGAGAGCGGGUUUUGUCUUCAUUUAAGGAGCUCUUUAUAAAUUUUGGGAUUUUUUUUCCUGAGAAAAUUUAUGCCAACUCAUUCUUUGCUUCUUUUCUGAAGGACACAUGCAACCGAAAGUAUAUUCUUGAAUUCUCCAGGAUAAGAGACAUACGUUUAGAUUCUGGAGCAUUUAAAACAAUGUCAAAUUUUAGAUUGCUGAAAUUUUAUAUAUCCGAGUAUGAUGGUGUUCCAAUUAUAAGCUCCAGGGUGCAACUUCACUGAGGUUUAGAAUGCCUUCCUAUAGAAUUGAGAAAUCUCCAUUGGCAUAAAUAUCUUUUGAAAAUACUGACAUCAGAUUUUGAAUUGGAGAACCUGAUUGGACUCAGCUUGCCCUGUAGUAAGGUUAAGCAAAUUUGGAAAAGAGAAAAGGUAUAAUGUAUUACUAUUACCAAAGUAUCUAUUUUUCUUUCUUUAAGUAUUUUAUAAUGAAUAACUUUGAAAUUCAAUGAUGCUCAUUUAGUAUAGUUAUGUAUCUUUGGUUAUAGGAAGCUGUCAAGUUAAAAUCUAUAGACCUUCACCACCCCUUUAUCUCAAUAGGAUCCCAGAAAUACUAAAUCUUAAAAAAAUAAAUCUUUCAAAUUGUGAAAGCAUGCUUACGUUACCCCCGUAUAUCCACAAUUUCAACUAGCUGAGUAUGUUGUGUUUCAGGGAUGCAAAAUUCAUUUUGUUUCUCAUGAAAGGAUUGACUUGUCCGGAUGUAUUAGGGUUAGUAACCAACUAAUCCCAUAAUUUGUUGAUGUAGGGUCCUAACAAAUUAUCUGCAGUAGAUUGUAGAUCACGUACACUAUUCGAAAACGUAUUUGAUCCACACAGUGAAGUGGAUAUUGGACCAAUUUGAUGAUAAUGAAUUUCUUUCAAUCUCAAUCUUUUUUCUUUUUAGCAACAUGACUAGUCAUUGUGCAAAUUCAAAACUCUGACAAUAAUUUCUCAAUCGGUUUCUAAGAUGAUGACCAUGCAUGUAUAUGUAUAUGCGUGUGUAUAUGUGUGUGUGUGUAGAGAGAGAGAGAGAGAUCACACGUGUGUGAUUUCCUUUUUGCCAAUAGGAUAUGCAGAGAGCUUGAUCUUACCCAAUAGCGAAACAAACUUCCUAAUAAGUGAAGGUAUAGUAUAAAUACUUAUACUUUCAUGUUAUUUUGUUCAUCAGUAGCUUGAUUAUUUUAUAUGCGUCUUCGAUUUUAAUUUUCUUUCCCUAUAAUCGCUAUUAUCUUUGAACUGGUCAUAAUUUGCCCAUAAGAUUUCUCAUGUUGUUUUGAGGUGCAACGGAUUUUGAAUUUAGUGACAAGCAGUGGAAGCCAGAAGGCAAAUUAUGAAAAUGGAUAAAGAUCUAUAAUUAGCUGUUAUGGGAUGUCACAUAUCAUAUUGAUGGUAACGUUAUAUAUAUGUACAUAUAAUUAAUGGGGUUGGCUCACGAGCCCAUUAAUAAUGGUAUAUUAGCUUAUAUACUUCAAACAAUGUACUAUGAAGCAAUUUCACAAAUACUUGUUAGCUUAUGUUGAGCUUUAUUGAAUCAGUAGUUCACAGUUCAAUAAAAUGCAGGUUUGCUAUUUGAAGUACAUGGUUAUGGUGCGUACAUUCUUCAUAAGGCUAACUACUAAUUUAUCAUUGAAACUUGAAAAAUGUGAUAGAGAGAUGUAGAUAACAGCCGCAAAACACUGAGAUUGAAAAUCAGGGCUACUAAAUUCUAUUAAAAGUCCUUAAAAUAGACAGCGAUCACCCUGAAAUGUAUAUACUGAAACUAAGAAAUAUUAAUCGCAAAGUUAUGCAUUAAUAGAACUAUUGACUACUUAUCUUUAGCAUAAAGUAUAUUUUUAACUACAGCUUUCUGCUUUGUUCUAAGAACUAGGCAAAAGUGGUGUAUCUUCAAUCCAAUCAACAUAUAUACCACUUAUCUUCCUCUUCACUUCUGUCUAUUUUGAUUUGCACUUCAUAUCCUGCACUUGCUGCUUAGAAAUAGUCUUUAUUCUGGACAUUGAAAGUAGAAAAAGUACUUGAAACAAUCAUUGGCACAGCCCGAGAUUCCAUUGAAUCGUGGACUCCAAGCUUUCAUAGUUCUAUAAAGAAGAUGACAAAACUUCAUACAACUGGCAUUCUGCUUUUAACAUUUGCACAACCUGAGCGAGUUAGCAAGCCCCUUGUUGCGUUCCCAUUGAAUAGACCUACUUCUGUUAUCCGCAGAAGAUCCACCACUCAAAAUGUUUAUCACCAGGCUAUUCUUAAACUGAGCCUAAACUGAGUAGAAACUUCCGCACAUCUCUCAGCAUUUACAUGAAGAAAUCGACAACUAUCCUCAUCUCUCAGCAUUCUACAAAGUUGCAUUUCACUAAGCAAUCUAUCCUCUCCAUUCCUAGCAAAGUGACAUUGAUUCCCGUAUUUGUAAUCGCCUAACUUGGGUUUUGGCAUAGCGUGGUCUUAAAAAUUACCACCCAAUACUUUGUUCAGUGCCACUGGCAUCCACAAGCUCUAGCCCUGUUAGUUGAAUCAUAUUCAAUGGGACAGUGAGGCAGCAUUUCACUAACAUAUUCAAUUUGACUACUUAUAUUGACGCAAAUAUUAGAAUUUGAAAUCACUUCUUUUAUUGGAAUAUUAUAUUAAUAUGACCCCAAAUGAAAGUUCUUGAAUGGAAAUGAUUUUUAUUUACUUUUCGAACAGAUUCAAGAAAACCCAGAGAACACAAAAUUUACACAGUAAUAUGAUUAAGAGCUGAGAACGUAUAUGUAGUAAAUGUCUAUCAAAAAACACCCAAGGGUUUCUUUAAAAUUAGUAACUAGUAAACAAAAGAAAGAAUCAUUUUACAUUUUUAGCAACUUUGGGGUGAGUGAGUGAGUGAGAAAUUGAAACCCUCAAGUGAUGACAACAGUAAGAUUCAGUAUGAAGUGAAACCCCAAUUUGAAAUGUAGGCAUGAGUUGCUGAGUCAGUAGAUGAAGCUAUAAAUAGGCAUUCGGUUUCCUUCUUUUCGGUUUGGAGGCCAUGGAAUAGUGUAUUGGAGUGGGCUCCAAGUAAUAGCCUCUAUCACUGGAACGACACAUCUAUAAAAUGUGAUACAUGGGGAAGGAUUGGGCAUUUUAUUCUUAGAUUAGCCCUUAUUUAGGGUGUAUAUUAAGCAGAUUAUAUAUUACAUGGAGAUGGAGUUUAAAUAGAUUAAAAAGAAAAGGAAAUUUUGGUGCCUAAAGUUUGCCACUUGGAAUAUUUCGGUGUCUAAAAAUUCACUCACCACUUAUUUCAUGUUUGAUUAUAUGUUGAAAAGAUAUUAAAAUAGUAUAAUGCUAUUAAGGCUUAACGUAUAUUUUUUAUUAGUAGAGUGUAGAAUUUUUAAGAAAUAAAUUAUUAAAUUAUUAUAACUAACAUAUUAUUUUAAAGUUGUGUUAUGAAAAAAAUGAAAUAAAAAUGUACAGUAAAUAAGAAUAUUUUAAAACUUUUAUCUUUUUAAAAUUAGUUUUUAACAUAAGGUGAACUAUUUUUUUUUUAAAAUCACAUAUUCUAGUUAAAAUCAAAUAUGUAUUUAUCGAAGCUUGUAAAUUUUUUUUUUUAGUACUGAUAUUUGAAUAUUAUCAAUAAAAAAAAGGGUAAUGUUCAUGCUGCAUUAUUUUUGUAGCACACAAAAGGACAACACCGUUUAUGUUAUAAUACUAUCGCUUCUGUUAUGAUAAUUUUUUUUGUGGCCAAAUAUCUUUUUUUUUUUUAAGUAAAAAAAGUGGACAAAAUGCAAAUCAGUUUUUAAUCCUCAAUCUCUCCCAAAAAUAUAUAUUUCGGUGUCUAAAAAUUCACUCACAAAACUAUAGCUGACAAAAAGUUACUAACAAAAAGUUAGGUCCAUGGGUUGUUAAAACUAUAGCUGACAAAAAGUUACUAACAAAAACAGAAUGUCCAUUUUAUAACUUUCUUAAAAAACUUUCCUUAACUUUUUUAAACAAAAAGUUAUUUCCAAUUUUUAUUUUGUUAUAAUGUUUAUAACAAAAUUCGUAGUUAACUAAACUCUUCUUAUACCCUUUCUCAACUGCCAUACCCUAACCCACUAAACCACGCUCAAUUAAGGCCAUCAGAUUCUCCGGGCCCACAUUAAUCCAACUGCUCACAGAGACCGACAGCCUCUCUAUCUCCAUUUCAAGCUCCCUCUUCAACUGGCUUCUGCUACCGUCCUACUCUUUCUCGGCUUCGGAGUCCGUAUUUGCUCGGCCUGUCCCACGAAGCUCCCUCUCACUCCAAUUGUCGCCCCACAAGACCAAUUGCUUAAUCAAGACACCGAACAAGAAAGGAUGAGAAGUUGAAACAAGAAUUUGAGAAUUGGAAAUAAAAACGUACGCAUUGACCGUGCCUUUGAGAGUCGUUUCUCUUCAGAACUCAGUGCCUCAAUCUUGGGUUAAGGAUUUUAUGCGAAGUCAGGGAAAGAGAUUGAAGUUUCAGAUGAAUUUGUGUGCUAGCAUUGAUGGGAUCUUUAACAAUUUAUCUGUGCCCUUUAACAAAGUUAAGGCUAAGUCAGCUUCUUAUAUGGCUGCUGAUUUGGUUAGUGUUGGUGAUUCAUGGCUUAGUUUUGCCAUUAAAAAGAGAUUGAUUGAGCCAAUGGCUGGAGCUGAAGACCAAGAUUGGUUCAAAUGCUUAAGUCACAAAUGGAAGGUAACAUCUUUGUCUUUGAUCCUCGAGGUAAAAUAUGGGCGGCACCGUACAGGUGGGGCACAACGGUGAUAGCCUACAAGAAAAGUAAAUUUCGAAAGCAUAAUUUGGCUCCGAUUGAGGUAAUAAUUUUCUUUAAACUCAUUUAGUUUUAUAUCAAACAAAAUCAAGACUGCCUUUCUCUUCAAUAUUUUUUAUGAUAAUAUCUUUAGAAGCAUCUCAUUGACGGGUAACAAUGGCAUCCUGGUUAAGGAUUUUAUGCGAAGUCAGGGAAAGAGAUUGAAGUUUCAGAUGAAUUUGUGUGCUAGCAUUGAUGGGAUCUUUAACAAUUUAUCUGUGCCCUUUAACAAAGUUAAGGCUAAGUCAGCUUCUUAUAUGGCUGCUGAUUUGGUUAGUGUUGGUGAUUCAUGGCUUAGUUUUGCCAUUAAAAAGAGAUUGAUUGAGCCAAUGGCUGGAGCUGAAGACCAAGAUUGGUUCAAAUGCUUAAGUCACAAAUGAAGGUAACAUCUUUGUCUUUGAUCCUCGAGGUAAAAUAUGGGCGGCACCGUACAGGUGGGGCACAACGGUGAUAGCCUACAAGAAAAGUAAAUUUCGAAAGCAUAAUUUGGCUCCGAUUGAGGUAAUAAUUUCUUUAAACUCAUUUAGUUUUAUAUCAAACAAAAUCAAGACUGCCUUUCUCUUCAAUAUUUUUUAUGAUAAUAUCUUUAGAAGCAUCUCAUUGACGGGUAACAAUGGCAUCCCUGAAAGAGUCUAUAAACUCAAUGAUAUUAUCUUCUACAAAUGGUUCAUUAAACUUUGUCGUUGUACUCAAAUGUACACUCAGAUCAAUGAGAAGCUAUGCUACGUUAGCAUGUAGUGAUGGCACUUAAUAAGUGAGUUGCUAGGAUGUGAACUAGAAAAAUUAAAUAUUGUCUCCUUGGGUAUGCUAGCUGGUAAGUCAGGGUUAAUAUCAGAGCUUAAGAUAGUAUAACCGUGAGAACCUAUUGACUGCCAAUUAAAAUAUCCAUUGAAAUGUCUAGGGAGUUAUGAAGGUGGAGGUAACUUCCAAUUUCUAAGGCCACAGAGUAGACAUCAUCCAGGAUCCUAGGAAAGUCCAGUUAACCUCCUGCUCGAUGCAAUUAAUAAAUUUGGUCAAUGCCACUGAAACCUGCUAACUGACGUCACAAUGCGACAUGAGCACUUCAAAAUGGGACAGACGGUCAGUAGCACUAAAUUUUUCUUGCCAAGAUUGAGCAAUUGGUCUAACUACUAAUCCCUAUUGUAGUUGAUCAUUAUUUUUUCAAUUAUGUUCAGUUUGACCCAAAAAGUUGCAGAAUCUUGAGCUAAAUAUUGUCACUGAACACUGUCAAUGUCAUUUAGCAUAGCCAACUAACUUGAUGUUAAAACAAACACACAGUGUGUCUCAUGUCUCACAAUUCAAAUUAUCAUCUGUAAUGUUGGAGAAUUUUUCCAAUGUAUGAAGUAUGCUUUGAUACGUGGGUUACCUUGGAGAAGAUAUCUCAAAAUAAAGAAUAUGGGGAGAAAACAGUUCAGUAGUUUAUUAUUCGUAGUCAAGUUUUGUCUCGAAAAUGGUCAAAAUUUAAAUGAAUAAGGACAGGGGAUCUUCAUUCUUUUUUCCCUUUUUAUACCAAGAUAUCUCUCAACCUUUAUAUAAUCCCCACUGGAUAUCUGCUUCUAAUAAUUAAAAUAAAAAUUUCACCGCUCUAACAAUAAAAAGUAACAUCUUUCCUCAAAUAAUUUACAGUUCCUCAUCAUCUUAGUGUGAGAAUAUCAGUACAUUCCAAACAUAAUAAAACUGGUUUGAUCCUGUUUAUUGAUGUUUAAAUGUUGUUCAUUGUGACAGGUAGAAAUGAUGAGGCGAAGUUUAUUUGGACAUCAAUUAGUAAGAUCUUGUUUGAAGUUGUUUUCUGAAAUGAACUGCCAAAUGGUAGUUUUUGGGGGCAUUUGAUGGCUCUUUUUUUUUCCUCAUUUUCAACAUGUGCCUGCUUGGAACAUGAAGGAUUAGGCUGCAGAGUUGUUAUAUAUUUUGAGAUGCUCUGGUCAUUGCACAAUUUGUUCACACUGGAAAUUAGAAUGAGAAAUUUGUUGAUGCUGUUUUGAGAGAUCUGCAUUCUAUGCACAAUAACAUGAUUAAUGAAAAUGCAUUGUAGGACUGGAAAGAUCUGUGGCAGCCUGAGCUCGCAGGAAGAAUUUCAAUGGUUAAUUCUCCCCGAGAGGUUAUUGGUUCAGUUUUGAAGUAUAGGGGAACAUCAUACAAUUCAAACUAUAUUGAUUCGCAAGUUGCUGGUGGAAGAUUGCUGUUCAGCAGAAUCUGGCAUUACUGGCAAACCAGGUACUCUUACAGAAAUCAUAUCUGGUCAUUGCAUGUUAUUGCCUGACAACUGAUUUUGUUUGUAAAAGUCUGCUUCUUCAUACAUAUGAAUGCAUAUGUUAGUGUUUUCUUCUCCUUUUCAUACAUAUAAAUGCAUAUGUUAGUGUUGUCUUUUCCUUUUCACACAUAUUAAUACAUAUGUUGGUGUUCUCUCCUGAGAUGGAUGCAAUAAAGGCUUUUGCUCCUAAAUUUAGCUGAAGAAAUGGCAAGGGAUGUGAGAUUCUGUCUCAUUAAAUUAACAAAAACCCAAAACAAUGAAAAUCCAUAAUAAUGUGGUGUGGGUAAAUUGGCUCCAUUUGGUUCGUUUCCUUAAUGUGAAUGCGAGCAAUAGAGACUAACAAAAUGAAGUGACAACAAGAAGUCAGUGUCCUUUGAUGGAUGCAUUUUUAGCAGAAAUAUGUUUGUAAUUGACCAAAUUUGUCUGGCAUGCCAAUUUCAAAAAAAUUAAAUUAUGUGGUUAUUAGCUGUAAUGAAGGGGAUAGUAGGUGCAAUCAGGUGUAUCCAGGAAAGUUCAACAAAGUUUUGGUAUGGCGUAGUGAAAUUGGUUUGUGCAACUCAGGAGUCUUUCAGGUGAACGAUGAUAGGUUUUGAUUUAUGAAUAUUAUAAAUCUACUGUGCAUAGUAUUCUAGUAGAAUCAUCUAUAAGUUCUAGUUAUUGUAUACUUUGCCUGGUUUGAGUUAAGGGCACAUGUAAUAUGAAAGAUAGUUGUCGCAUCUUUUAGGUUACCUAACAUUUGAUCAAUCCUAUUAUGGGGGCUUCAAGAUGUCUAACAAUAUGUAGAAUGCCCAUGCUCCUCCCCAUUGUUUAUCUUCUACAAUAAUUUGUUUUAGAUGCUAAUAUCUUUGUCGAUACCGGUAACAAUAUUACAAUAUCUGCGUUUAUUGGGUUUUACAUAGGUUCGACUGUUUGACAGUACACACUAUCUGAAGGCAUUUGCAAUUGGAGAUGUAUGGGUUGCUGUUGGGUGGAUUAGUGAUGUUCUUCCUGCUGUCAAACAUAUGUCUAAUGUUGCUGUUGUUGUUCCCAAGUCUGGUGCUAGCUUAUGGGCUGAUCUUUGGGUAUACCCAUGCCUGCCAUUCUACUUCAAUAUUCACAUUGUUAUCUCCUUCAUAUUAGUGAUCAGUAAACACGAUAAUGUGACUAAUAAGUUCGUAUUCUCUUUAUAGGCAAUCCCUGCUGCCUCAAGACUUGAAACAAAACAAAUUGGAGGGCGAGUCAGAGGUGCAUUUCCAUUAAUCCAUCAAUGGAUAGAAUUCUGCUUGCAAACAGCGAGAGCAUUGCCUUUCAAGCAAGAGGUUAUCCCGAGCGCAUCUCCCUCUGCCCUUGAGUACUCUGGUUAAGUUGCCUGAAGAACUUUUCAAGGGUAAACCAAGUCUGGAUACUAACUUAAUUGCUGGAGUACCCCCGACUGAAAUUCUGGCCAGAUGUGAGUUUUGGAGCCUUUAUUUGAAGCUACAUUGUCGGAUUAUGAGUGGCUGGUUACUAAUCUGCAAAAAUCCACUCCUGUACUGAUCAACAAGAUGCAACAUUACAUGUCAUCAUUGAUCUUUAGCUAAAGGUACAUUGAAAAGUUAAUGGCACUGCAUACCAGUCAUUAUAAUUGGGUCAGGGCAAUUAGGUCAGAGCAUAACUUCAUUAGGAAAAGAUGCUUCAGCUACGUUAAAUAUUACAGGAUGUACUGAGAUGGCUGAAGCUGUUGAGGUUUUACGAGAAUCGAAAGAUAGUGUUUGUUUGAACAAAGUUGUUGCCAAUCUUGCAGAGUUCGAGAAGAAAGAUCACGAAGUGAAUGCCACCGAUUUCUUCAUCAUUGUAGCCUCCAUAGUUGAAGUUUCCUCAUUUGAAGCUGUUUAUGCAUACGAUUUUCCCCUGCUCAAGUACAGGAAAUUGAAGAAUUAACCAGAUGUGAUAUGCUGAAAGAGGGAAGUUUUCUUCCUUGAAUGUGGUCUUUGUGAUUUGUCUUGAAGGAAUAGGGUGAUCACUGGCAAGAACCCUAUCAAGGUAGAUUUUAUGAUGUUAACAUAUCAUUAAGCAUUUUGUUACAUCAGCAAUGAUGCUUUCAUAGCAGCAUGAAAGUGUUUAAAUUUUAACUGAAUGAUCUUGAUUGAUCAAUUAUGAGUUUUAAUCGAGUAAAAACUAAAUACAAUAAUCGUUAACAAAUAUUGAAAUUGGGUAAAUAUGAUCUUGAUAUUGAAGAAUUUGAAAUCACAACCCACACAGGAAAUCACCCUUCGCGUGGGGAUGGAGAUGUUACUGCAGCGAUAUUGAAUAUGUCCACCGCUCUUUGGGUUAUGGUGCGACUUGCCCUGAAACAAUGGAAAAGAAUAAUUAUAAUUUAACGCCAAGACAUAAAAUUAAAACGUGUGGACUCCGGUAGCUGCCCUACAAGUCUACAACUCUACAAACAUUAACUCUACAAACAUUAAACGUGUGGACUCCGGUAGCUGCCCUACAAGUCUACAACUCUACAAGAAUAAUUUCUAGCCCUGUUGACUCCACUAACUAAAGAAAUUUCAAAAACGUACAUAGAAUUCCACAACAAGCAAAACGUAUGGAAUUUAAUUUUUUGCCGUGUGGAACAAAAUACAAUUUAACAAAAAAGGAUAGAAAAAUGGUAAGAUUUCUAAAAUGAGUGGAAGGUGAUUCAUAUUUUACUGAAAUGACUUGUCCUGAACAUUAAGACGAUUGAUUUUUUUUUUUUAAUAACAUCAACUUCCAUAUCUUUCUAACCCCUAGAAUAUGCUCACGUUCAAGUCUAUCUUGGUAAUUUGAAAAAGAAAAUCAAAUCAAAUCAACACCAAAACAAUGAAAAGUAAAACUUUUGAAUUUCAACUUUAAACUUUUGUUAACCCUAGAAUAUUCAGCGUUUUCAAAUUCUUCCGAUUGCAUAUCUUCUUCCUCCAUCAAUGCAAUAUUUGAACGAUUAUGAAAGAGUUUAAGAACAUAAAAAAUCUCCAAGGUUUAUACGGUAUAACAAAUUUAAAUUCUCAAUUACAAUAGAUAAUAAUUAAACUAAUAAUUUUUUAUGUACUUAUUUUAGUAAUUUCACCUAAGAAUAAUAUUGUAAUUAGAAAAAAAAAUCUAAUAAGUAGGGUGGUCUUAUACAAAAUCAACUGUACUGUGAUGAGUUUCCUUUUGUUAAUAAUUUUAGUCUAAUUUCAAUUGUACUGUGAUCGCUUCUCAAGGUAAGUGAAAGUUACAGAUGGCAAAAUAAAUAAUUAAGUUAACAAAAUGCUAACUAAUUUUCCUCAAUACCUAGGGUUGUACAAUUUCACCAACCUGGAAGAAUUGACAUUAAUGGACUGGUCUCCUCCCAUAUAAUUAUAAUCCUUCUAGAAAGCUAUUUUUAUUAAAUAUUUGCUUUUAAGUUAAUUUCAAUUAAAAAUGUUUUAAGUUAAUAUAUACUCUAAUGAGAUUCUGAAUUCCUUAUUCAAUAAUAAUGAAAACGUAUUAAAUUAGAAAUGAAAAAAUUGGUGUUGAUGAUUCAACCUAUUUGGAUAGAUUACGUGAAUAAAAUUUAAAAUUUUGAUUUAAUUUUGUUUAUUGUUAAUUCUCAGGCUAUCUUUAAUUUCAAGAAUUUAGAAUGUUAAUUUGGUCAUGGAUUUCAACCCGUGAGUGUCAUAUUCUAGACUUAAUGGUACCAUUCUUUGAUUGAGGGCAAUGACUCUCACUCCUCUUGUAAAAAAAUAUUUUCAACUAUUUUGAUGACUUAAAAAUUGAUAGAUUUAUUGUUGUCAUGACCAAAUUAUUCAUUUUAAUGAAAUAUAAUUAAUGCAUCAAAGUUACAGGUUAUGUCUAUCUUAAUGCGCUUUUUUUUUUUCAGUUAUAGCUUCUGCUUACGUCUGUUUCAUUUUUUUUAAAUAAAAAAACAAGGGAAGGUUUUCCGAGUCAUCCAUUAUUUGAUUUCCGUCAAUCAAGAAAACGACCAAAUUAAUUUCUCUCCAAAAUUUCCAAAAGCUAGAAAAUUUUGUUAUUUGAAAAUAACAUGAAUUAAUUAUAGAGUGGAUCAAACCGCGUUAUUGUCUUUCAUAAAAUUGAUGUCUUUUAAGAGUCAAUACUUUUUUAUUUACGCAAACCAGUCGACAUCAAUUUAAACUUCCAUAUUUUAUUAUUAUUAUGUUAUUUAUUUUAAUCGCCGAUUAUUUGAUUAGCCACUAUAUAUAUCAAGAAAGCGACAAAAUUUAUUUCUCAUGACUUCCAAAAACAGAAAAACAACAUCAUUUAUUAUUUUUUUGCAACCUAAUUGACAUCACUUUAACUUAUUAUGUUAUUAUUUCAAUCCCCCAUUAUGACCUUUCUAAUCCUUCCAUUAUGCAUCUUUUAUAGUGCAAAUUGUAAUUGCACAUCUAAAUAAAUUGAAUAUUGUUACUCCACACCCAAUAUUUCAAAUAGUCACUAGACCAUUUCUGCCUUUAAUUUCCCUUAACUAUUGACUGUUUUUAGCAUCUUAAAAUAUACAUUUAUUCUUGAUUAUGUGAUAAAAUUAUGAAAUAUUCCAUUUUAGCUUAAAUUAAUUGGAAUAACCAUAAGCGUAACAUAAAUUAAUAGAACAAAAUUAUCAAGUGUAUGUUCUAUCUUACUUUUUGAAGAAUUUAACAUAUAUAAUGCUAUACUAUUAAUAAAUUUUUCAUUUACUAUAUAUGUUCAAUAUUUUAUAUAUUUAUUAAUUGUUAUAUAGUCACAGGAUGAAUGAUUUUUUCAGGUCUACAUGAGUUGGUGCACAUGCAAGACUCAAUUUUGACAACAAUGAUCUAAGGGGUAAUUUACCUUGGUGUUUGACAAACAUAACCUUCUUCAUGAUUUACUUCCAAUCUACUUACUGUAAAUAUCUCCUCAUCUCCUCUCAUUUAUAUGAUAAGUGAUAACCCUUGAAGAUCUCACAUUUUCAAACGAUCAUAUUAGGGUUUUUAUUAUUAGCAUCAUUGUGUCAACAAAAUAUAUGUUGCAGUAAGAUUUUUUUCAGACCAAUUCCCUUCUUCAAAUAAUUAAUGGAAAAGUAUUAAUUUAAAAAUAAAAUGAAUAUGCAUUGAUUAUAUCCUGAUUUCCAUCGAUUAUAGCGAGAGGUUCUCCGAAUCAACUCCCUUAUUCAAAUAAUACAGAAAAAAUAGUAAUUUAAUAGUAAAAUUAGCAAGUGUUGAUUAUAUAUCCUAAGUUUCAUCGAUUAUGUGAUCAAAGUGGCAUUGUUGAUUUAUUUUCUUGUUCAAUGUUAUUUUUAGGUUAUCUAAAUUUCAAAAGGAUUUAAAAUCUUUGUUCAUGGAUUACAACGCUUAUUAAUUUUUCUGCCAUUGACUGUCAUAUUCUAGACUUAAGGUACCUUCCUUGAUCAAGGAUAAUUACUCUAUGUUCCCUCUUAUAAAUUCCUCUUCAUUAACAUCACUAAGGAGUAUGUUGAUCUCUCAGACGUUAACUUUAGUGGAGAGUUUCCAAAUUGAUUGUUACAAAACAACACAAAAACUAGACACACUUGAUCUGUCUAAUAAUUCUCUUUCGAUAAAAUUAAUUAAUUUUAGGGGAAUAUUCGACCAACCUCUAUAAUUUCAUAUUGAUCAUUAAUUAAUUAGACGAAAAAAGUACUUGUGCUUUUGUGGCGACAAUUGAACUAGAGAAGUGAAGCUGUAAAGAUUUGGCAGUAGUAAAUUGUAGAAGACAUAAAGACAAUUUCCCAUUUUAUAAUUUUUUCAAAAAACUUUUUUACAACACAUGCACCUGGCCAAAAUUUUAUUUUGCUAACUAACAAUAAUUGAGUAGCUGACCGUAUUGACUCCGCCUACUUGCUAAAGUAAAAAAAUAGAAAUAGAAUUUCCACAAAAUGUCAAACAUGUAAAAUCUAAUAUUUGGCCAUGUGGAACAAAUACAAAUGAAAAAAAAAAUAGAAAAAAGGCCUAAAGACUUUUAAAAUUGUGUGGAAAUCUUUCGGCCCUUUUAUAAUGGUGUGUUUUUCAAAGGAACAACUAAUAAUAAUGACACUUCUACGGUUUGUUUUGAUAAUUACACAUAUACUCUUUAAUUUGAUAAAUGGUUACACAAAUUUUGUUUACAAAAAUAUAUUAUUCAUGUUCUGUAUUAUUUUUUAACAUCAUAUUUUUAUUUAUUAUAAUUGUUUAAAGUUAAUUGUUAGGUUGAUAUAUAAUAAAACGUAUAAUCGUUCUCUUACUAAACACACAAUACUCGUAGUUUCUAUCCAUUUGUCAUCUCAAUCUCUCUCAUUUAUCCUUUCUUGAUAGCUCAAAACGCGUCACUGUGGAAAAUAAUAGCAAAACGACAAAUAUGGAAGAAUGGGAAGAAAAUUAAUGCAUGAAAGAGUUGCAGAAGACAACCAAAUAAGUCAACUAUACGCUAGUUGGGUGUAUAAAUUGUUAGAUGUGUUAUAAACAAAUAGCAUAGAGCCUUGGUUGGUUACAGAGAUAGAAAAACUGUGUGUGUUUUUUAGAACUUAAAGAUACAGUUAGAAUGGGUGGUUCAAAAUCAAAAUGGUGAUAAUGUUUGUUCUGUUAUUAAUAAUAUUAGAAGGUGGGUGGAGUGAAGGAUGUUUGGAUCAUGAGAGAUUUGCUCUUUUGCGACUCAAACAUUUCUUCGAUGAUACUGGUAGUUAUUUUUACUACUGGGCAGAUGGUGAGGGAGCUACUGAUUGUUGUCAGUGGGAAAGGGUUGAGUGCAGCAACACCACAGGCAAGUGAUAGUGCUAGACCUUUUUUGAAACGUAUUUGGGAGAGUACAGCUGGUAUCUGAAUGCUUCUUUGUUUACUCCCUUUCAACAACUUGAGUCACUUGAUUUAUAUGGCAACAAAAUAGUCGGUUUUGUUGAGAAUGAAGGUACUUCGUCUAAUUCAAUUAAUUUACAUUUCGCUCUCCUAAUUUAAGUCGAAUAUCAAGACUGAGCAGCUAUAUGCAUAUUCAUUCAAUUGACAAUUUUUACAUAUUUUUUAAAAUGUUUAAUUUUGAAAUUACACCAAACAUCAUAUGUGGUUUUGAUUUUACUUGCAGGUCUAGAAAGAUUGAACAACUUGAAGAGGCUUGAUUUAAGUUAUAACUUGUUCAACAAUAGCAUCUUAUCAUCUGUGGCUCAUCUUUCUUCACUAACAUCAUUAGAUUUAUCUGGAAAUAGAUUGGAAGGAAGUAUUAAUGUUAAAGGUACGUAAUUAAAACGUCAUCGCUUCUCUCAACUCUUUCAUUAACAUGCUAAAAUAAGAUUCAAGGCUUUGAAUUCAUUUUUUUUUAUGAGUAAAUAUUAGAAAAAUAGUUUUAAGCAAUUCAUAAAUACAAUUUUCAAUGUUUCUCAUAAUUUCAUCUUGUACUUUCGUAUGUCUUGACUUUAAGAUUAAAAAAAAAAAUUACUCUAACUGUGAAGCAAAUACCCCAUGACUAAUUUAUCAUUUCGUCCAGUUAAAAAUGAUAAAAUUUAUCAUUUGUUUAUAUUGAUUAAUUAACUCUAUUUUAAGUCUUAAGUCUUGGCGUCUUGGCAUAUUUGCAGAAUUUGAUUCCUUGAGCAACUUAGAGGAGUUGGACAUGAGCGACAAUGAAAUAGACAAUUUAGAGGUUCCUCAAGGUAAACAAUUAAAAUAUAUUCAAUUACAUUAAUUUAAUUCGUUUGAUUAGGGAAGACCCAAAAGGUACAAAAUAUAAUAAUAAUAAUAAAGAAACAGAGAAUCUAUAUUAUUUCAAAAAAUAAAACGUAAUACUAUUAUUUCAAAAAUAGAUUGUAAUAAAGAUUUGAUUCCGGUUCUUUAAUCUUUACAGCAAUUGAAAAACGAUGUUGCUCUUUUCCUGAAGCAUAAAAUAUGAAAUGACUCCAAUACAAUUAAUCAUUUAUUUCGUUUACUCUAAAAUUAGACAAUGAAUCUUUAUUUUCUUCAGUCUUAUCCUAAUUAUUAUUAAUAAACAGGUUACAAAGGUUUGAGGAAGUUGAAUUAUCUUGAUCUAUCGAAUGUUGGAGUUAGAGAUGGAAGCAAGUUGUUACAGUCAAUGGGAUCAUUCCCAUCCCUCAACACUCUUUACCUGAAGGAUAAUAAUUUUACCGAUAUAGCGACAACUACUACUCAAGGUAAGUAAAAGAUACAGAUGUGGCCAAAUUUACAAAUAAAUUGUUAAUUAAUUAAUUUUUCCGUAUUAUUAAUAAAGCUAAAUUCGUCGCUCCUUCCUUCUAAUUCUAAACAGAGUUGGCAAUUUCACCAACUUGGAGUAUUUGACAUUGGACUUGUCCUCGCUCCAUUUAAGCCUUCUACAAUUACUUGAAGAAUGAAUUUAUUUAUUAUUAUUAUUGUUGUUGUUGUUGUUGUUGAAGUGAGGUGGGCAAGCGUUCACUCAAUUAAUAUGUGAGGAAUUAAUAAUUACAAUCCAAGGUAGAAUUGUGGAAAAUUAAAGCAAAAUGAGAAAUAUGGAAAGAAAGGAAGAAAGUUAAGGGCAUGAAAGACUAGGAGAAGACUAAAGACCACCAAAUAAGUCAACUGAAAACUAGCUGGGGCCUGGGUGUACAAAUUGUUAGAUGUGUUUGUUAUAAAUAACAUAGAGCCAUCUUGUUGGUUGCAGAGGCAGAGAGACACAGAGUGUGCAUUUUGUUAAUUAAAAAUAUAUAUAAAAUGGGUGGUUCAAAAUCCAAAAUGGUGAUAAUGUUAGUUUUGUUAGUAUUAAUAAUAUUAGAAGGGAGGUGGCGUGAGGGAUGUUUGGUGCAUGAGAGAUUUGGUCUUUCGAGACUUAAAACAUUUCUUCAAUUCUCCUUAUAAUUUUUGUCACGACUGACCGUUGUCAAUGGGAUGGGGCUGGGUGCAGGGUUGAUUUACGUUAGAACAAUAUAGCCGGUAGUGUUGAGAAUGAAGGUGUUUCAUUUAAUUUAAUUAAUUUACUUUCUCCCUCCUAAUUUAAGUGGAAUAUCAAGACUGAACAAUUAUAUGCAUCUUCGUUCAGUUGACAAUUUUGACAUUUUUUUUAAGUGAUUAAUUUUGAAAUUACACCAAACAUUAUUUGUGAUCUCUGUUUGACUUUACUUGCAGCGCUAGAGACGUUAUCAAGAUUGAGCAACUUGACGAUACUUGAUUUAAGUUAUAACUUGUUCAAUAAUAGCAUCUUGUCAUUUGUUGCCCGUCUUUCAUCAUUAACAUCAUUAGAUUUAUCUUACAAUGGAUUGGAAGGAAGUAUUAAUGUUAAAGGUACGUAAUUAAAACGUCAUCGCUUCUCCAACUCUUCCAUUAACAUGCUAAAAUAAGAUUCAAGGCUUUGAAUUCAAUUUUUUUUUAUGAGUAAUAUUAGAAAAAUAGUUUUAAGCAAUUCAUAAAUACAAUUUUCAAUGUUUCUCAUAAUUUCAUCUUGUACUUUUGUAUGUCUUGACUUUAAGAUUAAAAAAAAAUUACUCUAACUGUGAAGCAAAUACCCAUGACUAAUUUACAAUUUUGUCCAGUUAAAAAUGAUAAAAUUUAGGGAAAUUAUCAUUUGUAUACCCUUAGUUUACUCUAUUAUCAAAAAUACUACAACACUUUGAGGGUGUAUCAAUCGUCCACCCUAAGUUGACAAAAUGUAUUAGCCAACCACCAAACCGUUAGUUGCCGUUUAAAUAUGAUAACAUCAUAAGGGUAAUCUGGUCUUUUCAUAUGAUACAAGUGAUAAUUUAAGGGUAUACAAGUGAUAAAAAGAGAGUUUAAGGGGAUACAAGUGAUAAUUUUCAAGGUAAAAUCGUCAAUUUACUGUAAUUCCGUUAACUUUCAAACGGCAAUUAACAGUUUGGUGGUCGGUUGAUACAUUUCAUCAACUUAGGGUGGACGAUUGAUACACCCUUAAAGUGUUGUAGUAUUUUUGAUAAUAAAGCAAAUAUAGGGUAUACGAAUGAUAAUUUCCCUAAAAUUUAUCAUUUGUUUAUAUUGAUUUAUUAACUCUAUUUUAAGUCUUAAGUCUUAAGUCUUGGCAUGUUUGCAGAAUUUGAUUCCUUGAGCAACUUAGAGGAGUUGGACAUGAGCGGCAAUGAAAUAGACAAUUUCAAGGUUCCUCAAGGUACACAAUUAAAAUAUUAUUUAAUUACAUUAAUUUAAUUCGUUUGAUUAGGGAAGACCCAAAAUGUACAAAAACAUAAUUAAAAAAAAAUAAAGAAACAGAGAAUUCAUAUUAUUUCAAAAAACAAAAGGUAAUACUAUUAUUUCAAAAAAAGAAUGUAAUAAAGAUUUGAUUCCGGUUCUUUAAUCUUUAUAGCAAUUGAAAAACAAUGUUGCUCUUUUCCUAAAGCAUAAAAUAUGAAAUGAGUCAUAAUUGAAUUAGUCAUUUAUUUUGUUUAGAUCUAAAUUUAGACAAUAAAUUUUGAUUUUUUUUUCAAUUCUAUCCUUAUUAUUAUUGUUAAACAGGUUACAGAGGUUUGAGGAAGUUGAAAAGCCUCUAUCUAUCGAAUGUUGGAGUUAGAGAUGGAAGCAAGUUGUUACAGUCUAUGGGAUCAUUCCCAUCCCUCAACACUCUUUACCUGAAGGAUAAUAAUUUUACCGAUAUAGCGACAACUACUACUCAAGGUAAGUAAAAGGUACAGAUGUGGCCAAAUUUAUAAAUAAACUGUUAAUUAAUUAAUUUUCUGUAUUAUUAAUAAAGCUAAAUUUUUGCUCAUUCCCUCUAAUUCUAAACAGAGUUGCACAAUUUCACCAACUUGGAAUAUUUGACAUUGCACGGUUCCUCUCUCCAUAUAAGCCUUCUGCAAAGCAUUGCAUCAAUAUUCCCUUCGUUAAAAAAUCUGUCGAUAUCUUAUUGUGAAGUCAAUGGUGUCGUACAUGGUCAAGGUAAAAGAAAAGUGUUGGUUGUGCACUCACUGAGUGUUGUCCUACGUAUUCAAUAUUUUUAUUUAUUUAUUUUAUUGUUUAAUGUUUCUGCUAGGUUUUCCUCAUUUCAAGAGUUUGGAACAUUUGGGCAUGAUGUCCACGCGCAUUGCACUCAACACCAACUUUCUUCAAGUCAUCAGUGAAUCGAUGCCUUCUCUUAAGUACUUAUCACUGUCAUAUUCUACUCUUGGCACUAACAGCAGCAGGAUUCUUGAUCGAGGUUAAUCAGAUGCUCCCACCCUCCAUUCUUAAUCUAUAAUAUUAAUUUUCAGUUAAAUAUUUAAUUACACAAACCAAUCACUUAUUAUAAAAGAACAAUACGCAUUCAUUAAUUUUUAUAUUAUAUUAAUUGAUGAAUUUAAUAAAUUCCAGGCCUCUGUUCGCCGGUGCAUCUGCAAGAGUUAUACAUUGGUUCUAACGAUUUAAGAGGUAGCUUGCCUUGGUGCAUGACAAAUUUGACAUCCCUCCGAAUAUUAGAUGUUUCUUCCAAUCAACUUACUGGAAGCAUCUCCUCGUCUCCCCUCAUUCAUUUGACAUCCAUUGAAAAGCUGUAUCUUUCAAACAAUCACUUCCAGAUCCCAAUUUCACUUGAACCACUUUUCAAUCAUUCAAGACUCAAGACUUUUUAUGCUGACAACAACGAACUAAAUGCAGAAAUAACUCAGUCACAUUCUUUGACCGCCCCAAACUUCCAAUUAUCACGUCUCUCAUUGUCUUCCGGUUAUGAAGAUGGCGUCACAUUCCCCAAAUUCCUUUACCAUCAACAUGAUCUGGAGACUGUUGAGCUCUCACAUAUAAAGAUGAAUGGAGAAUUUCCAACUUGGUUGUUGGAAAACAACACAAAAUUGAGACAACUUUCUCUCGUCAAUGAUUCUCUUGGAGGACCUUUCCGGUUGCCAAUUCAUUCACACAAGCGGUUAGGAAUGUUGGAUAUAUCCAACAACAACUUCCGAGGCCACAUUCCAAUAGAAAUUGGAGAUGUUUUACCAAGUCUAUACCUUUUCAACAAUUCCAUGAAUGCUUUAGACGGUAGCAUUCCCUCUUCAUUUGGUAAUAUGAAAUUCCUCCAAAUUCUGGACUUAUCCAACAAUCACUUGACUGGUGAAAUCCCCGAGCACUUGGCCGUUGGUUGCGUCAACUUGCAGUCUCUUGCAUUAUCAAAUAACAACCUACAAGGUCACAUGUUCUCUAGAAAUUUUAACUUGAUAAACUUGAAAUGGUUACAAUUGGAGGGCAAUCGCUUCAUAGGUGAGAUCCCACAAAGUUUGUCUAAAUGCUCCUCACUAGAAGGAUUGUAUCUUAACAAUAAUAGUCUUUCGGGUAAGAUUCCACGAUGGUUGGGUAAUCUCACAUGGUUACAAUAUAUUAUAAUGCCCAAUAAUCAUCUUGAAGGCCCUAUUCCAGUGGAGUUUUGUCAGCUUGAUUUGCUUCAGAUUUUGGACAUUUCAGACAACAACAUAUCUGGAAGUUUACCAUCUUGUUUCCAUCCUCUCUCUAUCAAACAAGUUCAUCUUUCAAAAAAUAUGUUACAUGGACAGCUAAAAAGAGGUACAUUCUUUAAUUGCUCUUCCCUUGUGACAUUAGAUCUUAGCUAUAAUCGCUUGAAUGGCAGCAUUCCGGAUUGGGUUGAUGGGCUUUCUCAGUUAAGCCACCUUAUCUUAGGUCAUAAUAAUCUUGAAGGUGAAGUGCUAGUUCAAUUGUGCGAAUUGAACCAACUACAAUUGUUAGAUCUUUCUAAUAAUAAUCUUCACGGUCCUAUUCCUCCUUGCUUUGAUAACACCACACUUUAUGAAAGUUACAGCAAUAGUUCUAGUCUUGAUGAGCAAUUUGAAAUAUUUUUUUCCAUCGAAAGCCCUCAGGGAAAUGUAGAAAAGCAAAUCCAUGAAAUUUUUGAGUUCACAACAAAGAACAUUGUGUACAUUUACCAAGGAAAAGUGCUUAGCCUCCUAUCAGGACUUGAUCUUUCUUGCAACAAGCUAAUUGGUCCUAUUCCUCCUCAAAUUGGAAAUUUGACAAGGAUUCAAACAUUGAAUCUAUCACACAACGACUUGAUAGGAUUGAUCCCAUCAACAUUUUCAAACUUGAAGCAUGUCGAAAGUUUGGAUCUUUCCAACAACAAAUUGAAUGGGAAAAUCCCUCAUCAACUAGUGGAGUUAAAGACAUUGGAGGUUUUCAGUGUGGCAUACAAUAACUUAUCAGGCGAAAUUCCAGAAUGGACUGCACAAUUUGCAACCUUCAAUGAGAGUAGCUAUGAGGGAAAUACUUUUCUUUGUGGAUUGCCAUUGCCCAUUUGCAGAUCACCAGCAACUAUGUCGGAGGCUUCAAUUGGCAAUGAACGAGAUGAUAAUUUAAUUGACAUGGACAGUUUCUUUAUCACAUUUACAACAUCGUACGUAAUUGUGAUAUUUGCAAUUGUUAUUAUUUUAUAUGUAAAUUCUUAUUGGCGACGUAGAUGGUUUUACUUUGUUGAAAUGUGGAUAACUUCAUCUUACUAUUUUGUUGUAGACAAUCUUAUUCCAACAAGAUUUUAUCAUUGAAAUUAAUUAGUAGUUUAAUUACGAUUCUUUAAGUACUAAUCAAGUUUGUUUAGGAAAUAUUUUUUUAUUAAAAUUGUAGUAGUAUUUAGCAUUAUAUAGCUUCCAACUUCCAAGCACUUCACAUUUGUCUCUACACUUAAAAAACUGAGUGAUCAUGUUUUGCAGAUCUGGAUUUGGAGCAGGAUGGAUCCAAACCCAUAUCUGUCCACCGUAACUUAUAGCUUCCCUAUACUGUGCAGCAUACUUAAAUAAGAGAACCAUCUCCAAUGUUAAAAGCAUUCACUCUAUAACAUUCAUUUAGAAACUAUAUUCAGAAUAAUUUUAUAAUUAAACACAAGAAAUGAAACACACAGAUACACUUGAUCGCCUAUUUUACUCUAAAAAAGAACGAUUAUUGUGCUAUCAUCAUCUUCUUCACUAGCAACAUUAACACCAAAUCGAUGGACCCAUACAUUUCAUCAAGAAAGGUCUAUAUCCAAUAAAGUUGAAGCCUAACAAAAAAUUCAAGAAGAUUCAUGCCUCGCCACAACAAGGGGCACAACAACAUCAAAGUAGAGAUUAAGCAGUAUUCUCAAAGCUAAAACUCUCAAAUCCACCCACCAGAAUUUCAUAUCUCCUCAACAAUUUUAAGAACUAAAGAUAAUUAGGAUUUAACAUUAGUUUUUUAUAUAUUAGUUUCAUAAUUUACAAAUCAAUGAAGAUGAAGAUUAUGCUAAUAAAUUCAAAUUAUACCAUACAUUCUCUAGAUGUUACCAAAAAUUUCUAAGUCAAUCCCACAUAUUUCAUAAUUUUAAGACUAGAAAAUUUCACUAGUUAGAAGUUUCAUUACCUUCAAGUGGAAGAUGAAGAACAUUAUACAAGUGAUUCAGAUUAUAUCAUACAUACUCCAAAUGCAACUAGAAAUUAACAAGUUCAUGCACACAUAUUUCAUAACAUUAUGAUUGAAAAGUUUCACAGAGAAAUUCUAAAUUCAAUCUCUUGCAUGAAGGCAAUUUGAUUGAUUUGAGUUACUUUCUUAUCAAGCUACUAAUAUAACAUUCAAGUCAGGGAGAAAAUAAAUUAAAACUGGGAAGAAAUAACAGUAAAAAUUUGUUGCUCAACAUGAUGUGUAUUUUUUUUCAAGGCAAUUUGGAAACACAAUUGUUACCACAGAUAUUCUUCUCAACUUGGAGAUAAAUACAAAUAUUAAAAUGCAUAUGAUCGCACAUAUUACUUCGAGUUUAGUAAGAUUUCAUUAAAAGAAGCAAUCAAACCACUUAUCAAUUGUCGCAGUCGUUCUAUAAACUAAAAUAGCAAUAUAAUACAAGAAAAAGAACAUAUAGAUACUUGGCAAGAGUUCAUUAAGAAGUCACAUCACAUUCAGGUGAGGAGUUUGCUUCUGAUAUCUUGCUAGCUGGGGCUUUUUCUUGUCUUUCUACGUAUGCCGAGGGAAACCAACCAGCUUGGCCCUUGCAUUCACCUUCCGACCAUCCAAUAGGAGCCACCUUGAGAAGUUAUAACUAAAAUGGUGAAUUAAACAAAAGUUGACCGUUCAAAGACCUAAGGGGAAAACUAAUUCUUUUACGUAGGAGGAGUGAAUUAGUUGUGAUCACUGAAAUAACAGCAUAACUAUGGAAGCAUAACAAGAUAUAAAUUCACACGUCUAUAAGGGUAAACUGGGUGGUUGAGAACUGAGCUAGCAACCCUACUAUAUUCUGAUUUGCACUUCAAUGUAAAAGGGAAUAUAUGGUAGGAAGAAAGAAAACCAACCAUCAUUUGUUAACUCAUUGCUUUUCAAUCAAAAUUUUAAGAACAAAAUGCCAUGUGCUUUGAACAUCAAAUAAGUAUAAGCAUUAGUUCUAAAUUCCACAUAUCAUAAGUUGUUAGAAGGAUAAGUUAAUAGCAGAGUAGAAAAAUCUAUGUGUUGGUAUUUAGAGGGGAAAGUACCUGGCGAACCACAACAUAAUCAUCAAUUGAAAGACUUAGCUCUCCAUUUGCUUGAGCAUCAAAUGGAUGUAUAACCUGCAAGAUAAUGGGAUAAAUAGAACUUAAAAAAAGCAUAACAAAAGCGGCAACAGUAGCAGCAACGUUCAUUGUAACCACUAUGAUCAUGGCCAACAAAGAUAUAUUAGAAACAAAAUUCCAUUUUUACUACGACAUUAAUAUGUACUAUACGAUAUCAUGACGAUUGGGUUACUAAGAGCUAUCAAAGUCUAAUAAGUUCUGUAUAACUUUAUGUAGUUAUUUAAAUUAUGGAUCAGAUUUUAAAUUUGAAAUUUUGACUGCUCUCCACAAAACAUGGCCUAUGCACAAGAAAGUCAUAGAUAAUGAGGAUUACAAGUGUCCGACAUCUUUUGAGUGAUGGAUUUAACAUGAGAGCUUAUGGUCAGUCAAUUUCCUCUGCCUAGCAAUAUAAGCUUUCUCGGCCAGAUUUAUCAUCAAAUACAUAGAUUGCCCCCAAGUCACAUCCAUAUAAACAUAGUUUUUCUAGGUAAACCAAGUAAGGAGUAUCAUAAUUCAGACAUAAUCAUAAAAAGGCCCAUCUAACUUAAGAGAAAAUCUCAAAAAGAGGGAUGCUGAGCUAUCAGUCUUGUAUCUAUAAGCAAUAUCAAGACUUUACGUCACCUGCUACAUCGUGAGUGGCUACACAACUUUCAGUGGUUUGUCUUUCUUUGGCACGCCUAACUCAGCUUUCAUGUUGCUGAGAUAUUGAUAGUAGAGACACAUGAUACUUCUAGCUCAUGCAUUCUAUCUAACUCAUCCAACAACUAUCUCUUUUUUAAUUCAUUAGUGUUUGCUAAACCUCAUGCUUAAAAGUCCUGUUCUCCUAAACAAAGUUUCCUAAGAAUGACUUCCUUAGCACCACAGUUGGACACUUUUAGAGCAAUUUUAUUUGGGGGAAAAGAAUUUUCAAGGUGUUAACUAAUAAAUUUUAAAAAAUAAUUACAAUUUGUCCUACGAUCAUAUGACAAUUUAUCUGGGAUGAAAGGAUACAGAUAGACAUCUUCCACUUUCAAGACUAAUCACUACUUCCGUAGAUGUUGUGCAAUAAUACAAAUACUUGACCAGAUGGUAGUGAUGGUAGAAAAAAAUUUUAUUGCUCCAAAAUUAAAAUAAGAAUGCAAUAUGUUAAGCAAAAGGCUGUGCAACAUCAAAUUAAUUGAUAAGUUUGUAAUUCAGUAAAUUAACAACUUUCAUGGUAAAAUACAACAAAUUUCUUUUGAAAAAAAAUAAAUAAAUCUUAAAAGACAACAUUCAAUUUUGUGCACAUCUUAUUUCUUAAGAUUUUUCAGGAGGAGGGCAAUAGAGGGACUUUCACCUAUGCAAGAGAGCAGAAGCCUUACUUUCCCUAUAAAGUAGACGUCAUUCUGAUUAAUAUGCGUUUGCAAAUCAGCUCCGUUUGAAUCAGUAUUCUGAUAGACACACGAGGAAUUUACAUCCAUUUCCAAAGUCACAUGUUGCGAGGAGGACUCAUUUGAUUGCUCCUAUACGAUCAUCUAAUUCAAGUAGCAAGGGUUGGAAGAGAAUAAAAAGUCACAAUUAUUCUUUUGCAUAAGUGAGACGAAAAUGAUAAAUGCAAUAUUAUCAGCAGUAAACAAGAAGAGAACGCUCCAAGAAAUAGAUAGAUGCAGACAAGCAAGUUAAAAUGCAUAGUCCCAAACCUCCGCAUACAACUUCUCUAAAAUAGCAAUAACGUGUUGAUGCUAUGUUUUCUCAGCAUCUACCUGCAAAGGCCCGAGACCAGGAAAACAACAAUAAAACCACUAGCUGAAGGAGAAAGCAAAGAAAGAAAUACACUUGACAUAAAUCUUGACAAGAAGCACAAAUUAAGACAUAACAAACCCCAAUCAUAUUGUUUAGAACUACCAUUCGUUAUUUCGUUAUUGUAACAUUUCGAACAAGUGUUGACUUAAUUCAACAUUGUUGGAAAGAUAGGCUUUUAGAAGCAGAAGAAAGCCUCUCAAACCAAAGUGCUGGUCCUUGUAUUGAUCAAGGGAUGUAAACAUAUUACAUUUGCAGGAUGAGAUUUAAUCACUCCCCUGAUUUAUUCGGGUUGCAGUAAAACUAAGCGAGCAACUGUUUGACUUUCAAGCAACAGCUAAAUCAGCUAUUAAAAUUCAAAUAAAAUCAUAAUAGAAUAAUAACAGGCCAUCUUGCAUCAAAAAUUAAGUUUAAUUUGUGAAUUGUUUUCUAUAGACAUGUCAGUUUCUGCUAUUGAAAUGUUAAAAGCAUUGAAAAAUUAUUCAAUAAAUUAUGCAAGCAUUAAAAUAGAGGACAUAUUAAAAAGUUUCUAAUUACAAUGUUAAUAUUUCCUAUAUUUUAGCAUUUGCAUAUUUUAAUUUAUUUAAAAGCUACGUUGAUCAACUUUGGGCAUGAAGAUUUUAGCUUAUACGAGACUUGAUUGGAAUAUGCAUAAGAGUGUUAAAAUAUGAUGCAUCCAAUGAAAGACAAACCACGUGUAGUCUUUUAAUUAAGCCAAAGUAGCAGCUCAAACAAAUGACACUUGGACCAACAUGCAAUCAUGAAGUGGCCGGAAAAAGGACAAAUGCAACUUUGGCUUAAAUAAAAAAUAACAUGUGACUCGACUUUUGCUGGACAUGCAUCAUGUUAUCACAAGACAACAGAAAUCAGUAUGAUAGUACUAAAAGUUGACAAUAACAUGAAGAUAAGAGGCAGAAUGUCAACACAUGCAUAGGCACACACAAGAAAGUAUUAACUUAUAUACCAUAGCAAAAAGUCUUUGAUAUGUCAUCUGUUGCUGCUGUGAUUCAACUGACAGCAUGGCAGCUGUUGCUUCUCUACCAAGAGCCAUUAUUGUAGAUUUAAGCUCGGUCAAUCUUGCUUCUGCAUUUCGAAGCUUCACAGCACUCUCUGCUGAUAUAUCAGAUUCCCUAAUCUUUGAUCGGCGCCUAAAUACUUCAGCUGCCUGGUGAAAAUAUUCAAUAUAAAUCUAACAUAAUUCUCAUCUUGCCUUAUACAUGCAUAUGUUAACUCAAAGCUUACCUGGGCUUCAACUUCAUGUCGAAGUUUGUCAUAACGAUGAGUCAGGUGUCGAGCAUCUUCCAAAGGUGCUCCGUUGAUUAACGCCCGUAGUGGCUCAGAUACCUACAUGUCCAAAAACCUGUAACAUAGUUAGAAAAAUGAAAAGAAAGAGCGAAACCUCAAUUAAAAAGUUCCUCCAACAUAAUCAUGGAAUUUGGGCCUACUUCAAGGAUAUAUAUAAGGAUAAUUUCUGCAAUUUUGGGUCUUAGGAUGAUUGAUAUUAGGUUAUUGUUCUUCUCUUCUGUAUUUAAGGUUAAAAUAGAAAUAAACCUAUGCAAAUAUCUAAAUUAGGCCUGUAAGACAUCCACAUGCAUCCUUCAGCCUCAUGGAUUUGAUUUUACUAUAGAUGCAAGUGUCUUUAUCGAAAAUGCUUGGAGUCAAUUGAGAGAACUCAUGGCCAAUAACUUGUCACACGCUAGUGUUUGCUAGUGAUGUAAGAAGUCACAAGGUCUCUUCAACAUUUGAACCAAUAAAAUUAUUAAGUCAUGGAUGUCACUAGCAAUGAUUUUAAUAUAAAACAUUAAAUAUUUCAGAGUUGUAACUUUAAAAUGGAUUCUUUUAUUCAAUAUCAUAGAACUAAGUUUCCUUAUGAGAAGAUAAUAGUUUCGAUAAUAAUUUUACAUAUAAUUUUCUAUAUUUGAAUUAUUUUCUAGUUAGGGAUGAACUAACCUGAUCACGAAGAAUCCCGAGCAAAGUUUCCCUCUCAUUUUCCAUCAAAUCAUGUGAAGUGCCAAAUUGAAGAGCAGCUCUUGCAACGCAAGAAUUGUCACUUUGAUUCUCUGCUCCAUACUUGCAACAAUCUUCCGCCAACUUUCUCGCUACAAUAUUUGUACACAAGAACUAGUCAAGAAAAUAAAAAAAAAAAUCAAAUAUUAUAAAGAAAGCAAGAGCAAACAAACAACUUAUUUCCAUUUGGUUCAAGCUUACUGCAACAAACCCUUCAACGCCACGGACAAUAUUCCUCUGAAAAUGCUGUGCUACAGAGCAUAUAUUCCAAAUUAUUGUUCAGAUAAAACCAUAGAAACCAUCAUAAUUAUUCAACAUACAUUAAGCUCCGUUUGGUAAAUACUUGCAACUUCAGUCUAGAAAAUACAGUUAAUUUUUAUUUAAAAAACAUCAUAAUUAUCAACAUACAUAUUUGACAAAAUUAUUAUUUAAAAAUCAUAUCAAAUUAAUUACCAAAAGCCACAAUAAAUCAAUAUCAAACAGAGUCUUAUUAUUAGCUAAAGGAGGAUAGUACCUUAGCUGCCCUGGUGGAAUUGUAUAGAUUUUGAAGUUGUUGGUGACACUCAAUUUCAGCUUCAUCAACCACAACAUUUUCAAUACCAAGAUGGAGCAGAUGCUUCAAUACUGCCUGUACAAAUCAUAAAAAACGAAUAAAAAUAAAUAAAAUCGAGAUAUUUCACUAACUAAGAGUCUAAAUAUAAUUUUUUUAAAAAGAAAAGAAACGGACUUGCUGCUGCUUGGCGACUUGUUCUCGGAGCUUGAUUGCCUGUUUCUUGAUAGCUUCCAUACUGUUUCUUUCAAAAAGCGACGACGGCUCAGCUCAUGGAGGUGGAAAAAAAAAGUGUGAUCGGGAAAAAUAAAAAGGCAUGAAUAAUUUUUGAAAAAAAGCGAAAAUCAAGGAAAGCCAGCUCUUUCCAGAAAAUAAAAAAAGAAAAAAGAAAAAAGAAAAUUAUAAGGUUGAAAGGAGUAGAUGAUAGUGGAAGUGUGCGGUGUAGCUGCCAGCUACUUGGAUUGUAUUGUCGGGUAAGGUAAUAGUAGAGAAUUUUUUAAGAAGCUAGAACAGAGCAUGACAUUAGACUUUUGUUGACCAAAGGAUGUUGUUUUAUUCUUCUUAUACUUUACGCUUGCAUCAGCCUCAAUCACUUCUUAAUCGCUUGCUUUAACUGCAUCGCUCUCUCUGUGCUCUUCUAUAUAUGUGACGGUUAUGCGGUUGUAGUUCACGGCUGAGGCUACGCGUUGGUUUGACGUGUCAGUUACGUUACAAGGGGAUAAAUAAGAUUGGUUGCAACAAACCCACUAAUUUUAUAAAAUUCGAGUAAUAUAGAAUAAAAUAAAAAAAUAAAUACAAAAUUGGCUUUUAUUUUUUAUGGUUGACUGUAUUUUGUGUUCUCUUCCGGCACUACUACAAUUGUUCCCCAUAUAUCAGUCACACCUAUAUAUCAUUAACAUAAGAAAUGAAAUCUAAUGUCACCUAUUUAGUUAAAGAAUCACUCAUGAAAAUUUUUUACCAUUUUGCUUUGAGGAUCCAUAUUUUGAACUGCAAGCUAAUGUUCAUCAAGAAUCACUAAUGUUCAUAAAAAACAGAACAUGGCCGUUGAGUAGAAAAACUAUUUUUGGACAAAUUAUUUUUGUUGAUAGAAGAAUUUCUUAAGGGACUACUAAAAUUAUUAAUAAAAAUGUAGAACCACCCACAUAUCAUCUACACAAUUGACUUUGAGGAUCCAUGCUUUGAAUUGCCGCCUAAUGUUCAUCAAGAACAGAGUAUGCCUUGUGAGUAGAAAAUUUUAUGAUUUUGGCCCGAAAUAAAAGGAAAUUAAAUUAGAUGAGAAUCUGCCACUUUCUCAUGAAAAAAGGCAUACGGAGCAUACCAUGGUACCAUACGGAGAAUAUUAGAACCACCCUAGAAUAUCUUUACCCUGAUGUUUCUAACAAAAAUCUGCAUGUGGCAGCAAUUACUAGAUCUACAAUUUCCCAAAUAAUAUUUUGUGUUUCUUAAAAAAUUUGAAAUACAUAGUUGCACUUGCACACCGUGAGACAGUGCUACAAUCUACUGAGAUCUAAAUUAUAUGAGACUUUAAGCUACUAAUGUUUGCAUAUUUCUACAUGUCAAAUUAACAUUACCAUCUAUAAUCCGAAACGACAGAUGAUAAACGGCUUUUGGCCACUUAUUACUAGCAUCCACAAUUAAUUUUUGUUCAGCAAUCAGCUUAUUUUAUAGAAAUUGAUUUAGUCAGCAACAAACACUAUAAUUGCUACUAUGUACGAACUGGUCAUGAAUUAUCUAUAAGAUUUUUCAUGUUGCUUUUAGGUGCAUUGGAUUUUUUGAGUUUAGUGCAAGAGUAGAGGAAGGCAAAUUAAGAAAAAGGAUAAAGAUCUAUAAUUAGCUUCUCAUAACAUAUUGAUGGUAACAUUAUACAUAUGUAUAUCUAAAUAAUGGGGUUGGAUCAGGAGCCCAUUAAUAAUCAUAUAUUAGCUCAUAUAGUUAAAAAAAAAAAUGUACCAUAAAGCCAUUUCACCAGCACUUGUUAGCCUAUGUUGAGCUUUAUUAUCAAUACUUCAUAGUUCAUCGGUGCACUGCAGGUUUACUAUUUGAAGUAAAUGUUAUGGUGCGUGCAUUCUUCAUAAGGCCAACUAUUGAAUUUAGCAUUGAAACUUACAAAAUGUAAUAGAAAGAGGUAGAUAACAGCCAUAAAACACUAAGAUUGGAAAUCAGGGCUACUAUACUAUUACAAGCCCUUAGAAAAGACAGUGAUCAUCCUGAAAUGUAUCUACUGAAAGUAAGAAAUAUUAAUCGUAAAGUUAUGUGUCAACAGAACUAUUGACUACUUGUCUCUAGUAGAAAGUAAAUAUUUUUAACUCCAGCUCUCUACUUUGUUUUAAGAGCUAGGCAAAAGAAGAAAAUUUCGAUGUCUAAAGUUUGCCACUUGGAAUAUUUCACUGUCUAAACAUUCACUCACCACUUAUUUCAUCAACGAAUUUUGUCUAAUUAUAUGUUGAUAAAGAUAUUAGAGUAAUAUAAUGCGUUUAAGGCUUAACUUAUAUUUUUUAUUAGUAGAGUGUAGAACUUUUAAGAAAUAAAUUAUUAAAUUACUAUAACUAACAUAUUAUUUUAAAGUUAUGUUAAGGAAAAGAAUGAAACAAAAAUAAAUAAAUAAAUAAGGGUAUUCUAAAACUUUGAUCUUUUUAAAAGUAGAUUUUGACAUAGAUAAAAUAAUUUUUAUAUUUUUUAAAUCACAUACUCUAGUUAAAAUCAAAUUUGUAUUUAUAAAAUUUGUAAAUUUAUUUAUUUUUUUAGCACUGAUAUUUGAACACUAUCAAGAUAAGAAAUAGGGUACUGGUCAUGCUACAACAUUAUCAUAGCACGUAAAAAGACAAUACCAUUUAUUUUAUUGUACUAUCAUUGUUGUUAUAAUAGUAUUUUGUUAGUGGUCAAAUAUUUUUUUUUUAAGUAAAAAAAGUGAACAAUGUAAAUUAACUUUUAAUCUCUCCUAAAAUUCUAAUUCCUAGUUACGAAACAAAAUUGUUUGAAAAUCAUUAGGCUAACUGCAUGGGUUCUUAAAACCAUAGGUGAUAGAAGUUACUAACACAAGCAAAUUUGACGGUCCAUUUUAUAAAAUUUGUUAUUUACCAUUUUACCACCUAUAUAAGGAGUGCCGCAUCGACAUAUCAACUCAUUUGCAGAUUAUUUUAAUUUUGUAAAAUUCAUUUAACCUGCACUUGGUCGCCCCUAUUCUCUGAAUGGUUAUGGCGAUAUCAUCAUUAUCGUUACUUGUACCAACGCUAAACCCUUCUUAUUCCCUUUCUCGCCUGUCAUACCCUAACAUUAUAUCCCGUGUCCACACUAAAGACAAGUAGUCAAUUCAGGCCAUCAGAUUAUAGUGGACCCACAUCAAUCCAACUGCUCACAAUGACCGACAGCCUCUCCAUCUCCAUUUCAGGUUUCCUCUUCAACUGGCUUCUGCUUCCGCCGUAUUUGCUCCAUUUCUUGGAUUCGGAGUCCGUAUUUGGUCGGUCGGUCCCGCACAGCUCCCUCUCACUCCAAUUGUCACCCAACAAGACCAAUUGCUUAAUCAAGGCACAGAACAAGAAGAGGAUGGGAAAUUGAAACAAGAAUUUGAGAAUUGGAAAUCGAAAACGUCCGCAUUGACCGUGCCUUUGAGGGCAAUUACUUUUCUUGAGAAUUGAAGUUUGGUAAUGUAAUUUGUUCUCCAUCUGUGUUCCCUUUGUAGUCAUUUCAUUUAUUUGUUUGUUUGCUUUUAUUUGCAGGAGAAAUUGAUCCUCGAGAUAAAAGUAAAUUGUCUUUAAGCUCAUUUAGUUUUAUAUCAAACAAAAUCAAGACUGCCUUUUUCUUCAAUAGUUUUGAUGAUAAUAUCUUUAGAAGCAUCUCAUUGACAGGUAAUCGUGGUACCCCUUAAAGAGUCUAUAAACUCAAGGAUAUUAUCUUCUGCAAAUGGUUCAUUAAACUUCUUAGAUGUAGUUAAAUGUACACUGAGAACAACGAGAAGCUAUGCCACUGUAGCAUGUAGUGAUGGCACUUAAUGAGUGAGUUGCUAGGAUAUGAACUAGAAAAAUUAAACAUUGUCUCCCUGGGUAUGCUAGCUUGUAAGUCGGUUAAUAUUAGAGCUUGAGAUACUAUAACCAUGAGAAGCUAUUGACCGCCGAUUAAAAUAUCCAUUAAAAUGUCUAGGGAGUUAUGAAGGUGGAGGUGUCUCCCAAUUUCUAAGGCCAUAUAGUAGACAUCAUCCAGGAUCCUAUUAAAGUGCAGUUAGCCUCCUGCUUGAUGCUAAUGUCAAACAAUUAAUAAAUUUGGUCAAUGUAACUGAAACUUGCUAACUGACGUCAGAUUGCGACUUGAGCACCUUAAAAUGGGAUAGACGAUUAGUAGCACUGAAUUCUUCUUGCCUAAGAUUGAGCAAUUGUUCUAACUACUAUCUCCUAUUGUAGGUUGAUUAUUAUGUUCUAAUUAUGUCGAUUUUGACCCAAAAAAUUACAUAAUCUUGAUCUGCAUAAUGUCACUGAACAGUGUCAAUUUCGUUUACCAACUAACUUGAGUUUGAUAUAACAAACACACGGUGUGUCUCUCAUGUCUCACCAUGAUGGAGAAUUUUUCUAAUGCAUGAAGCAAGCUUCGAUAUGUGGGUUAGCUUGGAGAAGAUAUCUUAAAAUGAAGAAUAUGGGGAGUUAAUGGGAAGAAACAGUUCAGUAGUUUAUAAUUCUGUCGUCGAGCUGUAUCUCUAACAUGGUCAAAAUUUAUGUGAAUAAGGACAGGGAAUCUUCAUUCCUCUUUCCCUUUUUAUACCCACAUAUCUCUCAACCUUUAUAUGUUGCUCACUGGAGAUCUGCUUCUGAUAACUAAAAUAAAAAUUUCAUCCACUCAAAUAAAUUCUGACCAAGCUUUCACAAGAAAAAGUAACAUCUUUAGUGAAGUAAUUUACAAGUAAUUUAGAGUUCCUUAUCAUCUUCUUGUGAGUCUAUCAGUAUGAUCCAAAAACAUAAUAAAUCUUGUUAGAUCCUGUUUAUUGAUGUUUAAACGCUGCUCAUUGUGAAAUGUAGAAACAAUGACGUGAAGUUUCUUUGGUCAUCAAUUAGUGAGAUCUUGUUUGAAGUUGUUUUCUGAAAUGAACUGCCAAAUGAUAGUUUUUUUUUUUUUUUCUUUGGACGCAUUUGAUGGCUCUUUUCUCCUCAUUUUAAGCAUGUGCCUGCUUGGUAUGGGAAGGAAUAGGCUUCAGAGUUGUUAUAUAUGUUGACAUGCUCUGGUCAUUACACAAUAUGUUCAAAUUGGAAAUUAGAAUGAGAUAUUUGUCGAUGCUUUUUGAGAGAUCUGCAUUCUAUGCAGCAUAACAUGAUUAAUGAAAAUGGGUUUAAGGACUGGAAAGAUCUGUGGCAGCCCAAGCUUGCAGGAAGGAUUUCAAUGGUUAAUUCUCCCAGAGAGGUUAUUGGUACAGUUUUGAAGUAUAUGGGAGCAUCAUACAAUUCAAACGACAUUAAUUAGCAAGUUGCUGCUGGGAGGAUUGCUGUUCAGCAGAAUCUGGCAUUACUGGGAAACCAGGUACUCUUAAAGAAACGAUAGCUGGUCAAUGCAUAUUAUUGCCUGACGGCUGAUUUUGUUUGUAAAGUGUGCCUUUUCAUACAUAUGAAUGCAUAUGUUAGUGUUGUCUUCUUCUUUCCAUAAAUAUGAAUGCAUAUGUUGGUGUUCUUUUCUGAGAUGGAUGCAAUAAAGGCUUUUUCUUCUAAAUGACGAGUUUUCAUUUAAAAAUGUUAUAAAUCUGCCAUGCAUAGUAUUCUAGUAGAAUCAUCUAUAAAUUCAAGUUAUUGAAAUUGUCUAUUUGUCCAGUUUGAGUUAAGGACGCAUGUAAUAUGAAAAAUAGUUGUCGAAUAUUGUAGGUUAGCUAAUAUUUGAUCAAUCCUAUAGGGAGGGCUUUAAGAUGUCUAACAACAUGUAGAAUGCCCCUGCUUCCCCCACAAUUUUUAUCUUAUACAAUUUUUAUCUAUAAACAGUAUUUGCCAGACCUUAACUGUUCAGAUUCCCCUUCUCGACUAUCAUACCCUACGCCCCGUCUCCGUGUCUCCGAUAAACAGUGCUCAAUUAAGGCCAUCAGAUUAUCCCGGUCCCACAUUGAUCAACGGCUCACAAUGACCGACAACCUCUGUCUCCAUUACAAGCUCCCUCUUCAACUCGCUUCUGCUUCCAUCCUACUCUUUCUCAGAUUCGGAGCCCGUAUAUGCUCGGCUGGUCCCACGAAGCUCCCUCUCACUCCAGCUGUCAACCGACAAGACCAAUUGCCUUAUCAAGACAGAGAACAAAAAGAGGAUGAGAAAUUGAAACAAGAAUUUGAGAAUUGGAAAUCGAAAACGUACUCAUUGACCGUGCCUUUGAGAGUUGUUUCUCUUCAGAAUUCAGUGCCUCAAUCUUGGGUUAAGGAUUUUAUGCGAAGUCAAGGAAAGUGAUUGAAGUUUCAGAUGAAUUUGUGUGCUAGCAUUGGUGGGAUCUUUAACAAUUUAUCUGUGCCCUUUAACAAAGUCAAGGCUAAUUCAGCUUCUUAUAUGGCUGCUGAUUUGGUUAGUGUUGGUGAUUCAUGGCUUAGUUUUGCCAUUAAAGAGAGAUUGAUUGAGCCAAUGGCUGGAGCUGAAGACCAAGAUUGGUUCAAAUGCUUAAGUCACAAAUGGAAGGUAACAUCUUUAUCUUUGGCCCGAUAAUUUUUAUUGUCUUACAUUGAAAUUUGGUAAUGUAAUUUGUUCUCUAUCUGUAUUACCCUUUUUAGUCGUUUUAUUUAUUUGUUUAUUUGCUUUUAUUUGCACUAACGAAGUCUCAGGUAUAUCUAUGCAGAAUGAUGCAGGAGAAAUUGAUCCUCGAUGUGAAAUAUGGGCGGCACCAUACAGGUGGGGCACAAUGGUGAUAGCCUACAAGAAAAGUAAAUUUCGAAAGCAUAAUUUGGCUCCGAUUGAGGUAAUAAUUGUCUUUAAACUCAUUUAGUUUUAUAUCAAACAAAAUCAAGACUGCCUUUCUCUUCAAUAUUUUUGAUGAUAAUAUCUUUAGAAGCAUCUUAUUGAUGGGUAAUAAUUGUAUCCCUGAAACAGUCUAUAAACUCAAUGAUAUUAUCUUCUACAAAUGGCUCAUUAAACUUUGUCGUUGUAGUCAAAUGUACACUCAGAGCAAUGACAAGCUAUGCCACUGUAGCAUGUAGUGAUGGCACUUAAUAAGUGAGUUGCUAGGAUGUGAACUAGAAAAAUUAAAUAUUGUCUCCCUGGGCAUGCUAGCUCAUAAGUCAGGGUUAAUAUUAGAACUCAAGAUACUAUAACCAUGAGAAGCUAUUGACUGCCAAUUAAAAUAUCCUUUAAAAUGUCUAGGAAGUUAUGAAGGUGGAAGUAUCUUCCGAUUUCUGAGGCCACAUGGUAGAUAUCAUCCAGGAUCCUAGUACAGUGCAGUUAACCUCCUGCUUGAUGCAAUUAAUAAAUUUGGUCAAUGCCACUGAAACAUGCUAACUGACGUCGCAAUGCGACAUGAGCACUUCAAAAUGGGACAGACGGUCGGUAGCACUAAAUUUUUCUUGCCUAAGAUGAGCAAUUGGUCUAACUACUAACCCCUUUUGUAGUUGAUCAUUAUUUUUUCAAUUAUUUUCAGUUUGACCCAAAACGUUACAGAAUCUUGAUCUGAAUAUUGUCACUGAACAUUGUCACUGAACAUUGUCAAUGUCGUUUAGCGUAGCCAACUAACUUGAGUUUGGUAAAACAAACACACAGUGUGUCUCAUGUCUCACAAUUCAAAUUAUCAUUUGUAAUGAUGGAGAAUUUUUCCAAUGUAUGAAGUAUGCUUUGAUACGUGGGUUACCUUGGGGAAGGUAUCUCAAAAUAAAGAAUAUGGGGAGAAAACAGUUCAGUAGUUUAUUAUUCUGUAGUCAAGUUUUGUCUCAAAAAUGGUCCAAAUUUAAAUGAAUAAGGACGGGGGAUCUUCAUUCUUUUUUCCCUUUUUUAUACCUAGAUAUCUCUCAACCUUUAUAUAAUCCCCACUGGAUAUCUGCUUCUAAUAAUUAAAAUAAAAAUUUCACCCACACAAAUAAAUACUGACCAAGCUCUAACAAUAAAAAGUAACUUCUUUAGUCAAGUGAUUUACAGUUCCUCAUCACCUUAGUGAGACUAUCAGUGUGUUCCAAAAACAUAAUAAAAUUGGUUUGUUCCUGUUUAUUGAUGUUUAAAUGUUGUUCAUUGUGACAUGUAGAAAUGAUGAGGCGAAGUUUAUUUGGUCAUCAAUUUGUAAGAUCUUGUUUGAAGUUGCUUUCUGAAAUGAACUGCCAAAUGGUAGUUUCUUUGGGCAUUUGAUGGCUCUUUUUUCCUCAUUUUUAAACAUGUGCCUGCUUGGAACAGGAAGGAUUAGGCUGCAGAGUUGUUAUAUAUUUUGACAUGCUCUAGUCAUUGCACAAUUUGUUCACACUGGAAACUAGAAUGAGAAAUUUGUUGCAUUCUAUGCACAAUAACAUGAUUAAUGAAAAUGGAUUGUAGGACUGGAAAGAUCUGUGGCAGCCUGAGCUCGCAGGACGAAUUUCAAUGGUUAAUUCUCCCUGAGAGGUUAUUGGUUUAGUUUUGAAGUAUAUGGGAGCAUCAUACAAUUCAAACGAUAUUGAUUCGCAAGUUGCUGGUGGGAAGAUUGCUGCUCAGCAGAAUCUGGCAUUACUGGCAAACCAGGUACUCUCAAAGAAAUGAUAUCUGGUCAUUGCAUGUUAUUACCUGACAACUGAUUUUGUUUGUAAAAGUCUGCUUCUUCAUACAUAUGAAUGCAUAUGUUAGUGUUUUCUUCUCCUUUUCAUACAUAUGAAUGCAUAUGUUGCUUCUUUUCCUUUCCAUACAUAUUAAUACAUAUGUUGGUGUUCUCUCCUGAGAUGGAUGCAAUAAAGGUUUUUCUGAAGAAAUGGCAAGGGAUGUGAGAUUCUGUCUCAUAAAAUUAACAAAAACCCAAAACAAUGAAAACCCAUAAUAAUGUGGUGUGGGUAAAUUGACGCCAUUUGGUUCGUUUCCUUGAUGUGAAUACGCGGGCAAUAGAGACUAACAAAAUGAAGUGACAACAAGAAGUCAGUGUCCUUUGAUGGAUGCAUUUUUAGGCAGAAAUAGGUUUGUAAUUGACCAAAUUUGUCUGGCAUGCCAAUUUCAAAAAAAAUUAAAUUAUGUGGUUAUUAGCUGUAAUGAAGGGGGAUUGUAGGUCCAAUCAGGUGGAUCCAUGAAAGUUCAACAAAGUUCUGGUAUGGCGUAGAAAUUGGUUUGUGCAACUCAAGAGUCUUUCUGGUGAACGAUGAUGGGUUUUGAUUUAUAAAUGUUAUAAAUCUACUGUGCAUAGUAUUCUAGUAGAAUCAUCUAUAAGUUCUAGUUAUUGAAAUUGUCUACCUUGUUCAGUUUGAGUUAAGGGCACAUGUAAUAUGAAAAAUAGUUGUUGCAUCUUUUAGGUUACCUAACAUUUGAUCAAUCCUAUUAUGAGGGCUUCAAGAUGUCUAACAAUAUGUGGAAUGCCCAUGCUCCUCCCCAUUGUUUAUCUUAUAUAAUAAUUUGUUUUAGAUGCUAAUAUCUUUGUCGAUACCGGUAACAAUAUUACAAUAUCUGCGUUUAUUGGGUUUUACAUAGGUUCGACUGUUUGACAGUACACACUCUCUGAAGGCAUUUGGAAAUGGAGAUGUAUGGAUUGCUGUUGGGUGGAGUAGUGAUGUUCUUCCUGCUGUCAACGUAUGUCUAAUGUUGCAGUUGUUGUUCCCAAGUCUGGUGCUAGCUUAUGGGCUGAUCUUUGGGUAUACCCAUGCCUGCCAUUCUACUUCAAUAUUCACAUUGUUAUCUCCUUCAUAUUAGUGAUCAGUAAACACGAUAAUGUGACUAAUAAGUUCGUAUUCUCUUUAUAGGCAAUCCCUGCUGCCUCAAGACUUGAAACAAAACAAAUUGGAGGGCGAGUCAGAGGUGCAUUUCCAUUAAUCCAUCAAUGGAUAGAAUUCUGCUUGCAAACAGCGAGAGCAUUGCCUUUCAAGCAAGAGGUUAUCCCGAGCGCAUCUCCCUCUGCCCUUGAGAGUACUCUGGUUAAGUUGCCUGAAAACUUUGAAGGGUAAACCAAGUCUGGAUACUAACUUAAUUGCUGGAGUACCCCUGACGGAAAUUCUGGCAGAUGUGAGUUUUUGGAGCCAUUAUCUGAAGCUACAUUGUCGGAUUAUGAGUGGCUGGUUGCUAAUCUGCAAAAAUCCACUCUGUACUGAUCAACAAAGAUGCAACAUUACAUGUCAUCAUUGAUCUUUAGCUAAAGGUACAUUGAAAAGUUAAUGGCACUGCAUACCAGUCAUUAUAAUUGGGUCAGGGCAAUUGGGUCAGGGCAAUUGGGUCAGGGCAAUUAGGUCAGAGCAUAACUUCAUUAGGAAAAGAGGCUUCAGCUACGUUAAAUAUUACAGGAUGUACUGAGAUGGCUGAAGUUGUUGACGUUGUACGAGAAACGAAGAUGAGUGUUUGUUUGAACAAAGUUGUUGCCAAUCUUGCAGAGUUCGAGAAGAAAGAUCACGAAGCAAAUGCCACGAUUUCUUCAUCACUGUAGCCUCCAUAGUUGAAGUUUCCUCAUUUGAAGCUGUUUAUGCAUAUGCUUUUUUUCCCUUCUCAAGUACAGGAAAUUGAAGAAUUAACCAGAUGUGAAUAUGCUGAAAGAGGGAAGUUUUCUCCCUUGAAUGUGGCCUUGUGAUUUGUCUUGAAGGAAUAGGAUGAUCACUGGCAAGAACCCUAUCAAGGUAGAUUUUAUGAUGUUAACAUAUUAUUAAGCAUUUUUGUUACAUCAGCAAUGAUGCUUUCAUAGCAUGAAAGUGUUUAAAUUUAACUGAAUGAUCUUGAUUGAUCAAUUAUGAGUUUUAAUCGAGUAAAAACUAAAUACAUAAUCGUUAACAAUAUUGAAAUUGGGUAAAUAUGAUCUUGAUAUUGAUGAAUUUGAAAUCACAACCCACACAGGAAAUCACCCUCGCGUGGGGAUGGAAAUGUUUACUGCAGCGAUAUUGAAUAUGUCCACUGCUGGACUAAUUCUGAUUACCUAAUUGACUCAGGAUCGGCUGGCAAUAAUAACAGUUUAUUAACAAUGCACAGUCCGAGUACUUUUCCAGGAUCAGAUACGACGUGGUCUAAUGUUGAUAAUAAUAGAUUAUCAAAUGACAAAUCGUUGUUCUACUAUUGCAAGCCCCCAGAUUUAAGAAUCUUUUUCAGAAAUUAAAUACAUUCUGAGAGAUGCUGGUCUACUAUUGCAAGCCCCCAGAUUUAAGAAUCUUUUGACGGUAAUUUAUCACCUGUAACUGUGCCGGAAGAUUCAACUAGCACUGAAAAAGAUGAUAAAUUAAUUGAUAUGGAGAGUUUUCAUAUCACUUUUAAAUCAUCUUAUGUAAUUGUGAUGUUAGGAAGCAUUAGUGAUCUAUAUGUGAAUUAUUAUUGGCGCCAUUGGUGGUUUUAUCUUGUUAAAAUAUGGAUGAAUUCCAGUUACUAUUUUGUUGCAGACAAUCUUCUUCAAUUAACAUAUGGUUUAAAAUCAUUAUGUAAAUCAAUCUAUUAAUUUUCAAGAUAUUUAACUGAGUUAAAACUAAGUGCACUCAAUAAAUCUCUUUUCCUUUAAAAAACUGUUACGCUUUAUUUUAGUGCUUAAUAUUUAUUGAACUCCGAUACAGGGAAUUUGAAAUCAAACUCGUAACUACAUAUUAUCUAAUUGCAAGUUUCUAUCCAUAGCUGCUGAUUUGUAGUGAUUAUCUAAUUGACUGAGGUGACGACAAUUUUUUUUUUUUUAAAUUUUCAAUAGCACAAUGUGGAAUUCAAUAAUUAAAUUCUCCUUUUUAAUUUGUUUCCAGUUAAAUUAUUAAUUACUUAAACUCUGUUUUAAGUCUUUAAGUUUAUGUGUUUAUGCAGAAUUGGAUUCUUGAGCGUGUUGGACACGACCAACAAUGAAAUUGACAGUAAAAAAACAAUACAACGUGUGGACUCCGGUAGAUGCCAUACAAGUCUACAACUUUACAAAUAAUAAUUGAGUAAGCAACUUUGAUUCUCGGGGCCCUUCAAUGAAUUUCUAGCCCCGUUGACUCCGCCAACUAAAGUUUGUAAAAUAAAAAAAUACAUAGAAUUCCACUAAAUGCAAAACGCGUGGAAUUUAAUUUUCGGCCAUGUGGACCAAAACAUAAUUUAAUGAAAAAGGAAAAAAAAUGAUAAGAUUUCUAAAAUAUGUGAAAGAUGAUCCAUAUUUUACUGAAACGACUUAUUAAAUUUUUCAAAGAUUUAGAAUAUUUAGUCAUAAAUUACGUGCAUGUUAAUUUUUCCGCCAUUGACUAUCAUAUUCUAAACUUAAUAGUACAUUUCUUGUUGAAGGGUACUUAGUCUCUCUUCUCCUCUUAUAAAAAUUAUUGAUGGAUUUCUUGUUAUAGUUAAUAGUCUUUAAGAACGGAUAACUUUAUUGUUUUCGUGACCAAAUUAUGUCCGCCUAAGGUUGUGACUAUUAAUAAAAUUAAUAUUUUAAUGUUUAUGUUAAAAGAUAUAAGAUUUUAUGCGUUCAUUAAUUGUUAUUAGCUAAAGGAUGAAUUAUUUUUUCAACCCAAUCAGUUGAUGCAUCUGCAAGAGUUUUUUUCUUUAUUGACCAUAAUUAUGUUCCGGGUACAAUAAAUUGUCUUUGGUGCUUGGAAAAUAUGACUUCUUACUUCAAGUUUGAUAUGUCUCUCUCCAUAAACUUACUGGAAAUAUAUCCUCAUCUACUGUCAUUUAUCUAAUAUCAAUUGAAGAUCUCACUUUUUCAACUAUCACUUCCAAGUCUCAUUGUCACUUGGCCAUUCUUGGACCAUUCAAAACCAAUCAAGUGUUGAAAUAAUCAAAUAUAUGCAAAAUUAGAGUCACGAUUUUUUGGUCCCCCAAAUUCUAAUUAUAUAACUUCUAUAUAUUUCAUUGCCAGGUCACGAACUUGUUGGCACAUUUUCCAAAUUCCUCUUCCAUCAGCUCUCACACGUUAACUUAAGUGGAAAGUUUCCAAGUUGAUUGCUAGAAAGCAACGCAAAAUCAGACACACUUGAUCUGUCCCCUAAUUCUCUUUUCUACGUUGAAAAAGAAAAAAAAAAAAAUACAUAUAUAUAUAUAUAUAUAUAUCUAUGUAAAAAUAAAUAAUAAACUGAGUAAAAGUACAUUUGUUUAAUUAACAUCUGAUCGGGGCAUUUUUGGUGUAAGCCACAACUAAAAUCAAACAGCCCCUUAGCAUACUUCUUCCAUUUUAUCUGCUACUUUUGUGGAUCUUAUAGGGUGGGCAUGUGGACAGAAUUUAAAAGUUUUAAUAGGCUCAAAGAAGAAGAUGUGUUAAAUCUAAAGUUGUUGCACCUUCUGAUUAAAUAAAGUUGUACAAUUUCAUCAACUUGAAAGAAUUGACAUUAAUGAACUGGUCGCCUCUCCAUGUAUGAAGCCUUCUUAAAAGUUAAUUUUUAUUUCAGAAAAAAAAAGUUUAAGUUACAUAUAUUACAGUAAGAUUUUUUUGAGACCAAUUCCCUUCUUGAAAUAUAAUAGAAAAGUAUUAAUUUAAAAAUAAAAUGAAUAUGUAUUGAUUAUAUCCUGAUUUUCAUCGAUUAUAGUUAGAGAGUUUCACCAAAUCAAUUCCUUAUUCAAAUAAUACAGAAAAAAUAGUAAUUUAAUAGUAAAAUAAACAGGUGUUGAUUAUAUAUCCUAAGUUUCAUCGAUUAUGUGAUCAAAGUGGCAUUGUUGAUUUAUUUUUGUUCAAUGUUAAUUUUUAGGUUAUAUAAAUUUCAAGGAUUUAAAAUCUUUGGCCAUGAAUUACACGCUUGUUAAUUUUCCUGCCAUUGACUGUCAUAUUCUAGACUUAAUGAUACCUUUCUUGAUCAAGGGUAAUUACUCUCUCUUCUCCUCUUAUAAAUUCCUCUUCCAUUAACAUCACUAGGAGUAUGUUGAUCUCUCAGACGUUAACUUGAGUGGAGAGUUUCCAAAUUGAUUGUUACAAAACAACACAAAAACUAGACACACUUGAUCUGUCUAAUAAUUCUCUUUCGGUAAAAUUAAAUAAUUUUAGGGGAAUAUUCGGCCAACCUCUAUAAUUUCAGAGUGAUCAUUAAUUAAUUAAUCGAUACAAAUAUCUAAAGUGAUUAAAUGUGACUUGAAAUUUGAUCUCUAUCGAUUGGUUUACAAAUGGACGUACUUGUGCCUUUGUGGCGAUAAUCGAACAAGUACCCAUGAUUAUUAUUUUUUCCAAAAACUUUUUUACAACAAAUUCAUCUCGUCAAAAAUUCUAUGUUGCUAACUAACAAUAAUUGAGCACUUGGCCGCAUUGACUCCACGUCUCACCUCUUUCUAAAUUCUAAGUAAAAACAUGGAAAUGUAAUUUCCACAAAAUGCCAAAUGUGUGGAAUUUAAUUUUUUGCCUUGUGGAUCAAAAUACAAAUGAAAGAAACAGAAGAAAAAAAAGGCCCAAAGACUUCUAAAAGAUGAAGAAGUCUUUGUGCCUUUUUAUAAUGGUGAAUUUUUUAAAAGAAAAAAAAUAACAACAUUUUUAUGGUUUGUUUUGAUAAUCAUAUUUACAUAUACUCUCUAAUUUUCAAAAUGGACACAUAAAUCUUUUUUUUUUACAAAAUAUAUAUUAUUCAUAUUUUUUUUUUAUUUUUUUUUAUCAUAUUUUAUUUAUUAUAAAUGUUUAGAGCAAAUUUUUAGGUUGAAAUAUAAUAAAAAGGUAUAAUUGUUCUCUUAUUAAACACACAUACUUUUAUUAGUUUCUAUCCAUUUGUCAUCUCAAUCUCUCUCAAUUAUUCUUUAUUGCUAGCUCAAAACGCGUUGCUGUUGCAAAUUAUAGCAAAAUGACAAAUAUGGAAAAAAAGGGAAGAAAAUUAAUGCAUGAAAGACUUGGAGAAAACAACAAAAUAAGCCAACUAUGAGCUAGUUGGGUGUAUAAAUUGUUAGAUGUGUAUAUACAAAUAGCGUAGAGCCCUCUAGUUGGUUCCAGAGACAGAAAGAGCGUGUGUGUUUUUUCACAGUUAGAGAUAUAGUUAGAAUGGGUGGUUCAAAAUCAAAAAUGAUGAUAAUGUUUAUUAUGUUAUUAAUAAUAUUUAAAAGUGGGUGGAGUGAGGGAUGUUUGGAUCACGAGAGAUUUGCUUUUUUGAGACUCAAACAUUUCUUCAAUGAUCCUCUUAAUUCUCUUUACGACUGGGUAGAUGGUGAGGGAGCUACUGAUUGUUGUCAGUGGGAAAGGGUUGAGUGCAGCAACACCACAGGCCGAGUGAUAGCACUGGACCUUUCUUAUAUAUAUUCGGGAGAGUACAGCUGGUAUCUGAAUGCUUCUUUAUUUACUCCUUCCAACAACUUGAGUCACUUGAUUUAACUCAAAACAAAAUAGCCGGAUGUGUUGAGAAUGAAGGUACUUUGUUUAAUUUAAUUAAUUUACUUUCUCCCCCCUAAUUUAAGUUGAAUAUCAAGACCGAGCAAUUAUACGCAUAUUCAUUUAGUCGACAAUUUUGACUUUUUUUUAAAUGAUUAAUUUUGAAAUUACACCAGUAUCUAUGAUCUUUUUUAUUUUAUUUUAUUUGCAGGUAUAGAGAGGCUAUCAAGAUUGAACAACUUGAAGAUGCUUAAUUUAAGUGGAAACUCAUUCAAUAAUAGCAUUUUAUCAUCUCUAACUCAUCUUUCAUCAUUAAGAUCAUUAAAUUUAUUGUGGAAUAGAUUGGAAGGAAGUAUUGACGUUAAAGGUACAUAAUUAAAACUUCAAGCUCUUUCAUUAACUUGCUAAAAUAAGAUUCAAGGCUUUGAAUUCAAUUUUUUUAUGAUUAAUAUUAAAAAAACAGUUUUAAGCAAUUUAUAAAUACAAGUUUUAAUGUUUCUUGUAAUUUCAUCUUGUACUUUCAUAUGUCUUGAAUUUAAGAUUAAAAAAAAAACUCUAAUAGCGAACCAAACACCUCCACAACUUAUUAUUAUUUGUGGUGAGGUUUGAAACAUUCAACUCAAUUUGUACUUAUUACAGAAUUUGAUUCUUUGAGAGAUUUAGAGGAGCUAGACAUUGGCGGAACAAGAUUGACAAAUUUGUGGUCUCAAAAGGUACUACAAAUACCAUAAAAAAAUAUGCUAACUUUUACAAAUUAGUUAGAUUCUUUGCCAUUUGGUUUAUUAUUUUACAGGUUUGAGUAAGUUGAAGUCUCUUGGUUUAAGUGGUAUCAAACUCAAUCGUAGCAUCUUAUCUUCUCUGACUGUCUUUCUUCGUUAAGAGAAUUAUAUAAGUGAUACGGGAUUCAAAGGAACAUUCGAUGUUCGAGGUAAGCCUAAACCUUGCUUUCUCAUUUUAUAUAUGCCAACUAGAUUUGUGUAUCAUCGACAUAAUUUAAUAUUUAAUUUGAUAAGUCUGAAUGAAUUACAUGCUAAUUUAACACUUUUAUUUACUUUGUCAAUUAAUUAAUUAAUUAAUUAUACUAUUUGGCUUGGUUUGGACGAAAUUCUCAUGAUGUUUUAAUUUCUUUAAAUUAAUUAAUUAAUUAACUCUGUUUUUAAGUCUUAAGUCUGGGCGUGUUUGCAGAUUUGAUUCCUUCAACGACUUAGAAGUGUUGGAUAUGAGAUACAAUGAAAUCGACAAUCUUGUGGUUCCUCAAGGUAAACAAUUAAAAGGUACAGAUGUGGCCAAAUUUAUAAAUAAAUUGUUAAUUAAUUAAUUUUUUCGUAUUAUUAAUAAAGCUAAAUUCGUUUGCUCCUUCCUUCUAAUUCUAAACAGAGUUGCACAAUUUCACCAACUUGGAAUAUUUGACAUUGGAAUCUUUCCUCUCUCAUAUAAGCCUUCUGCAAAGCAUUGCAUCAAUAUUCCCUUCGUUAAAAAAUCUGUCGAUGUCUUUUUGUGAAGUCAAUGGUGUCGUACGCGGUCAAGGUAAAAGAAAAGCGUUGAUUGUGAACUCACUCAAUGGUGUCCUACGUGUUCAACAUUUUUAUUUAUUUUAUUGUUUAAUGUUUCUGCUAGGUUUUCCUCAUUUCAAGAGUUUGGAACAUUUUGACAUGAGGUUCGCGCGCAUUGCGCUCAACACCAGCUUUCUUCAAAUCAUCGGUGAAUCGAUGCCCUCUCUUAAGUACUUAUUACUGUCAUAUUCUAAUCUCUUGGCACUAACAGCAGCAGGAUUCUUCAUCAAGGUUAAUGAGAUGCUGCCACCCUCCCCUCUUAACCUAUAAUAUUAAUUUUCGAUUAAAUAUUUAAUUACACAAACCAAAUCACUUAUUAUAAAAGAACAAUACGCAUUCAUUAAUUUUUAUAUUGUAUUAAUAAUUGAUGAAUUUAAUAAAUUUUCAGGCCUCUGUUCGUUGGUGCACCUGCAAGAGUUGUACAUUGAUAAUAAUGAUUAAAGAGGUAGCUUGCCUUGGUGCUUGGCAAAUAUGACAUCCUCCGAAUAUUAGAUGUUUCUUCCAAUCAACUUACGGGAAGCAUCUCCUCAUCUCCCCUCGUUCAUUUGACAUCCAUUGAAAAGUUGAUCUUUCAAACAAUCACUUUUGGAUCCCAAUUUCACUUGAACCACUUUUCAAUCACUCACGACUCAAGCUUUCUAUGCUGACAACAAAAAUAAAAGCUGAAAUAACUGAGUCACAUUCUUUGACUGCCCCAAACUUCCAAUUAAAAUAUCUCUCAUUGUCUUCCGGUUACGAAGAUGGUGUCACAUUCCCCAAAUUCCUUUACCAUCAACAUGACCUGGAGUAUGUUGACCUCUCACAUAUAAACAUGAGCGGAGAAUUUUCCAAAUUGGUUGUUGGAAAACAACACAAACUUAGAAUAUAUUUUUUGGUUAAUGAUUCUCUUGCAGGACCUUUCCGGUUGCCAAUUCAUUCACACAAGCGGUUAAGACUGUUGGAUAUAUCCAACAACAACAUCAGAGGCCACAUUCCAGUAGAAAUUGGAGAUGUUUUACCGGGUUUAUUUUCUUUAAACAUUUUCAUGAAUGCUUUAGACGGUUGCAUUCCCUCUUCAUUUGGUAAUAUGAAAUUCCUCCAAUUUCUGGACUUAUCCAACAACCAAUUGACUGGUGAAAUCCUAAGCACUUGGCCGUGGGUUGCGUCAACUUAGAGUCUCUUGCGUUGUCAAACAACAACUUAGAAGGUCAUAUGUUCUCCAGAAACUUCAACCUGACAAACUUGAAAUGGUUACAAUUGGAAAGCAAUCACUUCGUAGGAGAGAUCCCACAAAGUUUGUCUAAAUGCUCCUCACUAAAAGGAUUGUAUCUUAACAAUAAUAGUCUUUCGGGUAAGAUUCCACGAUGGUUGGGUAAUCUCACAUGGUUACAAUAUAUUACAAUGCCCAAUAAUCAUCUUGAAGGUCCUAUUCCAGUGGAGUUUUGUCAGCUUGAAUGGCUUCAGAUUUUGGACAUUUCAGACAACAACAUAUCUGGAAGUUUACCAUCUUGUUUCCAUCUUCUCUCUAUCAAACAAGUUCAUCUUUCAAAAAAUAUGUUACAUGGACAGCUAAAAGAGGUACAUUUCUUUAAUUGCUCUUCCCUUGUGACAUUAGAUCUUAGUUAUAACCGCUUGAAUGGCAGCAUUCCGGAUUGGGUUGAUGGACUUUCUCGUUAAGCCACCUUAUCUUGGCUCACAAUAAUCUUAAAGGUGAAGUGCCAGUUCAAUUGUGCAAAUUGAACCAACUACAAUUGUUAGAUCUUUCUAAUAAUAAUCUUCAUGGUCCUAUUCCUCUUUGCUUUGAUAACACCACACUUCAUGAAAGUUACAGCAAUAGUUCUAGUCCUGAUGAGCAAUUUGAAAUAUAUAUUUUUAUGUCCGCCUAAGGUUGUGACUAUUAAUAAAUUAAUAUUUAAUGUUUAUGUAAAAAUAUAUAAGAUUUUAUGCGUUCAUUAAUUGUUAUUAGCUAAAGGAUGAAUUAUUUUUCAACCCAAUCAGUUGAUGCAUCUGCAAGAGUUUUUUCUUUUAUUGACCAUAAUUAUGUUCCGGGUACAAUAAAUUGUCUUUGGUGCUUGGAAAAUAUGACUUCUUACUUCAAGUUUGAUAUGUCUCUCUCCAUAAACUUACUGGAAAUAUAUCCUCAUCUACUGUCAUUUAUCUAAUAUCAAUUGAAGAUCUCACUUUUUCAAACUAUCACUUCCAAGUCUCAUUGUCACUUGGCCAUUCUUGGACCAUUCAAAACCAAUCAAGUGUUGAAAUAAUCAAAUAUAUGCAAAAUUAGAGUCACGAUUUUGGUCCCCCAAAUUCUAAUUAUAUAACUUCUAUAUAUUUCAUUGCCAGGUCACGAACUUGUUGGCACAUUUUCCAAAUUCCUCUUCCAUCAGCUCUCACACGUUAACUUAAGUGAAAGUUUCCAAGUUGAUUGCUAGAAAGCAACGCAAAAUCAGACACACUUGAUCUGUCCCCUAAUUCUCUUUUCUACGUUGAAAAAAGAAAAAAAAAAAUAAAAUACAUACAUACAUAUAUAUAUAUAUAUAUAUAUAUAUAUAUAUAUAUAUAUAUAUAUAUAUCUAUGUAAAAAUAAAUAAUAAACUGAGUAAAAAGUACAUUUGUUUAAUUAACAUCUGAUCGGGGCAUUUUUGGUGUAAGCCACAACUAAAAUCAAACAGCCCCUUAGCAUACUUCUUCCAUUUUAUCGGCUACUUUUGUGGAUCUUAUAGGGUGGGCAUGUGGACAGAAUUUAAAAGUUUUAAUAGGCUCAAAGAAGAAGAUGUGUUAAAUCUAAAGUUGUUGCACCUUCUGAUUAAAUAAAGUUGUACAAUUUCAUCAACUUGAAAGAAUUGACAUUAAUGAACUGGUCGCCUCUCCAUGUAUGAAGCCUUCUUAAAGUUAAUUUUUAUUUCAGAAAAAAAAGUUUAAGUUACAUAUAUUACAGUAAGAUUUUUUGAGACCAAUUCCCUUCUUGAAAUAAUAAUAGAAAAGUAUUAAUUUAAAAAAUAAAAUGAAUAUGUAUUGAUUAUAUCCUGAUUUUCAUCGAUUAUAGUUAGAGUUUCACCAAAUCAAUUCCCUUAUUCAAAUAAUACAGAAAAAAUAGUAAUUUAAUAGUAAAAUAAACAGGUGUUGAUUAUAUAUCCUAAGUUUCAUCGAUUAUGUGAUCAAAGUGGCAUUGUUGAUUUAUUUUUUGUUCAAUGUUAAUUUUUAGGUUAUAUAAAUUUCAAGGAUUUAAAAUCUUUGGGCCAUGAAUUACACGCUUGUUAAUUUUCCUGCCAUUGACUGUCAUAUUCUAGACUUAAUGAUACCUUUCUUGAUCAAGGGUAAUUACUCUCUCUUCUCCUCUUAUAAAUUCCUCUUCCAUUAACAUCACUAGGAGUAUGUUGAUCUCUCAGACGUUAACUUGAGUGGAGAGUUUCCAAAUUGAUUGUUACAAAACAACACAAAAACUAGACACACUUGAUCUGUCUAAUAAUUCUCUUUCGGUAAAAUUAAAUAAUUUUAGGGGAAUAUUCGGCCAACCUCUAUAAUUUCAUAGUGAUCAUUAAUUAAUUAAUCGAUACAAAUAUCUAAAGUGAUUAAAUGUGACUUGAAAUUUGAUCUCUAUCGAUUGGUUUACAAAUGGACGUACUUGUGCCUUUGUGGCGAUAAUCGAACAAGUACCCAUGAUUAUUAUUUUUUUCCAAAAACUUUUUUACAAACAAAUUCAUCUCGUCAAAAAUUCUAUGUUGCUAACUAAACAAUAAUUGAGCACUUGGCCGCAUUGACUCCACGUCUCCACCUCUUUCUAAAUUUCUAAGUAAAAACAUGGAAAUGUAAUUUCCACAAAAUGCCAAAUGUGUGGAAUUUAAUUUUUUGCCUUGUGGAUCAAAAUACAAAUGAAAGAAACAGAAGAAAAAAAAAGGCCCAAAGACUUCUAAAAGAUGAAGAAGUCUUUUGUGCCUUUUUAUAAUGGUGAAUUUUUUUAAAGAAAAAAAAAUAACAACAUUUUUAUGGUUUGUUUUGAUAAUGCAUAUUUACAUAUACUCUCUAAUUUCAAAAUGGACACAUAAAUCUUUUUUUUUUACAAAAUAUAUAUUAUUCAUAUUUUUUUUAUUUUUUUAUUAUCAUAUUUUUAUUUAUUAUAAAUGUUUAGAGCAAAUUUUUAGGUUUGAAAUAUAAUAAAAAGGUAUAAUUGUUUCUCUUAUUAAACACACAUUACUUUUUAUUAGUUUCUAUCCAUUUGUCAUCUCAAUCUCUCUCAAUUAUUCUUUAUUGCUAGCUCAAAACGCGUUUGCUGUUGCAAAUUAUAGCAAAAUGACAAAUAUGGAAAAAAAGGGAAGAAAAUUAAUGCAUGAAAGACUUGGAGAAAACAACAAAAUAAGCCAACUAUGAGCUAGUUGGGUGUAUAAAUUGUUAGAUGUGUUAUAUACAAAUAGCGUAGAGCCCUCUAGUUGGUUCCAGAGACAGAAAGAGCGUGUGUGUUUUUUCACAGUUAGAGAUAUAGUUAGAAUGGGUGGUUCAAAAUCAAAAAUGAUGAUAAUGUUUAUUAUGUUAUUAAUAAUAUUUAAAAGUGGGUGGAGUGAGGGAUGUUUGGAUCACGAGAGAUUUGCUUUUUUUGAGACUCAAACAUUUCUUCAAUGAUCCUCUUAAUUCUCUUUACGACUGGGUAGAUGGUGAGGGAGCUACUGAUUGUUGUCAGUGGGAAAGGGUUGAGUGCAGGCAACACCCACAGGCCGAGUGAUAGCACUGGGACCUUUUCUUAUAUAUAUUCGGGAGAGUACAGCUGGUAUCUGAAUGCUUCUUUAUUUACUCCCUUCCAACAACUUGAGUCACUUGAUUUAACUCAAAACAAAAAUAGCCGGAUGUGUUGAGAAUGAAGGUACUUUGUUUAAUUUAAUUAAUUUACUUUCUCCCCCCCUAAUUUAAGUUGAAUAUCAAGACCGAGCAAUUAUAUGCAUAUUCAUUUAGUCGACAAUUUUGACUUUUUUUUAAAUGAUUAAUUUUGAAAUUACACCAGUAUCUAUGAUCUUUUUUAUUUUAUUUUAUUUGCAGGUAUAGAGAGGCUAUCAAGAUUGAACAACUUGAAGAUGCUUAAUUUAAGUCGAAACUCAUUCAAUAAUAACAUUUUAUCAUCUCUAACUCAUCUUUCAUCAUUAAGAUCAUUAAAUUUAUUGUGGAAUAGAUUGGAAGGAAGUAUUGACGUUAAAGGUACAUAAUUAAAACUUCAAGCUCUUUCAUUAACUUGCUAAAAUAAGAUUCAAGGCUUUGAAUUCAAUUUUUUUUAUGAUUAAUAUUAAAAAAACAGUUUUAAGCAAUUUAUAAAUACAAGUUUUAAUGUUUCUUGUAAUUUCAUCUUGUACUUUCAUAUGUCUUGAAUUUAAGAUUAAAAAAAAAACUCUAAUAGCGAACCAAACACCUCCACAACUUAUUAUUAUUAUUUUAAUUUGUGGUGAGGUUUGAAACAUUCAACUCAAUUUGUACUUAUUACAGAAUUUGAUUCUUUGAGAGAUUUAGAGGAGCUAGACAUUGGCGGGAACAAGAUUGACAAAUUUGUGGUCUCAAAAGGUACUACAAAUACCAUAAAAAAUAUGCUAACUUUUACAAAUUAGUUAGAUUCUUUGCCAUUUGGUUUAUUAUUUUACAGGUUUGAGUAAGUUGAAGUCUCUUGGUUUAAGUGGUAUCAAACUCAAUCGUAGCAUCUUAUCUUCUCUUUCUUCGUUAAGAGAAUUAGAUAUAAGUCGUACGGGAUUCAAAGGAACAUUUGAUGUUCGAGGUAAGCCUAAACCUUGCUUUUCUCAUUUUAUAUAUGCCAACUAGAUUUGUGUAUCAUCGACAUAAUUUAAUAUUUUAAUUUGAUAAGUCUGAAUGAAUUACAUGCUAAUUUAAACACACUUUUAUUUACUUUGUCAAUUAAUUAAUUAAUUAAUUACUAUUUGGCUUGGUUUGGACGAAAUUCUCAUGAUGUUUUAAUUUCUUUAAAUUAAUUAAUUAAUUAACUCUGUUUUUAAGUCUUAAGUCUGGGCAUGUUUGCAGAAUUUGAUUCCUUCAAUAACUUAGAAAGUGUUGGACAUGAGUUGGAACGAAAUCGACAAUCUUGUGGUUCCUCACGGUAAACAAUUAAAAUGUUAUUCAAUUACAUUAUUUUUAAUUCAUUUGAUUAGGGAAGGCCAAAAAGGUAAAAAAAAUAAUAAUAAAGAAACAGAGAAUUUGUAUUAUUUAAAAAACAGAAUGUAAUAAAGAUUUGAUUCUGGUUCUUUAAUCUUUAAAGUGAUUGAAAAACAAUGUUGCUCUUUUCCCAAAGCAUCAAAUACGAAUUGAAUGCCAAUUAACUUAAUCAUUCAUUUCGUUUAGCUCUAAAUUUAGACAAUGAAUUUUUAUAUUAUUUCAAAAACAUGACGUAAUAGAAUUUUUUUAAAAAACAGAUUCUAAUAAAGAUUUGAUUCCAAUUCUUUAAUCUUUACAGUGAUUGAAAAAACGAUACUACUCUUUUCCCAAAGCAUAAAUACGAAUUGACUCCCAAUCAAAUUAAUCAUUUAUUUCGUUCAUCUCUGAAUUUAAAUAAUGAAUUUUGAUCUUCAAUCGUAUUAUAAUUACUAUUAAAGAACAGGUUACAGAGGUUUGAGGAAGUUGAAUCAUCUUGAUCUAUCGGAGUUGGAAUUAGAGAUGGAAGCAAGUUGUUACAGUCAAUGGGAUCAUUCCCAUCCCUCAACACUCUUUACCUUUCGUGGAAUAAUUUUAUCGAUACAGCGACCGCUACUCAAGGUAAGUAAAAGGUACAAAUGUGGCCAAAUUUAUAAAUAAAUUGUUAAUUAAUUAAUUUUUCCGUAUUAUUAAUUAAGCUAAAUUUGUUGCUCCUUCCUUCUAAAUCUAAACAGAGUUGCACAAUUUCACCAACUUGGAAUAUUUGACAUUGGACUUUUCCUCUCUCCAUAUAAGCCUUCUCCAAAGCAUUGCAUCAUUAUUCCCUUCGUUAAAAAAUCUGUCGAUAUCUCAUUGUGAAGUCAAUGGUGUCCUACGCGGUCAAGGUAAAAGAAAAUCGUUGAUUGUGAACUCACUCAAUGGUGUCCUACGUGUUCAACAUUUUUAUUUAUUUAUUGUUUAAUGUUUCUGCUAGGUUUUCCUCAUUUCAAGAGUUUGGAACAUUUGGAUAUGGAUUACACGCGCAUUGCACUCAACACCGGCUUUCUUCAAAUCAUCGGUGAAUCGAUGCCUUCUCUUAAGUACUUAUCACUGUCAAGGUUAAUCUAUAAAUCGAUGCCUUCUCUUGAUCAAGGUUAAUCAGAUGCUCCCACUCUCCCCUCUUAAUCUAUAAUAUUAAUUUUCAAUUCAAUAUUUAAUUACACAAACGAAUCACUUAUUAUAAAAGAAUAAUACGCAUUCAUUAAUUUUUAUAUUGUAUUAAUAAUUGAUGAAUUUAAUAACUUUUCAGGUCUCUGUUCGUUGGUGCAUCUGCAAGUGUUGAACAUUGCAGGCAAUGAUUUAAGAGGUAGCUUGCCUUGGUGCUUGGCAAAUAUGACAUCCCUCCGAAUAUUAGAUGUUUCUUCCAAUCAACUUACUGGAAGCAUCUCCUCAUCUCCCCUCGUUCAUUUGACAUCCAUUGAAGAGCUGAUGCUUUCAGACAAUCACUUCCAGAUCCCAAUUUCACUUGAACCAUUUUUCAAUCACUCACGACUCAAGAUUUUCCAUGCUUACAACAACGAAAUAAAUGCAGAAAUAACUGAGUCACAUUCUUUGACUGCCCCAAACUUCCAAUUAAAAUAUCUCUCAUUGUCUUCCGGUUACGGAGAUGGUGUCACAUUCCCCAAAUUCCUUUACCAUCAACAUGAUCUGGAGACUGUUGACCUCUCACAUAUAAACAUGAGCGGAGAAUUUCCAAAUUGGUUGUUGGAAAACAACACAAACUUAGAAUAUAUUUUUUUGGUUAAUGAUUCUCUUGCAGGACCUUUCCGGUUGCCAAUUCAUUCACACAAGCGGUUAAGACUGUUGGAUAUAUCCAACAACAACAUCAGAGGCCACAUUCCAGUAGAAAUUGGAGAUGUUUUACCGGGUUUAUUUUCUUUAAACAUUUUCAUGAAUGCUUUAGACGGUUGCAUUCCCUCUUCAUUUGGUAAUAUGAAAUUCCUCCAAUUUCUGGACUUAUCCAACAACCAAUUGACUGGUGAAAUCCCUAAGCACUUGGCCGUGGGUUGCGUCAACUUAGAGUCUCUUGCGUUGUCAAACAACAACUUAGAAGGUCAUAUGUUCUCCAGAAACUUCAACCUGACAAACUUGAAAUGGUUACAAUUGGAAAGCAAUCACUUCGUAGGAGAGAUCCCACAAAGUUUGUCUAAAUGCUCCUCACUAAAAGGAUUGUAUCUUAACAAUAAUAGUCUUUCGGGUAAGAUUCCACGAUGGUUGGGUAAUCUCACAUGGUUACAAUAUAUUACAAUGCCCAAUAAUCAUCUUGAAGGUCCUAUUCCAGUGGAGUUUUGUCAGCUUGAAUGGCUUCAGAUUUUGGACAUUUCAGACAACAACAUAUCUGGAAGUUUACCAUCUUGUUUCCAUCUUCUCUCUAUCAAACAAGUUCAUCUUUCAAAAAAUAUGUUACAUGGACAGCUAAAAAGAGGUACAUUCUUUAAUUGCUCUUCCCUUGUGACAUUAGAUCUUAGUUAUAACCGCUUGAAUGGCAGCAUUCCGGAUUGGGUUGAUGGGCUUUCUCGGUUAAGCCACCUUAUCUUGGCUCACAAUAAUCUUAAAGGUGAAGUGCCAGUUCAAUUGUGCAAAUUGAACCAACUACAAUUGUUAGAUCUUUCUAAUAAUAAUCUUCACGGUCCUAUUCCUCUUUGCUUUGAUAACACCACACUUCAUGAAAGUUACAGCAAUAGUUCUAGUCCUGAUGAGCAAUUUGAAAUAUAUGUUUUCAUCGAAGGCCCUCAGGGAGGUGUAGAAAAGAAAAUCCAUGAAAUUUUUGAGUUCACAACAAAGAACAUUGCGUACAUUUACCAAGGAAAAGUGCUUAGCCUCCUAUCAGGACUUGAUCUUUCUUGCAACAAGCUAAUCGGUAUUAUUCCUCCUCAAAUUGGAAAUUUGACAAGGAUUCAAACAUUGAAUCUAUCGCACAACAACUUGACAGGAUCGAUCCCAUCAACAUUUUCAAACUUGAAGCAUGUCGAAAGUUUGGAUCUUUCCAACAACAAAUUGAAUGGGAAAAUCCCUCAUCAACUAGUGGAGUUAAAGACAUUGGAGGUUUUCAGUGUGGCAUACAAUAACUUAUCAGGCGAAAUUCCAGAAUGGAAAGCACAAUUUGCAACCUUCAACGGGAGUAGCUAUGAAGGAAAUACUUUUCUUUGUGGACUGCUAUUGCCCAUUUGCAGAUCACCAGCAACUACGUCGGAGGGUUCAAUUGGCAAUGAACGAGAUGAUAAUUUAAUUGACAUGGACAAUUUCUUUAUCACAUUUACAACAUCGUACGAAAUUGUGAUAUUCGGAAUUGUUAUUGUUUUAUAUGUAAAUUCUUAUUGGCGACGUAGAUGGUUUUACUUUGUUGAAAUGUGGAUAACUUCAUGUUAUUAUUUUAUUGUAGACAAUCUUAUUACAACAAGAUAUUGUCAUUGAAAUUAAUUAGGAGUUUAAUUACGAUUCUUUAAGUUCUAAUCAAGUUUGCUUAGGAAAUAAAUUUAUUUUUAUUUUUUAUUAAAACUGUAGUAGUAUUUAGCUCUAUAUAGCUUCCAACUUCCAAGCACUUCACAUUUGUCUCUACACUUCCAAACCCAUAUCUAUCCACCAUAACUUAUACUUCCCUAUACUGUGCAGCAUACUUAAAUAAGAGAACCAUCUCCAAUGUUAAAACCAGCCACUCUAUAACAUUCAUUUAGAAUAGUUUUAUUAUCAUACACAAGAAAUGAAACACCUAGAUGCACUUGAUCGCCUAUUUUACUUUAAAAAAUAAUGAUUAUGGUGCUAUCAUCAUCUUCUUCACUAGCAACAUUAACACCAAAUCCAGCGAUGGACCCAGACAUUUUAUCAAGAAAGGUAUAUAUAUAAUAAAGUUGAAGCUUGACAAAAAAUUCAGGAAGAUUAAUGCCUCGCCACAACAAGGGGCACAACAACAUCAAAGUAGAGAUGAAGCAAUAUUUUCAAAUCUAAAACUCUCAAAUCCACCCACCAAAAUUUCAUAUCUCCUCAACAAUUUUAAGAACUAAAGAUAAUUAGGAUCUAACAUUAGUUUUUUAUAUAUUAGUUUCAUAAUUUACAAAUCAAUGAAGAUGAAGAUUAUGCUAAUGAAUUCAAAUUAUACCAUAGAUUCUCGAGAUGUUACCAAAAAUUUCUAAGCCAAUCCCACAUAUUUCAUAAUUUUAAGACUAGAAAAUUUCAUUAGUUAGAAGUUUCAUUACCUUCAAGUGGAAGAUGAAGAACAUUAUACAAUUGAUUCAGAUUAUAUCAUACAUACUCCAAAUGCAACUAGAAAUUAACAAGUUCAUGCGCACAGAUUUCAUAACAUUAUGAUUGGAAAGUUUCACAAAGAGAAAUUCUAAAUUCAAUCUCUUGCAUCAAGGUAGUUUGAUUGAUUUGAGUUACUUUCUCAUCAAGCUACUAAUAUAACAUUCAAGUCAGGGAGAAAGUAAAUUAAAACUGGGAAGAAACAACAGUAAAAAUUUGUUGCUAAACAUGAUGUGUAUUUUUUUUUAAGGCAAUUUGGAAACACAGUUGUUACUACAGAUAUUCUCCUCAACUUAGAGAUAAAUACAAAUAUUAAAAUGCAUAUGAUCGCACAUAUUACUUGGAGCUUAGUAAGAUUUCAUUAAGAGAAGCAAUCAAACCACUUAUCAAUUGUUGCAAUCGUUCUAUAAGCUAAAAUAGCAAUAUAAUACAAGAAAAAGAACAUAUAGAUACUUGGCAAGAGUUCAUUAAGAAGUCGCAUCACAUUCGGGUGAGUUUGCUUCUGAUAUCUUGCUAGCUGGGGCUUUUUCUUGUCUUUCUACGUAUGCCGAGGGAAACCAACCAGCUUGGCCCUUGCAUUCACCUUCCGACCAUCCAGUAGGAGCCACCUUGAGAAGUUAUAACUAAAAGUCUAAAACAAUGAAUUAAACAAAAGUUGACCGUUCAAAGACCUAAGGGGAAAACUAAUUCUUUUACGUAGGAGGAGUGAAUUAGUUGUGAUCACUGAAAUAACAGCAUAACUAUGGAAGCAUAACAAGAUAUAAAUUCACACGUCUAUAAGGGUAAACUGGGUGGUUUAGAACUGAGCUAGCAACCCUACUAUAUUCUGAUUUGCACAUCAAUGUAAAAGGGAAUAUAUGGUAGGAAGAAAGAAAACCAACCAUCAGUUGUUAACUCAUUGCUUUUCAAUCAAAAUUUUAAGAACAAAAUGCCAUGUGCUUUGAACAUCAAAUAAGUAUAAGCAUUAGUUCUAAAUUCCACAUAUCAUAAGUUAGAAGGACAAGUCAAUAGCAUAGUAGAAAAAUCUAUGUGUUGUUAUUUAGAGGGGAAAGUACCUGGCGAACCACAACAUAAUCAUCAAUUGAAAGACUUAGCUCUCCAUUUGCUUGAGCAUCAAAUGGAUGUAUAACCUGCAAGAUAAUGGGAUAAAUAGAACUUAAUCUUAAAAAAAGCAUAACAAAAGCAGCAACAGUAGCAGCAGCGUUCAUUGUAACCACUAUGAUCAUGGCCAAUAAAGAUAUAUUACAAACAAAAUUCCAUUUUUACUACGACAUUAAUAUGUACUAUAUGAUAUCAUGACGAUUGGGUUACCAAGAGCUAUCAAAGUCCAAUAAAUUCUGUAUAACUUUAGGUAGUUAUUCAAAUUAUGGAUCAGAUUUUAAAUCCGAAAUUUUGACUGCUCUCCACAAAACAUGGCCUAUGCACAAGAAAGUCAUAGAUAAUGAGGAUUACAAGUGUCUGACAUCUUUUGAGUGAUGGAUUUAACAUGAGAGCUUAUGGUCAGUCAAUUUCCUCUGCCUAGCAAUAUAAGCUUUCUCGGCCAGAUUUAUCAUCAAAUACAUAGAUUGGCCCCAAGUCACAUCCAAAUAAACAUAGUUUUUCUAGGUAAACCAAGUAAGGAGAAUCAUAAUUCAGACAUAAUCAUAAAAAGGCCCAUCUAACUUAAGAGAAAAUCUCAAAAAGAGGGAUGUUGAGCUAUCAGUCUUGUAUCUAUAAGCAAUAUCAAGACUUUACAUCACCUACUACAUCGUGAGUGGCUACACAACUUUCAGUGGUUUGUCUUUCUUUGGCAUGCCUAACUCAGCUUUGAUGUUGCUGAGAUAUUGAUAGUAAAGACACAUGAUACUUCUAGCCCAUGCAUUCUAUCUAGCUCAUCCGACAACUAUCUCUUUUUUAAUUCAUUAGUGUUUGCUAAACCUCAUGCUUAAAAGUCCUAUUCUCCUAAACAAAGCUUCCUAAGAAUGACUUCCUCAGCACCACAUUUGGACACUUUUAGAGCAAUUUUAUUUGGGGGAAAAGAAUUUUCAAGGUGUUAACUAAUAAAUUUUAAAAAAUAAUUACAAUUUGUCCUACAAUUAUAUGACAAUUUAUCUGGGAUGAAAGGAUACAGACAGACAUCUUCCACUUUCAAGACUAAUCACUACUUCCGUAGAUGUUUUGCAAUAAUACAAAUACUUGACCAGAUGGUAGAAAAAAAUUUUAUUGCUCCAAAAUUAAAAUAAGAAUGCAAUAUGUUAAGCAAAAGACUGUGCAACAUCAAAUUAAUUGAUAAGUUUGUAAUUCAGUAAAUUAACAACUUUCAUGGUAAAAUACAACAAAUUUCUUUUCAAAAAAAAAAAAAAAAAUUAAAAGACGGCAUUCAAUUUUUUGGGCAUCUUAUUUCUUAAGAUUUUCCAGGAGGAGGGCACUAGAGGGACUUUCACCUAUGCAAGAGAGCAGAAGCCUUACUUUCGCUAUAAAGUAGACGUCAUUCUGAUUAAUAUGCGUUUGCAAAUCAGCUCCAUUUGAAUCAGUAUUCUGAUAGACACAUGAGGCAUUUACAUCCAUUUCCAAAGUCACAUGUUGCGAGGAGGACUCAUUUGAUUGCUCCUCUAGGAUCAUCUAAUUCAAGUAGCAAGGGUUGGAAGAGAAUAAAAAGUCACAAUUAUUCUUUUGCAUAAGUGAGACGAAAAUGAUAAAUGCAAUAUUAUCAGCAGUAAACAAGAAGAGAACACUCCAAGGAAUAGAUAGAUGCAGACAAGCAAGUUAAAAUGCACAGUUCCAAACCUCCGCAUACAACUUCUCUAAAAUAGCAAUAACGUGUUGAUGAUAUGUUUUCUCAGCAUCUACCUGCAAAGGCCUGAGACCAGGAAAACAACAAUAAAACCACUAGCUAAAGGAGAAAGUAAAGAAAGAAAUACACUUGACAUAAAUCUUGACAAGAAGCACAAUUUAAGACAUAACAAACCCCAAUCAGAUUGUUUAGAACUACCAUUCGUUAUUUCGUUAUUGUAGCAUUUCGAACAAGUGUUGACUUAAUUCAACAUUGUUGGAAAGAUAGGCUUUUAGAAGCGGAAGAAAGCCACUCAAACCAAAGUGAUUGUCCUUGUAUUGAUCAAGGGAUGUAAACAUAUUACAUUUGCAGGAUGAGUUUUAAUCACUCCCCUGAUUUAUUUGGGUUGCAGUAAAACUAAGCGAGCAACUGUUUGACUUUCAAGCAACAUCUAAAUCAGCUAUUAAAAUUCAAAUAAAAUUAUAAUAGAAUAAUAACAGGCCAUCUUGCAUAAAAAAUUAAGUUUAAUUUGUGAAUUUUUUUCUAUAGACAUGUUAGUUCCUGCUAUUGAAAUGUUAAAAGCAUUGAAAAAUUAUUCAAUAAAUUAUGCAAACAUUAAAAUAGAGGACAUAUUAAAAAGUUUCUAAUUACAAUGUUAAGAUUUCCUAUAUUUUAGCAUUUGCAUAUUUUAAUUUAUUUAAAAGUUACGUCAAUCAACUUUGGGCGUGAAGAUUUUAGCUUCUACGAGACUUGAUUGGAAUAUGCAUAAGGAAGAGUGUUAAAAUAUGAUGCAUCCAACGAAAGACAAACCACGUGUAGUCUUUUAAUUAAGCCAAAGUAGCAGCUCAAACAAAUGACACUUGGACCAACAUGCAAUCAUGAAGUGGCCGGUAAAAGGACAAAUGCAACUUUGGCUUAAAUAAAAAAUAACAUGUGACUUGACUUUUGCUGGACAUGCAUCAUGUUAUUACAAGACAACAGAAAUCAGUAUGAUAGUACUAAAAGUUGACAAUAACAUGAAGAUAAGAGGCAGAAUGUCAACACCUGCAUAGGCACACACAAGAAAGUAUUAACAUAUAUACCAUAGCAAAAAGUCUUUGAUAUGUCAUCUGUUGCUGCUGUGAUUCAACUGACAGCAUGGCAGCUGUCGCUUCUCUACCAAGAGCCAUUAUUGUAGAUUUAAGCUCGGUCAAUCUUGCUUCUGCAUUUCGAAGCUUCACAGCACUCUCUGCUGAUAUAUCAGAUUUCCUUAUCUUUGAUCGGUGCCUAAAUACUUCAGCUGCCUGGUGAAAAUAUUCAAUAUAAAUCUAACAUAAUUCUCAUCUUGCCUUAUACAUGCAUAUGUUACCUCAAAGCUUGCCUGGGCUUCAACUUCAUGUCGAAGUUUGUCAUAACGAUGAGUCAGGUGUCGAGCAUCUUCCAAAGGUGCUCCGUUGAUUAACGCCCGUAGUGGCUCAGAUACCUACAUGUCCAAAAACCUGUAACAUAGUUAGAAAAAUGAAAAGAAAGAGCGAAACCUCAAUUAAAAAGUUCCUCCAACAUAAUCAUGGAAUUUGGGCCUACUUCAAGGAUAUAUAUAAGGAUAAUUUAUGCAAUUUUGGGUCUUAGGAUGAUUCAUAUUAGGUUAGUGUUCUUCUCUUCUGUAUUUAAGGUUAAAAUAGAAAUAAACCUAUGCAAAUAUCUAAAUUAGGGCUGUAAGACUUCCACAUGCAUCCUUCAGUCUCAUGGAUUUGAUUUUACUAUAGAUGCAAGUGUCUUUAUCGAAAAUGCUUGGAGUCAAUUGAGAGAACUCACAGCCAAUAACUUGUCACAUGCUAGUCUUUGCUAGUGAUGCAAGAAGUCACAAGGUCUCUUCAACAUUUGAACCAAUAAAAUUAUUAAGUCAUGGAUGUCACUAGCAAUGAUUUCAAUAUAAAACAUUAAAUAUUUCAAGUUGUAACUUUAAAAUGGAUUCUUUUAUUCAAUAUCUUAGAACUAAGUUUCCUUAUGAGAAGAUAAUAGUUUCAGUAGUAAUUUACAUGAAAUUUUCUAUAUUUGAAUUAUUUUCUAGUUAGGGAUGAACUAACCUGAUCAUGAAGAAUCCCAAGCAAAGUUUUCCUCUCAUUUUCCAUCAAAUCAUGUGAAGUGCCAAAUUGAAGAGCAGCUCUUGCAGCGCAAGAAUUGUCACUUUGAUUCUCCACUCCAUACUUGCAACAAUCUUCAGCCAACUUUCUCACUACAAUAUUUGAAUACAAAAAUAUUGUACACAAGAACCAGUCAAGAAAAUAAAAAAAAAAUCAAAUAUUAUAACGAGAGCAAGAGCAAACAAACAACCUAUUUCCAUUUGUUUCAAGCUUACUGCAACAAACCCUUCAACGCCACGGACAAUAUUCCUCUGAAAAUUCUGUGCUACAGAGCAUAUAUUCCAAAUUAUUGUUCAGAUAAAACCAUAGAAACCAUCAUAAUUAUCAACAUACAUUAAGCUCCGUUUGGUAAAUACUUGCAACUUCAGUCUAGAAAAUACAGUUGUUUGUACCAUAUUUGACAAAAUUAUUAUUUAAAAAUCAUAACUAAUUACCAAAAGCCACAAUAAAUCAAUAUCAAACAGAGUCUUAUUAUUAGCUAAAGGAGGAUGGUGCCUUAGCUGCCCUGGUGGAAUUGUAUAGAUUUUAAAGUUGUUGGUGACACUCAAUUUCAGCUUCAUGAACCGCAAUAUUUUCAAUACCAAGAUGGAGCAGAUGCUUCAAUGCUGCCUGUACAAAUCAUAAAAAACUAAUAAAAAUAAAUAAAAUCGAGAAAUUUCACUAACUAAAAGUCUAAAUAUAAUUUUUGAAAAAAGAAAAGAAACGGACUUGCUGCUGCUUGGCGACUUGUUCUCGGUGCUUGAUUGCCUGUUUCUUGAUAGCUUCCAUACUGUUUCUUUCAAAAAGCAACGACGGCUCAGCUCAUGGAGGUGGAAAAAAAAAGUAUGAUCGAGAAAAAUAAAAAGGCAUGAAUAAUUUUUGACAAAAAGCGAAAAAUAAAAAGGCAUGAAUAAUGAAUAAUUUUUGACAAAAAGCUCUUUCCAGAAAAUAAAAAAAGAAAAAAGAAAAAAGAAAAUUAUAAGUUUGAAAGGAGUAGAUGAUAGUGGAAGUGUGCGGUGUGGCUGCCAGCUACUUGAAUUGUAUUGUCGGGUAAGGUAAUAGUAGAGAAUUUUUUUUUUUGAAGAAAAAUGGGUAAUUUUUAAAAACCUCCCCUGAGGUUUGGGCUUGUUGUAAGUAGAUGGCGAGAAUCCAUUUAUUUGUAAAAAACCCCCUACGUUUUUGCUCCGCUUGGUUGCCGUUUGGGCAAUUGUGGGCAUUGUUGACAUUUCGCAAUAAAACAAAUCUUUUGCAACUUUCGUUUCCUUGAGAACAAUAGCUAGAUUUCUCAAUCUGUUUCAUCCAACACUUCAAAAAUUUCAACUUUUAUGAGUUAUUGCAUUCUCUGGCAAAGUAGACUUCUUCUAAUUUUAUCACAGUGCUUUCAGGAACAAGAAUGGGAUCCAUUAACAUCCCCUCAAAUUUUACAGCUUCCUUACAGCUAUACACUGCUGUAACACGAAGUUUAAUGAUUCCAUCGCCAAAUAGUCCCCAAAAUCUAUUCUUCCCCAUAUUGAACAACUUAAGUUCACAACACUUGCAUUCUAAAGGCUUCCCACUAACAUCUAAUAUCUCAAGACUCAACGUUGCUUUACAAUAAUUGUUAUUACUACCAAACAAACAUGAAGAAACCCCGAUUAUCGGAUAAAUCAACCCAAAAUGAACAAGAGAAGAACCCAAAACAAGUGAAUCGCUAGAGCAAAACCCCCAACCCAUAUCCCUAAUCCCACACUCAAAAAAACCCAAUUUCUCUCCAAAGUCAUUGACACUAGCAUCACUACUAGACUCUAAUUCCAAUCCUAGAUUACAUUUAAUGUUAACCCAACUAAAAUGAAUGUUCUUACUACAAUACGCAUCGUUUACACUCUCAAACAACGCGCUGAACUUACUCUUAAACGAUCCCACAUUGGUCAAACACUCAUCACUCACAUCGACAUCCAAGAAUUCACUCAAAAACUUCAUAGACUCGACAAUUGGAGAAAACAAAACCACUAAACUCAACUUUAUACAAGCAUACCCAUCGAGAAUCUUACCGUCAUUAACCGAAUCACAACAAAUCACCGGGUCCCACGCGCAGUCGUGAACGAGCUUACGCAUGGACGGGGCAACAUUUAACCCCCGCGGCAAAAACGACGAAGCUUUGGAAAAAUUGUGUUUUAGAGCUGGGUUGAGGAGUAGAGAUUGGAGAGAUUGGAAGGUGGAAUCGGGACGGUCAAAGGAUAGAGAGAGAGAAGGGAAGGGGAUCUUUAAAAGAGAAGUGGGGAGAGGGAGGAGAAGAAGGAUUUGAAAGAGAAAAGAGAGGAACGGAGAGGCGGGAAUGAGAUUAAGGUUUUCACUGCAACUAAAAGAGUAAUCAUGUAUGGCUCUUGGUCUUGGAGAUGAAGGAGAGGAUUCAGGUCGAUUAAGAGGACUAUACGCUGCAUUUUGGUGUAGUCUGCCGCCAUUGGUAGAAGUUUCGAAGUGGGUUUCUGUUUAGAUCCGAGUUUGACGAAGAAACGUGGUGGUUGCGCUUGGGACAAUAUUGUUUUUGCACUGGUCAAUGUAGAAAUUAAACGACGGUAGGGUGUUUUUUUAUAAAUAAAUGAAUUCUCGCCAUUUAUAACAAGCCGAAACCUCAAAAGAAGAUUUUAAAAAUUACCCGAAGAUUCGAAAAAUAGUAGAGAAUUUUUUAAAAAGCUAGAACAGAGCAUGCUAGACUUUUGUGGACCAAAUUCAAAAGCCGAAGGGCACGGCCCAAAAGCUUUUGAAUACAAUAACUUACUAGAAAGCUCCAUUUUUUGUUGGCUACAGUAAAAGUAUGUUGUUUUAUGCUUCUUAUAUGUUACGCUUGCAUCAGCCUCAAUCACUUCUUAAUCGCUUGCUUUAACUGCAUCGCUCUCUGUGUACUCUUCUACACAUGUAACGGUUAUGCGGUUGUAGUUCACGGCUGAGGCUACGUGUUGGUUUGACGCGGCAGUUACGUUACGACAUUACGAGUCUGUUAAACAUUCGGUGAUAGAGCAUUAUUAGUUAUUUUAAGGGGACAAAUAAGAUUGGUUGCAAUAAACCCACUAAUUUUAUAAAAUUCGAGUAAUAUAGAAUAAAAUAAAAAAAUAAAUACAAAAUUGGCUUUUAUUUUUUAUGGUUGACUGUAUUUUGUGUUCUCUUCCGGCACUACUACAAUUGUUCCCUAUAUAUCAGUCACACCCAUAUAUCAUCAAUACAAGAAAUGAAAUCUAAUGUCACCUAUUUAGUUAAAGAAUUACUCAUGAAAAAAUUUUACCAUUUUACUUUGAGGAUCCAUAUUUUGAACUGCAAGCUAAUGUUCAUCAAGAAUCACUAAUGUUCAUAAAAAACAGAGCAUGGCCGUUGAGUAGAAAAACUAUUUUUGGACAAAUUAUUUUUGUUGAUAGAAGAAUUUCUUAAGGGGCUCAUAAGGCCAAUGAUGUUUCUACUGCUGGUGGUUUGAUUCGCGAUUAUUCGGGUCGUUGGUUGACUGGUUUUGGGUUGAUGCUUGGUUCCUGUUCUGUUACAAUGGCUGAGCUUAGAGGCAUUUAUCAGGGGCUUAUCUUGGCUUGGAAUUUUGGCAUUCGGUGGCUGCAUGUGGAAACUGAUAGCUUAUGUGCAACUCAAAUGUUGGCUAACCAGGUGGAGACUACUAAUGAAUAUGCGUCCCUCAUUUUUGCCAUCAAGGAGUAUCUCCAGAAAAAGGAUUGGCAGGUUUCUAUUUCUCAUGUGUACAGAGAGGCAAACUCGGCUGCUGAUUUUAUGGCGAACCUUGCUUGUUCUUUGCCUCUUGGGCUUAUGGUGUACCCUAGUCCCCCGCUCGGGUUUUCAUCCAUUCUUUUGUAUGAUUCUUACGGGGUUGCGACUCCGCGUUCGGUUGUUUUUUAGCUCUUAAUUGAGCCCCAAUUGAUCAAAAAAAAAAUAUUAUGAAUAACAAUGUAGAACACACCCACAUAUCAUCAACACAAUUGACUUUAAGGAUCCAUGCUUUGAAUUGCCACCUAAUGUUCAUCAAGAACAGAGUAUGCCUUGUGAGUAGAAAAUUUUAUGAUUUUGGUCCGAAAUAAAAAGAAAUUAAAUUAGAUGAGAAUCUGCCACUUUCUCAUAAAGAAAGGCAUACGGAGCAUACCAUGGUACCAUACAAUACAAAGAGUCUCUAUUCUCUGGUUUUUCAAACUCUGAAGGGGCCAAUAUUCCCGAAUUCCCCCUUGAAAAUUCUGAUUACGACAUUAUUCAAUUCUUGACACAAUCAAAGUAGCGACAAAGUUAAGAAAAAUAUGAGUCCUAAGUAAUGGCUAGGUAGGGUUCUUGAGAGCAAAAUUGUCCUAAGCAUUAUAUGCAUACAUGGUGUGGUACAUAGAGCACGUUGAAUUCCACACUAUAACACAAACCCAGAAAGACAAGUAAUAACUCAACUGAUAUAAAGACAAAAAGAAGAUAAAAUGAUAUAGAAAAAAGAAUUUCAAAGAGACAGCAACAUACGAUAGACUGAAGCCACUUGAUCUGCUCACUGAUUGCAGCCUUAAACUUACAAAUAGUUACUGUACGCUAGUGCUCUAAGAAGUGAAAAUGAUAAGAGACCUGAUUCCCUUUUGACUUCCAUUUACUGUCAAACAUUCUAGUAAUACAAAAAAUUGUUUAGAUAUCUUGCUAUAAAUAUAGUCGUUUGACUGUCAUAAUAAAGUCACAAAUAACCAUUCAUAUUGAUCCACUGUCACACAGCAUGCUUUAUGCAUACAACAUCUGCAUGUAUACCAACUCCUAACCUUAUCAAUACAUUUGGCAAAAACUUAAGAAGAAAACUAUUUCUCCAUCUCUUUUUUGAAAUUUCACAAUAAACCAGCACAUUGUGAAAGCUAUGUUCUAAUCUUAUGAUAAAUGCUCUAGACUCCAAAAGGAUUUUAUAUAUGAGAGUUUGUUGCAGCAGAUAUAUUGACUUAUCAAGUAUGAAUCAUUGUCUGGAUGAACUAUCUUUAAAUAAAAGAAUAUUAGAACCACUGUAGAAUAUCUUUACGCUGCUGGUUCUAACAGGAAUCUGCAUGUGGCAACAAUUGCUAGAUCCACAAUUCCCCAACUUGAAAUACAUAGUUGCACACCGUGAGAUAGUGCUGCAAUCUACUGAGAUCUAACUUAUUUGAUACUUUAAGCUACUAAUGUUUGCAUAUUUCUACAUGUUAAAUUGACACUACCAUCUAUAAUCACCCCAAAACGACAAAUGAUAAGCAGCUUUUGGCCACUUAUUAAUUACUAGCAUCCACAACACAAUUAUAAAUAAGAGAUCAUGGGUUUACUUGUUGCAACUACUUAAUGAUCUGCAUUUGAGACCCUGACGCAAGGUUUAAAUAGUGACUGCUUAGAACCCUUGUAGUUGGAUCUUGACCUCUCCCAUUGUAGCCAAGAUUGGCUACUCUGGUAAUGAAUCAACACUCUCCUGCUUAUUUUUUUGUUUUUAAAAAAUAACGAAAUCAUAAAAUAAAUAAACACGUGUUUGGUUUUGGGCAUUUUCUUUUGUUCAUUUAAUAUCAUCUGGCUCCCUGAUUUUUGACUAAUUAACAACGGAAUCCUGUUAGUUUCUAAAUUGAAAUAAUAAAAGGUCUUGAGAUUAUUUACUCCAUUUAGCACUGUAGACUUAGAGUAUAUUGAAAAAGCUUUGUCAAAUAGUAGUAAUAGGGGCAUAAUAAAUAAGUUUUUCAGAAUUUACAUAAUGUACUUUGCUCUAGGAAGAUUGCCCUCUUAUCACUCAAGUUAGGUUUUGCCUUAGAGUUGAGGUAAAUCAUUAAAAUAAAUUAUAGCUAUCACAAAUUCGUUAGGAGAAUUUCAAUUUUUUUUCCAUUAAAUGGCUAUGAUGCAAAAUUACCUCAGCUUAUAUUGCAACACUAAUACUUCAAAUCCUAACAAUAAAAUUGAUGACAAUGGUUUUUAUGUAUAGUAAUUUUCACUCUUUUGUUUGAUCUAAAAGUAGUUCUUAAAAUGACAAUGAUGACUUAUUUAGAAGAAAUGGCAAACUUAUAGUUUGUAAUAUUGUUUGCACAAACAAUAAAGACUAAUUUGAUAAUAAUGAAGUGUUAAUUACUAUUUAACAUUUUUAAUUAAUUUUUAAAUUUAAAAAAAAAUGAAGGCCGAAACUUGUGCAUUAAAUUUUAAUUAAAAGUUGAUUGCUUCGAAGGUUGGAUCGUGACAAAUUGACAAUUGAAAAAAGAAGUAGGGAAUAUAUAUUCUGAUGAAAGGGACAAGAUUAAGCAAGGGGACAAUAUUGUCUAUUGGACCUACAAAUGGGGGCAAAGAUAUAUAUAUUCCAAAAUUUCUUAUUUGUGGAUUGGCCACCACGUGUAACUAAUAUAAAAAGAGAAAAUUUGGCAUGGUUUUAACCGAUAUAAGGGUCCGUUUGGGAUUGAGGUGCUGUAGCUUUUAAGCUAUAGCUGCUGUGGAAAAAAAAAACUGUAAGUAUUAAAUAAAAGUUAAUAAUAUAUAGUAAAUAUAAAUUUUAAAUAAUAAUUUUGAUGAAAUUAUUAAAGAUAUAAUAGAUUUUCUAUUAUACAAAUGAAAAUUCAUAUCAACAUAGCUUAAAAGUUACAGCAGUUAGUGUUUACCAAACACUUUAGUGCUGUAGCUUUUAAGCUACAGCUGCCCAACCUCAAUCCCAAACGCACCCUAAGAAGAGAAAAUUUUGAGUGUAUAAGAAGAGAAAAUUUUGAGUGCACAACAAGAACAAAGCAAAACCCAUGAAAAUUCACCUUUCAUGUGGGUUGGAUUGGAUAAAAUCAAUAUCUUGAAUCAAACAAAAUGUUUGGUACUUGAAGGUUUUUUUAACAUUUUCAUUUUUUUUUCCAUUUAUGAAGUCCAUUUUUUUUUUAAUUUUGAUUUUUUUGAAUGAUUUUGCAGGUGUUGAUAUAAGGUCAUCAAAAGUUUGUGAACUUGGGGUGUUGAAUUAUAAGGCGAAGCGUGUGUUUUAUCCAUUUGAAGCAAGUAAAUUUCGCUGUCGGUAUGAUUACUAUUGGGCUUCUAUCUUCAAGGUAUUCAUACAUUUUCCCCUGUACUAUAAGCUUCUUAGUGGCGGUCUUGUGAGCGGAAGUGAGCAGUGUGGCUGACAGCUUCUUGAAAAUUAUAAGUUUGAACAGAGCAUGUUAGACUUUUGUUGACCAAAUUCGAAAGCCAAAUGGCACAGCUCAGAAGCUUUUGAAUUGAAUAACUUACUAGAAAGCUCCAAUUUUUUGUUGGCUAUAGUAAAAAGAGGUUGUUUUAUUCUUCUUAUACUUUACACUUGCAUCAGCUUAAAUCACUUCUUAAACGCUUUGCUUUAACUCCACCGCUUCGUACUGUUCUAUAUAUGUAUCGGGUAUGCGGUUGUAGUUCACUGCUGAGACUACGUGUUUGUUUAACGUGGAAGUUACGUUACGAGUCUGUUAAAACAUUCGGUGAUUAAAGUAUUAUCAGUUAUUUCAAAGGGACAAAUAAGAUUAGCUACAACACACACUAGUUUUAUAAAAUUCGAAUGAGAUGGAAUAAAAUAAAUAAGUAAAUUGACUUUUAAUUUAGUGCUUGAAUAUAUUUUGUAUUCUCUUUGGGCACUGCUGUAAUUGUUCCUUAUCACACCCAUAUGUUAUAGACACAAGAAAUGAAAUUUAAGAUCACCUGUUUAAUUAAAGAAUCACUCAUGAAAAAAUUUUGCCAUUUUGAUUUGAGGAUCCACAUUUUGAACAACCAACUUAUGUUCAUUAAGAACAAAGCAUUGCCUGUGAGUAGAAAAAUGAUUUUUGAACAAAUUAUUUUUUGUUUAUAGAAGAAUUUCUCAAGGGACUAUUAAAAUUACUAAUAAAAAUGUCAGACACACCCAUGUACCAUCGACAAAAUUAACUAUGAGGAUCCAUGUUUUGAACUGCCACCGAAUGUUCAUCAAGAACAUAGUAUAACUUGUGACAAGAAAAUUUUUUGAUUUUGGCCUGGAACAAAAUGAAAUUAAAUUGAAGGAGAAUCUACUACUUUCUCAUUAAGAAAGGCAGACGGGGCAUACCAUGGUACCAUACAAUACAAAAAGUUUCUGUUCUCUGGCUUUUCAAACUCUGAAGGGGGCAAUAUUCCCCAAUUGCCUUGUGAAAAUUCUGAUUACGACAUUAUUCAUCGCUUGAUACAUAAGUAAAAGUAGUGAUAAAAUUAGAAAAAAUAUGACUUAUAAGUAAUUACUUGGCAGGGCUCUUGAGAGCAACAUUGUGCUAGGCUUUAUAUGCAUACAUUGUGUGGUACAUUCUACACUAUAACACAAACCCAGAAAGACAAGUAAUAUCUCAACUUAUAUAAAGACAAAAAGAAGAUAAAACGAUACAGAACAAAAAAUUUCAAAGAGACAGCAACAUACAAUAGACUGAAGCCAGUUGAUCUGCUCGUUGAUUGCAGCCUUAAACUUGCAAAUGUUUACUGUAGCCUGGUGCUCUAAGAAGUGAAAGUGAUGCAAACCUUGAUUCCCUGUUUACUUCCAUUUACUGUCAAACAUUCUAUUCAUACGAAAAAAAUUGUUUAGAUAUCUUGCCGUAAAUAUAGCCAUUUGAUUGUCUUAACAAAGCCACACACAACCAUUCAUAUUGAUCCACUGCCCUUGAUCUUGAACAGAUCAAUACAAUACGCACAACUUAUGAUUGAAUCCAGAAACAAUCAAAUCUUUAGCAAGAAAAAUUAAUCAGAAUCAAGAAACAAGUUCAAUGAAUAUAAACCUAUAAUUGGAACAAACACAGCCAAAGAACCCAAGAAUGACACAACCUACACCACGGGAGAAGUUUUCCAGUGAGAUUUUAUUGAUGAUCAAAGAAGAAUCUUUUUACAAAGCUAACAAAAGAGAUUUCAGAGAAUAAGCUAUGACUCUCUCUCUUCAAUCUCUCUCUAGUUUGUUCACAGUGAUGACCCCAAUCUGCUUCGUUAGCCAGCUUCAUAACUGCGUUAGUGACAAACUAGCAAACCCAGAUUGAGCAGAUUACCGACACGUGGAUAACGGCUAUUAAGAACUUAGUUAAAGAACUGCUCACAUAUUCGUCAUGCGUGUUACUUAAAUGAUGGCCAAAACGACUUCAACCAGAUGCCGUUUUGAAGCUUGUGAAUUAUAAUUGAAAACACGUGCUUGUCUCGUGACACUUACAUACAACAACAAGCCCAAAACACUGCCGUUUCACUUUGUUGAGUUUGCCAUCUCUAAGCUUCACAACUAGCAACGGAGAAGAUGAUAAUUAAAUUGACAUGGAGAGUUUUUAUAUCACUUUUACAACAUUCUAUAUAAUUGUGAUAUUGGGAAUCGUCGGUGUUGUAUAUGUGAACUCUCGUUGGCGACACUGGUAGUUUUAUUUUUGUUGAAAUAUGGAUGACAUUUCGUUACUAUUUUAUUGUACACAACAUUUUGUUACUAUUAACAUGUUAGUUUCAUUAGCCACUAGGCCUUUGGCUGAGUCGUUCGGGUGUCUGCCCUCCAACUUGGAGGGCAGCAAUUUGAACCCCCACAAGCGCAAUGUUGGGUAUUUCUUUCUUUAAUCUCUCGAAUAUUAGUGAAUGUUAAAAUCUAGGCAGAACUCCAUAAGUAUUGAUGUAAGUUGGUUUCAGUAAUAGUUUAAUUUGUAAAUAUCAGUUAUAAUCUCAUGUAAGAUGAGUUGUAAUUUGAGCAAUAGUCUCAUAGAAUAAUAAUAAUAAUAAACAUGUUAGCUUCAUUACAUUUUUCUUCAUUAAAAUUCUCAAGUAUUAGUCAGGUUUGCUAAAGUAAUAAAAUUUUGCCAUUAAAAUUGUAGUAGUAUUUCUGAGCACCUCACAUUUUCAAUGAUUUUUCAUAAAUCAAUUAAUCUGUCGUACCGAUAUCAGGUUUAGUUUUUCAUACUAAACAAUCAAGAAAGCAAACAUACAAAUUCACAGUUUAGAGGGGUAAACUAGGUAGGUGGUUUAGAUUUUAGAACUAGGCUAGCUACCCCACUAAAUUCCAAUUUGUAUAGUGAACUACAAGAAAUUGAGAAAACAGUGUAUUUAUAGUUUAAUUGAAUCGUGAGAAAGCAAUGUAGUCAUAGCUCAAUCUGAGAUGAUCACGGAGAGGCAUAUUCUUUUCAAGUUAAUUUGAUCAAUUUAUAAGAGAUGAAGUGGAUUGAAGUUAAAAGUUUAAAUAACAAAUCCUUGUUCUUGAGUUUUACGACGUCGUUACUCCUUCAAGAGGCAGAUUAUUUAUGCAAGUGAAUGCAGAAACGCAAUGCAUCAUCCACGGGGAUGGUACACCAAAAGGCGGGAUCAUAGUCUAUGCCCGCAGAUUAACAAUUUCGCUCAUAUAGAAAAUUAAUUUUUUAUAUAUACUAAUCAAUACUAAAUUGAUUAUGUUUUGUAUGUUUAUAUGCGAAUCAACACUAAAUUAUAUUAAAUGAAGAAAUAAUUCAAUUUUUUCUAAUUUAAUUUAGAAAAUAAAAUUAUUAACAUUAAUAUUCCCAAAAAAAAUUAUUUUCCAUUAGUAUUCAAAGUCUUCACUUAUGGAAAAUGUGUUUUACAUGAAUAUUAGUUACCGUGUAAAUUUGAAUGAUAGUGAAAAAUAAUUUUUUAAUUAUUGUAAAAAUAAUUAACCAUAUCAAAUCCCUUACGUAAAUAAUUUUUAUUUUUCAAAAAGGUAGAAAGAUGGUUAAUGCACAAGCAAAUUUUAAGCCCCUCUCUUCUUGGCCUAAGAUUCAAACUCAGAUGACUAGUUAAAAAAACCUAUGUGAAAAUCAUUCGGCCAGGUCUGCGGGGCAAAAAUACAAGAUCCUUAAUUUCAUAAUAUAUAUGAAUUAAUGUCAUUUACUUGAAUUAUCCAAAUUCAUCAGAGGUUAUCGAAUUUUCCUGACAUGUAGCAGAUGAAGUUGUUGCUUCCUUCUUGGCAUUAUUUCAGCUCUGGUUGUUGGUCCCGAUGAGCUUUAGUCUUAUUUUAAUUUUAUUUAAACUCAUCAUAAGAUUCGUGAAGCACCUAACUGACUUAACUGACUGUGCAGAAAUGUCACAUAGCAUAUUUAACCGUUUUAACAGUAAUUUUGAACGGUCUUCGCAGUUAUCAUCUACAAACUCGUUCGUGUUGGUCCACUAGGUGAAGUUUUUGAAAUAAUAAUAAGCUCCCAUUCUUGAUUUUAAAAAAUGUGCUUAUAAUAAUUUUAGAAUAAUGGCUUAUUUAUAGAACAACUUAUGAUUUCCCAUUAGCAUUAUUAUUGAAGUGGGGUGGGUAACGGUUCACUCAAUUCGUCGGGAAUAAAAAAUUACCAUCCAAGGCAGAAUUGUGGAAAAUUAAAGCGAAAUGAGAAAUAUGGAAAUGAAGGAAGAAAGUUAAGGCAUGAAAGACUUCCAGUUGAAAUUGAUAAUCAUGUUUCUAUUUUGGUAACUAAUCAAAUGGGAAACUGAACCAUAAACAAACAUUAAAACGUGUGGACUCCGCUAGCUGCCUUACAAGCCUACAAUAAUAACUGAGUACCUUUGAUUCAUCCUUCUAUGAAUUUCUAGCCGUAUUGACUCCACCGAAAUUUCCACAAAAAAAAUAAAAAAAGAAUUUCCACAAAAUGCAAAAUGCAUGGCACUUAAUUUUUGGCCCCGUGAUCACUAAGAUACAAUCCUUCUAGGGAAGAGCAAUCAGGCAAAUUUUUUUAAAUCUCUCCGACAAAGUGAUUACCAUCUAAUCGCAACAUUGAAUAAAAAUAAAAAUUUUAAUGGGAGUUUGACCUUAGAUUUAGAAAAUGAAUUUUCACUUUCUUCAAUUAUUAAACAGAUUACAGACAUUUGAGGAAUUUGAAAACACUUUAUCCAUCGAAAGUUAAAAUUAGAGAUGGAAGCUAGGUGCUUCAACUAAUGGGAUCAUUAAUUCCCCUCCCUCAAAUGUGUAGUUGUUCCUCUUUCCACAGCAUAAGCCUUAUAGUUAGAGUUUCUUUUAAAAAAAAUGUUAAACAAUUUCGGUUGAGCAUGGUUUUGGUAGUUGAAUAGACACCUCCGCCGUACCUCAAACAAAACUGUCAUUAUUCGUGUCAUGAAACAUGUUUCGGCCGUCAAAGUCAUGAGUAGGAGUGGGCAUGGGUUGGUUUGGGUUAGGUUUUAAGUCAAUUCAAACCAAAUCAUAAAAAUUUGGGUUAAACCCAAACUAACCCAAAUAUUUUUAACCCAACCCAAACCAACCUAUUUCCUUCUGGUAUCAGAGCCAAGGGGAGGAAAGUGUUUUAUUGUUUUGAGUUUUUGUGUUCUAAAAUCUUGUGUUUUAUUUUGCCACCAGAAAGUAUCCCAUGUUUAUAUCUUGUUAAUCCUACAUUACCUAAAAUUGUUGAGACUGAUGCAUCUGAUUUAGGUUAUGGAGGCAUAUUAAAGCAAAAGGAAAAUGAUAAUGAAUAGAUAGUACAAUAUGUUUCUGCACACUGAAAUUUUGUAAUGCAUAAAACAAUGGAAAGGAUUUCUUUUUUGAUAGUAGAAUAAUUUUUCUGACAAUCAUUCCAGUGUGCAGAAACAUAUUGUACUAUCUGUUCAUUAUCAUUUUCCUUUUGCUUUAAUAUGCCUCCAUAACCUAAAUCAGAUGCAUCAGUCUCAACAAUUUUAGGUAAUGUAGGAUUAGCAAGAUAUAAACAUGGGAUACUUUUUACAGAAUUCUUUAUUAAUCUAACAACUUUUGUAUGUUCAUCUGUCCAAGGAGUAGGUUUCUUUUUUAAUCUGUCAUGCAAAGGCUUAGACAUUCUAUUAAUAUUAGGGCAGAAGUCAAGAACAUAAUUCAAACUGCCAAGAAAUCUCUGUAAUUGGGUUUUGUCAAGAAUUUUAUCAGGAAAUUUAUCGGCAAACAAAAGAGAUCUCUCGAUUGGAGUGAUUGUUCCUUUAGUAAUAUGAUGACCAAGGAAUCUGACUUUUGUUUGAAAUAAAGAAACUUUAGAACUGGAAAUUGCCAAUCCAGCCUUUUUGGUGGCAAAAUAAAAAGUCUUUAAAUGUUUGAAAUGUUGAUCGAUAGAAUUUGAAAAUAUUAAUACGUCAUCAAUAUAAACAAUGCAAAAAUCAGAAUAAGGAUUAUAAAUAUCAUUAAUAAUUUUUUGAAAUUCUGAGGGUGCAUUCUUUAAACCAAAGGGCAUAACAGUCCACUCAUACUGUCCAAAUGGAACAGUAAAAGCAGUUUUGUAACGGUCAUUAGGAUGAAUUUGAAUUUGCCAAAAACCAGAUUUCAUGUCAAAUUUUGAGAAAAUAAGAGCAGAACAUAAUUUUUGAAGCAAAUCCUUUUUAUUAGGUAUGGGAUACCUAAUCCAUUUUAAAGCUUUGUUUAAAGGUUUGUAAUUUAUUACAAGUCUUGGUAUGCCUCUCUCAAGUUCAGAAUUUUUGUUCACAUAAAAAGCAGCACAAGACCACGGGGAUCUAGAUUUUACAAUAAGUCCUUUGGACUCUAAAUCCUUGAUUUCAUUUUUACAAUGUUGUUCCAAUUCCAUGUUCAUUUGGAUUGGACGGGCUUUAGUGGGGAUCUGUCUUUCAUCAAAAGAAUUUUCAUAGGGUAGAUCUACCACGUGUUGUUUUCUGUUCCAAAAUGCAGAAGGUAGAUCAGCACAAAUUUCUUUUUCAAUGAGAAUUUUGAAAUCAGAAAUUUUUCUUUUAAUGAAAUCACUUUGUAAUUGGCUUUCAAUUCUUUGUAGGUUCAAAUCUUUUUGUAAAAACAUUAGAUCACACUGUUUUGAUUUAAGUAAAUUAUUUAUCCUGUUUUGAUAAACAGAACAGGCUUUAACAAUAUUCAAAUUUCUUGUUUUAGGCUUUUCAAUAAAAGGGAAAACAAGUUUCUUGUUUUUUGCUUUGAAGGAUAUACUAUCAUAAUUGACAGUAUAUGGAGUUAUAAGAUUUAUAAAAGGAGUUCCCAAAAUGAUGGCAUGAUGAAUAUCAUUUGUGAGAACAAAAGAAGUUUUAAAAUCAAAACCAUUAUUAUGGAUUGAGGCUUCAACCUUAGAACUGACAUUCAGUUUUGAAUUAUUAGCGGCAGAAAGUCUUUCUUUUGUCUUUUCAUGAAAUCUUUUGGGGACGAUGUCUUCUCUAAUGCAAUUUAAAUCGGCGCCAGUAUCAAAAAGGGCAAUGGCGUCCAUUGCAAAAUCAUCAGAAAAGAUUAAAGUGACUUUAAUCAAAUACUUUCUUGUGGUGAUUUGCUUUAAAACAAAUAGAAAAUCAUUGGGUACAGACUCGAUGUUUUCUACUUUAAUAUCAUCACCAUCAUCAGGAUUAGAUUCAUUGUCUGAAUUAUCCUGCAAUUGUUUUUGUAAAAGAAGUUGGAUAGUAUCAGAAUCACUUUUUUGUUUUUCUUUUAAAUCUCUGAUUUCACAUUUGAUUUCUUUUAUCUCUUUCUGAAGAUCUUGGAUAUUAGGAACCGUCUUCUUUUUUUUCUUUUUAUCCAAAAUUUGAGUAAGAUCAUAAGAAUUCUUUUUAACAAUUGGGACUUUAGAAGUCUCAGCUUUAUUAAAAUCCAAAGUUUUCAAAAGUUUAUCAAGAUAUUCUUUUUGAAGAUUCGGAUCAGAAAUAUGCUUUACAAGUUCAAGAAAAGUUUCUUGGUCUUUAGUCAAAACAUUGAUUUUCUUUAAAAAUGAAUCAGAUUCAGAUUCACUGCUGCUAGAUGCAGAGUCAUCUGAGUCAAUUAGCUCAUCAACUUGAUUAGGGUCACUGUCUCCCGACAUGGAAGACUCAGAAUCAGAAGACUCGAUUAGAAGAGGGGCUAAUUUGGAAAGGAUCUCUUCAUCGAGGUCAAGCUCAUGAAGCUUUUUGUUCAUUCUGCAAUAUUUUGCAGUAUGACCUUUUAUGCCACACUUAUGACAUAUAGCUUCUUUGUAAUUGAAAGGAGUCUUUGGUUUGGCUUUAAACUCUUUUUUAGAGAAUUUGGGUUUCUUAUAAGGCCUCGAAGGUUUCUUAUAAGGAAGUUCUCUAAAAUUACGAAAAGGUUUCCUAAAAUGUUUAGAUUUGUAAUGUUUCCUGCGAGGUUUAGUAGAACACUCACAAUUACAAUCUUUGGAGAUAGAAGUUUUAAAGGGGUCAUAAUUGAAUUGUUUACAGAAACCGCCUAAUUCUUGUUUAGACUUCUUAAGCUCCCACUUAAGUCGUUUCUGUAGUUUCAAAUCUUGACAAAUCUUUAAACCUUCCUUAUUGACAAAACUGACAAGUUCGCCAUAAGUGAGCUCAUCAUAAGGAAUACGGUUAUCAUAAAGGGCUUUAAUAGAAUUUCUUACCUUUUCACCUAGAAGGGUAGGUAAUCCAGCAAAAAAUUUUUCUUUCCAAGUAGUAUGAUUUGCAUCAUCCCUUAGAAAUAGUCUGGUAAGAAAUGAGGUUUUGUAGCUCUGAAAUUCACUAAGUUUCCUACAUCUUAAAUUAUGUAGUAACUCAGCGUUUUUAUCACGAAAGUGUGAAGGGUCACCAAUGAAAUGGAGGGAAAUGGUUAAAAUUAGAGUAGCAACAGCAUCCUGAAUAGGGUUGUUGAACUCAUCAAAAAUAGGGGCUCCAUUUUCAUCGACUUGAAUGGAAUUUAGAAUGUCUAAUUGUUGCUGACUAGUGAGAAGAUGAUCCCACCAACCUUUGAGUUGACCAGUAAAACCGGCAAUGAGGAUUUCUGAUAUGGCACGAUCAGAAGUUCCUGCUUGGGUUUUAUAGGCAUUGGCUGCCAUUGUCAUUUGUUGCAACAAUCCUAGGAUAUUGUAUUCGGACAUACCGUCAAUAUUCCACUCAUAGACUGAAGAUGCAUUAUAUCGGGAUUGAUUUAAUGCACUUGGUCUAUUAUCUAUCGCUAGAUCCGGUGGAGUCUUGACAGUGGGAAGGGCUAAUUCCCAAUGAAUUUUGUUUGCCUUAGGAGUGGGUUCCUCUUGGAAAGCAUCAACGUCCGAAGAGGCUAUAGAAGUUUGGUCAUCUUGUUCUAAUACUCCAAUCUUGCUAGAUUGGGGAGUAUCAGGGGCUAUCUGAAUUUUGCUAGAUGAGGAAGAAGCAGCUUCUAUCCUAUCUAGUUGUUCUCUAAUGGCUUUAGCAAAAUCUGAUUUUGACUCUUGAACAAGCUUUUGGCUAGUUUUCGAAACCUGAAAAGGUUUGAAAAUAGGUUUCUUAAGCUUUUUGUCAGAAUCCGAUUUUGUUGGAAUAGGAGAGAUUGAUGGAACAGUAAUGGUUGACUUCUGGAUUUGGUUUUCUAUCCUAGUCAACUGUUUUCCAAUUGUAUUUAAGUUAGUAUUACAGAAAUUAUUCUGUUGGAUAAUACUACUUAAAUUUGCCUCGGAAUCAUUUGGUUUUGGGAUUUUGUAAGGUGAAGCUCGGAUUUGGACAGGAGGUUCACCGUGAUCAACGGUUAUACUCCGAAGAGGUGGGUGUUCAGACUCUAUAGUUCUAUCACUAUCAAGAAGUUUCCAUUCAGGGACUUUCUUCCUAAUAGUAAUAGGGUUUGACUCUUUAAAAUGAUAAGAGAUGUUGUUAUCGGAAGAAUAUAUCUCAAACCAAUCAAAAAACAAUAUAUGAAUUUUAUGAAAAUUCACAAAUUCAUAGUAAGUUUGUUGGAUUUCUUUUCUUUGGUUUAAAAAGUGUUGAAAAACCAAAGUCUUUUUUCUUUGUUUAAAUCAGAAUAAAAAUCAUUAUGCAGAAAAGUUUUAUCUAAUUCAAAUUCUUUUUCAAUGACAUUAAUGACAUUUUCUGUAACAGCAGAAAAUGUAGGGGAAGUUGGAGGAGAAGGUUCCUUCUCUUCCUGACUUUGUAAAUGUUGAUUACUAGUGUAGAUUGGAUGAGGAACACUAGUGGUGUAAUCAACUGAUCGAAUGGAGGUACCUGUAGCUAAACCAACCUAUUUGGAUUUGGGUUUGGUUUGAAUUUUAUAAUUAAAAUAUUUUUUAUUUUAAUAAAUUUAACUAUAUCAAAUUAUAAUAAUUAUUAAUUAAUAUUAAUUAUUAAAUUAAUAUUAAAAUACGAAAAAAUGUAGUGGAUAAAAAUUAUGAAUAAUGGAUUUUACAAUAACUUUGUUCUUAAAUAUUAACCAUAUUACAACAUAAAUUCUAACAAUGUCAAUACAAAUUAAAGUAAGAUAAGAUAUCUCAACUCAAGCAUCAAAGCAAUCCAUCAAAAUUAAAUUAUUUAAUUUUAUAAAUUUAAAUCUUCCGAGAAAUAAAUCUAAAAUUUAUUGUAAUUAGAAAAAGCGCCAAAAUUUUAAACGCAGUAAGAAAAAUUAGACAUGAAAUCUAAUUAGGUUUAAAUUUAAUUAAAAAAUAACAAUAGAAUCAUAUUUUAUUUGAUAAAAUCUUAAAAUCAAUUGCAUUUUUAAUUUUAGUAAGUUACAAUACAAAUAGGAUUAUAAAAUUAUAUUACAGGAUUUCAUAAAAAUAUUGUUUGAGUAAUUUAUUAAAGGACUCACCUACGUUGCCACAGUUGUAGCUUACCACGCUUUUUGUCUUUUUCCAGUAAAAUCGUAGGAUGCUUUCAAAUUUAAUCUAACGGCUGCAAUUAAUUAUUAGAUAAUUUAAUCAGCCAUUGGCAACCUUUACAACCGGUUAUAUUCUCUCGUUACAUUUAUCGGCUACCAAACAAUCCCCAAGAAAAUGACGAAGUGAGUAACUAAUACACACACCGCAGAGAAAGAUGACAGGAGAAGAGAUGACGGUAGGCCCACCGGCACAAAGGUUCUUCGAUUGCUCUAUUUCUUCGGCGCCGGAUUUAUCUACACAGCUACAAUCGACAAGUGGCGGGAACUCGAGCGGAAGUCAUUGAAAAAGAAACAGCAAGAGAGCAAUCUAUGGACUGAUGAUAACUCAGCAACUACGGUAAAGAAAGCCGUCAAAUGAUCUUUUUAUUUGACUUUUGAUGGAUUUUCAAGAGUUUUGGUAAUAAAAUGUCUCUUAAUUUUUCAUUUCAAUGGCCUAUUGUUUGAGUUAUUAUUAUGCAUAAUUGUUGGAAGAGUUAGGGUUUUACUAUUGGAUUUUGGAAUUUGUAUUUUGGCUUUGAUAUGUUAUUGUUGUGAUGUCGGUCAAGAAAUUUUUGACAACACUCUCCUCGAGUUUGAUACUAUAGCUAAUGAAUUUUUAUGGCAGAUAUAUAUUUUUCUUUGAAAAAAAAAAACACUUUACAACUGGUUAUGCAUUCAUUUAGGAGCUGUUAACUGAGCGUGAGUUCCAUAAUUUUCCAACCAGUGGUUAGGGUUUCACAGAAAAAUGUCGACAUUGAUCUUUAGGCAGCACUUAAGACUGAAAUUGGUUAUAGAGGAUCGAAUUUGGGGAACUAGAAAUUUCUGAUCAUUAAUAAUUGAAAAUGGCCUCUCACUUGUAGGCAGUUGUUGGAUGUAAUGUAUCCAGUUUCUGAAAUCGAAAGUAGAGUGAGUUCUUAAGUUAGAUGUACCUACAUGCAUUAAGGUUCGAAGAUGUGGAAUAGGCCAAUUGUUUGAUGUCAGCUUUGUUGCACAUGUUCUGAAAUUGAUCAUUUAAGAUGGCUUGGAAGCACUCCGUGAUGUGACUAAGAAGAUUCGAGGAAGUAUUAAAUAUGUUGAAAGUUCACAAUUAAUACAAGGUAAGUUCAAUGAGAUCACCCAGCAAGUUGAAAUCAACAGUCAAAAGAGCCUAAAGUGUGAUAUUUUUCUCUUGGAUUGUUUUUUUAUUUUCCAUUUCAAAGCUGAUAGUGUAAAUAUUUUGUUUGCAAAAGUUUCUAAAAAGUACUUGAGUCAAGAUGGUUAGGUAUUUCGUAACUUCCUUUUUACUCUUAACUAGAUUCAUAGAGAGUUAUAACAUUAACAUAAUUUUUUCUUUUAAAAGUGAUCAAUUAGACACUGAUGAGAUAUCUCACUUUUGAAUCAUUUAGCUUUAUGUAAUUUCAUUACUAUUAUAUGCCCCCAGGAAUUGUUGAAGUAUAUAUAUCUUGGCAUUUCUUCACUGACUGAAUUAUCUUUCAUAAUAUUCCAGCUUCAAAUGGGUACACUGCAGAGCCGAUUGGAUGCAGAAUUCCUUCUAGCUCAUAUGUGCUCUGUAAAAUUCAAAGACUGAAUAGUGGUUAUGGCAACUCUUUUUAGAUGAUCUAAGGUAUAAUGCCCAAUUAUUGCUUUUGCUUUAUCUGUUUUACCUUGCAACAUUUUGAAAUUUAUGAGAAGCAUAAAAUUACUGAGCCAAAAUUGAGGAUCUGAACUUUCGUAAAAAUAUUCGUAUUUUUAAAUUAUAAAAUAUUGCAUUUGAUGCUUUAGGUGGAACUUAGUUCACUACAGAAAGGAAAAUUAUGUUGGGCAUAACCAGAUGCUUUUCAAGAGAAAAUUUCACUGAUAUUUUUCUGAGGAUUUUACUUGGCCAUCUUAUUUCAAGCUGCUUGAAUUUUUUCUUUAUAUCAUCUUGGUUGUAUACUAUAACUCGUUGAAUUUGCUAGCACUUUUGCUAGUUGGUUAUUCUAUAUGUGAUUAUGGUGGUAAAGUUUGGAAGCUCAAAAAGUAAUGGAACUUAGGAAGAGUAUGACAUAGAAUGCUGGAUAGAAUUAAAAUAAUCAUUCUUCAGGCAUCCAAAGAUGAUGUAUUCAAAAUAGCUAGUUUUGACUUUUGAGGCCGUAUAAAUAACUAUUAUCUCACAUGGUUACAUUAUGAUAGGUAGGCACUAGCUUAAUAACUCCAAUUAACUUGAAGUUGUUACCUGAUUUAUUAUGACAGUGUGCAUUACGAUAAGUAUCCUUGCAUAUUAAGAUUUUCCUUCCAGAUCUUUGCGGUACUUUUUGAUCUUUUCCGACAUGAUAUGCGAUUAUGGGAAGCAUAUGCCAUCACCUUACAGGUAUUCUCUUAAUUUUUAGAUAGUGCUCAAGAUGACAUUCAAGUUGGCUAUUAUUGGGUGCAAGAUUUACCAUGCUCUUAUUUUGCUUUUUUAGUCUAACCCGAUAUUUGCUUAAUACCAUGAUCUGCUUCAAGCCUUGGAUGAAAAACUUUCAUUUUUUGUAUAUUCUGCAAUGAGAUGAGGGUAGUUUUUCUGAUGAUAUUUGGCAGUAAAUUGGGACUAACUAAAGUAAUUUUCUUAAUGGCAUGUCUACUUCUCAGAUGAAUGACCGUCUGUUCAGACUCCAAGGUGAUGAAUUAACAACCACCGAUCUAUUCUGGGUGAAGAUGAUGACGUUGACACCAAGCCAGUGGAAUGACUAGGACUUCCCUUUUGUUACAAUAAAUUGCGUUCAUUAGACACACGCAGUUAAUUAGUGUAGAUAAAGGAGGUCUAUGCACUAUAGACUGUUUUGUAUUUCGAGAGUCCUUUUUUUGUUUCUUUCAUUCUCCAUUCUUUUGAAAUUAUGUACAAUGGUUAUAUUGUCUGUAUUAUUACGGAUUUAUGAUGGGAGUAUCCCAAGUUUAUGGAAUAAUUAUAAAUAAGGACUUUAAAUUUUUGUUGAAAGAAGUUGAGUGAGAGAAAAGAAGCUAAAGCAGUAAGCAUUUGUUAUACUUCAUUCGAUUGUAUCUAAAUUACAAAGGUUGGUGGCCUUAUUUAUAGUGAAGUUCCCACAGGCCACUUGCACUCAAAACAUUCGAAAUAUGCAAACAUAUUGAUAUAUAAACAUACAGAAUUAAUAUUCUGAAACCUUGUAAGUAAUGCAAAUAAAAGUGAGGUUGGGGCAGCCAAUAUUUACAUCAUGUAUUAAUAGAAAUAAAAUCAAUUAUUUCCAAAUAAAUUCACUUAGUUCAAAGCACGGGCUUCGGUUAAGUUGAACAAGCAAGCCAAUUUUUGUUGUUACUUCAUGAUUGUAGUAAGCUGUGGGUAGUGGAUUGUGUUCCCUAUAAAAAAACAAACAGAAGCAUAAGUUUCUCUCAAUUAAGGCACCUGAAAUGUAUUUCCAUGUCUACUAACCUGGUCAUUCCUCCAUGAACUAAACCCUUCUGAGGAUCUUGAAUAGAUUUAUAGAGAUCUCAGAUAAUUUCCUCAUGGUGUGCCUAAGUAAAGACAAGUCUUAUGUACUUGAUUACUUCUGGCCAAUCCAUCGAGGCCACCACCUGUCUCAGUCAAUUCAAUCUUUUAAUAGAGUGAAUUACUAGAAUAAAAUUUAUUAAAGUUGAUAUAAAAUCUAAAUUAAAAAAAUCAGAUAAGAGAAUGAUCCAAAAUCCAAAAAAUCAGAUAUUUAAGGAGUGGACUUGUGACCCUCUAUAGAAUCCAUGGAAGAGUAACUAAGGGAAAAACAUUAGAGGUACUUUUGGCGAUACUAUUAGUAUUCUUGUGCUGAUCAUAAUCUUGGGGGUAGAUCUAGACUAAUUAGCUAUUCAUUGAACAUUCCAUUUCUCCACAAUUACAUGCAAAAGUGCACCUUGCAGUUGCAGCCUAGACCAUAGAAAUAUAGAAUUCCAAUUAUCAACAUCUAAAGCUACUGUAGUGACUUGCAACCAUGAGAUGAUAUAUACAUAUGCUGAGAUUCAAAUAUUUGAGAAGUUUAAACAUCCUGAUGAAAAAUAGACUAGUUCACAGCUACUUUGGGGAAGUUGAUUUCUAAUAGCAGUAGAAAAUACAAGUUUUUUUAAACAUACCUACUCCAGUAAACUCAAUUAACCAAAACAAAACUCAAAGCAUGAAAAAGAGGGAUUUUAACUAACCUAAUCAUUAUCAUUGAUAUUUUAACAUAUUGAUCUUCACAUGGAGUUAACAAACACAAGACUUAGUGCCUAGUACAUAUGUCUGGGGUUGCACAGUCUGUUCGACAAAUUUAUUGAAACUAUAUCCAUGCUCCUUCUCCAAUAAAUAAAUAUCCUCUUGCUUCUUCCAUCCUACUCUAAUUCUUCCUGGAAAGCAUUCUCCCCUUCUCUAAUUCUUCCGAAAAAACAUAACCGACAAUCCUAAACUAAUUACCACCGUUAAAUCUUUCAAACAAAAUUUACAAUUUCUUAUCAGUAGUUUCCUGCCGCAUCCGAUCGAACGGCUCAUCAACGAAUCAAACAGACUUCUUUCCACCCUUUUUCCAUAUAAUUACAUUUGCCUAAUUCCUAAAGUUUCGGCUCCGCCCAAUGUCGGCCGCAAUUGGCUGCCACAGCGAUAUGUUCAUCUUCAACUUCUCUGCUGCGAUUUCAAAUUUACUUCAGCCUCGUACCACCACACUUCCACUGGCAAUUAAUUUCAUUAUCCGAUUUUACUAUGUGUGGAAUAGAUUUGAGCAAUUUAUGAGUUUUCGCUACGAUUUCGACGAUGUCCUCUCAACACUAAUUUGAUCACCUAAUUUUAACUGUUUUGGGUUAUUUAUUUUUUAUUAUAUUUAUAUACAGUCUCUGCAGGCAACCGACUACUUUACUUAUAUGUGGAACUCAUCUGAGUCAUUAGAUGAAGGCCCUCGAGAUCCUACGGUGAUUAUAUAUGAGGACAAAAUGUGUUGUACGUUGCAACUGUUGCAACGUAGGAGGAUCCUUUAUUAAAAUGUUAAUUUAAUCUUUUAACUCAAGUUGAGACCGUAAAAAAUUGUUAUAUAAUAGUGUACUGUACAACCAAUUGCAUAUGUAUUUAUCCUGUGCAGCACUUCUAUUAUUAUUAUAUAAUAAUAAUUAGUAGUAGUAUAAUUACUAUAUAAUAAUAAUUAUUAAUAGUAUAAUUAUUAUAUAAUAAUAAUUUUAAUAAAAAAUUAUUAUUAAAAUAUUAAUUUAGCCUUUUAUUUUGUUUAAUUUACUUUUCAUUAAUAUGUUAUCUUGAAUUUGUUCAUGACCCAUGGGUAAACUAUACCCAAACUAUUAUAAAAUAAUUUUUUUCAUAAAAAUUCAAAUUUAACCCAUUUCAUGAUUUAUCCAACUCAAACCAUUUAAUUUAAUAGUAGAUAAAGGCCCAAUUUAACCCAUUUCAUUUAAUUUAAUAGUGGAGAUUCGGUAGGGUUUUAUUUCCUUCUCUUUGCUGUCAAACGAAAUUAUGUUACUCGAGUCUUAAUUUGUGUCUCAGUAAUUAAUCUGAUGUGACUAUUAUAACAAGCUGCCACAUCGAUUGAUGGCCAAGUAAUUGGAUAUUUAAUAUUACUCAAUUAAUAAAUUAACAAUAUAUUUGAGUUUUUAAGCUUUUUUCGGGUCAGAUCAUUAAUAACACAGAUUUUGCUGUAAUCUCAGGUUGUGUAAUUGAGUGCAUAAGAAAAAAACAAAACAAAAAACUAUUCAAAAAAAUUAAUUUCAUAUAAUAAAAUUAUACUUUUGUUAUAAUUUAACUUAGUAGUUAUUUUAAUUUUUUCAACAUACACAUAUAUACACAUAAUAAAAUUAAUUUCAUAUAAUAAAAUUAUACUUUUGUUAUAAUUUAACUUAGUUAGGACUCUGUUUUCUAGAAACAGAGUCCUAACUAAAUUAAUUGACUGUACAGUACAUUUCAACAUAGCAUAUUUAACCGUUAACCGUCUUCUGAGUUAUCAUCAACAAAUUCAUUCAUAUUUCUCCAGUCUUACGGACGAUAUCAUAUGUUUAAUAAUGAAUGAAUAGUCUUGGAUCAGUGUUUUGCAGCAAAUUCACAUCAUAGUUUUGAUUCUUUAGAUAUGAAUUCAUCACAUUACCGAAAAGAAUACGCGCUAAAAAAUGAUUCCAAGACUAUUUGACUACCAAAAGCUGCUGUCAGAGUGCACUGAAAGUUUCCGUAGGAUACUUUGCGGUUGUUUAUUAUGUUAUGAUGGGCAUAUAAUUCUCAAAUUUUGACUCCUCUCAGCGAAAAAUAUAUCAAAGUUUAGAUUAUGUGUUCGAGCUUUAAUAAAUGCCUGAGUUAAUAAUAAUAACAACAAUAAUAAUAAACUAAAAAGCAAAAUUACUAUUGAAUGAUCGGAAAAAAAAAAAAAAUUGAAAAUGUGUGAACUCCAAUAACCACCCCACAAAUUUAGUGGCGAAUUUUGGAGAGGGCAAGGCUGGGCUUCUCAGAAAAAAAAUGACGAGUAGAAUUGUGGAAAAUUAAAGCAAAAUGACAAGUAUGGAAAGGAAGGCUGAAAGUAAGGCAUGACGAAAGUCUUUGAGAAGGCUGAAGACUACCAAAGAAGACAACUGAAAGCUAGCUGGGGCGUGAGUGUAUAAAUUGUUAGAUGUGUUUGUUAUAAAUAACAUAGAGCCCUUUUGUUAUUUAUAGUUAUAGAGAAAGAGAGAAUGUGUGUUUUUUAAUAGUUAGAGAUAUAGCUAGAAUGGGUGGUUCAAAAUCCAAAAUGGUGACAAUGUUAGUUCUUAUAUUAAUAAUAUUAGGAAGAAGGGGGGGGGGGGGGGGGGUGUGGAGUGAGGGAUGUUUGGAGCAUGAGGAAUUUGCUCAUUUCUGGCUUAAACAUUUCUUCAAUUCCCCUUAUAGACUUCAAAACUGGGUAGAUGAACAAAGGGAAAGGGUUGAGUGCAGCAACUCCACAGGCCGAGUGGUACAACUACACCUUAGUCUUACUAGGAAUAUCGAUCUGGGAGUGUGGUAUCUGAAUGCUUCUCUAUUUACUUCCUUUCAACAACUUGGUAACAAAAUAGCCGGCUGCAUGCGUUGAGAAUGAAGGUCCUUCAUUUAAUUUAAUUUACUUAAUUUCUCCCUCCUAAUUAAUGUCUAUAACCAUUGGGAGGAACAAGGGAUUUUAUUAACUCAAAUAUAUGUAAUGGAGGAGCUCAUUCUUUGGUUUUACUUGCAGGUCUAGAAGCAGGUGUCAUCUAACAGCUGCUUUGAUAAUUUCCCACCCCUUCAUCUUUGAUGGAAAGAUGAAAUAAAAACAAAAUGGUGAAAAUGGUAUUGGUACCUGAGGCUAUGUAAUCUAAUUCAACAACUGCACCAUCAAAACGAUUACAUAAGUCCCAGAAGAAUCAAACAUUAGUUUGCAAAAUAUCAAUUGCUGGAGGUUAGAUUCUAACUUCCGCUCUUGAUUUUUAUGGGCAUGUUGUAUUGUACUUGCAUACGAAAAUCAUAUUUUAGUUUACUUACACUCAACGCUUGGAUUAAAGUUUUAGGUGGGGAAAAUUGAAGGAGACUAAAAUGACUCAAAAAAAUAGUUGAAUGAGUGAGGGUUUUGUCUUCAUUUAAGGAGCUCUUUAUAAAUUUUAGGAUUUUUUUUCCCUGAGAAAAUUUAUGCCAACUUAUUCUUUGCUUCUUUUCUGAAGGGACAAAUGCAACUAAAAGUGUAUUCUUGAAUUCUCCAGGAUAAGAGACAUAUGUUUAAUUAGAUUCUCGAGCCUUCAAAACAAUAUAAAAUUUUAGAUUGAUAAAAUUUUAUAUAUCUGAGCAUGAUGGUGUUUGACAUGACUUAAAACUGUUUAAUUUACUCUCACAUACAAGAAUGCCUAGUUAUAUUGUAGCUCAGAGUCUGAGGUUAAUUCAUAAAGAAAUGAUUUAAUUUGUUUAUUUAAGAUUAUCCCAAAAAAUAAAAAUAAAAUUUAAAUAUAUGUAAUUUAAUUUGAAAAAAGUUAUGAAAUUAAUUAUUUAGGGUCAUGGAUCCACUCUUAGUAAUAAAUACAAUUUAAUAAAUUCUUUUUAUUUUUAUUUUAUUGCCCAAAAGAUUAAUUAUAUAAAUUAUAAUUAUUUUCCCAUUAAUUUUAUUAUGGAUUAAGUACUUAAUGUGCCAAAACUUAACUUAUCUACAAUAAGUCAAAAUACCAUUUUACCAUAAUUUAUGCAAAGAUAUUAAGAAUUCAUGUGCCAAACUCCCAUGUUUGUCUACAAUAAAUCAAAAUUUCAAAACAUAAAAUAUGGAUCAAAUUAAAUAAAAAAUAAUUUAAUUUAUAUAAUUAAAAAUAGAAUUUGAUUAAAUCAUAUUUUUCUACUCAGAGUUUUACCUCACCCUAACUAUUAGUAUUUAGCUAAACAUAUUUGAAAUAAAUGAAAUUAUUAAAAUUAAAAAAUACAUAAUUAAAAAAAUGGUAUUUGAAAAUUAGAAAUAAAACUAAUUUUAUUUAUUGAAAAUGUAUUACAAAGAGAGAUGAGAAGAAGAAUUUGAGGGGAAAGAAGAGAAGAAAAUGUGUGGAGAGGUGUGUGAAAUUAUAUUGUAAAGAUGUUACACAAACAAAUGAAUAAAAAAAAACUAAAUGAAAAUUACACAAAUUAAAAAGAAAAUGAAAAUUAAAUAAACAAGAUAAAUGUGCAAGAAAAAAAUGCACAAUAAAAAUAAAUAAACUGAAAAGUAAUUAACUAAAAUUAAAAUAACUAAAUAGGCGGUAAACAAAGUAAAUGCCAAAAAUAAAAUAAGUGCGAAAAUUAAAUUACAGAAAUUAAAAGAAGAAAGAAAGAAAAAAUAAUUAUCUCAAAGUGUAAACUCUUUUUCUUUUUCUUUUCAAAUUUUAAAUAUUACCAGCCAAUUAAGUGAUUAAUUCAAAUUAUUAGGCUUUAAUAGUAAUUUUUAAAAUCAAUAUUCAGUUUAUUGAGUCCAAAUAAGGUCCAAAGAAGUUCAAGUUGUUGGUCUAAAAUUAAGAAUUUUGGGAAAUAUUGGCAACGGACCUAUUCAAAAAGUUCUAUAAUUUUAUGGUCAAACUGCAAUUAUGAGAAGAAUGAUCCAAAAAUUAGAAUUUUUGGGGUGAGUGAGAUUUAGAAAAUUUUGUGGAUAUAACAUAAUUUAAGAAAGAAAAAGGAGGUAAAUGAAAAUUUAUACAAAAAGUAAAAAAAGAAAGAAAAAAGAAAACAAAAUAAAUACCUCUCCCGGCAACGGCGGUAAAAACUUAACACGACUUUAAAGUAUUUAAUUUACUCUUAAGUAUAAGAGUAGCUAGUUAUAUUAUAUCGCGAGAAGUCCGAGAUCGAUCUACAGAAAAAUGAUUUAAUUUAUUUAUUUAAGUUUAUCUAAAAAAUAAAAUUAAAAUUAAAUACAUGCAAUUUAAUUUGAGAAAAACUAUGAAAUUGAAGUAGUUAGGAUUAUGGAUCUACUCCUAGUAAUAAAUGUAAUUUAAUAAAUUUUUUAAUUUUAUUUUAUUGACCAAAAGAUUAAUUGUAUAAAUUACAAUUAUUUUCCCAUUAAUUUUAUUAUGGAUUAAGUACUUAAUGUGCAAAAGCUUAACUUGUCUACAAUAAGUCAAAAUACUAUUUUACCAUACUUUAUACUAAGAUAUUAACAAUUCAUUGUGCCAAACUCCCAUGUUUGUCUACAAUAAAUUAAAAUUUCAAAAUAUAAAAUAUAGAUAAAAUUAAAUAAAAAAUAAUUUAAUUUAUAUAAUUAAAAAUAGAAUUUGAUUAAAUCAUAUUUUUCUACUCAGAGUUUUACCUCACCCUAACUAUUAGUAUUUAGCUAAACAUAUUUGAAGUAAAUGAAAUUAUUAAAAUUGAAAAAUACAUAAUUAAAAAAAUGGUAUUUGAAAAUUAGAAAUAAAACUAAUUUUAUUUAUUGAAAAUAUACUACAAAAAGAGAUGAGAAGAAAAAGUUGAGGGGAAUGAAGAGAAAAUAAGGUGUGGAGAGGUGUGUUCCUCCCCCCACCUCUCUAUUUAUACUAAUACGUGAUUAAUCCACACAACACAAAUAAAUAAAACUAAUUACAUCUUAGGCAUACAUUUGUCCUACUAACAAAACAUAAACCUAAGUUAAUCCACUUAAGCACAUCCAACACAUUUCACUAAAAAUUACCACACCUAACAUGAUAAAAACUUAUAAUUUCACAAUUACCACUUUUACUUUUACAACAAAAGCCGCGAAUCUUCUCGACAAUGACCUAAUUUCUCGGACUUUCGGAAUCUAAAAGUUUAAAUAAUAUUAAAUUUAUCUAAUAUAAAUAAAUGUAUUAAAUAAAAUAAUGUUUCAUUUUAUAUUUACCCUCCUUUUAUUAAAUUUCCUAUAAUUAUAUUUAAUAAAAUAAAUAAUAUUAUAUAUUUAAAUAAUAUUAGUUAUAUUUAACUAAAUUAAAGCAAAAUGACAAGUAUGGAAAGGAAGGCUGAAAGUAAGGCAUGACAUAAGGCUUUGAGAAGGCUGAAGACUACCAAAGAAGACAACUGAAAGCUAGCUGGGGCGUGAGUGUAUAAAUUGUUAGAUGUGUUUGUUAUAAAUAACAUAGAGCCCUUUUGUUAUUUAUAAUCAUAGAGAAAGAGAGAAUGUGUGUUUUUUAAUAGUUAGAGAUAUAGCUAGAAUGGGUGGCUCAAAAUCCAAAAUGGUGACAAUGUUAGUUCUCGUAUUGAUAAUAUUGGGGGGGGGGGGGGGGGGGGGAGGUCGAGUGAGGGAUGUUUGGAGCAUGAGAAAUUUGAUCUUUUGCGGCUUAAACAUUUCUUCAAUUCCCCUUAUACACUUCAAAACUGGGUAGGUGAACAAAGGGAAAGGGUUGAGUGCAGCAACUCCACAUGCCAAGUGGUACAACUACACCUUGGCCUUACUAGGAAUAUCGAUCUGGGAGAGUGGUAUCUGAAUGCUUCUCUAUUUACUUCCUUUCAACAACUUGGUAACAAAAUAGCCGGCUGCAUGCGUUGAGAAUGAAGGUCCUUCAUUUAAUUUAAUUUACUUAAUUCCUCCCUCCCAAUUAAUGUCUAAUGGAGCUCAUUCUUUGGUUUUACUUGCAGGUCUAGAAGCAGGUGUCAUCUAACAGCUGCUUUGAUAAUUUCCCACCGCUUCAUCUUUGAUGAAAAGAUGAAAUAAAAACAAAAUGGUGAAAAUGGUAUUGGUACCUGAGGCUAUGUAAUCUAAUUCAAAAACUGCACCAUCAAAACGAUUACAUAAGUCCCAGAAGAAUCAAACAUUAGUUUGCAAAAUAUCAAUUGCUGGAGGUUUGAUUCUAACUUCUGCUCUUCAUUUUUAUGGGCAUAUUGUGUUGUACUUGUUGGAGAAUUAACAAAUAAAACACACACAAAAACACACUAUUUUAUUUCUUCAACAACACUUCUCACUAAUUACAAUUCUUAUUUUUCACUCUCUACACCUGAGAGAUUUUGCUACUUCACUUGAUAUUUAAACCAAAGGGGAGAGGGGGUAUUUAUACAUGAAACAAACUAAUCACAACCAUUCAUUUAUUCAAUUAAUACACAAAUCCUCACCAUCCAUUAAAACCUACCACACCUAACACACCUAACACAAAUAAUUCAAACCUCACCAACCAUACCUACUCAUGGAACCUUCCAUGAGUUGGGCUUGAUUUAUUCAUCUUGGAUCAAGUUUAUGAUCCAACACCUCCCCUUAAACUUGAUCCUGUGACACCAAGCAAACUUCUGAAUCUUACAAAGUCUUCUUGCUUGAGUGGCUUAGUGAAGAUAUCAGCUGCUUGAUCUUGUGAUUUUACAUACUUGAUUUGCACUUCUUUUCUUGCAAUACACUCUCUUAUGAAAUGAUAAUGAGUGUCUAUGUGUUUACUUCGAUCAUGAAAGACUGGAUUCUUGGAUAGGGCAAUUGCUGAUUUGUUAUCAACACAAAUCUCGGUUGGCUCUUCUUGUGCCAAACUCAACUCCUUCAGUAAAUUUCUGAGCCAAAUUGCAUGACAAACACUUGAUGUGCCAGCUACAUAUUCAGCUUCACAGGUGGAUAGCGUGACAAUUGGUUGCUUCUUUGACAUCCAUGUGAAAGCAGUAUCUCCCAUGAAGAACACAAAUCUCGUGGUGCUCUUUCGAUCAUCUACAUCUCCACCCCAAUCGCUAUCGCUAUAUCCAACAAGCUUGUAGUCAUUAGAAAAUGAGUAUAGCAAGCCGAAAUUAGUUGUACCUUUGAUGUAGCGAAGGAUUCUUUUUGCAGCUUUAAAAUGGGUAGUCUUUGGAUUCUCCAUAUAUCGGCUCACAAAUCCAACAGCAUAAAGGAUAUCUGGUCUUAUGCAUGUCAAAUAACGUAGGCUUCCAACCAAACUUUUAAAGAAUGUUGGAUAUAUAUCUUCGCCUUCAUCAUGUUUGGAUAACUUGACUCCGCAUUCCACUGGCGUGCUUAUAGGCUUACAAUCAUUCAUCUUGAACUUCUUGAGAAUCUCCUUUGCAUAGCUUUCUUGGGAGAUAAAUAUGCCUUCUUCCUUUUGCUUGACCUCAAUGCCGAGGUAAUAUGCCAUCAGUCCGAUGUCAGUCAUCUCGAACUCUUUGAUCAUCACUCUCUUGAACUCUUCAAACAAGCUUGGAUUACUUCCAGUGAAGAUGAGAUCAUCCACAUACAGGCACACAAUCAAAAUAUCUCCAUCUUUUUCUUUGACGUAGAGAGCAUGUUCAUAUGGGCAUUUGGUGAAGCAUUUCUCUUGAAAAUACUUGUCAAUUCUGCUAUUCCAUGCCCUUGGUGCUUGCUUUAACCCGUAAAGAGCUUUCUUCAAUCUCAAAACUUUGUCCUCAUGUCCUUUCACCACAUAGCCUAAUGGUUGUUCGAUGUAAACUUCUUCUUCAAGGAAUCCAUUCAAGAAAGCAGACUUCACAUCCAUUUGAAAAAUCUUCCAUUUGUUCUGAGCAGCCAAAGAAAUAAUAAGUCUAAUAGUUUCAAGUCGAGCUACAGGAGCAAAUAUCUCGUCAUAGUCUAUGCCAGCCUUUUGACUAUAGCCUUUUGCAACUAGCCUCGCCUUGUGCCUUUCAAUUUCUCCCUUCGCAUUUUUUUUUGUUUUAUACACCCAUUUGACACCGAUCGCCUAGUGACCUUUUGGAAGAGUAGUAAGCUCCCAAGUAUCAUUCUUCACAAUGGCUUUGAUUUCUUCAUCCAUUGCAAUUCUCCACUUCUCAUCUAGUGCAGCUUCUUGGAAGUUGACUGGCUCACAAUCAGCAAAGAGGCAAAAGAGAGUGAGAUUAUCAUGUCUCUCAGUUACCUCAUAGAGAUCUUGAAGACUCCUUGUACGUUCUUCGGUUCUUUCAUUUAAGAAAGACGGCGGUGAAUCUCCGCAUGUGGUUGAUAAUGGUGAGAUAGGUGGAGUAGCAGGCUCUUGUUGUUCGUCUACUUGUUUUAACUGUGUAUGAUCAUCUUCUUCAAUGGGAAAGAAGUUGAAGUCAUCCACACCAGAGCCAAAAUCCCAUUCUCCUUCUUCAUCAAAAACUACAUCUCGACUGAUCACGAUCUUCCCGUUGUUUGGAUUGUAAAGCUUGUAUCCUUUGGAGUUGUUGUCGUAGCCGAUGAAGAUGAACUUCUCACUUUUGUCAUCCAGCUUGGCUUUACUUUCGUCUGGUAUAUGUACAUGGGCAAUGCUUCCGAAAACUCUUAGAUGGGUGAUGCCGGGUUUUCUUCCACUCCAAGCUUCUUAUGGCGUCUUGCCCCACACGCUUCUUGUUGGAGAUCGAUUGGAUAAGUAGACUGCACAUGCAACUACUUCAGCCCAAAAUUCUUUAGGUAGCCUCUUACUCUUAAGCAUGCUUCUAAAAUUCUUUAGGUAGCCCAAAAUUCUUUACCAGAUAUCCUUUAUGCUGUUGGAUUUGUGAGCCGAUAUAUGGAGAAUCCAAAGACUACCCAUUUUAAAGCUGUAAAAAGAAUCCUUCGCUACAUCAAAGGUACAACUAAUUUCGGCUUGCUAUACUCAUUUUCUAAUGACUACAAGCUUGUUGGAUAUAGCGAUAGCGAUUGGGGUGGAGAUGUAGAUGAUCGAAAGAGCACCACGGGAUUUGUGUUCUUCAUGGGAGAUAUUGCUUUCACAUGGAUGUCAAAGAAGCAACCAAUUGUCAUGCUAUCCACCUGUGAAGCUGAAUAUGUAGCUGGCACAUCAAGUGUUUGUCAUGCAAUUUGGCUCAGAAAUUUACUGAAGGAGUUGAGUUUGGCACAAGAAGAGCCAACCGAGAUUUGUGUUGAUAACAAAUCAGCAAUUGCCCUAUCCAAGAAUCCAGUCUUUCAUGAUCGAAGUAAACACAUAGACACUCGCUAUCAUUUCAUAAGAGAGUGUAUUGCAAGAAAAGAAGUGCAAAUCAAGUAUGUAAAAUCACAAGAUCAAGCAGCUGAUAUCUUCAGUAAGCCACUCAAGCAAGAAGACUUUGUAAGAUUCAGAAGUUUGCUUGGUGUCACAGGAUCAAGUUUAAGGGGAGGUGUUGGAUCAUAAACUUGAUCCAAGAUGAAUAAAUCAAGCCCAACUCAUAGAAGGUUCCAUGAGUAGGUAUGGUUGGUGAGGUUUGAAUUAUUUGUGUUAGGUGUGUUAGGUGUGGUUGGUGAAGUAGGUGAGUGGUAGGUUUUAAUAUAAUCUUUUAAGUGAAUAUCAUAGCCUUUUUCUAAAAGUUGACCUAAACUAAGAAUGUUGCUUUUCAUAUUGGGCACAUAGUAAACAUUCGAAAUUAUUUGGUGGCUACCAUCUUUUGCACGAAAAAGAAUGUUACCUCUACCCUUCACUAGUACUUUUGAAUCAUCUCCAAAAGCGACAUUGUCAUUCACAAAUUCACUUAGUUGCACGAACAUGCUUCUGUUUCCACUCAUAUGAUUGCUAGCACCUGUGUCAAGAUACCAUGUAUUUUCUUGACCUGCACUUGUGUCAUUGCGUGCUAGUAAAAGUGUGCCAUCUUCACCAUUUUUCUCUUCAGCAUAGUUCACUCUCUCCUCAAUUCUGGUGCUUGGAGCUCUGCAUUCUGAAGCAUAAUGCCCAAACUUUUGACAAUUAUAGCAUUGUACUUUGGAUUUGUCAUACCUCGAUCUUGGAUUGCCUCUGCCUCGUCCUCUGGUUGAGCUUUCUCCUUUGUCAUAAUUGGAGUUGUUGUUGUUGAAAUUCCAACCUCGUCCAUGACCACGACCUCUACCUCGUCCUCGACCUCUACCUCGGACAUAGUGCAUUCUCUCGUUGUCGGAGCUUUCUUCUCUUUUCUUUGGAUUGACUUCCAUCUUGAGAAGUUAUUCUUUGAUUCCUUGCUUCUUCUUUUUUUUCUUCAUAGGCUUGCAACCUUCCUUGAAGUUGCUCGAUCGUCAUAUCCUCCAAAUCUCUUGUUUCUUCAAUUGCACAACAAUAUGUUCAAACUUCGACUCUACUGAUCGAAGUAUCUUUUCAAUGAUCCUUACCUCUUUUAACUCCUCGCCAUUUCUUUUUAAUUCAUUGGAAAUGGUUACAACCCGAGUAAAGUAGUCAGAAAUUGACGCCGACGCCUUCAUGUGUAAAGACUCAAAUUCUCCUCGUAAUGUUUGGAGACGAACCUUCUUAACUUGCUCCGCUCCUUUGUAAGAGGUCUCUAGUUUCUCCCAUGCUUCUUUUGAGGAGGUUGUACCAGCAAUCUUUUCAAAAGCAUCUUCAUCUAAUGAUUGAAAGAUGAGAUACUUUGCUUUAUUCUCUUUCUUUUUCAAGUCUUUUAAAUUCUCCUUCUGCGCCGCAGUUAAAGUGGCUUCAUUUUCUGGCACAAUAAAGCCUUUUUCCACGACAUCCCAUACGUCAUGUGCGCCCAAUAGAGCCUUCAUUUUAAUACUCCAAUUGUCAAACUUACUUCCCUUUAAUUGUGGAACUUGAAAUGACAUCAUACCACCGUUUGCCAUAACUCAAAAAUUGAGUGAGAAUUUGGAGAUUCUGAAAGCACAGAUGGAUCCGGCACGUCGAAAAACCUUGGGAAGGACUCGAGUCAACUUUCGGUCAACGGUCAACGCUGGUCAACGGUCAACGUCGGUCAACGGUCAACGUCGGUCAACGGUCAACACCGGCUUGGUAGUCUUGGUUCGGUCCGGAUUGGUUCAGCUCGAGUUGGCUCGGUUCGACUUGAUGCGGUUCAAAUCGGCUCGGCUUGGUUCAGUUCGGCUCAGUUUGGUUCAACUCGGUGAGUCGACUCAGCUUUAGGUUAGAAAACUUUCGGCGGCAAGUGUGGGAGCGUCCGGUCUCAGAUCAGGAUGAUUUGUGCGGCGUCACGUUCCUCUCGUCGAGAUCUUCGAUUUGAUAUGCUAUAUGACCAUAUAUAACAUCACGUACUAGCUCUGAUACCACUUUGUUGGAGAAUUAACAAAUAAAACACACACAAAAACACACUAUUUUAUUUCUUCAACAACACUUCUCACCAAUUACAACUCUUAUUUUUCACUCUCUACACCUGAGAGAUUUUGCUACUUCACUUGAUAUUUAAACCAAAGGGGAGAGGGGGUAUUUAUACAUGAAACAAACUAAUCACAACCAUUCAUUUAUUCAAUUAAUACACAAAUCCUCACCAUCCAUUAAAACCUACCACUCACCUACUUCACCAACCACACCUAACACACCUAACACAAAUAAUUCAAACCUCACCAACCAUACCUACUCAUGGAACAUUCCAUGAGUUGGGCUUGAUUUAUUCAUCUUGGAUCAAGUUUAUGAUCCAACAGUACUUGCAUCCGAAAAUCAUAUUUUAGUUUACUUACACUCAACGCUUGGAUUUAAGUUUUAGGGGGGGGAUUGAAGAAGACUAAAAUGACACAAAAGAGUUGAGCGAGUGCAGGUUUUGUCUUCAUUUAAGGAGCUCUUUGUAAAUUUUAGGAUUUGUUUCCUGAGAAAAUUUAUGCCAACUCAUUCUUUGCUUCUUUUCUGAACGGACAGAUGCAACCGAAAGUAUAUUCUUGAAUUCUUUAGGAUGAGAGACAUACGUUUAGAUUCAUCGAGCCUUUAAAACAAUAUCAAAUUUUAGAUUGCUGAAAUUUUAUAUAUCUGAGUAUGAUGGUGUUCCAAUUAUAAGCUCCAGGGUGCAACUUCACUAAGUUUUAGAAUACCUUCCUAUAGAAUUGAGAAAUCUCCAUUGGCAUAAAUAUCCUUUGAAAAUAUUGCCAUCAGAUUUUGAAUUGGAGAACCUGAUUGAACUCAGCUUGCCUUGUAGUAAGGUUAAGCAAUUUUGGAAAAGAGAAAAUGUAUAAUGUAUUACUAUUACCAAAGUAUCUAUUUUUCUUUCUUUAAGUAUUUAUAAUGAAGGCUGAUUCAUAGGAAGGCUGUAAAACGGUAAUCAACGAAGGUAAAGGGGUUAGACACUUUUACACUAGAACUUAAGAAAUAAGAGCAUUUACGAAAAAAGGAGAGAAACACUCAUAGGUGUUCCACUGCCUAAGAGAUCAUGAGAGAGCCACGAGAUCAGUGGCCAAGUUUCCCAAAAAGUAAACCUAAAUUUCUGACUUGAGCGUAGGAGGAUUUUUCCGGCGUGCUCUGACCAGUUUUUGUGUGCGCAGGAGUCUGCUAAGUCAUACGAGUCAUAGCUCUGCUCGGUUAGAAGAGUUACGUGAAGUAUCCUACGUUGGUCGUGAGUUCGGGCGUUGAGGAGAGAUCCUGGUUGCAGACAAGCAGACACCAGAAUCUCGCAUCAACAGUGAAGAUGAUUCAAUAUUAAGCAUGUCAUAUAAUCUGGAAGUGGAUAUUGGACCAAUUUGAUGAUGAAUUUCUUUCAAUCUCAAUCUUUUUCUUUUUAGCAACAUGACUAGUCAUUGUGCAAAUUUAAACUCUGACAAUGAUUUCUCAAUCGGUUUCUAAAAUGAUGACCAUGCAUGUAUAUGUGUGUGUGUGUAGAGAGAGAGAGAGAGAUCACACGUGCGUGAUUUCCUUUUGCCAAUAGGAUAUGCAGAGAGCUUGAUCUUACCCAAUAGCAAAACAAACUUCCUAACAAGUGAAGGUAUAGUAUAAAUACUUAUACUUUCAUGUUAUUUUGUUCAUCAGUAGCUUGAUUAUUUUAUAUGCGUCUUUGUUUUUAAUUUUCUUUCCUUAUAAUCGCUAUUAUCUUUGAACUGGUCAUGAUUUGCCUAUAAGAUUUCUCAUGUUGUUUUGAGGUGCAAUGGAUUUUGAAUUUAGUGACGAGCAGUGGAAGCCAGAAGGCAAAUUAUGAAAAUGGAUAAAGAUCUAUAAUUAGUUGUUAUGGGAUGUCACAUAUCAUAUUGAUGGUAACAUUAUAUAUGUGUACAUAUAAUUAAUGGGGUUGGCUCACGAGCCCAUUAAUAAUCGUAUAUUAGCUUAUAUACUUCAAACAAUGUACUAUGAAGCAAUUUCACAAAUACUUGUUAGCUUAUGUUGAGCUUUAUUGAAUCAGUAGUUCACAGUUCAAUAAAAUGCAGGUUUGCUAUUUGAAGUACAUGGUUAUGGUGCGUACAUUCUUCAUAAGGCUAACUACUAAUUUAUCAUUGAAACUUGAAAAAUGUGACAGAGAGAUGUAGAUAACAGCCGCAAAACACUGAGAUUGAAAAUCAGGGCUGCUAAAUUCUACUAAAAGCCCUUAAAAUAGACAGCGAUCACCCUGAAAUGUAUAUACUGAAACUAAGAAAUAUUAAUCGCAAAGUUAUGCAUUAAUAGAACUAUUGACUACUUAUCUUUAGCAUAAGGUAUAUUUUUAACUACAGCUUUCUACUUUGUUCUAAGAACUAGGCAAAAAUGGUGUAUCUUCAAUCCAAUCAACAUGUAUACCACUUAUCUUCCUCUUCACUUCUGUCUAUUUUGAUUUGCACUUCAUAUCCUGCACUUGCUGCUUAGAAAUAGUCUUAUUCUGGACAUUGAAAGUAGAAAAAGUGCUUGAAACAAUCAUUGGCAUAGCCCGAGAUUCCAUUGAAUCGUGGACUCCAAGCUUUCAUAGUUCUAUAAAGAAAAUGACAAAACUUCAUACAACUGGCAUUCUGCUUUUAACAUUUGCACAACCUGAGCGAGUUAGCAAGCCCCUUGUUGCGUUCCCAUUGAAUAGACCUACUUUUGUUAUCCACAGAAGAUCCACCACUCAAAAUGUUUAUCACCAGGCUAUUCUUAAACUGAGCCUAAACUGAGUAGAAACUUCUGCACAUCUCUCAGCAUUUACAUGAAGAAAUCGACAACUAUCGUCAUCUCUCAGCACAUCUCUCAGCAUUCUACAAAGUUGCAUUUCACUAAGCAAUCUAUCCUCUCCAUUCCUAACAAAGUGACAUUGAUUCCCUUAUUUGUAAUCGCCUAACUUGGGUUUUGGGAAUAGCGUGGUCUUAAAAUUACCACCCAAUACUUUGUUCAGUGCCACUGGCAUCCACAACCUCUAGCCCUGUUAGCUGAAUCAUAUUCAAUGGGACAGUGAGGCAGCAUUUCACUAACAUAUUCAAUUUGACUACUUAUAUUGACGCAAAUAUUAGAAUUUGAAAUCACUUCUUUUCUUGGAAUAUUAUAUUAAAAUGACCCCAAAUGAAAGUUCUUGAAUGGAAAUGAUUUUUAUUUAAUUUUCCAACAGAUUCAAGAAAAUCCAGAGAACACAAAAUUUACACAGUAAUAUGAUUAAGAGCUGAGAACGUACAUGUAGUAAAUGUCUAUCAAAAAACACCCAAGGGUUUCUUUAAAAUUAGAAACUAGUAAAUAAAAAGAAAGAAUCAUUUUACAUUUUUAGCAACUUUGGGGUGAGUGAGUGAGUGAGAAAUUGAAACCCUAAAGUGAUGACAACAGUAAGAUUCAGUAUGAAGUGAAACCCCAAUUUGAAAUGUAGGCAUGAGUUGCUGAGUCAGUAGAUGAAGCUAUAAAUAGGCAUUCGGUUUCCUUCUUUUCGGUUUGGAGGGCCAUGGAAUAGUGUAUUGGAGUGGGCUCCAAGUAAUAGCCUCUAUCACUAGAACGACAAAUCUAUAAAAUGUGAUACAUGGGGAAGGAUUGGGCAUUAUAUUCUUAGAUUAGCGCCUUAUUUAGGGUGUAUAUUAAGCAGAUUAUAUAUUACAUGGAGAUGGAGUUUAUGAAAUAGAUUAAAAAGAAAAGGAAAUUUUGGUGCCUAAAGUUUGCCACUUGGAAUAUUUCGGUGUCUAAAAAUUCACUCACCACUUAUUUCAUGUUUGAUUAUAUGUUGAAAAGAUAUUAAAAUAGUAUAAUGCUAUUAAGGCUUAACGUAGAUUUUUUAUUAGUAGAGUGUAGAAUUUUUAAGAAAUAAAUUAUUAAAUUAUUAUAACUAACAUAUUAUUUUAAAGUUGUGUUAUGAAAAAAAUGAAAUAAAAAUGUACAGUAAAUAAGAAUAUUUUAAAACUUUUAUCUUUUUAAAAUUAGUUUUUAACAUAAGGUGAACUAUUUUUUCUUUAAAAUCACAUAUUCUAGUUAAAAUCAAAUAUGUAUUUAUAUGAAGCUUGUAAAUUUUUUUUUUUAGUACUGAUAUUUGAAUAUUAUCAAUAAAAAAAAGGGUAAUGUUCAUGCUGCAUUAUUUUUGUAGCACACAAAAGGACAACAAAGUUUAUGUUAUAAUACUAUCGCUUCUGUUAUGAUAAUAAUUUUUUGUGGCCAAAUAUCUUUUUUUUUUAAGUAAAAAAAAGUGGACAAAAUACAAAUCAGUUUUUAAUCCUCAAUCUCUCCCAAAAUAUAAAUUCGUAGGUCCAUGGGUUGUUAAAACUAUAGCUGACAAAAAGUUACUAACAAAAACAGAAUGUCCAUUUUAUAACUUUCUUAAAAAACUUUCCUUAACUUUUUUAAAAAGUUACCAACAAAAAGUUAUUUCUAAUUUUUAUUUUGUUAUAAUUUUUAUAACAAAAUUCGUAGUUAACUAAACUCUUCUUAUUCCCUUUCUCAACUACCCUAACCCUGUUCCCCAUGUCCCCACUAAACCACGCUCAAUUAAGGCCAUCAGAUUCUCCCGGGCCCACAUUAAUCCAACUGCUCACAGAGACCGACAGCCUCUCUAUCUCCAUUUCAAGCUCCCUCUUCAACUGGCUUCUGCUACCGUCCUACUCUUUCUCGGCUUCGGAGUCCGUAUUUGCUCGGCCUGUCCCACGAAACUCCCUCUCACUCCAAUUGUCGCCCCACAAGACCAAUUGCUUAAUCAAGACACCGAACAAGAAGAGGAUGAGAAGUUGAAACAAGAAUUUGAGAAUUGGAAAUAAAAAACGUACGCAUUGACCGUGCCUUUGAGAGUCGUUUCUCUUCAGAACUCAGUGCCUCAAUCUUGGGUUAAGGAUUUUAUGCGAAGUCAGGGAAAGAGAUUGAAGUUUCAGAUGAAUUUGUGUGCUAGCAUUGAUGGGAUCUUUAACAAUUUAUCUGUGCCCUUUAACAAAGUUAAGGCUAAGUCAGCUUCUUAUAUGGCUGCUGAUUUGGUUAGUGUUGGUGAUUCAUGGCUUAGUUUUGCCAUUAAAAAGAGAUUGAUUGAGCCAAUAGCUGGAGCUGAAGACCAAGAUUGGUUCAAAUGCUUAAGUCACAAAUGGAAGGUAACAUCUUUGUCUUUGAUCCUCGAGGUAAAAUAUGGGCGGCACCAUACAGGUGGGGCACAACGGUGAUAGCCUACAAGAAAAGUAAAUUUCGAAAGCAUAAUUUGGCUCCGAUUGAGGUAAUAAUUUUCUUUAAACUCAUUUAGUUUUAUAUCAAACAAAAUCAAGACUGCCUUUCUCUUCAAUAUUUUUUAUGAUAAUAUCUUUAGAAGCAUCUCAUUGACGGGUAACAAUGGCAUCCCUGAAAGAGUCUAUAAACUCAAUGAUAUUAUCUUCUACAAAUGGUUCAUUAAACUUUGUCGUUGUGCUCAAAUGUACACUCAGAGCAAUGAGAAGUUAUGCCACUUUAGCAUGUAGUGAUGGCACUUAAUAAGUGAGUUGCUAGGAUGUGAACUAGAAAAAUUAAAUAUUGUCUCCUUGGGUAUGCUAGCUCGUAAGUCAGGGUUAAUAUCAGAGCUUAAGAUAGUAUAACCGUGAGAACCUAUUGACUGCCAAUUAAAAUAUCCAUUAAAAUGUCUAGGGAGUUAUGAAGGUGGAGGUAACUUCCAAUUUCUAAGGCCACAGAGUAGACAUCAUCCAGGAUCCUAGGAAAGUCCAGUUAACCUCCUGCUCGAUGCAAUUAAUAAAUUUGGUCAAUGCCACUGAAACUUGCUAACUGACGUCACAAUGCGACAUGAGCACUUCAAAAUGGGACAGACGGUCAGUGGCACUAAAUUUUUCUUGCCUAAGAUUGAGCAAUUGGUCUAACUACUAAUCCCCCAGAUUUAAGAAUCUUUUGAUGAUAAUUUAUCACCUGCAGCUGUGCCGGAAGAUUCAAGUAGCACUGAAAAAUAUGAUAAUUUAAUUGAUAUGGACAGUUUCCAUAUCACUUUUAAAUCAUCUUAUGUAAUUGUAAUGUUAGGAAGCAUUAGUGAUCUAAAAGUGAACUAUUAUUGGUGUCAUUGGUGGUUUUAUCUUGUUAAAAUAUGGAUGACUUCCUGUUACUAUUUUAUUGUAGACAAUCUUAUUCAAUUAACAUAAGGUUUAAAACCAUUAUGUUUUAUGUAAAUCAAUCUAUUAAUUUUCAUGAUAUUUAACUGAGUUAAAACCAAGUGCACUCAAUAAAUGUCUUUUCCUUUAAAAAAACUACUACGCUUUGAUUUUAGUGCUUAAUAUUUCGUAACUACAGAUUAUCUAAUUGCGAGUUGCUGUCCAUAGCUGCUAAUUUGUAGUGAUUAUCUAAUUGACUGAGGUGACAAUAAUUCUUUUAUUUUCAAUAGCACAAUGUGGAAUUCAAUAAUUAAAUUCUCCUAUUUAAUUUGUUUCAAGUUAAAUUAUUAAUUACUUAAACUCUGUUUUAAGUCUUUAAUUUUAUGUGUUUAUGCAGAAUUGGAUUCUUGAGCGUGUUGGACACGACCAACAAUGAAAUUGAUAGUAAACAAACAUUACAACGUGUGGACUCCGGUAAGCACCAAUGAAUGUCUAGCCCCGUUGACUCCGCCAACUAAAGUUUUGUAAAAUUAAAAAAAAAAAUACAUAGAAUUCCACCAAAUGCAAAACGCGUGAAAUUUAAUUUUCGACCGUGUGGACCAAAACAUAAUUUAACAAAAAAGGAAAAAAUGAUAAGAUUUUUAAAAUGUGUGGAAGGUGAUCCAUAUUUUACUGAAACGACUUGUUAAAUUUUUCAAGGAUUUAGAAUAUUUGGUCAUAAAUUACGUGCAUGUUAAUUUUUCCGCCAUUGACUAUCAUAUUCUAGACUUAAUGGUACCUUUCUUGAUGAAGGGUACUUAGUCUCUCUUCUCCUCUUAUAAAAAUUAUAUUAAUUGAUUUCUUGUUAUAGUUAAUAGUCUUUAAGAACGGAUAGAUUUAUUGUUUUCAUGACCAAAUUAUGCAUGCCUAAGGUUGUAACUACUAAUAAAAUUAAUAUUUAAUGUUUAUGUUAAAAGAUAUAAGUUUUUAUGCAUUCAUUAAUUGUUAUUAGCUAAAGGAUGAAAUAUUUUUUCCCAAUCAGUUGAUGCAUCUGCAAGAGUUUUUUUUUUUCUUUUAUUGACCAUAAUUAUAUUCCGGGUACAAUAAAUUGUCUUUGGUGCUUGGAAAAUAUGACACCUCUCUGUCAACUUACUGGAAAUAUCUCCUCAUCUACUCUCAUUUAUCUAAUAUGAAUUGAAGAUCUCAUAUUUCCAAACUAUGACUUCCAAAUCUCAUUAUCAUUUGAGCAUUCAAAACUAAUCAAGUGUGGAAAUAAUCAAAUAUAUGCAAAAAUCGAGUCACAAUCUUUGGCCCCUCAAAAUUCUAAUUAUAUAACUUCUAUAUAUCUCAUACAUUUUCCAAAUUCCUCUUCCAUGAACAUCACUAGGAGUAUGUUCAUCUCUCACACAUUAACUUGAGUGAAGAGUUUCCAAAUUGAUUAUUAGAAAACAAUACAAAAGCUAGACACGUUUGAUCUGUCUAAUAAUUCUCUUUCGGUAAAAUUAAUUAAUUUUAGGGGAAUUCAGCCAACCUCUGUAAUUUCAGAGUGAUCAUUAAUUAAUUAAACAAUACAAAUAUCUAAAGUGAUUAGAUGUUUGCCGACAAUACAAGUUCAUGGCUUGAAAUUUGAUCUCUAUCAAUUGGUUUACAAAUGGACUCACUUGUGCCUUUGUGGUGAUAAUUGAACCAGAGAUGUGAAGCUGUAAGGAUUUGGCUGUAGUCAAUUGUUAUAAAGACAUAAAGACAACUUCCCAUGAUUAUUAUUUUUUUCCAAGAACUAUUUUACAACAAAUUCAUCUCGCCAAAAAUUCUAUUUUGCUAACUAACAAUAAUUGAGCACUUGACCGCAUUGACUCCACGUCUCCAGCUACUUUCUAAGUAAAAACAUGGAAAUGUAAUCUCCACAAAAUGCCAAACGUGUGGAAUUUAAUUUUUGGCCUUGUGGACCAAAAUGCAAAUGAAAGAAAAAGAGGGAAAAAAACAAGGCUCAAAGACUUCUAAAAGAUGUAAAAGUCUUUGGGCUUUUUUAUAAUGGUGGAUUUUUUAAAAGGAAAAAAUAACAACACUUCUAUGGUUUGUUUUAAUAAUCACAUUUACAUAUAUUCUCUAAUUUUCAAAAUGGACACAUAAAUCUUUUUUUUUCUACAAAUGUAUAUUAUUCGUAUUUUUUAUUAUUUUUAAUAUCAUAUUGUUAUUUAUUAUAAAUGUUUAAAGUAAAUUUUUAGGUUGAAAUAUAAUAAAAAGGUAUAAUCGUUCUCAUAUUAAACACCCAUACUUUUAGUUUCUAUCCAUUUGUCAUUUCAAUCUCCCUCAAUUAUUCUUUAUUGCUAGCUCAAAACGCAUCGCUGUUGAAAAUUAUAGCAAAAUGACAAAUAUGGAAAAAAAGGGAAGAAAAUUAAUGCAUGAAAGACUUGGAGAAAACAACCAAAUAAGUCAACUAUAAGCAAGCUGGGUGUAUAAAUUGUUAGAUGUGUUAUAAACAAAUACGUAUAAUGUUAAAGAUAUAGUUAGAAUGGGUGGUUCAAAAUCAAAAAUGGUGAUAAUGUUUGUUCUGCUCUUAAUAAUAUUUGAAGGUGGGUGGAGUGAGGGAUGUUUGAAUCAUGAGAGAUUUGCUCUUUUGCAACUUAAACUUUUCUUCACUGAUCCUCAUAAUUAUCUUCUCGAUUGGGUAGAUGAUGAGGGAGCUACUGAUUGUUGUCAGUGGGAAAGGGUUGAGUGCAGCAACACCACAGGUCGAGUGAUAAAACUUGACCUUGCUUUUACAAGGAAUAAUUAUUUGGAAGAGUACAGAGACUUUGUACACAAUCCGGGAGAGUAUCUGAAUGCUUCUUUGUUUACUCCCUUUCAACAACUUGAGUCACUUGAUUUAACUAACAACAACAUAGCCGGUUGUGUUGAGAAUGAAGGUGCUUCGUUUAAUUUAAUUAAUUUACUUUCUCCCCCCUAAUUUAAGUUGACUAUCAAGACCGAGCAAUUAGACGCAUAUUCAUUUAGUCGACAAUUUUCACUUUUUUUAAAUGAUUAAUUUUGAAAUUACACCAGUAUCUAUAAUCAUUUUUUUAUUUUACUUGCAGGUAUAGAGAGGCUAUCAAGAUUGAACAACUUGAAGAUGCUUAAUUUAAGUGAUAACUCGUUCAACAAUAGCAUUUUAUCAUCUCUAACCCGUCUUUCAUCAUUAAGAUCAUUAAAAUUAUCUGACAAUAGAUUGAAAGGAAGUAUUGACUUUAAAGGUACAUAAUUAAAACUUCAUCCCUUCUCCAAGCUCUUUCAUUAACUUGCUAAAAUAAGAUUCAAGGCUUUGAAUUCAAUUUUUUUAUGAUUAGUAUUAAAAAAAACAGUUUUAAGCAAUUUAUAAAUACAAGUUUUAAUGGUUAUCGUAAUUUCAUCUUGUAAUUUCAUGUCUUGAAUUUAAGAUUAAAAAAAUAACACUAACAGCGAACCAAACACCUCCACAACUUAUUAUUAUUAUUAUUAUUAUUAUUAUUAUUAUUAUUAUUAUUAUUAUUAUUAUUUUAAUUUGUUGUGAGGUUUGAAACAUUCAACUCAAUUUGUACUUACUACAGAAUUUGAUUCUUUGAGAGAUUUAGAGGAGCUAGACAUUGGCUGGAACAAGAUUGACAAAUUUGUGGUCUCAAAAGGUACUACAAAUACCAUAUAAAAAUGCUAACUUAUACAAAUUAGUUGGAUUCUUUGCCAUUUGGUUUAUUAUUUUACAGGUUUGAGUAAGUUGAAGUCUCUCGGUUUAAGUGGUAUCAAACUCAACCGUAGCAUCUUAUCUUCUCUUUCUUCAUUAAGAGAAUUAGAUAUAAGUGAUACGGGAUUCAAAGGAACAUUCGAUGUUCGAGGUAAGCCUAAGCCUUGCUUUCUCAUUUUAUAUAUGCCAACUAGAUUUGUGUAUCAUCGACAUAAUUUAAUAGUUAAUUUGAUAAGUCUGAAGGAAUUACAUGCUAAUUUAAACAUACUUUUAUUUACUUUGUCAAUUAAUUAAUUUAUUAAUUACUAUUUGGCUUGGUUUGGACGAAAUUCUCAUGAUGUUUUAAUUUCUUUAAAUUAAUUAAUUAAUUAACUCUGUUUUUAAGUCUUAAGUCUGGGCAUGUUUGCAGAAUUUGAUUCCUUCAAUAACUUAGAAGAAAAAUAGAAAAAGUCGAGCAAGAGACUCUCGCCCUAUUUUAAGAUGAGAGUAGCGAUCACUUACCUGAUCUACGACCUACUAUCUACGCGUACCAGCCUUCCUUUGUUUUGCAUCACGAGAUGGACUCUUCGCCCAUCCCCUAAGGUCUUUCAAAUUAUACCUAAUUGGGGAGAGGACCCACCAGGAGUCCAACUCCAGAUUGGUGGCUAAUGGGCCUCGCGUAUCCUGCCUUUUCGUAGAAUGCAACGCUUAUACGUUCACUGAGGAAUGAAAUCCUAUCUUUUAUCCGAGCUAGGGAUCAGAAAGCAAGAAGGUGGGGGUCAGAAAUGAGUAGCGUAGGUGAUACCGAUAGGGUGGUUGGAUACGCGACAGCAACGGCAAGGCACUCUUGACCCCGUCCGUAGAGGGUCGGUACGAAUGAGACUGUGCUAGAGAUCGCAGUGAGCAAGUAUGCCUUGUUGACUGGGUGUUGGUUUUGAAACAAGGAUGAGUCCCUCAGGGAGUCCGUCCAAGCUUCAGCUACUAAUGCCUGGGCUAACUUCUUGGGGGUGAACAAAGUGCUCUGAGUCUGAGAUCGAUACUGGUUAACGCCACAAGUGCUCUGCCAUUGGUCUACACACAGAGUCAUCAGGUAAAGUCAGAGCUUGGACUGGGAAUGAGAUCAGAAGAGGCUAGGCUACUAGGGAAGAUAGAAGCGAUCCACAAAUCAAACCACUAUCCCAUUGGCCGCUUCAUGCGCCGAACACUCUUAAUAAGAAGCUUUAUUUUAUAAGGUAUGUGUCUAUGCUCUCGAUACACGGCUUGAGAAGGCGGCUCCUUUUUAUUCUUCCUAUAGGAGCUACUCCUGAUUCAGUCAAUCAGAACAAGCCUUCGGACCUACCAACCAAUCAAACUAGCUUGAUGCGGAGGCAAAUACCCAGGGAUACUAUAGCUCAACACACGCCUGGCCGGGGGGAAGGAAGCCCUCGAAGCGAGCUCCGUACCAAAUAGCUGUGGAGAGAGAGAAGCCAAACUCUACCGCACUGAAGAGCGAGAUAAAUAACUGACAUCCUUGGUUGAUGAUCCUCGUCGGUGGAAGGGAAAGCGCGAUGAAAGGCAAGUCGGUAGUAGGUCCAAUGGAGAGAGGAAUUGAGAAGAGAUAGGGUCCGCUUUCUAGGCUGACGUUGGACAGCUGUUGGAUAGCCCCGACCUACACAAGUGGUUUUAGAAUGAACUCACAUUUUGAAAUGUUCUGUUAGGUUCUUAGUAGCAGUCGGCGAUCUUUUCUUCUUUUACUUCACAUAGCUUUUCGUCUCCUUGAUAGCUGGAAGUUCUCCAAAAGUAUGAAAAGCUGGAGGACUUUGUACCAUCCAUUCCGGUGUGGUUGGAUUCUGUUCAACAGCCCAAGGACUUGGAGCACAUCUUUUGUUAUUUCCACUGCUUGAAGUGAUUGUUACGACCACGAAGAAACGACGAAUCCCAACUACGGAUAUAUAAGAGCCAAAACUGCUAAGGGCAUUCCAUCCAGCGUAAGCAUCUGGAUAAUCUGGAAUGCGACGUGGCAUACCCGAAAGCCCUAAGAAAUGCAUGGGAAAGAAGGUCAGAUUAACCCCGAAAAAAGUGAUCCAAAAAUGGAUUUGCCCUAAAGUUUCAGGGUAUGUCCGACCAAAGAUUUUACCACCCAAUAGUGAAAUCCUGCAAAUAAAGCAAAAACGGCUCCCAUAGAAAGUACAUAAUGGAAAUGUGCAACCACAUAAUAAGUAUCAUGUAGAGCAAUGUCUAGCCCAGAAUUUGCCGGGACUAUUCCAGUGAGUCCUCCUAUAGUGAACAAAAAGAUGAACCCUACAGCAAAUAACAUGGGUGUUUUGUAUUGUAUCGAACCCCCCCACAUGGUAGCGAUCCAACUAAAGAUUUUGAUUCCAGUGGGGACAGCUAUGAUCAUGGUAGCUGCGGUGAAGUAGGCACGGGUAUCAACGUCUAAGCCCACAGUAAACAUAUGAUGAGCCCAAACAAGAAAUCCAAGAACACCUAUACUGAUCAUGGCAUAAACCAUGCCUAGAUACCCGAAGACCGGUUUUCCCGAAAAAGUCGAAACGAUAUGACUUAUGAUACCGGAUCCAGGCAGAAUGGGAAUAUACACCUCUGGAUGACCGAAAAACCAAAAGAGAUGCUGGUAUAAUAUGGGGUCUCCCCCUCCAGCGGGAUCAGAAAAGGUUGUAUUAAAGUUUCGAUCGGUUAAUAACAUGGUAAUUGCCCCCGCCAGUACCAGAAGUGAUAAUAAAAGUGGGAAUGCUGUCACUAGAACGGACCACACAAAUAGGGGUGAUCUAUGCAUAGUCAUUCCAGGUCCACGCAUGUUGGAGAUUGUUGUUAUAAAAUUGAUAGAACCUAAAAUGGAUGAAACACCAGAUAGAUGAAGACUAGAAAUUGCUGAAUCAACUGCUCCUCCAGAAUGGCUGGUAAUACCACUUAAGGGCGGAUAGACCGUCCACCCAGUGCCGCUACCCACUUCUACUAAGGCUGAGCUUAAUAGGAGCAAGAGACUUGGUGGCAACAACCAGAAUGAAAUAUUAUUUAAUCGUGGAAAUGCCAUGUCAGGUGCACCUAUCAGAAUCGGAACAGACCAAUUACCAGAUCCACCUAUCAUCGCCGGCAUAACCAUAAAAAAGAUCAUUAAAAAAGCGUGAGCCGUUAUUAAAACAUUAUAAAGUUGAUGAUUCCCACCAAGAAUUUGAUCGCCGGGAUGUGCUAAUUCCAUACGAAUCAAUACUGAGAAGCAUGUGCCCAUCACUCCAGCAAUGGCACCGAAGAUGAAAUAGAGAGUCCCUAUAUCCUUGUGGUUAGUGGAGAACAGCCAUCGAACCGGAUUUGUCAUAAAAUUGAGAUUCUUUCGUUUCCUUCCUUAUCAGAGAGGGGCCCCUUAGGGAGCGGGGCUUCUUUAUUGAAAAAGGGGGAGUGAGGGGGGAAGGAGCGAAGCGAAAGCGGGGGGGUCCGGAAAGCCCUUACUUUAUUGAUGGGACAUUUUGAUCCCCUUUUCCUCUCACCCCCCGUUCUGGUUCAGGAUUCAGGAAAGGGUCAACGCAAGGAUCUUACUUCGAAGCAAUCUCUGGAGUUUUCCCUUAUCCGAACGGGUCUUGCAAGAAAAUAGGAUUUCAUAUUGAGCUCCAAAUAUACGCUAUUGGGAUAGGAUGGCUCCUACUAUAUCUCCCCCCCCCCUAAGAACCGCACGUGCGAGUUCCCCUGCAUACGGCUCAAGUGGCGAAGGCACUUUCCUUCGCGCUUGAUAAGCGCUUCGCUGUAGCCAAGCUUACUGCUAGCCUAUCGGCUAGAGCCAAGCUUCGACCCCGACUGCUCGUCGCUUCUGGCCGCCUUAUUCCGUCACCCGAGAUCCAAGUCAGCACCGGAAAAAAGAUCUUGAUUCCUCGCGGCCGGGCCGGCUUGGAAGCAAGCUACUUGUCGCCUAUCUCACCCCCUUUCUUAUUAUUAGUAAGAUAGGGUGCCCCUUUCUCUAAUAAUAAGGUAAGCUUCUCUGAAUUCCGCUGGGUGAGCCUUCGCUUUUUGGAUCGUCUUCUGCCCAAUGCGGUACCCUCCCGUUUGUUUUUAGGUUCCCAUUGGGUUUACCUUGUUUACAGGUCGAUCCCAUGGCAGCAAGAAAAGGUGAUCUUGUGCUAUACUCCGGUGAUCUCUUUCCUACCGAGGCACGCAAACUCCCAUCGUGUCCCAGAUCAUAUUUCGUGAAUCGAAAGGGGAAGCCUCCUCAUCCAUCAGCUCCUCUCGUAGAUCAGUGCGGUUUUACGAAGCGUCUAAGCACAGUUCACUCGCGUUGAUCAAUCAAGAGCUUUGCCGCCACUCCUUAAGGUUACCUGUUGUAUCAUACACUUCUUGCAUUCUUUCCCACGCUUCAUACCCCCCUCUAGCUUCCGCACGGAGCGGUAAGGUAAAGGGCCAGGCAUGGUGGGGUCGGAGCAUCCUGUCAGCAAUCUUUUUGGCUUGACCAAGAAGUCUUAUGUCCUCCGAGUCGCGCGGCGUUUUAACCGAAAGAACUUCUUGCGCAAUUCAUGCCUUUCUGUUUUUAUGACCAGAAAUUUUUUCUUGAUUUCCAUUUCAAAUUGUUCUCUGGACUUUUUAUCAAUAUGAGGUGAUCGUAACACAGUAUAUAAGACUCGUGAUUCAGGCAAUCCAAUCUUUCGUGUGUAAGGCGGAAGAGCCUGGUUUUCCAAAAAUGGGUGAUCAAAAGAUCGAAUCACUAUGCGUAUCUUGGUGGUCGUUACUUUUGGUGGUCUUUCUUUUCUUUUUGGCUGACUCCUCCUACUCCUCCUUCUCUUAUCCUCUAUAUAGCUCGUCGUUGGUCCUUUUUUUUUACAUAACAUUCUCAGCCGCUCAAGAGUCAAGAGACUGACUAUCUCUCUCUUUACGCAAUUUCAAAAAUGAAGUAGCAGAGUGACUACUGAUUUUGGACGCGCUGAGUUAUUUAAGCAAAGCCUUUUUUGAUCUUGUUAUUCUAAAUUAUUUUAUUGUCUUUGCUCAACUUCGUCGAGCCUUGUACCCAGGUACACGGAACACUAACAGAAUCUCUGUUCAAACAAAAACGACAAGCAAACCCGAAAACUAAAGGGUCACCUUCUCUAGCAAGCAAGUAGACUUUUCUCUGAGCCCCAGGGUAGCAAAGCUAGCUCUUCGUAUCAUUGGCAUUGGGCAGGUGAACGGGAACCUGGCUACACAACUACUCUUACUCUAGCAGAGGAUCUAGUUCCACACCAAUCUGCUUAUCUUAUAUAAGAUAAAAUAGAUAAACUUAGCGUACCUACAACCGCUUGUGCCCUCUUGCUUUAGCUACUUACUCGGGAACUAGCUUCGCACCUCACCCCGGGAACUCAAGGGUGCGUAGCUUGCUUGUUGAAGGGGUGUUUCCGUUCCUCCGUUGUGGGAUAGUUUUUCCCUAGUUCGGUCCUAUAAGAAGAGUUCUCUAGAUAUCAACUCAUGGUACUCCCCGGGCCCCUAACAACAAAACUCAUAGGUUAGCUACAGCAGUUCUAGCAUCAGCUUCUCGAGGGCCUAAAAGAACCUCUUUCGUCAUUCGAAAGUGGCAUUUUAGCUCCUUUUCGUGAAACAGAUCGGAGAUCAGGUCUUAUCGAUUCAUACGAUUUUCAUACGUCUUUUUCCCACAUUAAUAAACCCCUUUUUUCUUUAACACGCUAGUGCCCAGAUCUUCUUCUUUUGUCUUUGAGCCUGCCUUUAGGUAGCGGCAUGGAAGUCCCCCUUCUUCUCAAGCAGGAAGCCCGCGUAUUCUUAUUCUAAUGUCCAUUGGAGCUUCUCUUUUCUUCCCGCUAUCUGGCUGUUCUAUUUAGACGUCUGUUCCCCAGUCUUACUUUCUCAUGCCCGCUUUCGCUUCACUCCUUUCUACUUCUGUUACAGUAGCUAUAGUUGUAAUGGCGGUUAUGCAGGUCCCCUUCUCAUUGAGUAGCCUAUACUCUGGAAUUGAAGUAGCGAAAUCGGCCUUAGCAUAGAACGUUUACCGCUUGCCUUACUAUUACUAAUAAUCGGGAAUCAGAACAGGCAACUAUGAGACUAAUUUAUCAUUGCCCCGAGCAAGUUACUGCGUACCUGAAGUGAGUGUGCCCAUCUUGGUCUCCUUUCUUUUUUCUUUGCAGCUGCCAUAAAAGUAAAGCCUUAGAUUCUAACAGGAAUCUCACCGCCUGCUCCCCUUAUAAUUAUAAGAUACUCGCUACUAAGGUUCUGAAAGAAGGCAGCUAAAUCAGCAAUAGAAGAGAACUCCAGAUCUAUGAAUAGCCAACAAAGAGCCUAGCUUUAUUACUGGAACUAAACAGCAAGCUGCUCCUACCUUACUUAUCGAGAAGGAGUACUUGGACUGAGUAGACUUCUUGUAGUUCUCUUUCCCCUAGCAACCUUUCCUGCUUUCCCGGUUGCAAGGUUUCGAGCUAACUACAGGAUUUGCUUCCUAGCUAAUAAUACUAAUUAGUAGUAUUGAACUUCGAACUAAAGAUUUUUUUUAGUUAACGGGCAGGUAAGGGCAAUGAAGGAAGCCGUUAGGCUUGAGACGAAACGGAUUCUAUGGAUUGAGUCUGGCAGUGAUGUUAGUUAAGUCCACUACCUGGGGCUUGUCUUGCUUGAGAACCCGUUUGGAACAAUCUGGAUUUUCCCCUUGUGAGUCACUCGAAUUCUUCUAUUUAUCAUUCUUUCAUGAAUAGAAAGAGAAAGAUCUCCGCUUCGUCUUUCUUCCAAGAAAAGAUCCCAAGCCAUUGAUAUUGGUCAUGCGUGGGCUUUCACUCAAUCUUUCACUAUGAUAUGAAAGGCAAGCAGGAAUUUCACCACUAAUGGGCCAGCGCUUGGCGCUUACUCUAGCCCGUGUUUCUAGGAUACACCUAUUAAUUAUAUAUAAUAGUUUCCCCGAUAUUCGUGGCUUUCCCCUUACUUAUUACUUAUAAGUAGAUCGGUUGAGAUAAGUAGAUUGGUUGAGGCCCGACCCUUUCCUUUGGGGUUGCCGACCUUGAUGCCAUAGUGUUUAGGGGGCUGAGCGGGAAACCAACACGUUGUGGAAACGGAAUAGAGCUUUUCCCUUGAUGGAUGUUAUCCAAUAAAAGCACACAAUCAGUGAGAUGAGCCUGCCAGCUCAGCCUUGGCCCUAUGCCUUUUGGCCAGCUUGACUUCUGACCGGUCGAUCCCGCCCCCUCUUGCAACGAUUCGGCGCCUCCACUUGAUGCUUGACGCCCACGCUUCGUUCAGGCAGCGCUCCUCGGAUAUGUCUUGCCAAUCGCCAGAGCGGUGCCACUUCCAGGAUUUGGUGCGGCCAGCUCGGGAACCUUCCCUGGAGUGAAAGGGUACAUGGAUCGGUUCCUCCACCAGAGGUCAGCUGAAGCGGAUUGGUCAAAAAGAAAUUUUCUGGCUUUGCCUCAUACCCGGUAUAACUACCAUUUUUACUUUGAUAUGCUUCUUACUUCCUUACAAAGUUGCAAGGAUCCCUUCUUGCAUUCCCUCCUUAUUCAAAAGGAAUUUAUUCGAAUAUCUAGUUGAUAAAUGUUCAUGAGCACGGGGUUGCCUUGCCUGAGACCUCUACUACUGCCGUGGAGGGUAAUUGAUAACAAUGGAAUAUUUUAGGUUAGUAAUGCAGACCCUUAUCCAUUCGAUCCACUUCUGAGGGAAUCACAUAGCCAGCAUGGCAGCUUCCCGGAAUCCCCAGUCAACACUGUCGAACGCUUUCCUCAGGUAAAUUUGCACACACAUCCUGGCUUUCCCUUGCGGAAGGUGGAAUUUUUUUAGCAUAUCGUGACAAAGCAAGAUGUUAUCCUGGAUGCAUCGCCUUUGUUGUUUAUACCUAGCAGGAGCAGCAAAGACGAAGGCUGAAGCAUCACUAGAGGUAUCUAUUGAGCUUUCUCCUCUUUUUGCAUUAGCCCAGUCACUUCCUUUAUGGAAUGGGUUCACCAGCACGCGGAGGUAAGUAGUUUACUGACUCAGUUCUUUUACUAAAAAAGGAGAAGGGAAGGGGGUGCUAUGAAUAGAAAUUUUGAAUUGCAUAUGCUCUCGAUCGACCUAGGCCUAAAAGGAAUCCGGCUACUCAAUCGCCAGAGAUAGAAAUAAAAGAUCUAAGCUUGCUUUAAUCAUUCGAAAGCGAUGCUCAUUCCAGGGUUUCAAGGCUUGGAAAUAGAUCUUAUUUAAGACAAAAAGAAGUGAGCAUAACCAUCUUCAAGCUCCACCCCGGGAUUUUAGGUGUGAACUCACUUUAGGGAAAUGAGGCUUAUAACCAAUCGAUUCUUCACCCACGUAAGCUCGCCCUGUCACCCUCGCUCUGGUUCGAGAAUCAUGUCACCCUCGCUUUCCGCUUCUGGAAGAUCAAUGACUAAUAGAUAAAGGGCUGUGGAACUAUAGACAAUAGGCGGUAACCUCUCUUGAUCCGCGAGUAGAGCACUUGAACUACUCAGAAAGAGCUGGUUGGCUCAAUUCAAAUAGAAAGAAAAAUAGACACCCAUCUUCUUGGCGAGCUAAUCAGGAGACAUACAAAACCAGCAAUCCAAGUUUUGAAGGGAGGCGGCUGCCUGCAGUCACUAAAGGAAGGGGCUUGGUGGUCUUAUUUUAUUAUCUAUAAAAGAUAGCAUCUCUUCCUGCUGUUCGAAUCAAAACGAUUAGGGACAACCGCUCGCUUCGAGGCAGGUUAAAAAGCAUAGGCCAUAGCUUCUACCUCUCCUGGAUCAUUAUGCUCAUCUGGAAGCGGUUUUUGCUAGGAUGAAUGCUACUUCUAUGUAUUUCCCAUCGCAUUUUCAUAAGGUUUCAUAUCCUUCUUUUUCAAUCUUUUAAUGAUGCUUGCCAAUUCUAAUCCAGGGGAGCACUUAGAUCGCAGAUUUUCGCAAAACGACCUCGCGUAGCCAGUUCAGGUAUAAAUUUGAAUAGGUUUACCAAAAGUUUUCCCUAUUUUGAGAAGAACUUCACUGUCGAAGUACUCAAUAGGGAGCUCAGGUAAACGGAUCCAAAGCGCAGUUUUAGUGACCGUUGCCAAGGAAGGCCUAAAAUCAGGGUGCUUCGAAAAGUGAGAUAAUGGUUUGCUAUCAUCCAAGGUCCCCCAGUAAGAGCUCUUUUGUAAUCCUCCCCAUCAGUUAAGGAUGGUCGUGGCCCAGGUCAAUGAAGUCAACUCCCCACUUGGUCUCCACAUUUUAAAAAUUUUCUCAUGGAUAAAUUUGUACUAAACUUUCUUACCCAGAACCUUAACUAUAAGAAAGAGACUUCCUCCAUGGUUGAAAAAUUCUCCUUUUCUUUUAGUUUCCCCAUUACCAUUAAUGUUGAUCACAAGGGGACAAUUCGAAGGGCCCUGGUUAUGGAUUUGCUGCUGCUGCUCAUCUUCUUCCUACUCGUCUGAUUUAAAGCCUUCAGACUCCGGUUCCGAGAUCUCAAGAUAGUAUGAGCCCUUGUGCUGUACCUGCAUGAGAACGAACAUCACGAAAGGACAGUGGUUGAUUACCGUCUUCCUUUGAUCGCUUCCAUGGUCCGGGACUCUUCCCAAGGUCCGGAGGUAGCUCACAAAGGUCGCCAUUAACUGUUUCAGUCGUCACAGAGGUCGCCAUUCCUUAGCCCCUCAUUGGUUGUUAGGCAUUUGUCACUUCUUCUAUUUCAUUUCCAUAGCGAUUCACUCAACAUAGAAAAGCAACUAGAGCAGAGCUCGUAUCCGGCCUAAAGCUCUUGAACUAUAGGAGGGGUCUAGCAUACUGAAACAUAAAUGUAGCUAUAAAGCCUUUUUGAGCAUCUUCCUUGCGAUCUCCUUAUCCUAUAUCAGAACACUUUUUCACUUUUUUUUGCUAUCACAAUAAAUUGCCAUAGAUCGAAAGUGAGUCCAGGCUUAGUGCUUCCGCCUAUCCGGCAGCCGUUACCAGCUGUUCACCACUCCUCCCUUCUAUGCUCCGUGGGUCUUUUGUUACCUAAUUCCCUUAAACACGGAAUUGCUCCUAGUCUUUACCCAAGAGAUGUCCCUGAGACUCAAUAAGAAAAUUGUCUCUUUGCUUAGCUUAAGCACAAGAUUCGACAGUUGUGAUUCCGUCUUGGAUUGAGCUUUCUCACUCUUUCUAUGCCUCUUCCUGAAGUGAACGAAUACAUCUCUUUCUGACGUGAAUGAACGCGAUUCUCUAAUAAGACCCAAUCUUAUUGAGUCAAGUAGAAGAUUCUUGUAGAAAUUUUUUUUGAUUGACUUACUCCAACAUCAAGGUGGAUUUAGCUUGGAUUAAUAGAGAUUAAUAGAACAGACGGGAACUAAACAGAUAGGAAUGCCCGACACAAUGCGGCUACUAGAAAAACGUAUAUUAGAUACACCAUUUCUUUGUCACGUGCAUAGCCCUGCUCCUUGUCUUUGAAAGUCCGUAGCAAUGGACACUAUAUAAUUCCUUGUCGCUCUCGUACGCACCAACCCUUGCCUUGUCUCUCGAACCCUUGCUUCUCUCUUGUGCUCCCUAGAGCUAAGUAAGCAAUUCUCUCUCCUCUCUAGCCGUGGCCGCUAGGAAUUGCUUUCGCUCUUCUCUCUCUGGGGUGCUGGUGGUCGAUAGUUGUAUGUAAUGUUGAGGAAAGAGAUUCGGAUGAAAGAGGUACGACGGGAUAUUCCUCCCCGGUUCGGAACUAAACGUUGAGCGGCGGAUCAAGUAAAAGCUGGCAAUCCUCCACCUAACAACUCCUCCUUUACAGUAUCAGCUGUUAAUAAGCUCUAAUAGACAACCAACCCCAUCUAUUCUUGAUAAACCGGGGCACCUUUCCUAUGUGUCAGUGCCAUUUUUCUCUAAGGCUUAAAGUGAAUCUGUCAUAGCUUGUUGCCAGCAGAGCUGGCCCACGGCUUCCGAAAAGGUUUGAGGUUCCCGCAUGAACACUGGCAAGAAAGGCACGAUCUUUGGGAGAAAACGAGUUAUAGGAUCCAUAGGAUUUUUCAUGCGAGAAGACCUACGUACCUCAGUAGAGGGUAGAUAGGAUCUGGAGACAAGGAAGAUGAUGUAGAGGUAGUAGGUUGGCCAGCCUGAUCCAUCUCAGAUGCCUUGCACUUUUUUAGCGCCUAGUGUAAACCGGAGUGGCAGGUCGGCUAGAAGGAGACGGCUCCUCAGUGGGACCAGAUGAAGAAAGCUCCCCUUACUAGUAAAGGGGGUCCGAGGUUCAGGAUAUGAAAUAAAGCAACUUGACGUAACAGAAAAAAGCGUAAACCGAGUUGAAUCAUAAAAUCAAGUUUCAUCCCCAACUGAGGAAAUGUAAUUGUUAAGGUCGGUAACCUGUGGCUACCUCAGGACUAUCUGACUACACUACUUGCGUUAAGGCGCUGAAGCCGGAGUUUUCUUGGUAGGGGUUAGCUUAUUCCCAGACGAACCAGCCCAGUAAGAGAGAUUCCCCCAGACACCAAUACCUGCGGGAACUAGUAGCCACACUACGGCGUAUGAGAAAUUCCCUGACGGCUUCCCUUAACCGUAGGCCACAGUUGCUUCCUUCGCUCUUGAAUCUAAAACCAUAUCUGGUUUCGCCUCCCCUUGGAGCGACCCUUCCGAAACAGCAUUCUAGCAACUUCGUUUUCAUCCAGCGUUCUCACCAACCAGUGAGCCGUCACAGAGUCUCCCGCUAACUCAUGCCAAACCCUUAUGAAGGUAUCCGACUUUUUCCAAUUCUUUGUGACUUCAUCAGUCUAGCAAUAGCAGCAUGCCAGUAUUUUGCCCUAACUACGAAGCUUGAGUCAUGUCUUCGCCCGUGAACGCAACAGGACGCGGUCGUCUAACUCGACUUCCGCAGCGAGUCUCAUUGCAGCUCUCUCCUGCAGUAGUGAAUUUUUUUUUAUUUUACUUCAAAGAUUUUUUUUCUCACAAGAUGCUUGUUUUGCAGAGGGGUGAAAGUUUUGAAGAAAUAGAAGAAGAAAGAAAGAGUAGUAGCCAUGAUCGAUUUCCUCUGCGCAGGAGCUUGGGAUUUGAGAGUAAGCAUGACUCUGAGAAGAUCUCUGAUUGUGAUCAAUUGGGUCUCACUCAAAUCUUGGUAAUAACGAAUGACUUGCUUGAUUUCUCUGCAUCGGCUCGUGAAAUCUUGGAUGAUCUUAUCAAGUUCAAUUGAACUAAGAAUGUCGAUUGCUCUGUCGUAAUAGUUUGUGGUCACUCCAAAGCUUCCAUGGCGGAAUCAGUACCCCCCUCCACUGAACUACGGAUGCCUGUACGCAACCCCAUGAAGCAACCGAAGAUCCAUUGAUCGCUUUUUCGACACCCGUAAUUUUCCUGUAAAAGAAAGAAAAUCCCGGAAACUCAGAUUCUUCAUUGUUGAAAAAUCUUAUAAAAAUAAGUAAUUUAGGAAUUUUCAUUACUGGGAACACGUCGCUAGCCUAAGGCGGGCUUCGCUAUCCUCCCGAAGCUGGUAUUUUCCAAUGUAAUGGUUUUUGACCACUCACUUAUAUGAGUACAAGGGGCUUGACUAUAUUUUUUUUACUUUAUGUAAUUAAGUUUAGCUGGAGGGUCCAUCUAGCCACCCUAAUUAACCCGGUUGAGGAUAACACAUUAUUAAAUCCGAAUGAUGAUUUCAUAAUCAAUCAUAGAGGUGUGAAAUGGCGUCUUUUCAGAAGUCAGAUAGCCCUUGAAGGUGUUAGCGCACACCCUUUUUCUAUCAUAUAAAUUUAGCUCCGAAGGCAACCCGUCGCGUCCUCGUCACGGCGUUAGCAGCCAUUGACGAUUAUUGAAGACUAAGCUAGUUGGCCUAGAAUGGAGCGCAUACUACUUCUUUGAAAUCGCGAACAUCUUACUCUUACCUUUCUUCUUAGUCUGAUCCGGGAGUGUUGGACAUGAGGUACAAUGAAAUCGACAAUCUUGUGGUUCCUCAAGGUAAACAAUUAAAAUAUUAUUCAAUUACAUUAUUUUAAUUCAUUUGAUUAGGGAAGGCCAAAAAGGUCCAAAAUAAUAAUAAUAAUAAUAAAGAAACAAAUAAUUUGUAUUAUUUAAAAAACAGAAUGUAAUAAAGAUUUGAUUCCAGUUCUUUAAUCUUUAAAGCGAUUGAAAAACAAUGUUGGACUUUUCCCAAAGCAUAAAAUACGAAUUGAAUGCCAAUUAACUUAAUCAUUCAUUUCGUUUAGCUCUAAAUUUAGACAAUGAAUUUUUAUAUUAUUUCAAAAACAGGACGUAAUAGAAUUUUUUUUAAAAACAGAUUGUAAUAAAGAUUUUAUUCCAAUUCUUUAAUCUUUACUGCGAUUGAAAAACGAUACUACUUCCCAAAGCAUAAAAUACGAAUUGACUCCCAAUUAAAUUAAUCAUUUAUUUUGUUUAGGUCUAAAUUUUAGAGGAAUGAAUUUUGAUUCUCUUCAAUCUUUUCUUAAUUAUUAUUAAUAAACAGGUUACAGAGGUUUGAGGAAGCUGAAAAGCCUUGAUCUAUCGGGAGUUGAAAUUAGAGAUGGAAGCAAGUUGUUACAGUCAAUGGGAUCAUUCCCAUCCCUCAACACUCUUUACCUGAAGGAUAAUAAUUUUACCGAUAUAGCGACAACUACUACUCAAGGUAAGUAAAAGGUACAGAUGUGGCCAAAUUUAUAAAUAAAUUGUUAAUUAAUUAAUUUUUCCAUAUUAUUAAUUAAGCUAAAUUUGCUAAAUAUAAACAAACAGAGUUGGACAAUUUCACCAACAUGGAAUAUUUGAGAUUGGACUUUUCCUCUCUCCAUAUAAGCCUUCUGCAAAGCAUUGCAUCAUUAUUCCCUUCGUUAAAAAAUCUGUCGAUGUCUUUCUGUGAAGUCAAUGGUGUCGUACGCGGUCAAGGUAAAAGAAAAGUGUUGAUUGUGAACUCACUCACUGGUGUCCUAUGUGUUCAACAUUUUUAUUUAUUUAUUUUAUUGUUUAAUGUUUCUGCUAGGUUUUCCUUAUUUCAAGAGUUUGGAACAUUUUGACAUGGAUGACACGCCCAUUGCACUCAACACCAGUUUUCUUCAAAUCAUUGGUGUAUCGAUGCCUUCUCUUAAGUACUUAUCACUGUCAGAUUCUACUCUUGGCACUAACAGCAGCAGGAUUCUUGAUCAAGGUUAAUCAGAUGCUCCCACCCUCCCUUCUUAAUCUAUAAUAUUAAUUUUCAAUUAAAUAUUUAAUUACACAAACGAAUCACUUAUUAUAAAAGAAUAAUACUCAUUCAUUAAUUUUUAUAUUGUAUUAAUAAUUGAUGAAUUUAAUAAAUUUUUAGGCCUCUGUUCGUUGAUGCAUCUGCAAGAGUUGUACAUUUAUAAUAAUGAUUUGAGAGGCAGCUUGCCUUGGUGCUUGGCAAAUAUGACAUCCCUCCGAAUAUUAGAUGUUUCUUCCAAUCAACUUACUGGAAGCAUCUCCUCAUCUCCCCUCGUUCAUUUGACAUCCAUUGAAGAGUUGUAUCUUUCAAACAAUCACUUCCAGAUCCCAAUUUCACUUGAACCACUUUUCAAUCAUUCAAGACUCAAGAUUUUUUAUGCUGACAACAACGAACUAAAUGCAGAAAUAACUCAGUCACAUUCUUUGACCGCCCCAAACUUCCAAUUAUCACAUCUCUCAUUGUCUUCCGGUUAUGAAGAUGGCGUCACAUUCCCCAAAUUCCUUGACCAUCAACAUGACCUGGAGUAUGUUGAUCUCUCACACAUAAAGAUGAAUGGAGAAUUUCCAACUUGGUUGUUGGAAAACAACACAAAGUUGAGACAACUUUCUCUCGUCAAUGAUUCUCUUGCAGGACCUUUUCGGUUGCCAAUUCAUUCACACAAAUGGUUAAGAAUGUUGGAUAUAUCCAACAACAACUUCCGAGGCCACAUUCCAGUAGAAAUUGGAGAUGUUUUACCAAGUUUAUACGUUUUCAACAAUUCCAUGAAUGCUUUAGAUGGUAGCAUUCCCUCUUCAUUUGGUAAUAUGAAAUUCCUCCAAAUUCUGGACUUAUCCAACAAUCACUUGACUGGUGAAAUCCCCGAGCACUUGGCCGUCGGUUGCGUCAACUUGAAGUCUAUUGCAUUGUCAAAUAACAACCUACAAGGUCACAUGUUCUCUAGAAAUUUUAACUUGACAAACUUGAAAUGGUUACAAUUGGAGGGCAAUCGCUUCGUAGGUGAGAUCCCACAAAGUUUGUCUAAAUGCUCCUCACUAGAAGGAUUGUAUCUUAAUAAUAAUAGUCUUUCGGGUAAGAUUCCACGAUGGUUGGGUAAUCUCACAUGGUUACAACAUAUUAUAAUGCCCAAUAAUCAUCUUGAAGGCCCUAUUCCAGUGGAGUUUUGUCAGCUUGAUUGGCUUCAGAUUUUGGACAUUUCAGACAACAACAUAUCUGGAAGUUUACCAUCUUGUUUCCAUCCUCUCUAUAUCAAACAAGUUCAUCUUUCAAAAAAUAUGUUACAUGGACAGCUAAAAAGAGGUACAUUCUUUAAUUGCUCUUCCCUUGUGACAUUAGAUCUUAGCUAUAACCGCUUGAAUGGCAGCAUUCCAGAUUGGGUUGAUGGGCUUUCUCAGUUAAGCCACCUUAUCUUAGGUCACAAUAAUCUUAAAGGUGAAGUGCCAGUUCAAUUGUGCGAAUUGAACCAACUACAAUUGUUAGAUCUUUCUAAUAAUAAUCUUCACGGUCCUAUUCCUCCUUGCUUUGAUAACACCACACUUCAUGAAAGUUACAGCAAUAGUUCUAGUCUUGAUGAGCAAUUUGAAAUAUCUUUUUCCAUCAACGGCCCUCAGGGAGGUGUAGAAAAGCAAAUCCGUGAAAAUUUUGAGUUCACAACAAAGAACAUUGCGUACAUUUACCAAGGAAAAGUGCUUAGUCUCCUAUCAGGACUUGAUCUUUCUUGCAACAAGCUAAUUGGUCAUAUUCCCCCUCAAAUUGGAAAUUUGACAAGGAUUCAAACAUUGAAUCUAUCACACAACAACUUGACAGGAUUGAUCCCAUCAACAUUUUCAAACUUGAAGCAAAUCGAAAGUUUGGAUCUUUCCUACAACAAAUUGAAUGGGAAAAUCCCUCAUCAACUUGUGGAGUUAAAGGAAUUAGCUGUUUUCAGUGUGGCAUACAAUAACUUAUCAGGCGAAAUUCCAGAAUGGAAAGCACAAUUUGCAACCUUCAACGAGAAUAGUUAUGAGGGAAAUACUUUUCUUUGUGGACUGCCAUUGCCCAUUUGCAGAUCACGAGCAACUAUGUCGGAGGCGUCAAUCGGCAAUGAACGAGAUGAUAAUUUAAUUGACACGGACAGUUUCUUUAUCACAUUUACAACAUCGUACGUAAUAGUGAUAUUUGGAAUUGUUAUUGUUUUAUAUGUAAAUUCUUAUUGGCGACGUAGAUGGUUUUACUUUGUUGAAAUGUGGAUAACUUCAUGUUAUUAUUUUGUUGUAGACAAUCUUAUUCCAACAAGAUUUUGUCAUUGAAAUUAAUUAGUAGCUUAAUUACGAUUCUUUAAGUACUAAUCAAGUUUGGUUAGGAAAUAAAUUUAUUUUUAUUUUUUAUUAAAAUUGUAGUAGUAUUUAGCGUUAUAUAGCUUCCAACUUCCAAGCACUUCACAUUUGUCUCCACACUUCCAAACCCAUAUCUAUCCACCAUAACUUAUACUUCCCUAUACUGUGCAGCAUACUUAAAUAAGAGAACCAUCUCCAAUUUUAAAAGCAGCCACUCUAUAACAUUCAUUUAGAAACUAUAUUCAGAAUAGUUUUAUAAUCAUACACAAGAAAUGAAACACCUAGAUGCACUUGAUCGCCUAUUUUACUUUAAAAAAUAAUGAUUAUGGUGCUAUCAUCAUCUUCUUCGCUAGCAACAUUAACACCAAAUCCAGCGAUGGACCCAGACAUUUUAUCAAGAAAGGUAUAUAUAUAAUAAAGUUGAAGCUUGACAAAAAAUUUAGGAAGAUUAAUGCCUCGCCACAACAAGGGGCAGCACAACAUCAAAGUAGAGAUGAAGCAAUAUUCUCAAAGCUAAAACUCUCAAAUCCACCCACCAGAAUUUCAUAUCUCCUCAACAAUUUUAAGAACUAAAGAUAAUUAGGAUCUAACAUUAGUUUUUUAUAUAUUAGUUUCAUAAUUUACAAAUCAAUGAAGAUGAAGAUUAUGCUAAUGAAUUCAAAUUAUACCAUACAUUCUCGAGAUGUUACCAAAAAUUUCUAAGUCAAUCCCACAUAUUUCAUAAUUUUAAGACUAGAAAAUUUCAUUAGUUAGAAGUUUCAUUACCUUCAAGUGGAAGAUGAAGAACAUUAUACAAUUGAUUCAGAUUAUAUCAUACACACUCCAAAUGCAACUAGAAAUUAACAAGUUCAUGCGCACAGAUUUCAUAACAUUAUGAAUGGAAAGUUUCACAAAGAGAAAUUCUAAAUUCAAUCUCUUGCAUCGAGGUAGUUUGAUUGAUUUGAGUUACUUUCUGAUCAAGCUAUUAAUAUAACAUUCAAGUCAGGGAGAAAGUAAAUUAAAACUGGGAAGAAAUAACAGUAAAAAUUUGUUGCUAAACAUGAUGUGUAUUUUUUUUUUAAGGCAAUUUGGAAACACAGUUGUUACUACAGAUAUUCUCCUCAACUUAGAGAUAAAUACAAAUAUUAAAAUGCAUAUGAUCGCACAUAGUACUUGGAGCUUAGUAAGAUUUCAUUAAGAGAAGCAAUCAAACCACUUAUCAAUUGUUGCAAUCGUUCUAUAAGCUAAAAUAGCAAUAUAAUACAAGAAAAAGAACAUAUAGAUACUUGGCAAGAGUUCAUUAAGAAGUCGCAUCACAUUCGGGUGAGGAGUUUGCUUCUGAUAUCUUGCUAGCUGGGGCUUUUUCUUGUCUUUCUACGUAUGCCGAGGGAAACCAACCAGCUUGGCCCUUGCAUUCACCUUCCGACCAUCCAAUAGGAGCCACCUUGAGAAGUUAUAACUAAAACGGUGAAUUAAACAAAAGUUGACCGUUCAAAGACCUAAGGGGAAAACUAAUUCUUUUACGUAGGAGGAGUGAAUUAGUUGUGAUCACUGAAAUAACAGCUUAACUAUGGAAGCAUAACAAGAUAUAAAUUCACACGUCUAUAAGGGUAAACUGGGUGGUUUAGAACUGAGCUAGCAACCCUACUAUAUUCUGAUUUGCACUUCAAUGUAAAAGGGAAUAUAUGGUAGGAAGAAAGAAAACCAACCAUCAUUUGUUAACUCAUUGCUUUUCAAUCAAAAUUUUAAGAACCAAAUGCCAUGUGCUUUGAACAUCAAAUAAGUAUAAGCAUUAGUUCUAAAUUCCACAUAUCAUAAGUUAGAAGGAUAAGUUAAUAGCAUAGUAGAAAAAUCUGUGUUGUUAUUUAGAGGGGAAAGUACCUGGCGAACCACAACAUAAUCAUCAAUUGAAAGACUUAGCUCUCCAUUUGCUUGUGCAUCAAAUGGAUGCAUAACCUGCAAGAUAAUGGGAUAAAUAGAACUUAAUCUUAAAAAAAGCAUAACAAAAGCAGCAACAGUACCAGCAACGUUCAUUGUAACCACUAUGAUCAUGGCCAACAAAGAUAUAUUAGAAACAAAAUUCCAUUUUUACUAUGAUAUCAUGACGAUUGGGUUACCAAGAGCUAUCAAAGUCCAAUAAGUUCUGUAUAACUUUAUGUAGUUAUUCAAAUUAUGUAUCAGAUUUUAAAUCUGAAAUUUUGACUGCUCUCCACAAAACAUGGCCUAUGCACAAGAAAUUCAUAGAUAAUGAGGAUUGCAAGUGUCUGACAUCUUUUGAGUGAUGGAUUUAACAUGAGAGCUUAUGGUCAGUCAAUUUCCUCUGCCUAGCAAUAUAAGCUUUCUCGGCCAAAUUUAUCAUCAAAUACAUAGAUUGCCCCAAGUCAAAUCCAUAUAAACAUAGUUUUUCUAGGUAAACCAAGCAAGGAGAAUCAUAAUUCAGACAUAAUCAUAAAAAGGCCCAUCUAACUUAAGAGAAAAUCUCAAAAAGAGGGAUGUUGAGCUAUCAGUCUUGUAUCCAUAAGGAAUGUCAAGACUUUACAUCACCUGCUACAUCGUGAGUGGCUACACAACUUUCAGUGGUUUGUCUUUCUUUGGCAUGCCUAACUCAGCUUUGAUGUUGCUGAGAUAUUGAUAGUAGAGACACAUGAGACUUCUAGCUCAUGCAUUCUAUCUAGCUCAUCCGACAGCUAUCUCUUUUUUAAUUCAUUAGUGUUUGCUAAGCCACAUGCUUAAAAGUCCUGUUGUUCUAAACAAAGUUUCCUAAGAAUGACUUCCUCAGCACCACAUUUGGACAUUUUUAGAGCAAUUUUAUUUGGGGGAAAAGAAUUUUCAAGGUGUUAACUAAUAAAUUUUAAAAAAUAAUUACAAUUUGUCCUACGAUUAUAUGACAAUUUAUCUGGGAUGAAAGGAUAUAGACAGACAUCUUCCACUUUCAAGACUAAUCACUACUUCCGUAGAUGUUUUGCAAUAAUACAAAUACUUGACCAGAUGGUAGUGAUGGUAGAAAAAAAUUUUAUUGCUCCAAAAUUAAAAUAAGAAUGCAAUGUGUUAAGCAAAAGACUAUGCAACAUCAAAUUAAUUGAUAAGUUUGUAAUUCAGUAAAUUAACAACUUUCAUGGUAAAAUACAACAAAUUUCUUUUCAAAAAAAAAAAAUCUUAAAAGACAGCAUUCAAUUUUGUGCGCAUCUUAUUUCUUAAGAUUUUCUAGGAGGGCAAUAGAGGGACUUUCACCUAUGCAAGAGAGCAGAAGCCUUACUUUCGCUAUAAAGUAGACGUCAUUCUGAUUAAUAUGCGUUUGCAAAUCAGCUCCAUUUGAAUCAGUAUUCUGAUAGACACAUGAGGCAUUUACAUCCAUUUCCAAAGUCACAUGUUGCGAGGAGGACUCAUUUGAUUGCUCCUCUAGGAUCAUCUAAUUCAAGUAGCAAGGGUUGGAAGAGAAUAAAAAGUCACAAUUAUUCUUUUGCAUAAGUGAGACGAAAAUGAUAUAUGCAAUAUUAUCAGCAGUAAACAAGAAGAGAACACUCCAAGGAAUAGAUAGAUGCGGACAAGCAAGUUAAAAUGCACAGUUCCAAACCUCCGCAUACAACUUCUCUGAAAUAGCAAUAACGUGUUGAUGAUAUGUUUUCUCGGCAUCUACCUGCAAAGGCCCGAGACCAGGAAAACAACAAUAAAACCACUAGCUAAAGGAGAAAGUAAAGAAAGAAAUACACUUGACAUAAAUCUUGACAAGAAGCACAAUUUAAGACAUAACAAACCCCAAUCAUAUUGUUUAGAACUACCAUUCGUUAUUUCGUUAUUGUAGCAUUUCGAACAAGUGUUGACUUAAUUCAACAUUGUUGGAAAGAUAGGCUUUUAGAAGCGGAAGAAAGCCACUCAAACCAAAGUGAUUCUUAGGAUGAGUUUUAAUCACUCCCCUGAUUUAUUUGGGUUGCAGUAAAACUAAGCGAGCAACUGUUUGACUUUCAAGCAACAUCUAAAUCAGCUAUUAAAAUUCAAAUAAAAUUAUAAUUGAAUAAUAACUGGCCAUCUUGCAUCAAAAAUUAAGUUUAAUUUGUGAUUUUUUUUCUAUAGACAUGUUAGUUCCUGCUAUUGAAAUGUUAAAAGCAUUGAAAAAUUAUUCAAUAAAUUAUGCAAACAUUAAAAUAGAGGACAUAUUAAAAAGUUUCUAAUUACAAUGUUAAGAUUUCCUAUAUUUUAGCAUUUGCAUAUUUUAAUUUAUUUAAAAGCUACGUCGAUCAACUUUGGGAGUGAAGAUUUUAGCUUCUACGAGACUUGAUUGGAAUAUGCAUAAGGAAGAGUGUUAAAAUAUGAUGCAUCCAACGAAAGACAAACCACGUGUAGUCUUUUAAUUAAGCCAAAGUAGCAGCUCAAACAAAUGACACUUGGACCAACAUGCAAUCAUGAAGUGGCCGGAAAAAGGACAAAUGCAACUUUGGCUUAAAUAAAAAAUAACAUGUGACUUGACUUUUGCCGGACAUGCAUCAUGUUAUUACAAGACAACAGAAAUCAGUAUGAUAGUACUAAAAGUUGACAAUAACAUGAAGAUAAGAGGCAGAAUGUCAACACAUGCAUAGGCACACACAAGAAAGUAUUAACUUAUAUACCAUAGCAAAAAGUCUUUGAUAUGCAUCUGUUGCUGCAGUGAUUCAACUGACAGCAUGGCAGCUGUUCCUUCUCUACCAAGAGCCAUUAUUGUAGAUUUAAGCUCGGUCAAUCUUGCUUCUGCAUUUCGAAGCUUCACAGCACUCUCUGCUGAUAUAUCAGAUUCCUUAAUCUUUGAUCGGCGCCUAAAUACUUCAGCUGCCUGGUGAAAAUAUUCAAUAUAAAUCUAACAUAAUUCUAAUCUUGCCUUAUACAUGCAUAUGUUAACUCAAAGCUUACCUGGGCUUCAACUUCAUGUCGAAGCUUGUCAUAACGAUGAGUCAGGUGUCGAGCAUCUUCCAAAGGUGCUCCGUUGAUUAACGCCCGUAGUGGCUCAGAUACCUACAUGUCCAAAAACCUGUAACAUAGUUAGAAAAAUGAAAAGAAAGAGCGAAACCUCAAUUAAAAAGUUCCUCCAACAUAAUCAUGGAAUUUGGGCCUACUUCAAGGAUAUAUAUAAGGAUAAUUUAUGCAAUUUUGGGUCUUAGGAUGAUUCAUAUUAGGUUAGUGUUCUUCUCUUCUGUAUUUAAGGUUAAAAUAGAAAUAAACCUAUGAAAAUAUCUAAAUUAGGGCUGUAAGACUUCCACAUGCAUCCUUCAGUCUCAUGGAUUUGAUUUUACUAUAGAUGCAAGUGUCUUUAUUGAAAAUGCUUGGAGUCAAUUGAGAGAACUCACGGCCAAUAACUUGUCACACGCUAGUCUUUGCUAGUGAUGUAAGAAGUCACAAGGUCUCUUCAGCAUUUGAACCAAUAAAAUUAUUAAGUCAUGGAUGUCACUAGCAAUGAUUUUAAUAUAAAACAUUAAAUAUUUCAGAGUUGUAACUUUAAAAUGGAUUCUUUUAUUCAAUAUCUUAGAACUAAGUUUCCUUAUGAGAAGAUAAUAGUUUCAGUAGUAAUUUACAUAUAAUUUUCUAUAUUUGAAUUAUUUUCUAGUUAGGGAUGAACUAACCUGAUCACGAAGAAUCCCAAGCAAAGUUUCCCUCUCAUUUUCCAUCAAAUCAUGUGAAGUGCCAAAUUGAAGAGCAGCUCUUGCAACGCAAGAAUUGUCACUUUGAUUCUCCGCUCCAUACUUGCAACAAUCUUCGGCCAACUUUCUCGCUACAAUAUUUGAAUACAAAAAUAUUGUACACAAGAACUAGUCAAGAAAAUUAAAAAAAAAAUCAAAUAUUAAAACGAGAGCAAGAGCAAACAAACAACCUAUUUCCAUUUGUUUCAAGUUUACUGCAACAAACACUUCAACGCCACGGACAACAUUCCAUUUGUUUUAUUCUUCUUAUACUUUACGCUUGCAUCAGCCUCAAUCACUUCUUAAUCGCUUGCUUUAACUGCAUCGCUCUCUCUGUGCUCUUCUAUAUAUGUAACGGUUAUGCGGUUGUAGUUCACGGCUGAGGCUACGUGUGGGUUUGACGUGGCAGUUACGUUACAAGGGGAUAAAUAAGAUUGGUUACAACAAACCCACUAAUUUUAUAAAAUUCGAGUAAUAUAGAAUAAAAUAAAAAAAUAAAUACAAAAUUGGCUUUUAUUUUGUAUGGUUGACUGUAUUUUGUGUUCUCUUCCGGCACUACUACAAUUGUUCCCUAUAUAUUAGUCACACCCAUAUAUCAUUAACACAAGAAAUGAAAUCUAAUGUCACCUACUUAGUUAAAGAAUCACUCAUGAAAAAUUUUUACCAUUUUGAUUUGAGGAUCCAUAUUUUGAACUGCAAGCUAAUGUUCAUCAAGAAUCACUGAUGUUCAUAAAAAUCAGAGUAUGGCCGUUGAGUAGAAAAAUUAUUUUUGGACAAAUUAUUUUUGUUGAUAGAAUCUGCCACUUUCUCAUGAAGAAAGGCAUGCGGAGCAUACCAUGGUACCAUACGGAGAAUGUUAGAACCACCCUAGAAUAUCUUUACCCUGAUGUUUCUAACAAAAAUCUGCAUGUGGCAGCAAUUACUAGAUCUACAAUUUCCCAAAUAAUAUUUUGUGUUUCUUAAAAAAAAUUGAAAUACAUAGUUGCAAUUGCACACCGUGAGACAGUGCUACAAUCUACUGAGAUCUAAAUUAUAUGAGACUUUAAGCUACUAAUGUUUGCAUAUUUCUACAUGUCAAAUUAACAUUACCAUCUAUAAUCCGAAACGACAGAUGAUAAACGGCUUUUGGCCACUUAUUACUAGCAUCCACAAUUAAUUUUUGUUCAGCAAUCAGCUUAUUUUAUAGAAAUUGAUUUAGUCAGCAACAAACACUAUAAUACUUGAAAUUAGUUCUUGUUCUUUGUAAUUUUCUAUGAUUUUUCAUAUAUCAAUUAAUCUGCAGUGCCAAGAUGAGGUUUAGUUUUCAAACUAAAUAAUCAAGUAAGCAAAAAUACAAAUUCAGAGAUUAGCGGGGUAAACUAGCUGGGUGGUUUAGAACUGGGCUAGCUACCUCCCUGUAUUCCUAUUUGUAAGGUGAAUUAAUUGAAUCAUGAGAAAACAAUGUGACCAUAGCUCAAUAUGAGAUGAUUUCGGAGAGGCAUAUUGUUUUCGAGUGAAUUUGAUCCAUUAAGAGAUGAAGUGGAUUGAAGUGGAAAGUUUAAAUAACAAAUCCUUGUUCUUGAGUUUUACGACGUCGUUACUCCUUCAGGUGGCAGAUUAUGCAAGUGAAUUCAAAAACACAAUGCAUCAAUCACGGGGACAAAAGACGGGAUCACAGUCUAUGCAUUGAACAGUUACAGUUGCUGCUACCAAUUGUUCGGCAAAGAUCAAGAAGACUGAACGGGAAGCUAAUGCCAUCAAUGUCGUCUUCACUAUAUCUGCUGGGAAUGUAGGUGAACUUUCCUCAUUUGCAGCUGUCUAUACAUAGGCUUUUCCCCAGCUUAAGUACAAAUAAAUGAAGCUGCCUUGAAGGCUUUAUUAUUGACCCCAAUAAGGAUUACUAAUUGAAGAAGACUAUACGGAGUUAAUCUCACAUUUUAGUUCUCUCAAUUUCUUUCAGAAGUGCCUCUGAAAAUAGCUGCCAAACCGUUAGUCAGCUUGUAUACUCUGUUUUCUGGAAACAGAGUAGCAUAUUUAAUCGUUUUAAUUGAAUUGUCUUCGUAGCGAUCAUCAACAAACUCAUCAUAAGAUUUUUGAAGCACCCAAGGACUAUCACUGGGUUUCUCUUCUGGUUGAUUUAUUAAUUAAUCAAAGAACGGUUGGAUGAAGUGCAAUGAUGGAGCAAAAUUUACAAUGUCUCCGGUUUCUCCUGACCAUCGGACUUUUGCAGUGAGAACAUAUAACAAAAAGACCUUCAUCAAAAUUUGUAGACUCCGGGUAUGGAUUGGAUCGAGUUUUUUGUUUGAUAUUGAAGAACCACUUUACUAUCGCGAUAUAGAUUAUGUGCAAGGGGUUGUCUACUGUUCUUUGCCUUGUGCUAUGAUCGGUGCUUUUGACGUUGCCCCGAAACAGUGGAAAAUACUUCGAUUUCCUCCGUUUGAUGAUGCAAAGAACUGGUUAAUGUACGAUUACCUAAUUGACUCAGGAUCAAGUAACAACAACAAUUUAUUAAUAGUAGUAUCACAAACGAAGAAGAUUUCGGAGAGGGUGAUGUAUGCCUAUACCGUUUACAGGUUUGAUCCACAGGGGAUGAAGUGGUCUCAAGUGGAAAGUGAUUUAUUAAACAACAAAUCAUUGUUCUUGGGUCAUACCUCAUGAUGUCAUCAAGUGGAAGAUGAAGAUUAUGCAAGACGAAGAUCGUUUGAUAUUGAAGAAUUUGAACAGAAAGCCCAUAGAAAGUACUUAAAUAAGCAUAUUCUUGUUGGGGUAGAAUAUUAAGAAAGGAGUUGUCUACUGUGUGUUGCGUGAUUAGGCUAUGAUCUGUGCUUUGAACAUUGCCCUCAAAACAGUGGAAAAUACUUCAUAUCCUCGACAUGAUGAUGAAAAAUUGGUUACCGAUUACCUAAUUGACUCAGUGACAACAAUCUAUUAAUAGCACAAUUUGGCGUGAUGCCGUUUAGGUAUAUGGUUUUCAAGUUUGAUUCAUCAGUGAUGAAGUGGACUAAAAUAAGAUGUUUAAAUGAUAAGUCAUUGUUCUUGGGCAUAUCGUCAUUACUACUUCUAGUGAUCAAAGAUGAAGAUGAAGAUGAAGAUGAAGAUGAAAAUUGUGCGAGUUCAAGAUUACCAUCAACUCAAUUUUAUGAUUGGAGUGUCUCACCGUGACUCAGACAAAUUCUGAUUCAACCUCCUUCACCAAUGGAUUUUGAUUAGUUAUUUUGUGAUCAAGCAACUUAAUUAAACUCACAGUUUGUUAGUCUAAUUUUAGUUUUACUGUGACCACUAUUCAAGGUAAGCGAAAGUUACAGAUGUGGCAAAAUCAAUAAUUAAAUUCAUAAAAUGUUAAAAAAUAAAACUUAUAAAUUUUGCAUGACUACUUACUAAUAAAUAAAUAAGUUAGAAUGUAGUUAGUUAAUUUUACACCAUAUUAUAUAUUAUUCGAUAAUAAUAUAAAAUAAAAAGAAUUAAAAAAUAAAUAAUUGAAUAAACAAAUAUGACUUUCUAAACAGUAAAAAUUCUAGAGUUAAAAUUUAUAUUAUUAUUUUAUUUUUUAAAAUUGACAUAUUUCUAUUAUCUUACAUGUACACAGAUUUUGAGAGUUGAGAAGAAUAUAUUUAAUGAAGCUUGCUAACAUUUGGUGGGAUAGCAAGUAAGGGUAAAUAAGAUUUUUUUGUUAUUUAUUUGAAUUAUAUCUAUUUUGUUCAAGUUAAAAUACUAAAUAUAAAUUGGAGGUAGACAUUUUAACAGAUCAUCUAAGCUCUCAAAUCUGAAAUUUUGUGUAGAUUUAAAUUCAUAAUUUUAGUUAAUUUUCAUACAUUCAUAUAAACAAAUUUAUGAGAUUUUUCUUUUCAGCAUGUUAUAUUUUGAAACUUUCAAUGUAUUAUUCUAGCUUUAUUUAAAUAAUUAAUUUAUUUAAAAUUUAUUUAAUUUUGAAUUUGAUCAAUAGUAAAAUUAUUUUUAUAUCAAAUUUUUUUAUUUAAAUAGUUCGUGGAUUGGACAAAAUUAAAAAUUUUUAAUCCACAAAAUGGUGGAUUAGAUAUGAAUUGGGUUAAAUACACAUUCGAUCCGCAGUCGUAUGAAUUUGAUUUGGAUUGAAUUUCAUCAAUCCAUGGAUUAGAUUGGAUUGAAAAAUUUAUUAUCCGCAAAAUCGUGGAUCGAAUAUGGACUGAUGUCCAAUCAGCAAAAUCCAAUCCCCGAACACUCCUCUAUCAAAAUUUUCAAGAAUAUUUUUUAUCUUACAAAUUUUUUUUAAAGUCAUAGUCUAAGGGCGGCCCAAUUUCUACUCCAUCCAUAUAAGCGGAGUUCAAAUCUCAUACCUCUUAUCUCCACACAAGAGAUUUAACCAAUUGAAAUAGCUAGCACCCACAAGUAUACUAGUACAGCAUCUCUUAACGUUUAACAUACGUAAAAUUAACGCCAUAGCUAUUGAUAAACACAUUGUUCAAUAUAUAUGAUCAAGAAUCUGAUCCUGCGAGCAACAGCAGUCAGAAGAACCAUUAUAAUGCCUAGCUCUUAUCCUGGUUAAUCCUCUGGCCCGAUGCUUCAUCAUAGUGAUUUAAAAAACCAACAACAGCUCUCUAAAAGAGAUGAAGAUAUCAUCUACGUAAAGAACAUGAGACGGAGAUUCACAACCCAUAAGAACUGAGAUAAAUUGGACCAGACCAGUAAUCUUGAGAUAAGUUAAACUGUGACUUAAGUUGAAAUCAGAGGACAGGAAUUUUAAAAUCUUUCGGCUAAGCCCCUGAGGAAUUUUCUAGAGUACGACUUCUGCUUACCUCUGUUUAAUUUCUCUUUAUAUUUUUCUUUCAUUUCAUUAAUAAAGUCAAAUAAUAAAUCAAAGAACGAGGGAAGAUUUUUCCAAGUCAUGCAUUAUUUGAUUACCAUCAAUCAAGAAACCGACCAAAUUAAUUUCUCUCCGUGAUUUUUAAAAAUUAAAAAAAAAAUAUUUGAGCAUAACAUCAUUAAUUAUAGAGUGGAUCAAACUGCGUUAAUCAUGAACUUUGUUGUGUUAAUUAUUUCAAUCCCCGAUUACGCAAUUUUUAAAUUAUAGCCUAACGGUGGUCUCAUCACCACGUGUGUGAUUUUCUUUUGCCAAUAGGAUCUGUAGAGAGCUUGAUCUCACCCAAUAGCAAAAUAAACUUCCUAAUAAGUGAAGGCAUAGUAUAAAUAAUUCACCCCCAUAUUAUUUAUUAGCAGCUUGAUUAUUUUAUAUGCAUCUUUGAUUUAAAUUUUUUUUUCCCAUAAUUGCUACUAUGUUCGAACUGGUCAUGAAUUAUCUAUAAGAUUUUUCAUGUUGCUUUUAGGUGCAUUGGAUUUUUUUUAGUUUAGUGCAAGAGUAGAGGAAGGCAAAUUAAGAAAAAGGAUAAAGAUCUAUGAUUAGCUAUUUUGGGAUGUCUCAUAACAUAUUGAUGGUAACAUUAUACAUAUGUAUAUCUAAAUAAUGGGGUUGGAUCAAGAGCCCAUUAAUAAUCAUAGAUUAGCUUAUAUAGCAAUUUCACAAGCACAUGUUAGCCUAUGUUGAGCUUUAUUAUCAAUAGUUCAUAGUUCAUCGGUGCACUGCAGGUUUACUAUUUGAAGUAAAUGUUAUGGUGCGUGCAUUUUUCAUAAGGCCAACCGCUGAAUUUAGCAUUGAAACUUACAAAAUGUAAUAGAGAGAGGUAGAUAACAGCCACAAAACACUAAGAUUGGAAAUCAGGGCUACUAAAUACUAUUACAAGCCCUUAGAAAAGACACUGAUCAUCCUGGAAUAUAUAUACUGAAAGUAAGAAAUAUUAAUCGCAAAGUUAUGUGCCAACAAAACUAUUGACCACUUGUCCCUAGCAGAAGGUAUAUAUUUUUAACUUCAGCUCUCUACUUUGUUCUAAGAACUAGGCAAAAGAAUGAAACUUCACUGUCUAAAGUUUGCCGCUUGGAAUAUUUCACUGUCUAAACAUUCACUCACCACUAAUUUCACAAAUGAAUUUUGUCUAACUAUAUGUUGAUAACGAUAUUAGAGGUAAUAUAAUGCAUUUAAGGCUUAACAUAUAUUUUUUAUUAGUAGAGUGUAGAAUUUUUAAGAAAUAAAUUAUUAAAUUACUAUAACUAACAUAUUAUUUUAAAGUUAUGUUAAGAAAAGAAUGAAACAAAAAAAAAAAAAAAAAUAAGGGUAUUCUAAAACUUUGAUCCUUUUAAAAGUAGUUUUUGACGUAAAUAAAAUAAUUUUUAUUUUUUUAAAUCACAUACUCUAGUUAAAAUCAAAUUUGUAUUUAUAAAGCUUGUAAAUUUUUUUUAGCAUUAAUAUUUGAAUACUUUCAAGAUAAGAAAUAGGGUACUAAUUAUGCUACAACAUUAUUAUAGCAUAUAAAAAGACAAUACCCUUUAUAUUAUUAUACUAUCGUUUUUGUUAUGAUAGUAUUUUGUUAGUGGUCAAAUAUUACUUUUUUAAGUAAAAAAGUAGACAAAUGUAAAUCAAUUUUUAAUCUCUCCUAAAAUUCUAAUUCCUAGUUACCAAACAAAAUUGUUUGAAAAUAAUUUGGCUAAGUGCAUGGGUUCUUAAAAGUUAAAACUAUAGGUGAUAGAAGUUACUAGCACAAGCAAUUUUGACGGUCCAUUUUAUAAAAAUUUUUAAUAAUUUUUUAUUUACCAUUUUACCACCUAUAUAAAGAGUGCCACAUCGACAUAUCAAUUCAUUUGCAAAUUAUAUUAAUUUUGUAAAAUUCAUUUGACUUGCUAAACCCUUCUUAUCCCCUUUCUCGACUGUCAUACCCUAACCUUAUUAAUCCAACUGGCAAGUGCUCACAAUGACCGACAGCCUCUCCAUCUCCAUUUCAAGCUUCCUCUUCAACUGGCUUCUGCUUCCGUCGUACGCUUCCUUGGAUUCGGAGUCCGUAUUCGCUCGACCGGUCCGGCACAGCUCCCUCUCACUCCAAUUGUCACCCAACAAGACCAAUUGCUUAACAUUGAUCGUAUGGCAAUUGUCCGUAUUUCUUGGAUUCAGAGUCCGUAUGGCACAGAACAAGAAGAGUAUGAGAGAGAGAUUUGGAAAUCGAAACGUACGCAUUGACCGUGCCUUUGAGGGCAAUUACUUUUCUUGAGAAUUGAAGUUUGGUAAUGUAAUUUGUUCUCUAUCUGUGUCCCCUUUGUAGUCAUUUCAUUUAUUUGUUUGUUUGCUUUUAUUUGCACUUACGAAGUCUCAGAUAUAUCUACGCAAGAAUGAUGCAGGAGAAAUUGAUCCUCGAGCUUACAAGAAAAGUAAAUUUCGAAAGCAUAAUUUGGCUCCGAUUGAGGUAAUAAUUGUCUUUAAACUCAUUUAGUUUUAUAUCAAACAAAAUCAAGGCUGCCUUUCUCUUCAAUAUUUUUUAUGAUAAUAUCUUUAGAAGCAUCUCAUUGACGGGUAAUCAUGGUAUCCCUUAAAGAGUCUAUAAACUCAAUGAUAUUUUCUUCUGCAAAUGGUUCAUUAAACUUCUUAGACGUAGUUAAAUGUACACUAAGAACAACGAGAAGCUAUGCCGCUGUAGCAUGUAGUGAGAUCUUGUUUGAAGUUGUUUUCUGAAAUGAACUGCCAAAUGGUAGUUUUUUUUUUCUUGGGUGCAUUUGAUGACUCUUUUCUCCUCAUUUUAAACAUGUACCUGCUUGGAAUGGGAAGGAAUAGGCUUCCGAGUUGUUAUAUAUGUUGACAUGCUCUGGUCAUUACACAAAAUGCUCAAAUUGGAAAUUAGAAUGAGAUAUUUGUCGAUGCUUUUUGAGAGAUCUGCAUUCUAUGCACCAUAACAUGAUUAAUGAAAACAGGUUUAAGGACUGGAAAGAUCUGUGGCGGCCCAAGCUUGCAGGAAGGAUUUCAAUGGUUAAUUCUCCCAGAGAGGUUAUUGGUACAAUUUUGAAGUAUCUGGGAGCAUCAUGCAAUUCAAACGACAUUGAUUAGCAACUUGCUGCUGGGAGGAUUGUUGUCAGCAGAAUCUGGCAUUACUGGGAAACCAGGUACUCUUAAAGAAAUGAUAUCUGGUCAAUGCAUAUUAUUGCCUGACAGCUGAUUUUGUUUGUAAAGUCUGCCUCUUCAUACAUAUGAAUGCAUAUGUUAGUGUUUUCUUCUCCUUUUAAUACACAUGAAUGCAUAUGUUAGUGUUGUCUUCUCCAUUCCAUAAAUAUGAAUGCAUAUGCUCUGGGUGUUGGUUACUACUUCAAGUGGAAGGUGAAGGUGAUGCAAGUGAUUUCAGGAGUACAUAUAUUCCAAGGAUGCCGGACUAUUAUUGCUUCCCCCCAUAUUUCAGAAUUUUUUGUCAACCUCCUCCACUAAGGGAUUCCAAUUGAGUUACAAAUAUAUUUUCUGUAGCUCUGUUUUAAAUUUUUGGUCUCAUGUUAAUUUUUCUAAUUACUAUUCUUCAACAAAUCUCUUUUACUUUAAAAAACUGCUACAGUUUGAUUUUACUGCCUUAUAUCAUUGAACAUUGAUACAUGGAAUUUGAAAUCAGACUUGUAACAACAGAUAAAUAGAUAUAGAACAUGCAUAUAAUCUCCAUUUCGAGCUCCCUCUCCAACUGGCUUCUGCUUCCGUCUUACUCUUUCUCGGAUUCGGAGUCCGUAUUUGCUCAGCCGGUCCUGCCCAGCUCCCUUUCACUCCAAUUGUCACCCAACAAGACCAAUUGCUUAAUCAAGGCACAGAACAAGAAGAGGAUGAGAAGUUGAAACAAGAAUUUGAGAAUUGGAAAUCGAAAAUGUAUGCAUUGACUGUGCCUCUAAGGGUUGUUUCUCUUCAGAAUUCAAUGCCUCAAUCUUGGGUUAAGGAUUUUAUGCGAAGUCAAGGAAAGAGAUUGAAGUUUCAGAUGAAUUUGUGUGCUAGCAUUGGUGGGAUCUUUAACAAUUUAUCUGUGCCCUUUAACAAAGUUAAGGGUAAGUCAGCUUCGUAUACGGCUGCUGAUUUGGUUAGUGUUGGUGAUUCAUGGCUCAGUUUUACAAUUAAAAAGAGAUUGAUUGAGCCAAUAGCUGAAGCUGAAGAUCAAGACUGGUUCAAAUGCUUAUGUCACAAAUGGAAGGUAACAUCAUUAUCUUUGACCCGAUAAUUUUUAUUGUCUUACAUUGAAAUUUGGUAAUGUAAUUUGUUCUCUAUUUGUGUUACCCUUUGUAGUCGUUUUAUUUAUUUGUUUAUUUGCUUUUAUUUGCACUAACGAAAUCUCAGGUAUAUCUAUGCAGGAAUGAUGCAGGAGAAAUUGAUCCUCGAGGUAAAAUAUGGGCGGCACCAUACAGGUGGGGCACAACGGUGAUAGCCUACAAGAAAAGUAAAUUUCGAAAGCAUAAUUUGGCUCCGAUUGAGGUAAUAAUUGUCUUUAAACUCAUUUAGUUUUAUAUCAAACAAAAUCAAGACUGCCUUUCUCUUCAAUAUUUUUGAUGAUAAUAUCUUUAGAAGCAUCUCAUUGACGGGUAACAAUGGUAUCCCUGAAAGUGUCUUUAAACUCAAUGAUAUUAUCUUCUACAAAUGGUUCAUUAAACUUUGUUGUUGUAGUCAAAUGUACACUCAGAGCAAUGAGAAGCUAUGGCACUGUAGCAUGUAGUGAUGGCACUUAAUAAGUGAGUUGCUAGGAUGUGAACUAGAAAAAUUAAAUAUUGUCUCCUUGGGUAUGCUAGCUUGUAAGUCAGGGUUAAUAUUAGAGCUUAAGUUACUAUAACCAUGAGACGCUAUUGACUGCCAAUUAAAAUAUCCAUUAAAUUGUCUAGGAAGUUAUGAAAGUGGAGGUAUCUUCCGAUUUCUAAGGCCAGAUAGUAGACAUCAUCCAGGAUCCUAGGAAAGUGCAGUUAACCUCCUGCUCGAUGCAAUUAAUAAAUUUGGUCAAUGCCACUGAAACCUGCUAACCGACGUCACAAUGCGAGAUGAGCACUUCAAAAUGGGACAGACGGUCAGUAGCACUAAAUUUUUCUUUCCUAAGAUUGAGCAAUUGGUCUAACUACUAACCCCUAUUGUAGGUUGAUCAUUAUUUUUCCAAUUAUGUUCAGUUUGACCCAAAAAGUUACAGAAUCUUGAGCUGAAUAUUGUCACUGAACACUGUCAAUGUCAUUUAGCAUACCCAACUAACUUGAGUUUGGUAAAACAAACACACUGUGCGUCUCAUCUCUCACAAUUCAAAUUAUCAUCUGUAAUGAUGGAGAAUUUUUCCAAUGUAUGAAGUAUGCUUUGAUAUGUGUACCUUGGAGAAGAUAUCUCCAAAUAAAGAAUAUGGAGAGAAAACGGUUCAGUAGUUUAUUAUUCUGUAGGCAAGUCUUGUCUCGAAAAUGGUCAAAAUUUAAAUGAAUAAGGACAGGGGAUCUUCAUUCUUUUUUCCCUUUUUUAUACCAAGAUAUCUCUCAACCUUUAUAUAAUCCCCACUGGAUAUCUGCUUCUAAUAAUUAAAAUAAAAAUUUCACUCACACAAAUAAAUACUGACCAAGCUCUAACAAUAUAAAGUAACAUCUUUACUCAAGUAAUUUACAGUUCCUCAUCAUCUUAGUGUGAGACUAUCAUUACGUUCCAAAAACAAAAUAAAACUGGUUUGAUCCUGUUUAUUGAUGUUUAAAUGUUGUUCAUUGUGACAUGUAGAAAUGAUGAAGCGAAGUUUAUUUGGUCAUCAAUUAGUAAGAUCUUGUUUGAAGUUGUUUUCUGAAAUGAACUGCCUUUUUUUUGGGCAUAUGAUGGCUCUUUUUUCCUCAUUUUCAACAUGUGCCUGCUUGGAAUGGGAUGGAUUUGGCUGCAGAGUUGUUAUAUAUUUUGAGAUGCUCUGGCUGUUGUGAAAAUUUUAAUAUACUCGCAAGCACACGAAUCUAGAAAUAGAAUAGUGAUAACGAGGUCGAACCCACAGGGAUUAUUGAAAAGUCUAAUUUAAAUCUAAAAUUAAUAUUAAUUCUAACCUAGUUGAGCAAAUUGAGUUUUAAGAGAAAUUAAACUAAUUAAACUAAGAAAAUAAUUAAAGUAAAGGAGAAUUCAAUAAGACAAAAAUUACCAAGGUUUCAGAAUCCACCACUAUUCAACUAGUAAUUAUCUAAUUAUUAAUUAAUCCCCAAUUUUAGAGUGACAACUCGAAAUCAAUCUAUGUCAUCUCAUGGAUAUAACAAUUAAGCCCAAGUAAUUAAAUCUAAUGUAGGUUCUUUUUCUACUUAAUAGUAUGAUAUCUAAGAAUCUCAUGUAAACAUAUUGAAUAACAAAGAGUCAAAGUUUUCUUAAGCACUCUAUGUAAACAAUUUAAUGAAAGACAUAAAAUCAAAGAUAAUCAUGCAUAAACUUUAUAGAUCCAAGCAUAGAUUUAAUCGAAUAUUAAUCCUAACAAUCAAUAAUGCAUAACAGAAUUGAUGAAAAGAUUUUAAUAACAUCCAACUAAUCAUGUGAAAUAAAAACCAUAAUCAUUAAAGAACAUAUAUAGGGAAUUAAAUAAAUAAAAAAAUAAUUAUUUCAUUGAAUAGGGUUUCAUCCUUAACCUCAGUAUAAGAAAAUUAGUUAGACAUACUUGAAUUGGGAAAAACAAAAGAGAUAAAACCGGCCAUGAGGAAUAUUGAACUGUUGGUGCCGAUUGCUCUUUUCCAGCCUUGCGUCUGCUUUCCUCUGGCGGCUACCUCCCCCCUUGCAAAAGCCAAAGUUCGGCUUUUAUAUUGUAACUCCCCCACAAAAUCCUCAAAUCAAAAGGUUUUAAAACAAGCCAAGCACAACCGACUUUGAGCCCAUGCAUGUGAAGCCCAAUUGGAAUUUUCAUUCCUUUUUUAAUGCCAUGCAAUUGCUUUCCCACGUGCUGGCCACUUUAGCUUUAAAUUUCUUCUUUGUUUGCACUAGCAUGGAGAAUUCAAUUUAUUGGCUUCGGCUUCUUCGGAUUGAAUUUCAUACACAUCUACUUAAUUGCUUCCACAAAUUGACUUGAUUUUUAAUGUUGUCCAAUUGUUAUUCUUUAUGUACUUUUCAUCCUUAAUCUCCAAUUAAUUCCCUAUUCAAUAAAAUUAACUUAGCAAUUAUAUAAUAAAGGGUAAAAUAUGUAUAUAAAUUAUGCUCAUCACUGGCCAUUGCACAAUUUGUUCACACUGGAAAUUUGAAUGAGAAAUUUGUUGAUGCUGUUUUGAGAGAUCUGCAUUCUAUGCACAAUAACAUGAUUAAUGAAAAUGGAUUGUAGGACUGGAAAGAUCUGUGGCAGCCUGAGCUCGCAGGAAGAAUUUCAAUGGUUAAUUCUCCCCGAGAGGUUAUUGGUUCAGUUUUGAAGUAUAUGGGAGCAUCAUACAAUUCAAACGAUAUUGAUUCGCAAGUUGCAGGUGGGAAGAUUGCUGUUCAGCAGAAUCUGGCAUUACUGGCAAACCAGGUACUCUUAAAGAAAUGAUAUCUGAUCAUUGCAUGUUAUUGCCUGACAACUGAUUUUGUUUGUAAAAGUCUGCUUCUUCAUACAUAUGAAUGCAUAUGUUAGUGUUCUCUUCUCCUUUUCAUACAUAUGAAUGCAUAUGUUGGUGUUGUCUUUUCCUUUUCAUACAUAUUAAUACAUAUAUUGGUGCUCUCUCCUGAGAUGGAUGCAAUAAAGGCUUUUGGUCCUAAAUUUAGGUGAAGAAAUGGCAAGGGAUGUGAGAUUCUGUCUCAUUAAAUUAACAAAAACCCAAAACAAUGAAAACCCAUAAUAAUGUGGUGGGGGUAAAUUGGCACCAUUUGGUUUGUUUACUUAAUGUGAAUACACGAGCAAUAGGGACUAACAAAAUGAAGUGACAACAACAAGUCAGUGUCCUUUGAUGGAUGCAUUUUAGGCAAAAAUAGGUUUGUAAUUGACCAAUUUCAAAAAAUUUAAAUUAUGUGGUUAUUAGCUGUAAUGAAGGGGAUAGGAGGUGCAAUCAGGUGGAUCCAGGAAAGUUCAACAAAGUUCUGGUAUGGCAUAGUGAAAUUGGUUUGUGCAACUCAAGAGUCUUUCAGGUGAACGAUGAUAUGUUUUGAUUUAUAAAUGUUAUAAAUCUACCGUCCAUAGUAUUCUAGUAGAAUCAUCUAUAAGUUCUAGUUAUUGAAAUUGUCUACUUUGUCCAGUUUGAGUUAAGGGCACAUGUAAUAGGAAAAAUAGUUGUCACAUCUUUUUGGUUACCUAACAUUUGAUCAAUCCUAUUAUGAGGGCUUCAAGAUGUCUAACAAUAUGUAGAAUGCCCAUGCUCCUCCCCAUUGUUUAUCUUAUACAAUAAUUUGUUUUAGAUGCUAAUAUAUUUGUCGAUACCGGUAACGAUAUUACAAUAUCUGCAUUUAUUGGGUUUUACAUAGGUUCGACUGUUUGACAGUACACACUAUCUGAAGGCAUUUGGAAUUGGAGAUGUAUGGGUUGCUGUUGGGUGGAGUAGUGAUGUUCUUCCUGCUGUCAAACGUAUGUCUAAUGUUGCAGUUGUUCCCAAGUCUGGUGCUAGCUUAUGGGCCGAUCUUUGGGUAUACCCAUGCCGGCCAUUCUACUUCGAUAUUCACGUUGUUAUCUCCUUCAUAUUAGCGAUCAUAAACUUGAUAAUGUGACUAAUAAGUUCGUAUUCUCUUUAUAGGCAAUCCCUGCUGCCUCAAGACUUGAAACAAAAGAAAUUGGAGGGCGAGUCUGAGGUCCAUCUCCAUUAAUCCAUCAAUGGAUAGAAUCCUGCUUGCAAACAGCGAGAACAUUGCCUUUCAAGCAAGAGGUUAUCCCGGGCGCAUCUCCCUCUGCCCUUGAAAGUACUCUGGUUAAGUUGCCUGAAGAACUUCUGAAGGGUAAACCAAGUCUGGAUACUAACUUAAUUGCUGGAGUACCCCCGGCUGAAAUUCUGGCCAGAUGUGAGUUUUUGGAGCCAUUGUCUGAAGCUACAUUGUCAUAUUAUGAGUGGCUGGUUGCUAAUCUGCAAAAACCUGCCCCCCUCUUGAUGAAUAGGCUGCAACAUUACUUGUCAUCAUUAAUCCAAAGCUUUCUAGCAAAAGCUACAUUGAAAAGUUAAUGGCACUGCAUGCCAGUCAUUGUAAUGCUGUCAGGGCUAUUGGGUCAGGGCUAUUGGGUCAGAGCAUAACUUCAUUAGGAAAAGAGGCUUCAGCUACGUUAAAUAUUACAGGAUGUACUGAGAUGGCUGAAGUUCUUGAGGUUUUACGAGAAACGAAAGAUGAGUGUUUGUUUGAACAAAGUUGUUGCCAUCUUGCAGAGUUUGAGAAGAAAGAUCACUGAGCGAAUGCCACCGAUUUCUUAAUCAUUGUAGCCUCCAUAGUUGAAGUUUCCUUAUUUGAAGCUGUUUAUGCGUACGCUUUUUCCCUGCUCAAGUACAGGAAAUUGAAGAAUUAACCAGAUGUGAUAUGCUGAAAGAGGGAAGUUUUCUUCCUUGAACGUGGCCUUGUGAUUUGUCUUGGAAGGAAUAGGAUGAUCACUGGCAAGAACCCUAUCAAGGUAGAUUUUAUGGUGCUAACGUAUUAUUAAGCAUUUUGUUACAUCAGCAAUGAUGCUUUCAUAGCAUGAAAGGGUUUAAAUUUAACUGAAUGAUUCUGAUUAAUCAAUUAUGAGUUUGAAUCGAGUAAAAACUAAAUACAAUCAUCGUUAACAAUACUGAAAAAAUUUAACUGAAUCAUCGUUAAUUGAGUAAAUAGGAUCUUGAUAUUGAAGAAUUUGAAAUCACAACGCACACAGGAAAUUGAAGAAUUUGAAAUACAAUCAUCGUUAACAAUAUAAGAUGAGUGUUUGUUUGAACAAAGUUGUUGCCAAUCUUGCCGAGUUCGAAAAAAAAGAUCACGGAGCAAAUGCCACUGAUUUCUUCAUCAUUGUAGCCUCCAUAGUUGAAGUUUCCUCAUGUGAAGCUGUACAUCAAGUACAGGAAAUUGAAGAAUUAACCAGAUGUGAUAUGCUGAAAGAGGGAAGUUUUCUCCCUUGAAUGUGGCCUUUGUGAUUUGUCUUGAAGGAAUAGGAUGAUCACCGGCAAGAACCCUAUCAAGGUAGAUUUUAUGAUGUUAACAUAUUAUUAAGCAUUUUGUUACAUCAGCAAUGAUGCUUUCAUAGCAUGAAAGUGUUUAAAUUUAACUGAAUGAUCUUGAUUAAUCAAUAAUGAGUUUUAAUCGAGUAAAAACUAAAUACAAUAAUUGUUAACAAAUACUGAAAUUGGGUAAAUAUGAUCUUGCUAUUGAAGAAUUUGAAAUCACAACCCACACAGGAAAUCACCCUUCGCGUGGAGAUGGAGAUGUUUACUGCAGCGAUAUUGAAUAUGUCCACUGCUCUUUGGGUUAUGGUGCGACUUGCGAUUUCAAGGUUGCCCUGAAACAAUGGAAAAGAAUUAACAUACCCUGCAAUGAAUGAAAGCGGCUGGACUAAUUCUGAUUACCUGAUUGACUCAGGAUCGGAUGGCAAUAAAGACAGUUUAUUAACAAUGCACAGUCCCGAGUACUUUUUCAGGAUCAGAUAUUACGUGGUCUAAUGUUGAUAAUAAUAGAUUAUCAAAUGAGAGAUGCUGAGAGAUGCUGGUCUAGUAUUGCAAGCCCCCAGAUUUAAGAAUCUUUUGAUGAUAAUUUACCACCUGUAACUGUGCCGGAAGAUUCACCUAGCAUUGAAAAAGAUGAUAAUUUAAUUGAUAUGGAUAGUUUUCAUAACACUUUUAAAUCAUCUUAUGUAAUUAUAAUGUUGAGAAGCAUUAGUGGUCUAUAUGUGAACUAUUAUUGACGCUAUUUUGUUGUAAACAAUCUUAUUCAAUUAAUGUAUAAUUUAAAAUCAUUAUGUAAAUCAAUCUAUUACUUUUCAUGAUAUUUAACUGAGUUAAAACUAAGUGCACCCAAUAAAUCUCUUUUCCUUUAAAAAACUGUUACGCUUUGAUUUUAGUGCUUAAUAUUUACGGAACUCCGGUACAGGGAAUUCGAAAUCAAACUCGUAACUACAGAUUAUCUAAUUGCAAGCUUUUGUCCAUAGUUGCUGAUUGUAGUGAUUAUCUAAUUGACUGAGGUGACAACAAUUUUUUUUUUUAAUUUUCAAUAGCAUAAUGUGGAAUUCAAUAAUUAAAUUCUCCUUUUUAAUUUGUUUCCAGUUAAAUUAUUAAUUACUUAAACUCUGUUUUAAGUCUUUAAUUUUAUGUCUUGGCGUAUAUGCAGGGUUGGAUUCUUGAGCGUGUUGGACACGACCAACAAUGAAAUUGACAGUAAACAAACAUUAUAACGCGUUGAGUGUCGACUCCGCUAGCUGCCCUACAAGUCUACAACUUUACAAACAAUAACUGAGUACACACAUUUGAUUCUCAGGGCCUUUCAAUGAAUUUCUAGGCCGGUUGACUCCACCGACAAAAGUUUUGGAAAAUAAAAAAGAAAAUUCAUAGAAUUCCACCAAAUGCAAAACGCGUGGAAUUUAAUUUUCGGCUGUGUGGACCAAAACAUAAUUUAAUGAAAAAAAAGAUAAGAUUUCUAGAAUGUGUGGAAGGUGAUCCAUAUUUUACUGAAACAACUUAUUAAAUUUUUCAAGGAUUUAGAAUAUUUGGUCAUAAAUUACGCUCAUGUUAAUUUUUCCACUGUUGACUAUCAUAUUCUAGACUCACUGGUACCUUUCUUGAUGAAGGGUACUUAGUCUCUCUUCUCCUCUUAUAAAAAUUAUAUUAAUUAAUUUCUUAUUAUAAUAAAUAGUCUUUAAGAACGUAUAGAUUUAUUGUUUUCGUGACCAAAUUAUGCCAGCUUAAGGUUGCGACUAUUAAUAAAAUUAAUAUUUAAUGUUUAUGUUAAAAGAUAUAAGAUUUUUUGCAUUCAUUAAUUGUCAUUAGCUAAAGGAUUAAUUAUUUUUUCAACCCAAUCAGUUGAUGCAUCUGCAAGAAUUUUUUCUUUUAUUGACCAUAAUUAUAUUCCGGGUACAAUAAAUUAUCUUUGGUGCUUGGAAAAUAUGACUUCUUACUUCAAGUUUGAUGUGUCUCUCUCCAUAAGCUUACUGGAAAUAUAUCCUCAUCUACUGUCAUUUAUCUAAUAUCAAUUGAAUAUCUGACUUUUUCAAACUAUCACUUCCAAGUCUCAUUGUCACUUGGCCAUUCUUGGACCAUUCAAAACCAAACAAGUGUUGAAAUAAUCAAAUAUAUGCAAAAUUAGAGUCACGACUUUUGGUCCUCCAAAUUCUAAUUAUAUUACUUCUAUAUAUCUCAUUGUCAGGUCACGAACUUGUUGGCACAUUUUCCAAAUUCCUCUUCCAUCAGCUCUUACACGUUAACUUAAGUGGAAAGUUUCCAAGUUGAUUGCUAGAAAGCAACGCAAAAUCAGACACGCUUGAUCUGUCCCCUAAUUCUCUUUUCUACGUUGAAAAAGAAAAAAAAUAAGAAAAAAGAAAAUAGAUCUAUGUAAAAAUAAAUAAUAAACUGAGUAAAAGUACAUUUGUUUAUUUAACAUCUGAUCGGGGCAUUUUUGGUGUAAUUUCGUGCUGUGUUUAACCCACAACUAAAAUCAAACAGCCCCUUAGAAUACUUCUUCCAUUUUGGGUGCGUUUGGGAUUGAGGUUGGGCAGCUGUAACUUAAAAACUACAGCACUAAAGUGUUUGAUAAACACUAACUGCUGUAGCUUUUAAGCUAUGUUGAUAUGGUUUUUCACUUGUAUAAUACAAAAUUUAUUAUAUCUUUAAUAAUUUUAUCAAAAUUAUUAUUUAAAAUUUAUAUUUACUAUAUAUUAUUAACUUUUGUUUCAUAAUUACAGCUUUUUUUUCACAGCAACUGUAGCUUAAAAGCUACAGCAUCUCAAUCCCAAACGCACCCUUUAUCUGCUACUUUUGUGGAUCUUAUAGGGUGGGCAUGUGAACAGAAUUUAAAAAUUUUAAUAGUCUCAAAGAAUAAGAUAUGCUAAAGCUAAAGUUGUUGCACCUUCUAAUUAAAUAAAGUUGUAUAAUUUCACCAACUUGGAAGAAUUGAUAUUAAUGGACGGUCCCCUCUCCAUAUAUGAAGCCUUCUUAAAAGUUAAUUUUUAUUUCAGAAAAAAAAAGUUUAAGUUACAUAUAUUAUAGUAAGAUUUUUUUAGACCAAUUCCCUUCUUGAAAUAAUAAUGGAAAAGCAUUAAUUUAAAAAUAAAAUGAAUAUGUAUUGAUUAUAUCCUGAUUUUCAUCGAUUAUAGUGAGAGUUUCUCCAAAUCAAUUCCCUUAUUCAAAUAAUACAGAAAAAAUAGUAAUUUAAUAGUAAAAUAAACAAGUGUUGAUUAUAUAUUCUAAGUUUCAUCGAUUAUGUGAUCAAAGUGGCAUUGUUGAUUUAUUUCUUGUUCAAUGUUAAUUUUUAGGUUAUAUAAAUUUCAAGGAUCUAAAAUCUUUGGUCAUGGAUUACACGCUUGUUAAUUUUUCUGCCAUUAACUGUCAUAUUCUAGACUUAAUGAUACCUUUCUUGAUCAAGCGUAAUUAUUCUCUCUUCUCCUCUUAUAAAUUCCUCUUCCAUUAACAUCACUAGGAGUAUGUUGAUCUCUCAGACGUUAACUUGAGUGGAGAGUUUCCAAAUUGAUUGUUACAAAACAACACAAAAACUAGACACACUUGAUCUGUCUAAUAAUUCUCUUUCGGUAAAAUUAAUUAAUUUUAGGGAAAUAUUCUGCCAACCUCUGUAAUUUCAAAGUGAUCAUUAAUUAAUUAAACGAUACAAAUAUCUAAAGUGAUUAGAUGUUUGCCGACAAUACAAGUUCAUGACUUGAAAUUUGAUCUCUAUCGAUUGGUUUACAAAUGGACGUACUUGUGCCUUUGUGGCGAUAAUCAAACAAGUUCCCAUGAUUAUUAUUUUUUCCAAAAACGUUUUUACAACAAAUUCAUCUCGCCAAAAAUUCUAUGUUGCUAACUAACAAUAAUUGAGCACUUGGCCGCAUUGACCCCACGUCUCCACCUCUUUCUAAAAACAUGGAAAAUGUAAUUUCCACAAAAUGCCAAACGUGUGGAAUUUAAUUUUUUUGCCUUGUGGAUCAAAAUACAAAUGAAAGAAACAGGAGAAAAAAAAGGCCCAAAGACUUCUAAAAGAUGAAGAAGUCUUUGGGCCUUUUUAUAAUGGUGAAUUUUUUAAAAGAAAAAAAAUAACAACAUUUUUAUGGUUUGUUUUGAUAAUCAUAUUUACAUAUACUCUCUAAUUUUCAAAAUGGACACAUAAAUCUUUUUUUUUACAAAAUAUAUAUUAUUCAUAUUUUUUAUUUUUUAUUAUCAUAUUUUUAUUUAUUAUAAAUGUUUAGAGUAAAUUUUUAGGUUGAAAUAUAAUAAAAAUGUAUAAUCGUUCUCUUAUUAAACACACAUACUUUUAUUAGUUUCUAUGCAUUUGUCAUCUCAAUCUCUCUCAAUUAUUCUUUAUUGCUAGCUCAAAACGCGUUGCUGUUGCAAAUUAUAGCAAAAUGACAAAUAUGGAAAAAAAGGGAAGAAAAUUAAUGCAUGAAAGACUUGGAGAAAACAACAAAAUAAGCCAACUAUGAGCUAGUUGGGUGUAUAAAUUGUUAGAUGUGUUAUAUACAAAUAGCAUAGAGCCCUCUAGUUAGUUCCAGAGACAGAAAGAGCGUGUGUGUUUUUUCACAGUUAGAGAUAUAGUUAGAAUGGGUGGUUCAAAAUCAAAAAUGAUGAUAAUGUUUAUUAUGUUAUUAAUAAUAUUUAAAAGUGGGUGGAGUGAGGGAUGUUUGGAUCACGAGAGAUUUGCUCUUUUGCGACUCAAACAUUUCUUCGAUGAUAGUUAUCUUUAUGACUGGGCCGAUGAUGAGGGAGCUACUGAUUGUUGUCAGUGGGAAAAUGUUGAGUGCAGCAACACCACAGGCCGAGUGAUAGCGCUAGACCUUUUUGACACGCAUGGGGGAGAGCACAGCUGGUAUAUGAAUGCUUCUUUGUUUACUCCCUUCCAACAACUUGAGUCACUUGAUUUAACUGACAACAAUAUAGCCGGUUGUGUUGAGAAUGAAGGUGCUUCGUUUAAUUUAAUUAAUUUACUUUCUCCCCCCAAAUUUAAGUUGAAUAUCAAGACCGAGCAAUUAUAUGCAUAUUCAUUUAGUCGACAAUUUUGACUUUUUUUUAAAUGAUUAAUUUUGAAAUUACACCAGUAUCUAUGAUCUUUUUUUAUUUUAUUUUAUUUGCAGGUAUAGAGAGGCUAUCAAGAUUGAACAACUUGAAGAUGCUUAAUUUAAGUCGAAACUCAUUCAAUAAUAGCAUUUUAUCAUCUCUAACUCAUCUUUCAUCAUUAAGAUCAUUAAAUUUACUUUGGAAUAGAUUGGAAGGAAGUAUUGACGUUAAAGGUACAUAAUUAAAACUUCAAGCUCUUUCAUUAACUUGCUAAAAUAAGAUUCAAGGCUUUGAAAGAAAAAGAGAGAAAAAAACAAGGCCCAAAGACUUCUAAAAGAUGUAAAAGUCUUUGGGCUUUUUUAUAAUGGUGGAUUUUUUAAAAGGAAAAAAUAACAACGCUUCUAUGGUUUGUUUUGAUAAUCACAUUUACAUAUACUCUCUAAAUUUCAAAAUGGACACAUAAAUCUUUUUUUUUUCUACAAAUGUAUAUUGUAUUUUUUAUUAUUUUUAAUAUCAUAUUGUUAUUUAUUAUAAAUAUUUAAAGUAAAUUUUUAAGUUGAAAUAUAAUAAAAGAGUAUAAUCGUUCUCUUCUUAAACACUCAUACUUUUAGUUUCUAUCCAUUUGUCAUCUCAAUCUCUCUCAAUUAUUCAUUAUUGCUAGCUCAAAACGCGUUGCUGUGGAAAAUUAUAGCAAAAAGACAAAUAUGGAAAAGAAAAAAGGGAAGAAAAUUAAUGCAUGAAAGACUUGGAGAAAACAACGAAGUAAGUCAACUAUAAUCUAGCUGGGUGUAUAAAUUGUUUGAUGCUUUAUAAGCAAAUAACAUACAGAGACAGACAAUGUGUGUUCGUUUUUUCAUAGUUAAAGAUAUAGUUAGAAUGGGUGGUUCAAAAUCAAAAAUGGUGAUAAUGUUUGUUAUGUUAUUAAUAAUAUUUAAAAGUGGGUGGAGUGAGGGAUGUUUGGAUCACGAGAGAUUUGCUCUUUUACGACUCAAACAUUUCUUCAAUGAUCCUCUUAAUUCUCUUUACGACUGGGUAGAUGGUGAGGGAGCUACUGAUUGUUGUCAGUGGGAAAGGGUUGAGUGCAGCAACACCACAGGCCAAGUGAUAGCGUUGCACCUUUCUAAUAUAUAUUUGGGAGAGUACAGCUGGUAUCUGAAUGCUUCUUUGUUUACUCCCUUCCAACAACUUGAGUCACUUGAUUUAAGUUUCAACAAAAUAGCCGGUUGUGAUGAGAAUGAAGGUGCUUCGUUUAAUUUAAUUAAUUUACUUUCUCUCUCCUAAUUUAAGUGGUAUAUUAAAAUUGAGCAACUAUAUGCAUAUACAUUAGUUGACAAUUUUGACAUAUUUUUUGAAGUGAUUAAUUAAUUUUGAAAUUACACCAAAUAUCUAUGAUCAUUUUUUUUUAUUUUACUUGAAGGUAUAAAGAGGUUAUCAAGAUUGAACAACUUGAAGAUGCUUAAUUUAAGUGCUAACUCGUUCAACAAUAGCAUUUUAUCAUCUCUAACUCAUCUUUCAUCAAUAAGAUCAUUAAAUUUAUAUGUGAAUGAAUUGGAAGGAAGUAUUGAUGCUAAAGGUACAUAUUUAAAACUUCUCUCUUCCCCAAGCUCUUUCAUUAACUUGCUAAAAUAAGAUUCAAGGCUUUGAAUUCAAUUUUUUUAUGAUUAAUAUUUAAAAAAAACAGUUUUAAGCAAUUUAUAAAUACAAGUUUUAAUGUUUCUUAUAAUUUCAUCUUGUACUUUCAUAUGUCUUGAAUUUAAGAUUAAAAAAAAAACUCUAAUAGCAAACCAAACACCUCCACAACUUAUUAUUAUUAUUAUUAUUAUUAUUAUUAUUAUUAUAUAUUUUUUAAUUUGUGGUGAGGUUUGAAACAUUCAACUCAAUUUGUACUUGUUACAGAAUUUGAUUCUUUGAGAGAUUUAGAGGAGCUAGACAUUGGCGGGAACAAGAUUGACAAAUUUGUGGUCUCAAAAGGUACUACAAAUACCAUAAAAAAAAUAUGCUAACUUUUACAAAUUAGUUAGAUUCUUUGCCAUUUGGUUUAUUAUUUUACAGGUUUGAGUAAGUUGAAGUCUCUUGGUUUAAGUGGUAUCAAACUCAAUCGUAGCAUCUUAUCUUCUCUUUCUUCGUUAAGAGAAUUAGAUAUAAGUCGUACGGGAUUCAAAGGAACAUUUGAUGUUCGAGGUAAGCCUAAACCUUGCUUUCUCAUUUUAUAUAUGCCAACUAGAUUUGUGUAUCAUCGACAUAAUUUAAUAUUUAAUUUGAUAAGUCUGAAGGAAUUACAUGCUAAUUUAAACACACUUUUAUUUACUUUGUCAAUUAAUCAAUUAAUUACUAUUUGGCUUGGUUUGGACGAAAUUCUCAUGAUGUUUUAAUUUCUUUAAAUUAAUUAAUUAAUUAACUCUGUUUUUAAGUCUUAAGUCUGGGCAUGUUUGCAGAAUUUGAUUCCUUCAAUAACUUAGAAGUGUUGGACAUGAGUUGGAACGAAAUCGACAAUCUUGUGGUUCCUCAAGGUAAACAAUUAAAAUAUUAUUCAAUUACAUUAUUUUAAUUCAUUUGAUUAGAGAAGGCCAAAAAGGUAAAAAAAAAAUUCAAUAAAGAAAUAGAGAAUUUGUAUUAUUUAAAAAACAGAAUGUAAUAAAGAUUUGAUUCUAGUUCUUUAAUCUUUAAAGCGAUUGAAAAACAAUGUUGGUCUUUUCGCAAAGCAUAAAAUACGAAUUGAAUGCCAAUUAACUUAAUCAUUCAUUUCGUUUAGCUCUAAAUUUAGACAAUGAAUUUUUAUAUUAUUUCAAAAACAGGACGUAAUAGAAUUUUUUUAAAAAUAGAUUGUAAUGAAGAUUUGAUUCCAAUUCUUUAAUCUUUACAGUGAUUGAAAAACGAUACUACUUCCCAAAGCAUAAAAUACGAAUUGACUCUCAAUUAAAUUAAUCAUUUAUUUCGUUCAUCUCUGAAUUUAAAUAAUGAAUUUUGAUCUUCAAUCUUUUCCUAAUUAUUAUUAAUAAACAGGUUACAGAGGUUUGAGGAAGUUGAAAAGCUUUGGUCUAUCGGGAGUUGGAAUUAGAGAUGGAAGCAAGUUGUUACAGUCAAUGAGAUCAUUCCCAUCCCUCAACACUCUUGACCUGACCGAUAAUAAUUUUACCAAUAUAGCGACCGCUACUCAAGGUAAGUAAAAGGUACAGAUGUGGCCAAAUUUAUAAAUAAAUUGUUUAUUAAUUAAUUUUUUCGUAUUAUUAAUUAAGCUAAAUUCGUUGCUCCUUCCUUCUAAAUCUAAACAGAGUUGCACAAUUUCACCAACUUGGAAUAUUUGACAUUGCACGGUUCCUCUCUCCAUAUAAGCCUUCUGCAAAGCAUUGCAUCAAUAUUCCCUUCGUUAAAAAAUCUGUCGAUGUCUUUUUGUGAAGUCAAUGGUGUUGUACGCGGUCAAGGUAAAAGAAAAGCGUUGAUUGUGAACUCACUCAAUGGUGUCCUACGUGUUCAACAUUUUUAUUUAUUAAUUUAUUUAUUGUUUAAUGUUUCUGCUAGGUUUUCCUCAUUUCAAGAGUUUGGAACAUUUUGACAUGAGCUCCACACGCAUUGCACUCAACACCAGCUUUCUUCAAAUCAUCGGUGAAUCGAUGCCUUCUCUUAAGUACUUAUCACUGUCAUAUUCUACUCUUGGCACUAACAGCAGCAGGAUUCUUGAUCAAGGUUAAUGAGAUGCUGCCACCCUCCCUUCUUAAUCUAUAAUAUUAAUUUUCGAUUAAAUAUUUAAUUACACAAACCAAUCACUUAUUAUAAAAGAAUAAUACGCAUUCAUUAAUUUUUAAAUUGUAUUAAUAAUUGAUGAAUUUAAUAAAUUUUCAGGCCUCUGUUCGUUGAUGCAUCUACAAGAGUUACACAUUGCUUAUAACGAUUUAAGAGGUAGCUUGCCUUGGUGCUUGGCAAAUAUGACAUCCCUCCGAAUAUUAGAUGUUUCUUCCAAUCAACUUACUGGAAGCAUCUCCUCAUCUCCCCUCGUUCAUUUGACAUCCAUUGAAGAGCUGAGGCUUUCAUACAACCACUUCCAGAUCCCAAUUUCACUUGAACCACUUUUCAAUCAUUCAAGACUCAAGAUUUUUUAUGCUGACAACAACGAACUAAAUGCAGAAAUAACUGAGUCACAUUCUUUGACCGCCCCAAACUUCCAAUUAUCACGUCUCUCAUUGUCUUCCAGUUACGGAGACAGUUUCAUAUUCCCCAAAUUCCUUUACCAUCAACAUGACCUGGAGUAUGUUGAUCUCUCACACAUAAAGAUGAAUGGAGAAUUUCCAACUUGGUUGUUGGAAAACAACACAAAAUUGAGACAACUUUCUCUCGUCAAUGAUUCUCUUGCAGGACAUUUCCGGUUGCCAAUUCAUUCACACAAGCGGUUAGGACUGUUGGAUAUAUCCAACAACAACUUCCGAGGCCACAUUCCAGUAAAAAUUGGAGAUGUUUUACCAAGUUUAUACGUUUUCAACAAUUCCAUGAAUGCUUUAGACGGUAGCAUUCCCUCUUCAUUUGGUAAUAUGAAAUUCCUCCAAAUUCUGGACUUAUCCAACAAUCACUUGACUGGUGAAAUCCCCGAGCACUUGGCCGUGGGUUGCGUCAACUUGCAGUCUCUUGCAUUAUCAAAUAACAACCUACAAGGUCAUUUGUUCUCUAGAAAUUUUAACUUGACAAACUUGCAAUGGUUACAAUUGGAGGGCAAUCGCUUCGUAGGUGAGAUCCCACAAAGUUUGUCUAAAUGCUCCUCACUAGAAGGAUUGUAUCUUAACAAUAAUAGUCUUUCGGGUAAGAUUCCACGAUGGUUGGGUAAUCUCACAUGGUUACAAUAUAUUAUACUGCCCAAUAAUCAUCUUGAAGGCCCUAUUCCAGUGGAGUUUUGUCAGCUUGAUUCGCUUCAGAUUUUGGACAUUUCAGACAACAACAUAUCUGGAAGUUUACCAUCUUGUUUCCAUCCUCUCUCUAUCAAACAAGUUCAUCUUUCAAAAAAUAUGUUACAUGGACAGCUAAAAAGAGGUACAUUCUUUAAUUGCUCUUCCCUUGUGACAUUAGAUCUUAGUUAUAACCGCUUGAAUGGCAGCAUUCCGGAUUGGGUUGAUGGGCUUUCUCGGUUAAGCCACCUUAUCUUAGGUCACAAUAAUCUUGAAGGUGAAGUGCCAGUUCAAUUGUGCAAAUUGAACCAACUACAAUUGUUAGAUCUUUCUAAUAAUAAUCUUCACGGUCUUAUUCCUCCUUGCUUUGAUAACACCACACUUCAUGAAAGUUACAGCAAUAGUUCUAGUCCUGAUGAGCAAUUUGAAAUAUUUUUUUCCAUCGAAGGCCCUCAGGGAGGUGUAGAAAAGCAAAUCCAUGAAAAUUUUGAGUUCACAACAAAGAACAAUGCAUACAUUUACCAAGGAAAAGUGCUUAGCCUCCUAUCAGGACUUGAUCUUUCUUGCAACAAGCUAAUCGGUCAUAUUCCUCCUCAAAUUGGAAAUUUGACAAGGAUUCAAACAUUGAAUCUAUCGCACAACAACUUGACAGGAUCGAUCCCAUCAACAUUUUCAAACUUGAAGUAUGUCGAAAGUUUGGAUCUUUCCAACAACAAAUUGAAUGGGAAAAUCCCUUAUCAACUAGUGGAGUUAAAGACAUUGGAGGUUUUCAGUGUGGCAUACAAUAACUUAUCAGGCGAAAUUCCAGAAUGGAAAGCACAAUUUGCAACCUUCAACGAGAGUAGCUAUGAGGGAAAUAUUUUUCUUUGUGGACUGCCAUUGCCUAUUUGCAUAUCACCAACAACUACGCAGGAGGCUUCAAUUGACAAUGAACGAGAUGAUAAUUUAAUUGACAUGGACAGUUUCUUUAUCACAUUUACAACAUCGUACGUAAUUGUGAUAUUCGGAAUUGUUAUUGUUUUAUAUGUAAAUUCUUAUUGGCGACGUAGAUGGUUUUACUUUGUUGAAAUGUGGAUAACUUCAUGUUAUUAUUUUAUUGUAGACAAUCUUAUUGCAACAAGAUAUUGUCAUUGAAAUUAAUUAGCAGUUUAAUUACCAUUCUUUAAGUUCUAAUCAAGUUUGCUUAGGAAAUAAAUUUAUUUUUAUUUUUUAUUAAAAUUGUAGUAGUAUUUAGCGCUAUAUAGCUUCCAACUUCCGAGCACUUCACAUUUGUCUCUACACUUCCAAACCCAUAUCUGUCCACCAUAACUUAUACUUCCUUAUACUGUGCAGCAUACUUAAAUAAGAGAACCAUCUCCAAUGUUAAAACCAACCACUCUAUAACAUUCAUUUAGAAACUAUAUUUAGAAUAUUUUUAUAAUCAUACACAAGAAAUGAAACACCUAGAUGCACUUGAUCGCCUUUUUUUACUUUAAAAAAUAAUGAUUAUGGUGCUAUCAUCAUCUUCUUCACUAGCGUCAUUAACACCAAAUCCAGCGACGGACCCAUACAUUUUAUCAAGAAAGGUAUAUAUAUAAUAAAGUUGAAGCUCGACAAAAAUUCAGGAAGAUUGAUGCCUCGCCACAACAAGGGGCACACCAACAUCAAAGUAGAGAUGAAGCAAUAUUCUCAAAGCUAAAACUCUCAAAUCCACCCACCAGAAUUUCAUAUCCCUCAACAAUUUUAAGAACUAAAGAUAAUUAGGAUCUAACAUUAGUUUUUUAUAUAUUAGUUUCAUAAUUUACAAAUCAAUGAAGAUGAAGAUUAUGCUAAUGAAUUCAAAUUAUACCAUACAUUCUCGAGAUGUUACCAAAAAUUUCUAAGUCAAUCCCACAUAUUUCAUAAUUUUAAGACUAGAAAAUUUCAUUAGUUAGAAGUUUAUUACCUUCAAGUGGAAGAUGAAGAACAUUAUACAACUGAUUCAGAUUAUAUCAUACAUACUCCAAAUGCAACUAGAAAUUAACAAGUUCAUGCGCACAGAUUUCAUAACAUUAUGAUUGGAAAGUUUCACAAAGAGAAAUUCUAAAUUCAAUCUAUUGCAUCAAGGUAGUUUGAUUGAUUUGAGUUACUUUCUGAUCAAGCUACUAAUAUAACAUUCAAGUCAGGGAGAAAGUAAAUUAAAUCUGAGAAGAAAUAACAAUAAAAAUUUGUUGCUAAACAUGAUGUGUAUUUUUUUUUCAAGGCAAUUUGGAAACACAGUUGUUACUACAGAUAUUCUCCUCAACUUAGAGAUAAAUACAAAUAUUAAAAUGCAUAUGAUCGCACAUAUUACUUGGAGCUUAGUAAGAUUUCAUAAAGAGAAGAAAUCAAACCACUUAUCAAUUGUUGCAAUCGUUCUAUAAGCUAAAAUAGCAAUAUAAUACAAGAAAAGGAACAUAUAGAUACUUGGCAAGAGUUCAUUAAGAAGUCGCAUCACAUUCGGGUGAGUUUGCUUCUGAUAUCUUGCUAGCGGGGGCUUUUUCUUGUCUUUCUACGUAUGCCGAGGGAAACUAACCAGCUUGGCCCUUGCAUUCACCUUCUGACCAUCCAGUAGGAGCCACCUUGAGAAGUUAUAACUAAAACAGUGAAUUAAACAAAAGUUGACCGUUCAAAGACCUAAGGGGAAAACUAAUUCUUUUACGUAGGAGGAGUGAAUUAGUUGUGAUCACUGAAAUAACAGCAUAACUAUGGAAGCAUAACAAGAUAUAAAUUCACACGUCUAUAAGGGUAAACUGGGUGGUUUAGAACUGAGCUAGCAACCCUACUAUAUUCUGAUUUGCACUUCAAUGUAAAAGGGAAUAUAUGGUAGGAAGAAAGAAAACCAACCAUCAUUUGUUAACUCAUUGCUUUUCAAUCAAAAUUUUAAGAACAAAAUGCCAUGUGCUUUGAACAUCAAAUAAGUAUAAGCAUUAGUUCUAAAUUCCACAUAUCAUAAGUUAGAAGGAUAAGUUAAUAGCAUAGUAGAAAAAUCUCUGUGUUGUUAUUUAGAGGGGAAAGUACCAGGCGAACCACAACAUAAUCAUCAAUUGAAAGACUUAGCUCUCCAUUUGCUUGAGCAUCAAAUGGAUGUAUAACCUGCAAGAUAAUGGGAUAAAUAGAACUUAAAUCUUAAAAAAAGCAUAACAAAAGCAGCAACAGUAGCAGCAGCGUUCAUUGUAACCACUAUGAUCAUGGCCAACAAAGAUAUAUUAGAAACAAAAUUCCAUUUUUACUACGACAUUAAUAUGUACUAUAUGAUAUCAUGACGAUAGGGUUACCAAGAGCUAUCAAAGUCCAAUAAAUUCUGUAUAACUUUAUGUAGUUAUUCAAAUUAUGGAUCAGAUUUUAAAUCUGAAAUUUUGACUGCUCUCCACAAAACAUGGCCUAUGCACAAGAAAGUCAUAGAUAAUGAGGAUUACAAGUGUCUGACAUCUUUUGAGUGAUGGAUUUAACAUGAGAGCUUAUGGUCAGUCAAUUUCCUCUGCCUAGCAAUAUAAGCUUUUUCGGCCAGAUUUAUCAUCAAAUACAUAGAUUGCCCCCAAGUCACAUCCAUAUAAACAUAGUUUUUCUAGGUAAACCAAGUAAGGAAAAUCAUAAUUCAGACAUAAUCAUAAAAAGACCCAUCUAACUUUCUUUGGCAUGCCUAACUCAGCUUUGAUGUUGCUGAGAUAUUGAUAGUAGAGACACAUGAUACUUCUAGCUCAUGCAUUCUAUCUAGCUCAUCUGACAGCUAUCUCUUUUUUAAUUCAUUAGUGUUUGCUAAACCUCAUGCUUAAGAGUCCUGUUCUCCUAAACAAAGUUUUCUAAGAAUGACUUCCUCAGCACCACAUUUGGACACUUUUAAAGCAAUUUUAUUUGGGGGAAAAGAAUUUUCAAGGUGUUAACUAAUAAAUUUUAAAAAAUAAUUACAAUUUGUCCUACGAUUAUAUGACAAUUUAUCUGGGAUGAACGGAUACAGACAAACAUCUUCCACUUUUAAGACUAAUCACUACUUCCGUAGAUGUUUUGCAAUAACACAAAUGCUUGACCAGAUGGUAGUGAUGGUAGAAAAAAAUUUUAUUGCUCUAAAAUUAAAAUAAGAAUGCAAUAUGUUAAGCAAAAGACUGUGCAACAUCAAAUUAAUUGAUAAGUUUGUAAUUCAGUAAAUUAACAACUUUCAUGGUAAAAUACAACAAAUUUCUUUUCAAAAAAAAAUCUUAAAAGACAGCAUUCAAUUUUGUGCGCAUCUUAUUUCUUAAGAUUUUCCAGGAGGGCAAUACAGGGACUUUCACCUACGCAAGAGAGCAAAAGCCUUACUUUCGCUAUAAAGUAGACGUCAUUCUGAUUAAUAUGCGUUUGCAAAUCAGCUCCAUUUGAAUCAGUAUUCUGAUAGACACAUGAGGCAUUUACAUCCAUUUCCAAAGUCACAUGUUGCGAGGAGGACUCAUUUGAUUGCUCCUCUAGGAUCAUCUAAUUCAAGUAGCAAGGGUUGGAAGAGAAUAAAAAGUCACAAUUAUUCUUUUGCAUAAGUGAGACGAAAAUGAUAAAUGCACUAUUAUCAGCAGUAAACAAGAAGAGAACACUCCAAGGAAUAGAUAGAUGCGGACAAGCAAGUUAAAAUGCAAAGUUCCAAACCUCCGCAUACAACUUCUCUAAAAUAGCAAUAAUGUGUUGAUGAUAUGUUUUCUCAGCAUCUACCUGCAAAGGCCCGAGACUAGGAAAACAACAAUAAAACCACUAGCUAAAGGAGAAAGUAAAUAAAGAAAUACACUUGACAUAAAUCUUGACAAGAAGCACAAUUUAAGACAUAACAAACCCCAAUCAUAUUGUUUAGAACUACCAUUCGUUAUUUCGUUAUUGUAGCAUUUCGAACAAGUGUUGACUUAAUUCAACAUUGUUGGAAAGAUAGGCUUUUAGAAGCGGAAGAAAGCCACUCAAACCAAAGUGAUUAUCCUUGUAUUGAUCAAGGGAUGUAAACAUAUUACAUUUGCAGGAUGAGUUUUAAUCACUCCCCUGAUUUAUUUGGGUUGCAGUAAAACUAAGCGAGCAACUGUUUGACUUUCAAGCAACAUCUAAAUCAGCUAUUAAAAUUCAAAUAAAAUCAUAAUAGAAUAAUAACAGGCCAUCUUGCAUCAAAAAUUAAGUUUAAUUUGUGAAUUUUUUUCUAUAGACAUGUUAGUUCCUGCUAUUGAAAUGUUAAAAGCAUUGAAAAAUUAUUCAAUAAAUUAUGCAAACAUUAAAAUAGAGGACAUAUUAAAAAGUUUCUAAUUACAAUGUUAUGAUUUCCUAUAUUUUAGCAUUUGCAUAUUUUAAUUUAUUUAAAAGCUACGUCGAUCAACUUUGGGCGUGAAGAUUUUAGCUUCUACGAGACUUGAUUGGAAUAUGCAUAAGGAAGAGUGUUAAAAUAUGAUGCAUCCAACGAAAGACAAACCACGUGUAGUCUUUUAAUUAAGCCAAGAGUAGUGCUAGAGAGAGAGAAGCACGAGAGAAGGACGAGAGAAUUUUGCCCCUUUCUCUCUACCCACUCAUUCUCUCUCUACCCCUUUUUUCAUUGUUUCUCUCGUCUUUCUCUCGUGUUUCUCUACACCAAGCAUUUUCCUUAAGCCAAAGUAGCAGCUCAAACAAAUGACACUUGGACCAACAUGCAAUCAUGAAGUGGCCGGAAAAAGGACAAAUGCAACUUUGGCUUAAAUAAAAAAUAACAUGUGACUUGACUUUUGCUGGACAUGCAUCAUGUUAUUACAAGACAACAGAAAUCAGUAUGAUAGUACUAAAAGUUGACAAUAACAUGAAGAUAAGAGGCAGAAUGUCAACAAAUGCAUAGGCACACACAAGAAAGUAUUAACUUAUAUACCAUAGCAAAAAGUCUUUGAUAUGUCAUCUGUUGCUGCUGUGAUUCAACUGACAGCAUGGCAGCUGUCGCUUCUCUACCAAGAGCCAUUAUUGUAGAUUUAAGCUCGGUCAAUCUUGCUUCUGCAUUUCGAAGCUUCACAGCACUCUCUGCUGAUAUAUCAGAUUCCCUAAUCUUUGAUCGGCGCCUAAAUACUUCAGCUGCCUGGUGAAAAUAUUCAAUAUAAAUCUAACAUAAUUCUAAUCUUGCCUUAUACAUGCAUAUGUUAACUCAAAGCUUACCUGCGCUUCAACUUCAUGUCGAAGUUUGUCAUAACGAUGAGUCAGGUGUCGAGCAUCUUCCAAAGGUGCUCCAUUGAUUAACGCCCGUAGUGGCUCAGAUACCGACAUGUCCAAAAACCUGUAACAUAGUUAGAAAAAUGAAAAGAAAGAGCAAAACCUCAAUUAAAAAGUUCCUCCAACAUAAUCAUGGAAUUUGGGCCUACUUCAAGGAUAUAUAUAAGGAUAAUUUAUGCAAUUUUGGGUCUAAGGAUGAUUCAUAUUAGGUUAGUGUUCUUCUCUUCUGUAUUUAAGGUUAAAAUAGAAAUAAACCUAUGAAAAUAUCUAAAUUAGGGCUGUAAGACUUCCACAUGCAUCCUUCAGUCUCAUGGAUUUGAUUUUACUAUAGAUGCAAGUGUCUUUAUCGAAAAUGCUUGGAGUCAAUUGAGAGAACUCACGGCCAAUAACUUGUCACACGCUAGUCUUUGCUAGUGAUGUAAGAAGUCACAAGGUCUCUUCAACAUUUGAACCAAUAAAAUUAUUAAGUCAUGGAUGUCACUAGCAAUGAUUUUAAUAUAAAACAUUACAUAUUUCAGAGUUGAAACUUUAAAAUGGAUUCUUUUAUUCAGUAUCUUAGAACUAAGUUUCCUUAUGAGAAGAUAAUAGUUUCAGUAGUAAUUUACAUAUAAUUUUCUAUAUUUGAAUUAUUUUCUAGUUAGGGAUGAACUAACCUGAUCACGAAGAAUCCCAAGCAAAGUUUCCCUCUCAUUUUCCAUCAAAUCAUGUGAAGUGCCAAAUUGAAGAGCAGCUCUUGCAACGCAAGAAUUGUCACUUUGAUUCUCCACUCCAUACUUGCAACAAUCUUCGGCCAACUUUCUCGCUACAAUAUUUGAAUACAAAAAUAUUGUACACGAGAACUAGUCAAGAAAAUUAAAAAAAAAAAAAAUCAAAUAUUAUAACGAGAGCAAGAGCAAACAAACAACCUAUUUCCAUUUGUUUCAAGCUUACUGCAACAAACCCUUCAACGCCACGGACAACAUUCCUCUGAAAAUGCUGCGCUACAGAGCAUAUAUUCCAAAUUAUUGUUCAGAUAAAACCAUACAAACCAUCAUAAUUAUUCAACAUACAUUAAGCUCCGUUUGGUAAAUACUUGCAACUUCAGUCCAGAAAAUACAGUUAAUUUUUAUUUAAAAAACAUCAUAAUUAUCAACAUACAUAUUUGACAAAAUUAUUAUUUAAAAAUCAUAACUAAUUACCAAAAGCCACAAUAAAUCAAUAUCAAACAGUCUUAUUAUUAGCUAAAGGAGGAUAGUACCUUAGCUGCCCUGGUGGAAUUGUAUAGAUUUUGAAGUUGUUGGUGACACUCAAUUUCAGAUUCAUCAACAUUUUCAAUACCAAGAUGGAGCAGAUGCUUCAAUACUGCCUGUACAAACCAUAAAAAACUAAUGAAAAAUAAAUAAAAUCGAGAAAUUUCACUAAAUAAAAGUCUAAAUAUAAUUUUUAAAAAAAGAAAAGAAACGGACUUGCUGCUGCUUGGCGACUUGUUCUCGGAGCUUGAUUGCCUGUUUCUUGAUAGCUUCCAUACUGUUUCUUUCAAAAAGCGACGACGGCUCAGCUCAUGGAGGUGGAAAAAAAAAAGUGUGAUGGAGAAAAAUAAAAAGGCAUGAAUAAUUUUUGACAAAAAGCGAAAAUCAAGGAAAGCCAGCUCUUUCCAGAAAAAUAAAAAAGAAAAAAGAAAAUUAUAAGUUUGAAAGGAGAAGAUGAUAGUGGAAGUGUGCGGUGUGGCUGCCAGCUACUUGGAUUUUACUGUUGGGUAAGGUAAUAGUAGAGAAUUUUUUUUUUUUUUUAAGAAAAAUAGUAGAGAAUUUUUUAAGAAGCUAGAACAGAGCAUGACAUUAGACUUUUGUGGACCAAAUUCAAAAGCCGAAUGGCACGGCCCAGAAGCUUUUGAAUAGAAAAACUUGCAUCAGCCUCAAUCACUUCUUAAUCGCUUGCUUUAACUGCAUCGCUCUCUCUGUGCUCUUCUAUAUAUGUAACGGUUAUGCGGUUGUAGUUCACGACUGAGGCUACGUGUUGGUUUGACGUGGCAGUUACGUUACUAGGGGAUAAAUAAGAUUGGUUUCAACAAACCCACUAAUUUUAUAAAAUUCGAGUAAUAUAGAAUAAAAUAAAAAAAAUAAAUACAAAAUUGGCUUUUAUUUUUUCUGGUUGACUGUAUUUUGUGUUCUCUUCCGGCACUACUACAAUUGUUCCCUAUAUAUUAGUCACACCCAUAUGUCAUUAACACAAGAAAUGAAAUCUAAUGUCACCUAUUUAGUUAAAGAAUCACUUAUGAAAAAAUUUUACCAUUUUGAUUUGAGGAUCCAUAUUUUGAACUGCAAACUAAUGUUCAUCAAGAACAGAGUAUGACUUAUGUGUAGAAAAUUUUAUGAUUUUGGCCCGAAAUAUAAGGAAAUUAAAUUAGAUGAGAAUCUGCCACUUUCUCAUGAAGAAAGGCAUGCGGAGCAUACCAUGGUACCAUACGGAGAAUAUUAGAACCUCCCUAGAAUAUCUUUACCCUGAUGUUUCUAACAAAAAUCUGCAUGUGGCAGCAAUUACUAGAUCUACAAUUUCCCAAAUAAUAUUUUGUGUUUCUUAAAAAAUUUGAAAUACAUAGUUGCACUUGCACACCGUGAGACAGUGCUACAAUCUACUGAGAUCUAAAUUAUAUGAGACUUUAAGCUACUAAUGUUUGCAUAUUUCUACAUGUCAAAUUAACAUUACCAUCUAUAAUCCUAAACGACAGAUGAUAAACGGCUUUUGGCCACUUAUUACUAGCAUCCACAAUUAAUUUUUGUUCAGCAAUCAGCUUAUUUUAUAGAAAUUGAUUUAGUCAGCAACAAACACUAUAAUACUUGAAAUUAGUUCUUGUUCUUUGUAAUUUUCUAUGAUUUUUCAUAUAUCAAUUAAUCUGCAGUGCCAAGAUGAGGUUUAGUUUUCAAACUAAAUAAUCAAGUAAGCAAAAAUACAAAUUCAGAGAUUAGCGGGGUAAACUAGCUGGGUGGUUUAGAACUGGGCUAGCUACCUCCCUGUAUUCCUAUUUGUAAGGUGAAUUAAUUGAAUCAUGAGAAAACAAUGUGACCAUAGCUCAAUAUGAGAUGAUUUCGGAGAGGCAUAUUGUUUUCGAGUGAAUUUGAUCCAUUAAGAGAUGAAGUGGAUUGAAGUGGAAAGUUUAAAUAACAAAUCCUUGUUCUUGAGUUUUACGACGUCGUUACUCCUUCAGGUGGCAGAUUAUGCAAGUGAAUUCAAAAACACAAUGCAUCAAUCACGGGGACAAAAGACGGGAUCACAGUCUAUGCAUUGAACAGUUACAGUUGCUGCUACCAAUUGUUCGGCAAAGAUCAAGAAGACUGAACGGGAAGCUAAUGCCAUCAAUGUCGUCUUCACUAUAUCUGCUGGGAAUGUAGGUGAACUUUCCUCAUUUGCAGCUGUCUAUACAUAGGCUUUUCCCCAGCUUAAGUACAAAUAAAUGAAGCUGCCUUGAAGGCUUUAUUAUUGACCCCAAUAAGGAUUACUAAUUGAAGAAGACUAUACGGAGUUAAUCUCACAUUUUAGUUCUCUCAAUUUCUUUCAGAAGUGCCUCUGAAAAUAGCUGCCAAACCGUUAGUCAGCUUGUAUACUCUGUUUUCUGGAAACAGAGUAGCAUAUUUAAUCGUUUUAAUUGAAUUGUCUUCGUAGCGAUCAUCAACAAACUCAUCAUAAGAUUUUUGAAGCACCCAAGGACUAUCACUGGGUUUCUCUUCUGGUUGAUUUAUUAAUUAAUCAAAGAACGGUUGGAUGAAGUGCAAUGAUGGAGCAAAAUUUACAAUGUCUCCGGUUUCUCCUGACCAUCGGACUUUUGCAGUGAGAACAUAUAACAAAAAGACCUUCAUCAAAAUUUGUAGACUCCGGGUAUGGAUUGGAUCGAGUUUUUUGUUUGAUAUUGAAGAACCACUUUACUAUCGCGAUAUAGAUUAUGUGCAAGGGGUUGUCUACUGUUCUUUGCCUUGUGCUAUGAUCGGUGCUUUUGACGUUGCCCCGAAACAGUGGAAAAUACUUCGAUUUCCUCCGUUUGAUGAUGCAAAGAACUGGUUAAUGUACGAUUACCUAAUUGACUCAGGAUCAAGUAACAACAACAAUUUAUUAAUAGUAGUAUCACAAACGAAGAAGAUUUCGGAGAGGGUGAUGUAUGCCUAUACCGUUUACAGGUUUGAUCCACAGGGGAUGAAGUGGUCUCAAGUGGAAAGUGAUUUAUUAAACAACAAAUCAUUGUUCUUGGGUCAUACCUCAUGAUGUCAUCAAGUGGAAGAUGAAGAUUAUGCAAGACGAAGAUCGUUUGAUAUUGAAGAAUUUGAACAGAAAGCCCAUAGAAAGUACUUAAAUAAGCAUAUUCUUGUUGGGGUAGAAUAUUAAGAAAGGAGUUGUCUACUGUGUGUUGCGUGAUUAGGCUAUGAUCUGUGCUUUGAACAUUGCCCUCAAAACAGUGGAAAAUACUUCAUAUCCUCGACAUGAUGAUGAAAAAUUGGUUACCGAUUACCUAAUUGACUCAGUGACAACAAUCUAUUAAUAGCACAAUUUGGCGUGAUGCCGUUUAGGUAUAUGGUUUUCAAGUUUGAUUCAUCAGUGAUGAAGUGGACUAAAAUAAGAUGUUUAAAUGAUAAGUCAUUGUUCUUGGGCAUAUCGUCAUUACUACUUCUAGUGAUCAAAGAUGAAGAUGAAGAUGAAGAUGAAGAUGAAAAUUGUGCGAGUUCAAGAUUACCAUCAACUCAAUUUUAUGAUUGGAGUGUCUCACCGUGACUCAGACAAAUUCUGAUUCAACCUCCUUCACCAAUGGAUUUUGAUUAGUUAUUUUGUGAUCAAGCAACUUAAUUAAACUCACAGUUUGUUAGUCUAAUUUUAGUUUUACUGUGACCACUAUUCAAGGUAAGCGAAAGUUACAGAUGUGGCAAAAUCAAUAAUUAAAUUCAUAAAAUGUUAAAAAAUAAAACUUAUAAAUUUUGCAUGACUACUUACUAAUAAAUAAAUAAGUUAGAAUGUAGUUAGUUAAUUUUACACCAUAUUAUAUAUUAUUCGAUAAUAAUAUAAAAUAAAAAGAAUUAAAAAAUAAAUAAUUGAAUAAACAAAUAUGACUUUCUAAACAGUAAAAAUUCUAGAGUUAAAAUUUAUAUUAUUAUUUUAUUUUUUAAAAUUGACAUAUUUCUAUUAUCUUACAUGUACACAGAUUUUGAGAGUUGAGAAGAAUAUAUUUAAUGAAGCUUGCUAACAUUUGGUGGGAUAGCAAGUAAGGGUAAAUAAGAUUUUUUUGUUAUUUAUUUGAAUUAUAUCUAUUUUGUUCAAGUUAAAAUACUAAAUAUAAAUUGGAGGUAGACAUUUUAACAGAUCAUCUAAGCUCUCAAAUCUGAAAUUUUGUGUAGAUUUAAAUUCAUAAUUUUAGUUAAUUUUCAUACAUUCAUAUAAACAAAUUUAUGAGAUUUUUCUUUUCAGCAUGUUAUAUUUUGAAACUUUCAAUGUAUUAUUCUAGCUUUAUUUAAAUAAUUAAUUUAUUUAAAAUUUAUUUAAUUUUGAAUUUGAUCAAUAGUAAAAUUAUUUUUAUAUCAAAUUUUUUUAUUUAAAUAGUUCGUGGAUUGGACAAAAUUAAAAAUUUUUAAUCCACAAAAUGGUGGAUUAGAUAUGAAUUGGGUUAAAUACACAUUCGAUCCGCAGUCGUAUGAAUUUGAUUUGGAUUGAAUUUCAUCAAUCCAUGGAUUAGAUUGGAUUGAAAAAUUUAUUAUCCGCAAAAUCGUGGAUCGAAUAUGGACUGAUGUCCAAUCAGCAAAAUCCAAUCCCCGAACACUCCUCUAUCAAAAUUUUCAAGAAUAUUUUUUAUCUUACAAAUUUUUUUUAAAGUCAUAGUCUAAGGGCGGCCCAAUUUCUACUCCAUCCAUAUAAGCGGAGUUCAAAUCUCAUACCUCUUAUCUCCACACAAGAGAUUUAACCAAUUGAAAUAGCUAGCACCCACAAGUAUACUAGUACAGCAUCUCUUAACGUUUAACAUACGUAAAAUUAACGCCAUAGCUAUUGAUAAACACAUUGUUCAAUAUAUAUGAUCAAGAAUCUGAUCCUGCGAGCAACAGCAGUCAGAAGAACCAUUAUAAUGCCUAGCUCUUAUCCUGGUUAAUCCUCUGGCCCGAUGCUUCAUCAUAGUGAUUUAAAAAACCAACAACAGCUCUCUAAAAGAGAUGAAGAUAUCAUCUACGUAAAGAACAUGAGACGGAGAUUCACAACCCAUAAGAACUGAGAUAAAUUGGACCAGACCAGUAAUCUUGAGAUAAGUUAAACUGUGACUUAAGUUGAAAUCAGAGGACAGGAAUUUUAAAAUCUUUCGGCUAAGCCCCUGAGGAAUUUUCUAGAGUACGACUUCUGCUUACCUCUGUUUAAUUUCUCUUUAUAUUUUUCUUUCAUUUCAUUAAUAAAGUCAAAUAAUAAAUCAAAGAACGAGGGAAGAUUUUUCCAAGUCAUGCAUUAUUUGAUUACCAUCAAUCAAGAAACCGACCAAAUUAAUUUCUCUCCGUGAUUUUUAAAAAUUAAAAAAAAAAUAUUUGAGCAUAACAUCAUUAAUUAUAGAGUGGAUCAAACUGCGUUAAUCAUGAACUUUGUUGUGUUAAUUAUUUCAAUCCCCGAUUACGCAAUUUUUAAAUUAUAGCCUAACGGUGGUCUCAUCACCACGUGUGUGAUUUUCUUUUGCCAAUAGGAUCUGUAGAGAGCUUGAUCUCACCCAAUAGCAAAAUAAACUUCCUAAUAAGUGAAGGCAUAGUAUAAAUAAUUCACCCCCAUAUUAUUUAUUAGCAGCUUGAUUAUUUUAUAUGCAUCUUUGAUUUAAAUUUUUUUUUCCCAUAAUUGCUACUAUGUUCGAACUGGUCAUGAAUUAUCUAUAAGAUUUUUCAUGUUGCUUUUAGGUGCAUUGGAUUUUUUUUAGUUUAGUGCAAGAGUAGAGGAAGGCAAAUUAAGAAAAAGGAUAAAGAUCUAUGAUUAGCUAUUUUGGGAUGUCUCAUAACAUAUUGAUGGUAACAUUAUACAUAUGUAUAUCUAAAAAAUGGGGUUGGAUCAAGAGCCCAUUAAUAAUCAUAGAUUAGCUUAUAUAGCAAUUUCACAAGCACAUGUUAGCCUAUGUUGAGCUUUAUUAUCAAUAGUUCAUAGUUCAUCGGUGCACUGCAGGUUUACUAUUUGAAGUAAAUAUUAUGGUGCGUGCAUUUUUUAUAAGGCCAACUGCUGAAUUUAGCAUUGAAACUUACAAAAUGUAAUAGAGAGAGGUAGAUAACAGCCACAAAACACUAAGAUUGGAAAUCAGGGCUACUAAAUACUAUUACAAGCCCUUAGAAAAGACACUGAUCAUCCUAGAAUGUAUAUACUGAAAGUAAGAAAUAUUAAUCGCAAAGUUAUGUGCCAACAAAACUAUUGACUACUUGUCUCUAGCAGAAGGUAUAUAUUUUUAACUUCAGCUCUCUACUUUGUUCUAAGAACUAGGCAAAAGAAUGAAACUUCGGUGUCUAAAGUUUGCCGCUUGAAAUAUUUCACUGUCUAAACAUUCACUCACCACUUAUUUCAUAAAUGAAUUUUGUCUAACUAUAUGUUGAUAAAGAUAUUAGAGGUAAUAUAAUGCAUUUAAGACUUAACGUAUAUUUUUUAUUAGUAGAGUGUAGAAUUUUUAAGAAAUAAAUUAUUAAAUUACUAUAACUAACAUAUUAUUUUAAAGUUAUGUUAAGAAAAGAAUGAAAAUAAAAAAUAAAAAAAUAAGGGUAUUCUAAAACUUUGAUCCUUUUAAAAGUAGUUUUUGACGUAAAUAAAAUAAUUUUUAUUUUUUUUAAAUCACAUACUCUAGUUAAAAUCAAAUUUGUAUUUAUAAAGAUUGUAAAAUUUUUUUUAGCAUUAAUAUUUGAAUACUUUCAAGAUAAGAAAUAGGGUACUAAUUAUGCUACAACAUUAUUAUAGCACAUAAAAAGACAAUACCCUUUAUAUUAUUAUACUAUCGUUUUUGUUAUGAUAGUAUUUUGUUAGUGGUCAAAUAUUACUUUUUUAAAUAAAAAAGUAGACAAAUGUAAAUCAAUUUUUAAUCUCUCCUAAAAUUCUAAUUCCUAGUUACCAAACAAAAUUGUUUGAAAAUAAUUUGGCUAAGUGCAUGGGUUCUUAAAACUAUAGGUGAUAGAAGUUACAAGCACAAGCAAAUUUGACGGUCCAUUUUAUAAAAUUUUUAAUAAUUUUUUAUUUACCAUUUUACCACCUAUAUAAUGAGUGCCACAUCGACAAAUCAAUUCAUUUGCAAAUUAUAUUAAUUUUGUAAAAUUCAUUUGACUUGCUAAACCCUUCUUAUCCCCUUUCUCGACUGUCAUACCCUAACCUUAUUUCCCGUGUCCACACUUGACCACGCUCAAUUCAGGCCAUCAGAUUAUCCUGGACCCACAUUAAUCCAACUGCUCACAAUGACCGACAGCCUCUCCAUCUCCAUUUCAAGCUUCCUCUUCAACUGGCUUCUGCUUCCGUCGUACUCUUUCUUGGAUUCGGAGUCCGUAUUUGCUCGGCCGGUCCCGCACAGCUCCCUCUCACUCCAAUUGUCACCCAACAAGACCAAUUGCUUAACAUUGACCGUAUGGCAAUUGUCCGUAUUUCUUGGAUUCGGAGUCCGUAUGGCACAGAACAAGAAGAGGAUGAGAAAUUGAAACAAGAAUUUGAGAAUUGGAAAUCGAAAACGUACGCAUUGACCGUGCCUUUGAGGGCAAUUACUUUUCUUGAGAAUUGAAGUUUGGUAAUGUAAUUUGUUCUCCAUCUGUGUUCCCUUUGUAGUCAUUUCAUUUAUUUGUUUGUUUGCUUUUAUUUGCACUUACGAAGUCUCAGAUAUAUCUACGCAGGAAUGAUGCAGGAGAAAUUGAUCCUCGAGCUUACAAGAAAAGUAAAUUUCGAAAGCAUAAUUUGGCUCCGAUUGAGGUAAUAAUUGUCUUUAAACUCAUUUAGUUUUAUAUCAAACAAAAUAAAGGCUGCCUUUCUCUUCAAUAUUUUUUAUGAUAAUAUCUUUAGAAGCAUCUCAUUGACGGGUAAUCAUGGUAUCCCUUAAAGAGUCUAUAAACUCAAUGAUAUUUUCUUCUGCAAAUGGUUCAUUAAACUUCUUAGACGUAGUUAAAUGUACACUAAGAACAACGAGAAGCUAUGCCGCUGUAGCAUGUAGUGAGAUCUUGUUUGAAGUUGUUUUCUGAAAUGAACUGCCAAAUGGUAGUUUUUUAUUUCUUGGGUGCAUUUGAUGACUCUUUUCUCCUCAUUUUAAGCAUGUACCUGCUUGGAAUGGGAAGGAAUAGGCUUCCGAGUUGUUAUAUAUGUUGACAUGCUCUGAUCAUUACACAAAAUGUUCAAAUUGGAAAUUAGAAUGAGAUAUUUGUCGAUGCUUUUUGAGAGAUCUGCAUUCUAUGCACCAUAACAUGAUUAAUGAAAACAGGUUUAAGGACUGGAAAGAUCUGUGGCGGCCCAAGCUUGCAGGAAGGAUUUCAAUGGUUAAUUCUCCCAGAGAGGUUAUUGGUACAGUUUUGAAGUAUAUGGGAGCAUCAUACAAUUCAAACGACAUUGAUUAGCAAGUUGCUGCUGGGAGGAUUGCUGUUCAGCAGAAUCUGGCAUUACUGGGAAACCAGGUACUCUUAAAGAAAUGAUAUCUGGUCAAUGCAUAUUACUGCCUGAGCUGAUUUUGUUUGUAAAGUCUGCCUCUUCAUACAUAUGAAUGCAUAUGUUAGUGUUUUCUUCUCCUUUUAAUACACAUGAAUGCAUAUGUUAGUGUUGUCUUCUCCUUUCCAUAAAUAUGAAUGCAUAUGCUCUGGGUGUUGGUUACUACUUCAAGUGGAAGGUGAAGGUGAUGCAAGUGAUUUCAGGAGUACAUAUAUUCCAAGGAUGCUGGACUAUUAUUGCUUCCCCCCAUAUUUCAGAAUUUUUUGUCAACCUCCUCCACUAAGGGAUUCCAAUUGAGUUACAAAUAUAUUUUCUGUAGCUAUGUUUUAAAGUUUUGGUCUCAUGUUAAUUUUUCUAAUUACUAUUCUUCAACAAAUCUCUUUUACUUUAAAAAACUGCUACAGUUUGAUUUUACUGCCUUAUAUCAUUGAACAUUGAUACAUGGAAUUUGAAAUCAGACUUGUAACAACAGAUAUAUAGAUAUAGAACAUGCAUAUAAUCUCCAUUUCGAGCUCCCUCUCCAACUGGCUUCUGCUUCCGUCGUACUCUUUCUGGGAUUCGGAGUCCGUAUUUGCUCGGCCGGUCCUGCACAGCUCCCUCUCACUCCAAUUGUCACCCAACAAGACCAAUUGCUUAAUCAAGGCACAGAACAAGAAGAGGAUGAGAAGUUGAAACAAGAAUUUGAGAAUUGGAAAUCGAAAACGUAUGCAUUGACUGUGCCUCUAAGGGUUGUUUCUCUUCAGAAUUCAGUGCCUCAAUCUUGGGUUAAGGAUUUUAUGCGAAGUCAAGGAAAGAGAUUGAAGUUUCAGAUGAAUUUGUGUGCUAGCAUUGGUGGGAUCUUUAACAAUUUAUCUGUGCCCUUUAACAAAGUUAAGGGUAAGUCAGCUUCGUAUACGGCUGCUGAUUUGGUUAGUGUUGGUGAUUCAUGGCUCAGUUUUGCGAUUAAAAAGAGAUUGAUUGAGCCAAUAGCUGAAGCUGAAGAUCAAGAUUGGUUCAAAUGCUUAUGUCACAAAUGGAAGGUAACAUACUAACAUCUUUAUCUUUGACCCGAUAAUUUUUAUUGUCUUACAUUGAAAUUUGGUAAUGUAAUUUGUUCUCUAUUUGUGUUACCCUUUGUAGUCGUUUUAUUUAUUUGUUUAUUUGCUUUUAUUUGCACUAAUGAAAUCUCAGGUAUAUCUACGCAGGAAUGAUUCAGGAGAAAUUGAUCCUCGAGGUAAAAUAUGGGCGGCACCAUACAGGUGGGGCACAACGGUGAUAGCCCACAAGAAAAGUAAAUUUCGAAAGCAUAAUUUGGCUCCGAUUGAGGUAAUAAUUGUCUUUAAACUCAUUUAUUUUUAUAUCAAACAAAAUCAAGACUGCCUUUCUCUUCAAUAUUUUUUAUGAUAAUAUCUUUAGAAGCAUCUCAUUGACGGGUAACAAUGGUAUCCCUGAAAGAGUCUUUAAACUCAAUGAUAUUAUCUUCUACAAAUGGUUCAUUAAACUUUGUCGUUGUAGUGAAAUGUACACUCAGAGCAAUGAGAAGCUAUGCCACUGUAGCAUGUAGUGAUGGCACUUAAUAAGUGAGUUGCUAGGAUGUGAACUAGAAAAAUUAAAUAUUGUCUCCUUGGGUAUGCUAGCUCAUAAGUCAGGGUUAAUAUUAGAGCUUAAGUUACUAUAACCAUGAGACGCUAUUGACUGCCAAUUAAAAUAUCCAUUAAAUUGUCUAGGAAGUUAUGAAAGUGGAGGUAUCUUCCGAUUUCUAAGGCCAGAUAGUAGACAUCAUCCAGGAUCCUAGGAAAGUGCAGUUAACCUCCUGCUCGAUGCAAUUAAUAAAUUUGGUCAAUGCCACUGAAACCUGCAAACCGACGUCACAAUGCAAGAUGAGCACUUCAAAAUGGGACAGACGGUCAGUAGCACUAAAUUUUUCUUUCCCAAGAUUGAGCAAUUGGUCUAACAACUAACCCCUAUUGUAGGUUGAUCAUUAUUUUUCCAAUUAUGUUCAGUUUGACCCAAAAAGUUACAGAAUCUUGAGCUGAAUAUUGUCACUGAACACUGUCAAUGUCGUUUAGCAUACCCAACUAACUUGAGUUUGGUAAAACAAACACACUGUGUGUCUCAUCUCUCACAAUUCAAAUUAUCAUCUGUAAUGAUGGAGAAUUUUUCCGAUGUAUGAAGUAUGCUUUGAUACGUGUACCUUGGAGAAGAUAUCUCCAAAUAAAGAAUAUGGAGAGAAAACGGUUCAGUAGUUUAUUAUUCUGUAGGCAAUUCUUGUCUCAAAAAUGGUCAAAAUUUAAAUGAAUAAGGACAGGGGAUCUUCAUUCUUUUUUCCCUUUUUUAUACCAAGAUAUCUCUCAACCUUUAUAUAAUCCCCACUGGAUAUCUGCUUCUAAUAAUUAAAAUAAAAAUUUCACCCGCACAAAUAAAUACUGACCAAGCUCUAACAAUAAAAAGUAACAUCUUUACUCAAGUAAUUUACAGUUCCUCAUCAUCUUAGUGUGAGACUAUCAUUACGUUCCAAAAACAUAAUAAAACUGGUUUGAUCCUGUUUAUUGAUGUUUAAAUGUUGUUCAUUGUGACAUGUAGAAAUGAUGAGGCGAAGUUUAUUUGGUCAUCAAUUAGUAAGAUCUUGUUUGAAGUUGUUUUCUGAAAUGAACUGCCAAAUGGUAGUUUUUUUGGGCAUAUGAUGGCUCUUUUUUCCUCAUUUUCAACAUGUGCCUGCUUGGAAUGGGAUGGAUUAGGCUGCAGAGUUGUUAUAUAUUUUGAGAUGCUCUGGCCAUUGCACAAUUUGUUCACACUGGAAAUUAGAAUGAGAAAUUUGUUGAUGCUGUUUUGAGAGAUCUGCAUUCUAUGCACAAUAACAUGAUUAAUGAAAAUGGAUUGUAGGACUGGAAAGAUCUGUGGCAGCCUGAGCUCGCAGGAAGAAUUUCAAUGGUUAAUUCUCCCCGAGAGGUUAUUGGUUCAGUUUUGAAGUAUAUGGGAGCAUCAUACAAUUCAAGCGAUAUUGAUUCGCAAGUUGCGGGUGGGAAGAUUGCUGUUCAGCAGAAUCUGGCAUUACUGGCAAACCAGGUACUCUUAAAGAAAUGAUAUCUGAUCAUGCAUGUUAUUGCCUGACAACUGAUUUUGUUUGUAAAAGUCUGCUUCUUCAUACAUAUGAAUGCAUAUGUUAGUGUUCUCUUCUCCUUUUCAUACAUAUGAAUGCAUAUGUUGGUGUUGUCUUUUCCUUUUCAUACAUAUUAAUACAUAUAUUGGUGCUCUCUCCUGAGAUGGAUGCAAUAAAGGCUUUUGGUCCUAAAUUUAGCUGAAGAAAUGGCAAGGGAUGUGAGAUUCUGUCUCAUUAAAUUAACAAAAACCCAAAACAAUGAAAACCGAUAAUAAUGUGGUGGGGGUAAAUUGGCACCAUUUGGUUUGUUUCCUUAAUGUGAAUACACGAGCAAUAGGGACUAACAAAAUGAAGUGACAACAACAAGUCAGUGUCCUUUGAUGGAUGCAUUUUAGGCAGAAAUAGGUUUGUAAUUGACCAAUUUCAAAAAAUUUAAAUUAUGUGGUUAUUAGCUGUAAUGAAGGGGAUAGUAGGUGCAAUCAGGUGGAUCCAGGAAAGUUCAACAAAGUUCUGGUAUGGCAUAGUGAAAUUGGUUUGUGCAACUCAAGAGUCUUUCAGGUGAACGAUGAUACGUUUUGAUUUAUAAAUGUUAUAAAUCUACCGUCCAUAGUAUUCUAGUAGAGUCAUCUAUAAGUUCUAGUUAUUGAAAUUGUCUACUUUGUCCAGUUUGAGUUAAGGGCACAUGUAAUAGGAAAAAUAGUAUUCACAUCUUUUUGGUUACCUAACAUUUGAUCGAUCCUAUUAUGAGGGCUUCAAGAUGCCUGACAAUAUGUAGAAUGCCCAUGCUCCUCCCCAUUGUUUAUCUUAUACAAUAAUUUGUUUUAGAUGCUAAUAUAUUUGUCGAUACCGGUAACGAUAUUACAAUAUCUGCGUUUAUUGGGUUUUACAUAGGUUCGACUGUUUGACAGUACACACUAUCUGAAGGCAUUUGGAAUUGGAGAUGUAUGGGUUGCUGUUGGGUGGAGUAGUGAUGUUCUUCCUGCUGUCAAACGUAUGUCUAAUGUUGCAGUUGUUGUUCCCAAGUCUGGUGCUAGCUUAUGGGCCGAUCUUUGGGUAUACCCAUGCCUGCCAUUCUACUUCGAUAUUCACAUUGUUAUCUCCUUCAUUUUAGCGAUCAUAAACUUGAUAAUGUGACUAAUAAGUUCGUAUUCUCUAUAUAGGCAAUCCCUGCUGCCUCAAGACUUGAAACAAAAGAAAUUGGAGGGCGAGUCAGAGGUCCAUCUCCAUUAAUCCAUCAAUGGAUAGAAUUCUGCUUGCAAACAGCGAGAACAUUGCCUUUCAAGCAAGAGGUUAUCCCGGGCGCAUCUCCCUCUGCCCUUGAAAGUACUCUGGUUAAGUUGCCUGAAGAACUUCUGAUGGGUAAACCAAGUCUGGAUACUAACUUAAUUGCUGGAGUACCCCCGGCUGAAAUUCUGGCCAGAUGUGAGUUUUUGGAGCCAUUGCCUGAAGCUACAUUGUCAGAUUAUGAGUGGCUGGUUGCUAAUCUGCAAAAACCUGCCCCCGUCUUGAUGAAAAGGCUGCAACAUUACUUGUCAUCAUUAAUCCAAAGCUUUCUAGCAAAAGCUACAUUGAAAAGUUAAUGGCACUGCAUGCCAGUCAUUGUAAUGCUGUCAGGGCUAUUGGGUCAGGGCAAUUAGGUAAGAGCAUAACUUCAUUAGGAAAAGAGGCUUCAGCUACGUUAAAUAUUGCAGGAUGUACUGAGAUGGUUGAAGUUCUUGAGGUUUUACGAGAAACGAAAGAUGAGUGUUUGUUUGAACAAAGUUGUUGCCAUCUUGCAAGAUCACUGAGCGAAUGCCACCGAUUUCUUAAUCAUUGUAGCCUCCAUAGUUGAAGUUUCCUUAUUUGAAGCUGUUUAUGCGUACGCUUUUUCCCUGCUCAAGUACAGGAAAUUGAAGAAUUAACCAGAUGUGAUAUGCUGAAAGAGGGAAGUUUUCUUCCUUGAACGUGGCCUUGUGAUUUGUCUUGAAGGAAUAGGAUGAUCACUGGCAAGAACCCUAUCAAGGUAGAUUUUAUGGUGCUAACGUAUUAUUAAGCAUUUUGUUACAUCAGCAAUGAUGCUUCCAUAGCAUGAAAGUGUUUAAAUUUAACUGAAUGAUCUUGAUUAAUCAAUUAUGAGUUUUAAUCGAGUAAAAACUAAAUACAAUCAUCGUUAGCAAAUACUGAAAUUGGGUAAAUAUGAUCUUGAUAUUGAAGAAUCUGAAAACACAACCCACACAGGGAAUCACCCUUCGCGUGGGGAUGGAGAUGUUUACUGCAGCGAUAUUGAAUAUGUCCACUGCUCUUUGGGUUAUGGUGCGACUUGCCCUGAAACAAUGGAAAAGAUUAACAUACCCUGCAAUGAAUGAAAGCGGCUGGACUAAUUCUGAUUACCUAAUUGACUCAGGAUCGGGUGGCAAUAAUGACAGUUUAUUAACAAUGCACAGUUCCGAGUACUUUUCCAGGAUCAGAUAUUACGUGGUCUAAUGUUGAUAAUAAUAGAUUAUCAAAUGAGAGAUGCUGAGAGAUGCUGGUCUACCUUUGCAAGCCCCCAGAUUUAAGAAUCUUUUGAUGAUAAUUUACCACCUGUACCUGUGCCGGAAGAUUCACCUAGCACUGAAAAAGAUGAUAAUUUAAUUGAUAUGGAUAGUUUUCAUAACACUUUUAAAUCAUCUAUAUGUGAACUAUUAUUGACGCUAUUUUGUUGUAAACAAUCUUAUUCAAUUAAUAUAUAAUUUAAAAUCAUUAUGUAAAUCAAUCUAUUACUUUUCAUGAUAUUUAAUUGAGUUAAAACUAAGUGCACCCAAUAAAUCUCUUUUCCUUUAAAAAACUGUUACGCUUUGAUUUUAGUGCUUAAUAUUUACGGAACUCCGGUACAGGGAAUUCGAAAUCAAACUCGUAACCACAGAUUAUCUAAUUGCAAGUUUUUGUCCAUAGUUGCUGAUUGUAGUGAUUAUCUAAUUGACUGAGGUGACAACAAUUUUUUUUUUUAAUUUUCAAUAGCAUAAUGUGGAAUUCAAUAAUUAAAUUCUCCUUUUUAAUUUGUUUCCAAUUAAAUUAUUAAUUACUUAAACUCUGUUUUAAGUCUUUAAUUUUAUGUCUUGGCGUAUAUGCAGGGUUGGAUUCUUGAGCGUGUUGGACACGACCAACAAUGAAAUUGACAGUAAACAAACAUUACAACGCGUUGAGUGUCGACUCCGCUAGCUGCCCUACAAGUCUACAACUUUACAAACAACAACUGAGUACACACAUUUGAUUCUUGGGACCCUUCAAUGAAUUUCUAGCCCGGUUGACUCCACCGACAAAAGUUUUGGAAAAUAAAAAAGAAAAUUCAUAGAAUUCCACCAAAUGCAAAACGCGUGGAAUUUAAUUUUCGGCCAUGUGGACCAAAACAUAAUUUAAUGAAAAAAAAAGAUAAGAUUUCUAAAAUGUGUGGAAGGUGAUCCAUAUUUUACUGAAAACAACUUGUUAAAUUUUUCAAAGAUUUAGAAUAUUUGGUCAUAAAUUACGCUCAUGUUAAUUUUUCCGCUAUUGACUAUCAUAUUCUAGACUCACUGGUACCUUUCUUGAUGAAGGGUACUUAGUCUCUCUUCUCCUCUUAUAAAAAUUAUAUUAAGUGAUUUCUUAUUAUAAUAAAUAGUCUUUAAGAACGUAUAGAUUUAUUGUUUUCGUGACCAAAUUAUGCCAGCUUAAGGUUGCGACUAUUAAUAAAAUUAAUAUUUAAUGUUUAUGUUAAAAGAUAUAAGAUUUUAUGCAUUCAUUAAUUGUUAUUAGCUAAAGGAUUAAUUAUUUUUUCAACCCAAUCAGUUGAUGCAUCUGCAAAAAAAAUUUCUUUUAUUGACCAUAAUUAUAUUCCGGGUACAAUAAAUUAUCUUUGGUGCUUGGAAAAUUUGACUUCUUACUUCAAGUUUGAUGUGUCUCUCUCCAUAAGCUUACUGGAAAUAUAUCCUUUUGUAUUAUUAAUAAAGUGAAAUUUGUUGCUCCUUCCUUCUAAAUCUAAACAGAGUUUCACAAUUUCACCAACUUGGAAUAUUUGACAUUGGACUUUUCCUCUCUCCAUAUAAGCCUUCUGCAAAGAAUUGCAUCGUUAUUCCCUUCAUUAAAAAAUCUGUCGAUGUCUGGUUGUGAAGUCAAUGGUGUCCUACGCGGUCAAGGUAAAAGAAAAGUGUUGAUUGUGAACUCACUCAAUGGUGUCCUACGUGUUCAACAUUUUUAUUUAUUAAUCUUUCUGCUAGAUUUUCCUCAUUUCAAGAGUUUGGAACAUUUUGACCAGCUUUCUUCAAAUCAUCGGUGAAUCAAUGCCUUCUCUUAAGUACUUAUCACUGUCAGAUUCUACUCUUGGCACUAACAGCAGCAGGAUUCUUGUUCGAGGUUAAUCAGAUGCUCCCACCCUCCCUUCUUAAUCUAUAAUAUUAAUUUUCAAUUAAAUAUUCAAUUACACAAACCAAUCACUUAUUAUAAAAGAACAAUACGCAUUCAUUAAUUUUUAUAUUGUAUUAAUAAUUGAUGAAUUUAAUAAAUUUUCAAAUAUUGUAUUAAUAUUUGACAUCCAUUGAAGAGCUGUAUCUUUCAAACAAUCACUUCCAGAUCCCAAUUUCACUUGAACCAUUUUUCAAUCACUCACGACUCAAGAGUUUCUAUGCUGACAACAAUGAAAUAAAUGCAGAAAUAAUUGAGUCGCAUUCUUUGACUGCCCCAAACUUCCAAUUAAAAUAUCUCUCAUUGUCUUCCGGUUACGGAGAUGGUGUCACAUUCCCCAAAUUCCUUUACCAUCAACAUGAUCUGGAGACUGUUGACCUCUCACAUAUAAAGAUGAGUGGAGAAUUUCCAAAUUGGUUGUUGGAAAACAACACAAACUUAGAAUAUCUUUUUUUGGUUAAUGAUUCUCUUGCAGGACCUUUUCGGUUGCCAAUUCAUUCACACAAGCGGUUAAGACUGUUGGAUAUAUCCAACAACAACAUCCGAGGCCACAUUCCAGUAGAAAUUGGAGAUGUUUUACCAAAUUUAUACGUUUUCAACAAUUCCAUGAAUGCUUUAGACGGUAGCAUUCCCUCUUCAUUUGGUAAUAUGAAAUUCCUCCAAAUUCUAGACUUAUCCAACAAUCACUUGACUGGUAAAAUCCCCGAGCACUUGGCCAUGGGUUGCGUCUACUUGAAUUUUCUUGUCUUGUCAAACAACAACCUACAAGGUCAUUUGUUCUCUAGAAAUUUUAACUUGACAAACUUGAAAUGGUUACAAUUGGAGGGCAAUCGCUUCGUAGGUGAGAUCCCAGAAAGUUUGUCUAAAUGCUCCUCACUAGAAGGAUUGUCUCUUAACAAUAAUAGUCUUUCGGGUAAGAUUCCACGAUGGUUGGGUAAUCUCACAUGGUUAGAAUAUAUUAUAAUGCCCAAUAAUCAUCUUGAAGGCCCUAUUCCAGUGGAGUUUUGUCAGCUUGAUUUGCUUCAGAUUUUGGGCAUUUCAGACAACAACAUAUCUGGAAGUUUACCAUCUUGUUUCCAUCCUCUCUCUAUCAAACAAGUUCAUCUUUCAAAAAAUAUGUUACAUGGACAGCUAAAAAGAGGUACAUUCUUUCAUUGCUCUUCCCUUGUGACAUUAGAUCUUAGCUAUAACCGCUUGAAUGGCAGCAUUCCGGAUUGGGUUGAUGGGCUUUCUCAGUUAAGCCACCUUAUCUUAGGUCACAAUAAUCUUGAAGGUGAAGUGCUAGUUCAAUUAUGCGAAUUGAACCAACUACAAUUGUUAGAUCUUUCUAAUAAUAAUCUUCACGGUCCUAUUCCUCCUUGCUUUGAUAACACCACACUUUAUGAAAGUUACAGCAAUAAUUCUAGUCUUGAUGAGCAAUUUGAAAUAUCUUGUUCCAUCGAAAGCCCUCAGGGAGAUGUAGAAAAGCAAAUCCGUGAAAAUUUUGAGUUCACAACAAAGAACAUUGCGUACAUUUACCAAGGAAAAGUGCUUAGCCUCCUAUCAGGACUUGAUCUUUCUUGCAACAAGCUAAUCGGUCCUAUUCCUCCUCAAAUUGGAAAUUUGACAAGGAUUCAAACAUUGAAUCUAUCACACAACGACUUGACAGGAUCGAUCCCAUCAACAUUUUCAAACUUGAAGCAUGUCGAAAGUUUGGAUCUUUCCAACAACAAAUUGAAUGGGAAAAUCCCUCAUCAACUAGUGGGGUUAAAGACAUUGGAGGUUUUCAGUGUGGCAUACAAUAACUUAUCAGGCGAAAUUCCAGAAUGGACUGCACAAUUUGCAACAUUCAAUGAGAGUAGCUAUGAGGGAAAUACUUUUCUUUGUGGAUUGCCAAUGCCCAUUUGCAGAUCACCAGAAACUAUAUCGGAGGCUUCAAUUGGCAAUGAACGAGAUGAUAAUUUAAUUGACAUGGACAGUUUCUUUAUCACAUUUACAACAUCGUACGUAAUUGUGAUAUUCGCAAUUAUUAUUAUUUUAUAUGUAAAUUCUUAUUGGCGACGUAGAUGGUUUUACUUUGUUGAAAUGUGGAUAACUUCAUCUUACUAUUUUGUUGUAGACAAUCUUAUUCCAACAUGAUUUUGUCAUUGAAAUUAAUUAGUAGCUUAAUUACGAUCCUUUAAGUACUAAUCAAGUUUGCUUAGGAAAUAUUUUUUUAUUAAAAUUGUAGUAGUAUUUAGCAUUAUAUAGCUUCCAACUUCCAAGCACUUCACAUUUGUCUCUACACUUAAAAAACUGAGUGAUCAUGUUUUGCAGAUCUGGAUUUGGAGCAGGAUGGAUCCAAACCCAUAUCUGUCCACCAUAACUUAUAGCUUCCCUAUACUGUGCAGCAUACUUAAAUAAGAGAACCAUCUCCAAUGUUAAAAGCAUUCACUCUAUAACAUUCAUUUAGAAACUAUAUUCAGAAUAAUUUUAUAAUUAAACACAAGAAAUGAAACACACAGAUACACUUGAUCGCCUAUUUUACUCUAAAAAAGAACGAUUACUGUGCUAUCAUCAUCUUCUUCACUAGCAACAUUAACACCAAAUCGAUAGACCCAUACAUUUCAUCAAGAAAGGUAUAUAUCCAAUAAAGUUGAAGCCUAACAAAAAAUUCAAGAAGAUUAAUGCCUCGCCACAACAAGGGGCACAACAACAUCAAAGUAGAGAUUAAGCAGUAUUCUCAAAGCUAAAACUCUCAAAUCCACCCACCAGAAUUUCAUAUCUCCUCAACAAUUUUAAGAAAUAAAGAUAAUUAGGAUUUAACAUUAGUUUUUUAUAUAUUAGUUUCAUAAUUUACAAAUCAAUGAAGAUGAAGAUUAUGCUAAUAAAUUCAAAUUAUACCAUACAUUCUCUAGAUGUUACCAAAAAUUUCUAAGUCAAUCCCACAUAUUUCAUAAUUUUAAGACUAGAAAAUUUCACUAGUUAGAAGUUUCAUUAACUUCAAGUGGAAGAUGAAGAACAUUAUACAAGUGAUUCAGAUUAUAUCAUACAUACUCCAAAUGCAACUAGAAAUUAACAAGUUCAUGCGCACAUAUUUCAUAACAUUAUGAUUGAAACGUUUCACAAAGAGAAAUUCUAAAUUCAAUCUCUUGCAUGAAGGCAGUUUGAUUGAUUUGAGUUACUUUCUUAUCAAGCUACUAAUAUAACAUUCAAGUCAGGGAGAAAAUAAAUUAAAACUGGGAAGAAAUAACAGUAAAAAUUUGUUGCUCAACAUGAUGUGUAUUUUUUUUCAAGGCAAUUUGGAAACACAAUUGUUACUACAGAUAUUCUUCUCAACUUGGAGAUAAAUACAAAUAUUAAAAUGCAUAUGAUCGCACAUAUUACUUCGAGUUUAGUAAGAUUUCAUUAAAAGAAGCAAUCAAACCACUUAUCAAUUGUCGCAGUCGUUCUAUAAACUAAAAUAGCAAUAUAAUACAAGAAAAAGAACAUAUAGAUACUUGGCAAGAGUUCAUUAAGAAGUCGCAUCACAUUCGGGUGAGGAGUUUGCUUCUGAUAUCUUGCUAGCUGGGGCUUUUUCUUGUCUUUCUACGUAUGCCGAGGGAAACCAACCAGCUUGGCCCUUGCAUUCACCUUCCGACCAUCCAAUAGGAGCCACCUUGAGAAGUUAUAACUAAAACGGUGAAUUAAACAAAAGUUGACCGUUCAAAGACCUAAGGGGAAAACUAAUUCUUUUACGUAGGAGGAGUGAAUUAGUUGUGAUCACUGAAAUAACAGCAUAACUAUGGAAGCAUAACAAGAUAUAAAUUCACACGUCUAUAAGGAUAAACUGGGUGGUUUAGAACUGAGCUAGCAACCCUACUAUAUUCUGAUUUGCACUUCAAUGUAAAAGGGAAUAUAUGGUAGGAAGAAAGAAAACCAACCAUCAUUUGUUAACUCAUUGCUUUUCAAUCAAAAUUUUAAGAACAAAAUGCCAUGUGCUUUGAACAUCAAAUAAGUAUAAGCAUUAGUUCUAAAUUCCACAUAUCAUAAGUUGUUAGAAGGAUAAGUUAAUAGCAGAGUAGAAAAAUCAAUGUGUUGGUAUUUAGAGGGGAAAGUACCUGGCGAACCACAACAUAAUCAUCAAUUGAAAGACUUAGCUCUCCAUUUGCUUGAGCAUCAAAUGGAUGUAUAACCUGCAAGAUAAUGGGAUAAAUGGAACUUAAAAAAAGCAUAACAAAAGCAGCAACAGUAGCAGCAACGUUCAUUGUAACCACUAUGAUCAUGGCCAACAAAGAUAUAUUAGAAACAAAAUUCCAUUUUUACUAUGACAUUAAUAUGUACUAUACGAUAUCAUGACGAUUGGGUUACUAAGAGCUAUCAAAGUCUAAUAAGUUCUGUAUAACUUUAUGUAGUUAUUUAAAUUAUGGAUCAGAUUUUAAAUUUGAAAUUUUGACUGCUCUCCACAAAACAUGGCCUAUGCACAAGAAAGUCAUAGAUAAUGAGGAUUACAAGUGUCCGACAUCUUUUGAGUGAUGGAUUUAACAUGAGAGCUUAUGGUCAGUCAAUUUCCUCUGCCUAGCAAUAUAAGCUUUCUCGGCCAGAUUUAUCAUCAAAUACAUAGAUUGCCCCCAAGUCACAUCCAUAUAAACAUAGUUUUUCUAGGUAAACCAAGUAAGGAGCAUCAUAAUUCAGACAUAAUCAUAAAAAGGCCCAUCUAAAUUAAGAGAAAAUCUCAAAAAGAGGGAUGCUGAGCUAUCAGUCUUGUAUCUAUAAGCAAUAUCAAGACUUUACAUCACCUGCUACAUCAUGAGUGGCUACACAACUUUCAGUGGUUUGUCUUUCUUUGGCACGCCUAACUCAGCUUUGAUGUUGCUGAGAUAUUGAUAGUAGAGACACAUGAUACUUCUAGCUCAUGCAUUCUAUCUAACUCAUCCAACAACUAUCUCUUUUUUAAUUCAUUAGUGUUUGCUAAACCUCAUGCUUAAAAGUCCUGUUCUCCUAAAUAAAGUUUCCUAAGAAUGACUUCCUUAGCACCACAGUUGGACACUUGUAGAGCAAUUUUAUUUGGGGGAAAAGAAUUUUCAAGGUGUUAACUAAUAAAUUUUAAAAAAUAAUUACAAUUUGUCCUACGAUCAUAUGACAAUUUAUCUGGGAUGAAAGGAUACAGAUAGACAUCUUCCACUUUCAAGACUAAUCACUACUUCCGUAGAUGUUGUGCAAUAAUACAAAUACUUGACCAGAUGGUAGUGAUGGUAGAAAAAAAAUUUAUUGCUCCAAAAUUAAAAUAAGAAUGCAAUAUGUUAAGCAAAAGGCUGUGCAACAUCAAAUUAAUUGAUAAGAUAGAUGCAGACAAGCAAGUUAAAAUGCAUAGUCCCAAACCUCCGCAUACAACUUCUCUAAAAUAGCAAUAACGUGUUGAUGCUAUGUUUUCUCAGCAUCUACCUGCAAAGGCCCGAGACCAGGAAAACAACAAUAAAACCACUAGCUGAAGGAGAAAGCAAAGAAAGAAAUACACUUGACAUAAAUCUUGACAAGAAGCACAAUUUAAGACAUAACAAACCCCAAUCAUAUUGUUUAGAACUACCAUUCGUUAUUUCGUUAUUGUAACAUUUCGAACAAGUGUUGACUUAAUUCAACAUUGUUGGAAAGAUAGGCUUUUAGAAGCAGAAGAAAGCCUCUCAAACCAAAGUGCUGGUCCUUGUAUUGAUCAAGGGAUGUAAACAUAUUACAUUUGCAGGAUGAGAUUUAAUCACUCCCCUGAUUUAUUUGGGUUGCAGUAAAACUAAGCGAGCAACUGUUUGACUUCCAAGCAACAGCUAAAUCAGCUAUUAAAAUUCAAAUAAAAUCAUAAUAGAAUAAUAACAGGCCCUCUUGCAUCAAAAAUUAAGUUUAAUUUGUGCAUUGUUUUCUAUAGACAUGUCAGUUUCUGCUAUUGAAAUGUUAAAAGCAUUGAAAAAUUAUUCAAUAAAUUAUGCAAGCAUUAAAAUAGAGGACAUAUUAAAAAGUUUCUAAUUACAAUGCUAAUAUUUCCUAUAUUUUAGCAUUUGCAUAUUUUAAUUUAUUUAAAAGCUACGUCGAUCAACUUUGGGCAUGAAGAUUUUAGCUUCUACGAGACUUGAUUGGAAUAUGCAUAAGGAAGAGUGUUAAAAUAUGAUGCAUCCAACGAAAGAAAACCACGUGUAGUCUUUUAAUUAAGCCAAAGUAGCAGCUCAAACAAAUGACACUUGGACCAACAUGCAAUCAUGAAGUGGCCGGAAAAAGGACAAAUGCUACUUUGGCUUAAAUAAAAAAUAACAUGUGACUUGACUUUUGCUGGACAUGCAUCAUGUUAUUACAAGACAACAGAAAUCAGUAUGAUAGUACUAAAAGUUGACAAUAACAUGAAGAUAAGAGGCAGAAUGUCAACACAUGCAUAGGCACACACAAGAAAGUAUUAACAUAUAUACCAUAGCAAAAACUCUUUUAUAUGUCAUCUGUUGCUGCUGUGAUUCAACUGACAGCAAGGCAGCUGUCGCUUCUCUACCAAGAGCCAUUAUUUUAGAUUUAAGCUCGGUCAAUCUUGCUUCUGCAUUUCGAAGCUUCACAGCACUCUCUGCUGAUAUAUCAGAUUCCCUAAUCUUUGAUCGGUGCCUAAAUACUUCAGCUGCCUGGUGAAAAUAUUCAAUAUAAAUCUAAUAUAAUUCUCAUCUUGCCUUAUACAUGCAUAUGUUACGUCAAAGCUUACCUGGGCUUCAACUUCAUGUCGAAGUUUGUCAUAACAAUGAGUCAGGUGUCGAGCAUCUUCCAAAGGUGCUCCGUUGAUUAACGCCCGUAGUGGCUCAGAUACCUACAUGUCCAAAAACCUGUAACAUAGUUAGAAAAAUGAAAAGAAAGAGCGAAACCUCAAUUAAAAAGUUCAUCCAACAUAAUCAUGGAAUUUGGGCCUACUUUAAGAAUAUAUAUAAGGAUAAUUUAUGCAAUUUUGGGUCUUAGGAUGAUUGGUAUUAGGUUAGUGUUCUUCUCUUCUGUAUUUAAGGUUAAAAUAGAAAUAAACCUAUGCAAGUAUCUAAAUUAGGCCUGUAAGACAUCCACAUGCAUCCUUCAGUCUCAUGGAUUUGAUUUUACUAUAGAUGCAAGUGUCUUUAUCGAAAAUGCUUGGAGUCAAUUGAGAGAACUCAUGGCCAAUAACUUGUCACACGCUAGUCUUUGCUAGUGAUCACAAGGUCUCUUCAACAUUUGAACCAAUAAAAUUAUUAAGUCAUGGAUGUCACUAGCAAUGAUUUUAAUAUAAAACAUUAAAUAUUUCAGAGUUGUAACUUUAAAAUGGAUUCUUUUAUUCAAUAUCAUAGAACUAAGUUUCCUUAUGAGAAGAUAAUAGUUUCGAUAAUAAUUUUACAUAUAAUUUUCUAUAUUUGAAUUAUUUUCUAGUUAGGGAUGAACUAACCUGAUCACGAAGAAUCCCGAGCAAAGUUUCCCUCUCAUUUUCCAUCAAAUCAUGUGAAGUGCCAAAUUGAAGAGCAGCUCUUGCAACGCAAGAAUUGUCACUUUGAUUCUCUACUCCAUACUUGCAACAAUCUUCAGCCAACUUUCUCGCUACAAUAUUUGAAUACAAAAAUAUUGUACACAAGAACUAUAAAAAAACUAAUGAAAAAUGCCAAGAUGGAGCAGAUGCUUCAAUACUGCCUAUACAAACCAUAAAAAACUAAUGAAAAAUAAAUAAAAUCGAGAAAUUUUACUAAUUAAAAGUCUAAAUAUAAUUUUGAAAAAAGAAAAGAAACGGACUUGCUGCUGCUUGGCGACUUGUUCUCGGAGCUUGAUUGCCUGUUUCUUGAUAGCUUCCAUACUGUUUCUUUCAAAAAGCGACGACGGCUCUGCUCAUGGAAGUGGAAAAAAAAGUGUGAUCGAGAAAAAUGAAAAGGCGUGAAUAAUUUUUGACAAAAAGCGAAAAUCAAGGAAAGCCGGCUCUUUCCAGAAAAUAAAAAAAAGAAAAAAAGAAAAAAGAAAAUCAUAAGUUUGAAAGGAGAAGAUGAUAUUGGAAGUAUGCAGUGUGGCUGCCAGGUACUUGGAUUGUAUUGUCGGGUAAGGUAAUAGUGGAGAAUUGUAAGUUUGAACGGAGCAUGUUGGACUUUUGUUGACCAAAUUCAAAAGCCAAAUGGCACGGCCCGGAAGCUUUUGAAUAGAAAAACUUGCUAGAAAGCAUCAGUUUAAAUCACUACUUAAACGCUUGCUUUAACUGCACCGCUUUGUACUGUUUUAUGUAUGUAGCGGUUGUGCGGUUGUAAUUCACGGCUGACGCUACGUGUUUGUUUGUACUGUUCUAUUCGGUGACAGAGUAUUAUUAGUUAGGCCAAAACUAUGUUGCAACAGUGGUACAGUAGCACUGUUGCUUUCAGUCAUUAGAUCUAUAGUUGUACAGUUGCAUUAACAAGAUCCAAUGACUGAAAGCAACAGUAGUACCGAACUACUGUUGCAACAUAGCUGGAGCCUAUUAGUUAUUUCAAAGGGAUAAAUAAGAUUGGUUACAACAAACCUACUAAUUUUAUAAAAUUCAAGUAACAUAGAAUAAAAUAAAAAAAUAAAUACAAAAUUGACUUUUAUUUUUUAUGGUUGACUAUAUUUUGUGUUCUCUUCGGGCACUGCUACAAUUGUUCCCUAUAUAUCAAUUACACCACAUACUAUCGACACAAGAAAUGAAAUCUAAUAUCACCUGUUUAGUUAAAAAAUCACUCAUGAAAAAAUUUUACCAUUUUGAUUUGAGGAUCCAUAUUUUAAACUACAAGCUAAUGUUCAUCAAGAAUUACUGAUGGACAAAUUAUUUUUUUUGAUAGAAGAAUUUCUUUAGGAACUACUAAAUUAUUAAUAAAAAUAUCGAACACACCCACAUAUCAUCGACACAAUUGAUUUUGAGGAUCCAUGCUUUGAACUACAGCCUAAUGUUCAUCAAGAAUAGAGUAUGGCUUAUGAGUAGAAAAUUUUCUUAUUUUGGCCCAAAAUAAAAAGAAAUUAAAUUGGAUGAGAAUCUGCCACUUUCUCAUGAAGAAAGGCAUACGGAGCAUACCAUGGUACCAUACAAUAUAAGAAGCCUCCGUUCUUUGGUUUUUCAAACUCUGAAGGGGCUAAUAUUGCCAAAUUCCCCCUUGAAAAUUCUGAUUACGACAUUAUUCAUCGCUUGAUGCAAUCAAAGUAGUGACAAAGUUAGGAAAAAUAUGAGUCCUAAGUAAUUGCUAGGCAGGGCUCCUGAGAGCAAAAUUGUCCUAAGCAUUAUAUGCAUACAUAGUGCAGUACAUAGAGCACGUUGAAUUCCCCACUAUAACACAAACCCAGAAAGACAAGUAAUAACUCAACUGAUAUAAAGACAAAAAGAAGAUAAAAUGAUAUAGAAAAAAGAAUUUCAAAGAGACAGCAACAUACAAUAGACUGAAGCCACUUGAUCUGCUCAUUGAUUGCAGCCUUAAACUUGCAAAUAGUUACUGUACGCUAGUGCUCUAAGAAGUGAAAAUGAUGCGAGCCCUGAUUCCCUUUUGACUUCCAUUUACUGUCAAACAUUCUAGUAAUACAAAAAAUUGUUUAGAUAUCUUGCUAUAAAUAUAGCCGUUUGACUGUCAUAAUAAAGUCACAAAUAACCAUUCAUAUUGAUCUACUGUCACACAGCAUGCUUUAUGCAUACAACAGCUGUAUGCAUACCAACUCCUAACCUUAUCAAUACAUUUGGCAAAAACUUAAGAAGAAAGCUAUUUCUCCAUCUCUUUUUUGAAAUUUCACAAUAACCAGCACAAUGUGAAAGCUAUGUUCUAACCUUAUGAUAAAUGCUCCAGACUCCAAAAGGGUUUUAUAUAUGAGAGUUUGUUGCAGCAGAUAUAUUGACUUAUCAAGUAUGAAUCAUUGUCUGGAUGAACUAUCUUUAGAUAAAAGAAUAUUAGAACCACUGUAGAAUAUCUUUACCCUGCUGGUUCUAACAGGAAUCUGCAUGUGGCAACAAUUGCUAGACCCACAAUUCCCCAACUUGAAAUACAUAGUUGCACACCAUGAGAUAGUGCUACAAUCUACUGAGAUCUAACUUAUAUGGUACUUUAAGCUACUAAUGUUUGCAUAUUUCUACAUGUUAAAUUAACACUAUCAUCUAUAAUCACUCCAAAACAACAAAUGAUAAGCAGCUUUUGGCCACUUAUUACUAGCAUACACAAUUAUAAAUAAGAGAUCAUGGGUUUACUUGUUGCACCUACUUAAUUAUCUGCAGUUGACAUCCUGACACAAGGUUUAAAUAGUGACUGCUUAGAACCCUUGUAGUUGGAUCUUGACCUCUCCCAUUGUAGCCAAGAUUGGUUACUCUGGUAAUGAAUCAACACUCUCCUGCUCAGGGCCAUGAAGAUCUGAAAGCUCAGCACUAGUGGAGAACUUCAUCAA
rnacentral:lncRNA from 1 species